UCUGUGAUUCCAAUUAGAGAGAAGUUUGCUCAGGUGGGUAAAAAACUCACCAAGUAUAGCACGUAACAUUAGGCCCAGACUCAACCGGACCGUCAACCCAGUUACUACACAAAAUCAAUAGUUAAAAAGUACUCCCAACACACCAUAGAUAUCCCUGAUACAAAACUGAGAGAUCAGAGGAACUUCCCCCUGAAAAAAAAAAGUAAAAAGUAGUUCCCCAAUCAGACUGACAAAAAAAGAAUUGAGUCACAGCAAAUUGUUUCUUCACACAAGCGGGAUCAACAGUUAGUUCUCAUCCUACAAACAUGGACUUCGAUGCUAGCAAUUUCACUGAUGAGGAAGCUCUCUUUUCUACAACCAAUGGGCAUGCACUCGGCAUUGGAAUACACACUAUUGCGGUAGUUGAAACAAUUUUCACAGGUUUGCAAUUGCCUCGCACUGUAUCAGAUUCUUUCAAGGCUCUUUGGAAAAGUAAAUAGCUGCAUUAUGUGAAAUUGCUACAUUUUUCAAGCAAAUUUAGAAAACAGCCUCAAGAAGAAAAUUUGGAAUGUUCUCAGGCUAGCCAAGUGAUGCCCAAUCUGGAUUUGGGCACUCAUAGACCCAUCCAGGUCCAGAAUAUCGUAUGCAGUGCAGCCACAAUCCCUCCUCACUCCCAUCAUAUCUGCAUUUUGCAGACACUCAAAUCAAAUCUUAGGUCCUCUACCGUACACACGCAGGCAAGGGUGCGCAACCAGAAUAUGAGUAAAGACAAGUACCCAAGAUGGGAAAAAGGAGGAACACUCACCCUUUUGGAGCUAAAUUGGGACAAUUUGUGCACAUAGGGUCCAUACUAAAUUCAAUGCAAGGCUCUUCUUCCUUAUCAUUCUGCCUAAUAUCAGAAACACUGGAUUCUGAUGACAAACCAGCAGCUUUAUCAGCAACCAUUCCUUCAGCUGAAUGAUUGGUCCUUUGUUUAGAAAGGUAAAGCAUGUCAUUGGCAAUUGGAUGGCCACUAAACUGCAAAUGGACUCGUAUCUGCACAUAAAGAGCAGGGUUGAGAGAAGAAAGUGCUGCAAAUACUAGCAUAGAUCAAAUAAACCUUACAAAUUAAAAGGUAUAAUGACUUAACCAAAUGCAGAGAGGUAUAUAAUAAGCAGGAACUGAAAGUAUCUUACAAAAUGAGCACGGCAGGGUUUAUGGAGAGACAAAGUGCAGAAAAGAAAGCGCACAACUCAAGAAGUUAACAGUAAAUGCAAUGUCCUUCCUGUAUGUGUGGGUACAUCUAUGCAUGCAAUUGACUUGGCUACAUUAAGGAAAAACAACCGAGGAAGGUUCACUGCUUAUGGAAUAGAAAAUAGGAGGCAUCAGACUCUCAACAUGGUAUUUGCAUCCUUUAGCAUCAUAUUGCCUUACCUGAUGAGUUCAUCCAGUGACCGGUUCACAGAGAACAAUGCUAUGGGUUCCAGUGGUGCUGAUCCUUGUGAACUUUGUACAAGCGGUCUUUCCUUUCAAGAGCACGGUAUCACAAGUAGGGUCACCUGCCUGCAAAAAGAGAUAAUAUUGACCAGACUAAUGGCAUUAAGUACAUUAUUACAUUCAUUGCCAAUGCUCUAAUUUACUGGUCGAAAUGAAGACACAACUAUGAAACAGUCAGGGCAGAUUGUCACGCCCCAAUCCUCCGAGCACGCGAACAUCCCACUCUGGUCGAUACAAAUGCGACUUCCCAGGACACGUCGCCGACCCAUUCAUUUUUAUUGCACAUGCGUAAGCGAAACAAAUCCCCUGACAACAUCUAACUUGGGAUAGAAAAGCAGGCAAUCAAUCACAACCAAACAAGCUUUCUUAUAAACACAUAGGUUUAUAUACAACACUGGAUUGUCUACAAAAUAGACAGGCUCAACAACUAGAGAACUGUCCUAUGACCAACUUGUCAGACACGUUCCCCGAUUCUUCAGCCUCCACCUUCCGAACUCCAGGACGUCCGGUCCUCCACGACCGUCAUCUAGGGACCUGAAAUAUUAUCCCACAACCGGGAUGAGAUUACGUCUCAGCGAGUCCUACCAUCUAAAACUCAAUUAGGAAGAAAAUACGCCUCAGGGCGCUCUAGCCACACAAAUAGGAUAGUGGGCUUACCUCGCCUCAGUCCCUUUCCUGCACGUCAGUACAAUUCAUAUUCAACAAUACUCGCACAAGCUGAAACUACCGACAUACCCAUCAGUCUAUCAAUUCAGUCAAUCCAAUUGAUAUCAUACGAUCCACACAUCUAUCAAUUCAUAUCAUCUAUUAAACCAUACCAUCUAUUCAUCCAUCAAUACAAUUACGGCUCGCACAAGCUGAAAUGGAUGCAAUGCUCUCACAAGCUGAUAUAGAUGGUAGCUCGCACAAGCUGAUAUAUACAUAGAUGAUAGCUCACACAAGCUGAUAGAUAGAUCGUGCUCGCACAAGCUGAUAAAACGAUCUUAGCUCACCAGAAGCUGCCACAAUAUUCAAUAUAAUAUACUAUAGCUCACCAGAAGCUGCCACAAUAUUCAAUAUAGUAUACUAUAGCUCACCAAAAGCUGCCACAAUAUAUGUAUAUUAUAAUUGCUCGCCCAAGCUGAUACAUAUAUAUAUAAACAAAUGCUCGUCAAAGCUUAUCAUUCAAUAAUAAACCAACUCAUAUCUCAAUUCAAUCAAUCAAUCAAUCGAAUCGAUUUAAACUGGUCAUACAAACCAAUUACGGUGCUAAAAGCCAACACCGGGUAUUUUCAAGUUAAAUACCACAACUUCAUCAAUUUCACACAAUUCCACACUUUUGGAAUUAUUAACCAUAAUCAUCAAUCACUCAAUUUCUCAAUUUAAACAUGCAAUUAACACAAAUCGAUCGCACUGCUGCGAUCAGCGCGAAAUUCUAACAACCGGCCAUCCCGGCAUAAUUUUCGAAAUUAUUAAAUAAUUAAAUUUAAUUCCGAAAAUUAAAUAAUUAAAUAUUAUAUUAUAAUAAUAUAAUUUAAUAAAAUAAUAUUUAUAAAUUCGAAAUAAUUAAUUAAUUAAAAAAUAAUCAAUUAGGGCUUAAACAAGAUUACACUAAUUUAAUCAUACAAUUAGCCCUAAUUAAACACCAAUUAAACUAAUCAUACAACUAAUCUAAUUUACAUUAAAAUAAUCUAAUUUAAUCACAUAAACCUAAUUAUACUAAUCUAAACACCCCUUAAGCGUCAUUAACUCACUAAGCAAGAAUUAGAGGAUAAACUCACCGGAUUAAUGAUCCGAACAGCUCAAAACGACAAGGACGACGCGAGGGUCGAUAGUCUCCAAGGCGGGCCUAGCUUCCGGGGUCGGGAAGCCAGCCAAAACGGGCCAAAUAGCCGCUGUCAUACCCAUUUUCCAACUCUCUGUCCGCUGUUGGUUGAGGCCGAAAAUGAGCAGAUCCGGGGCUGGUUGGGGUCGAGAAUGGGCGGAGGAGCUGCAGCGGUGCCAUGCGGCCAACGGCGGGGCCUCACGGUGGUCGAAGGUGGCUGAUCCGAGGCUGGUGCUAUCCGAACAGCCUCCUGGACGCACGAGCAGAGAUCGACAAAGACGGUCGGGCGUGCAACAGGCGAACGGCGACCAGCGGACUUGGCGGGCUGUUUCGGAAGCUGGACAAUGGCAGCAACUACUCAGGCGACUUCAACAACAUUCAGGGGAGCUCGGGAAAUGGCGAAGAGGCCAGGGCGACUGGCGCGAACGGCUAGGACGCGCGAACAGCGCGCGAGCUGGACGGCGGGCGCGGGAGCUCGCGGAUGGACGGACGGCGGGCAAGCGGUGCGCGACGGCGGUUCGACUGGACUGCUGGCUGCUCCGGCGUCUUCCCAGAUCUGCUAGGACACGAGCAGCAACUGGAGAUGGAGAAGAGAGGGCUUCGACUACGGUUGAAGAGGGAGAGGGAGACGGUUGCGCGCGGUUGGACGAGCGACGGUCUCCGGUGGCUUGCGGUGGCGUUCUGGCGUGAGGCGUGCGACGAUGGGGCUGCUCGGCGGUUCUUCUGGUCUGCUGAAGUCUCGCACAGCAGGGAGAGAUGGAGAGAAGCGACGGAAGAGAGAAGGGGAGGAAGAAGAAGACCGGUUCUCUCUCUCUUUUUCUCUUUCUCUUUCUCUCUCUCUUUGGCCCCACCAUGACCUCAUGGAUGAUGUCACAAUCCACUCACCCAAUCCUCCACAACCUCUUCCAAUGGUUGCAAUUUCAUUUUCCGCCGGGGUCCAAUUCUUGUACACUUAAUUUAAUCAAUUCUCAAUCAAUUCCAUUCAAUUGAAGCUCAAUUAAAUUAACCCAUGUGUCCUCGGCCUUCUCAUGACAUUUCCCCGUCAAAUGAUCCAACUUGCAUCCCGAAGAUUCGAUUAAAAACGGCCCUCUGACAGUCCCGAACAUAAACGGCCUUACUUUGCUUUUCUGCCAAAAAUCUCGGUUUGUAGAAAAAUCUUCUGGAGAUGAGUCGACAUUCCUAAAAUGAAUUGUGACUUGACAGAACUUCCAAUUUCUGUAAUCGGGUUCAAUUUCACGGUUAAAUUCAAUCCGGCGCGACUUUAGCGCGUCCUAAUCUACUGGGUAGCUUUUAGGAAUUUUCUGUGCAAUUGACCUGUGGUUGAUUAUUUUCAAGCCACAAAGUGCAUCUUCGACACAUUGGCGACUCUUGAUUGUCGUAGAAAUCUCGAGGUUUCAAAUACAGACACGGGGUACCAAAACGAUAGAGAAAUCGGUCUAGUGCCGAUCAACAAGAAUUGUGCAAUUAGAUGGAAUCACCCAUACUGAAUUACAUGGUUCUGUUGAAUCGACCUAUCUCCGGUCUCUAAUCGGUCUGUGCCGUAAUGACCAUUGCAGAUUAGUACGGUCGAGCAAUCGUUUCCUAGUCGAAUUCUCAAGUCUAUUGCGUUUAGAUUCCUUAACGGCUUCACCUGAUAGACUAGUUAUCUCGUGAGUGAUCAGCUCAGAGAAGAAAGCUAUAGACGCGAAGAUGAAAUGCCCAACUUAUUUAAUUGAAACUAGAAUUGGAAAAUCGGGAUGUCACAACUCUCCCCCUCUUAUAAAAAUUUCGUCCUCGAAAUUUAAACCAUUAAAAUUCUUCUUCAAAAUGGUGGGGUAUUGUCGUCUCAUCAAUUCUGCUCCUUCAUUCUGCUUCGGACUUCUGCUUCAAACUGUUAUCCAAGAUCCUCGGUGCUGCCGAAACAUUUCCAAAUUGGCCAAACCAAUUCUUGAUGCCCAAAAAGGCUAAGCACUUGUCCAUCUUUACAAAAAUGAAAGCUGCAAAAAUUUUGGUUCUUUUUUUCUUUUUUCUUUUUUUUUCCACAAAGCGGCUAACUGCCGCGUCGGGGAUUCGAACUCCCGACUUCAGACCGACAAGCUUCAUCCCGGAUACCAACUCGGCUAGAGGCGCCGACGGUGCUCCAAAUUGCUUUCUUUUUCCAUUUAAAGCCAAAUUUCUUCUUUGAACCCAAAUUUUGAUGGAUUCCGAUUUAAAUGUUGCUUCAUCUUCAUUUCCUUAACCAAACACGAUGUCCCUUUCAUAGGCGACAUUUAAGGAAAUAUAUUUCCCCUACUUGAAAUUCCAAGGCCUGCGAUACUAAUCUGCGAGGCUAAACUGGUGAUUCUGAGCGAUCUCAAAUCUGUCACUGAUAAUUGCAACUGAAUCACUGAUUUCUGAACCAACUCUGGACCUGCGAUUUUCUGAUCUCUGACCUCAACUCAACCAACUGAAGCUCUGAAUACUCUGCUCUGCAUUAACUAAAAAGAAACUAUCUGACUGAUUUGCUGAAACUGAGAACCUCUGGUCAAGAUUUGAUAUAACUUAGACACUGACACUAACACUCUAUGCAAACGAAUUAUCUGAUGCACAAACACCUCUGCAUGCCUUAUCCAAUCAAGAUCCUUCGGCACAGCCAUAGGGUGGGCUGAUUUCAUCAAUCUGUCCAUUACUACCCAAAAUGAAAUUAUUUACACACUGACUCAUCAAUAGAUCUGAAAUGCCAUCUCAGACUAGCCAUUGGUCUGAAGAUGAUAAACAUUACUAUACUGUAACUUCGUUCUCAAAGCACUCUGUAAACUUUUCUAGAAGGUAGCCACGAACCUCGGGUCUCGGUCUAAAAUAAUCGUCACCGGCACUCCAAAUAGACGAACUCUCUGACGUACGUACAACUCAGCGUACUUGUCCAAAACAAGAUCAUUUUCUAUUGCGAUGAAGUGAGCCGACUUCAUCUAUCUAUUCACUACUAUUCCAAUCGAAAUCAUUACUCAUCUGGUUCUUUGAUGAGCCUGUCACAAGAUCCAUUGUGACACGAUCCCAUUUCCGCAUGGGGAUCUCGAGAGAUUACAAAGGUCCUCUCGAAUUGCAAAACCAUGCUUUCUCUUGCUAACACAUCUGACACUCGCGACUUGUCAGUGAUAUUUGUCUUCACAACGGUCUACUAAUCCUGUUGAUGCAAAUUCUGACUCAUCUUCAUACUGUCUGGAAAAUGCUGAAGCUGCUACAACGAGUUUCCGAUAAGAUCUCUUCUUUAAUCUUGGUAUCAUCAGGUACACACAAUCGUCCUCAUAAAUCUGAAAAUUAGUUCCCCUCUUCUCGGUAUCCUCUCGCAGGAUCUUUUGCAUUUCUGAGUUUGUCCACUGAAGCAUCUGAUUCUAACCUGAAUAUCCGAUUCAAUUCUGAGGGUGGCCAUAAAAUUCGAAGGUGGCCUACCUCAGAUUUGAAAACCGAAUUUCGAACUUUCUCAAGUAAGGUCCAUACUUUAACCAGCAUAUGCACAAAUGAAGACUCUCAACUCAACGCAUCAAUGACUUCUUUCAUUCUUCCAAGGUGAUACCAGAUACCACCAUCCUAGUCCUUCAAACGAUCUAAUUCACAAUGGUAUCUCAUAUUCAAUUCAUUCUGAGAGAAUAUAUACUUUGAGACUUUUAACGGUCAGCGAAGAUCUGGAGUCUUUCUUCACACCAACAAUAUCUCUAAAUCUUCAGAACGAACAUUAUUACUGCAAGUUCUAAGUCAUGCGUCUAUAAUUCCAUUCACGAGGUCUCAACUGACGGGACGAGUAUGCAACAACCUUGCCAUGCUGUAUUAGCACGCAACCCAAUCCUCUAAACGACGCAUCACUAUAGAUCUCGUAUCCUCCAGGACCAGAUAGUAUGGUCAGCACAAGUGCGGUAGUCAGCUUCUGCUUAAGCUCUUGGAAACUACGCCCGCACUUGUCUGUCCACACGAACUUCUCUUCCUUCUUCAGUAGUCGAGUUAAUGGCAAAGCUAAUACUGAAAACCCUUAUACGAACCUUCUGUAAUACUCUGCUAAACCUGGAAAACUUUCGAUCUCUGCCACUGCAAUCAAUCUUGGCCAACUGAUCACCACUUCAAUCUUGGCGGGGUCCACGAAGAUUCUUUCUCCUGGAAUCACACGACUUAGGAAAGCAACACGAGUCAUCCAAAACUCGCAUAUGCUAAGCUUAUCGUAAAAAUUCAAGAGUCCUCAAAUGACUCUCGUGCUCCUUCGCACUCUUUGAACACAUCAGGAUAACUUCAAUGAACACGAUCAUAACUAAUCCAAGUAUCCUUUGAACACUCUGUUCAUCAGACCCAUACAAACAGUUAGAGUGUUCGUCAAACCGAACAAUAAUACUAUGAACUCACAAUUGCCGUACCAAGUACGCAAUGCUAACUUCGGUAUGCCUUUCUUCCUGAUUCUCAACUGAUGAUAUCCCGUCCUCAAGUCGAUCUUGGAGAAUAUCGAUACACAAACGCAACAAACCAUCCUUCUUUUUCACAAACAAGACUGAUGCUCCCCAAGGUUAUGCACUGGGACAUAAGAAUCCCUUAUCUAACAAUUCUUGCAUCUCCACUUUCAGUUCUUUCAACUCAGAUAAAGCCAUCCGGUAAGGAACCUUAGAGAUUGGCUCUAUCCCGGGUGCUAACUCAAUCACAAACUCGAUCUCUCUCUCUCUCUGGCGGUAGACCUGGCAACUCUUCAGGAAACACCUCAGAAAACUUCUGUACCGCGACUAAGUUCUCCUUACUUGGUCCCUCAACUGUCGCAUCCACUACAGUCACCAUACAGAUUUGGCAACCUACCCCCAAAACCAAGUCGUCUUCAGUGACGAAUAAUAGGGAUUGGAGGUCCUUUCCGACUUUCAGUAACUCAAAACUUUCGUACGCUAACUGAACCAACUGAAUUAUAUCACUGCCACGAUUCAUAACAGCAGAAAGCUUCUCGAGCCAAACCUUUUUAUAAAUGACUCCCGGGUCAUAUAUAAGCAAAUCCUUUAGGUACAACUAUAGUCAGAGAUUCAUCUUCAUUUUACUUUAUCAUAACAACGGAAACUUCACAACUUUCACUCAAAAUCUAGCUGCGCUACUCUGAUAAUACACCUCAAAACAUUCUUCCCUAGAUCGAUGCAUGGUCAAUCCAUUCCUAUUCCUUUCGCCAUCCUAGUGGCAUCAUGUCGGCGGUAGCAAUGCUCGAGUCCUCUUGGACUUACACGGACAGUUCCUAGCCUAAUGGCCAUGCUGACCACAUUCAAAGCAUGCUCCCAUUGCACUUGGUCACCAGGCUGACUCACACUUCUUUUCUCAAACUUGACACACAAUCUGUGAGUCCUCUGCCUACUGUCAGGUGACAGCAUGCGCUCUUUCUGGUACUGAAGGUCUAUUCCAAAAACCCCACUAUGCGUUCUAUGGUGCACUCCUUUCGAUCUGUUCCAUCGGCUUUCUAAGACCAUUUCUGGCUAGGUAACCCUGCUGGUUACUCACAGAACAAGCACCCAUCUUACUAGGACACAGGGCUGAUCCAUGUCGGCUUCCGUCAGCACGACACACUCCAUUCUGAUCCAUUGUUGACCUGACCAUCCCACAUUUCCAGUUGGACGGAAAUAUGAUACUUUUCUCCGAUCAUAGGCUCCUUCCCAAACUGAUUUCCAUCUCUACUAAAUCUGAACCUCAACUCGGAUGCAACGGCUUGCUCCCAUAUCACAACUCUAGCUUGGGCCUCAAUAGGCGCAGCAACAACAACAGUUACAACACCGGCGGCAUUAGUAACAACGAUAACAGUGGCGGCUCGGUCCCGAGCUUACUGACCCAACAAGCUUCCAAGGAACACUAGCGCCUGAACGAUCCCAUCGAACCUAGAAUCGCUCGAUGCUGCUACACUAGUACCGAUCUACAGCGGUACUCUCACACUCGCGCUGGUCUAAGCCAGUGCUCCACCACGACCACCUCGGGUACCGAUCCCUGUCGGCAUACCACCCCGAGUAACUGGUCUAAAGGUUCUCUCUAGGAGUCCUCUGCUCCUGAUCACUCAUCUAUAGGAUCUCUACAGAAACCUGUUUCCCAAUUCUAAUCCCAGAUUAGAAUUCGAGUGAUCCACGCCAAACAAUUUACCAAACAACUAUCAGCCACAUGCACCAGCAUGAAAUCAAAGUCAUUCCUACUAACUAUCCCAUAAACCAUCGCACCUUAUCACUCCAAUCACAGACCCGCUCUGAUACCACUUAAACGGGGAUGUCACGCCCCGAUCCUCCGAGCGCGCGAACAUCCCACUCUGGUCGAUACAAAUGCGACUUCCCAGGACACGUCGCCGACCCAUUCAUUUUUAUUGCACAUGCGAAAGCGAAACAAAUCCCUUGACAACAUCUAACUUGGGAUAAAAAAGCAGGCAAUCAAUCACAACCAAACAAGCUUUCUUAUAAACACAUAGGUUUAUAUACAACACUGGAUUGUCUACAAAAUAGACAGGCUCAACAACUAGGGAACUGUCCUAUGACCAACUUGUCAGACACAUUCCUCGAUUCUUCAGCCUCCACCUUCCGAACUCCAGGACUUCCGGUCCUCCACGACCGUCAUCUAGGGACCUGAAAUAUUAUCCCACAACCGGGAUGAGACUACGUCUCAGCGAGUCCUACCAUCUAAAACUCAAUUAGGAAGAAAAUACGCCUCAGGGCGCUCUAGCCACACAAAUAGGAUAGUGGGCUUACCUCGCCUCAGUCCAUUUCCUGCACGUCAGUACAAUUCAUAUUCAACAAUACUCGCACAAGCUGAAACUACCGACAUACCCAUCGGUCUAUCAAUUCAGUCAAUCCAAUUGAUAUCAUACGAUCCACACAUCUAUCAAUUCAUAUCAUCUAUUAAACCAUACCAUCUAUUCAUCCAUCAAUACAAUUACGGCUCGCACAAGCUGAAAUGGAUGCAAUGCUCUCACAAUCUGAUAUAGAUGGUAGCUCGCACAAGCUGAUAUAUACAUAGAUGAUAGCUCACACAAGCUGAUAGAUAGAUCGUGCUCGCACAAGCUGAUAAAACGAUCUUAGCUCACUAGAAGCUGCCACAAUAUUCAAUAUAGUAUACUAUAGCUCACCAGAAGCUGCCACAAUAUUCAAUAUAGUAUAAUAUAGCUCACCAAAAGCUGCCACAAUAUAUGUAUAUUAUAAUUGCUCGCCCAAGCUGAUACAUAUAUAUAUAAACAAAUGCUCGUCAAAGCUUAUCAUUCAAUAAUAAACCAACUCAUAUCUCAAUUCAAUUAAUCAAUCAAUCGAAUCGAUUUAAACUGGUCAUACAAACCAAUUACGGUGCUAAAAGCCAACACCGGGUAUUUUCAAGUUAAAUACCACAACUUCAUCAAUUUCACACAAUUCCACACUUUUGGAAUUAUUAACCAUAAUCAUCAAUCACUCAAUUUCUCAAUUUAAACAUACAAUUAACACAAACCGACUGCACUGCUGCGAUCAGCGCGAAAUUCUAACAACCGGCCAUCCCGGCAUAAUUUUCGAAAUUAUUAAAUAAUUAAAUUUAAUUCCGAAAAUUAAAUAAUUAAAUAUUAUAUUAUACUAAUAUAAUUUAAUAAAAUAAUAUUUAUAAAUUCGAAAUAAUUAAUUAAUUAAAAAAUAAUCAAUUAGGGCUUAAACAAGAUUACACUAAUUUAAUCAUACAAUUAGCCCUAAUUAAACACCAAUUAAACUAAUCAUACAACUAAUCUAAUUUACAUUAAAAUAAUCUAAUUUAAUCACAUAAACCUAAUUAUACUAAUCUAAACACCCCUUAAGCGUCAUUAACUCACUAAGCAAGAAUUAGAGGAUAAACUCACCGGAUUAACGAUCCGAACGGCUCAAAACGACAAGGACGACGCGAGGGUCGAUAGUCUCCAAGGCGGGCCUAGCUUCCGGGGUCGGGAAGCCGGCCAAAACGGGCCAAAUAGCCGCUGUCAUACCCAUUUUCCAACUCUCUGUCCGCUGCUGGUUGAGGCCGAAAAUGAGCAGAUCCGGGGCUGGUUGGGGUCGAGAAUGGGCGGAGGAGCUGCAGCGGUGCCGUGCGGCCAACGGCGGGGCCUCACGGUGGUCGGAGGUGGCUAAUCCGAGGCUGGUGCUAUCCGAACAGCCUCCUGGACGCACGAGCAGAGAUCGACAAAGACGGUCGGGCGUGCAACAGGCGAACGGCGACCAGCGGACUUGGCAGGCUGUUCCGGAAGCUGGACGACGGCAGCAACUACUCAGGCGACUUCAACAACAUUCAGGGGAGCUCGGGAAAUGGCGAAGAGGCCAGGGCGACUGGCGCGAACGGCUAGGACGCGUGAACAGCGCGCGAGCUGGACGGCGGGCGCGGGAGCUCGCGGAUGGACGGACGGCGGGCAAGCGGUGCGCGACGGCGGUUCGACUGGACUGCUGGCUGCUCCGGCGUCUUCCCAGAUCUGCUGGGACACGAGCAGCAACUGGAGAUGGAGAAGAGAGGGCUUCGACUACGGCUGAAGAGGGAGAGGGAGACGGUUGCGCGCGGUUGGACGAGCGACGGUCUCCGGUGGCUUGCGGUGGCGUUCUGGCGUGAGGCGUGCGACGAUGGGGCUGCUCGGCGGUUCUUCUGGUCUGCUGAAGUCUCGCACAGCAGGGAGAGAUGGAGAGAAGCGACGGAAGAGAGAAGGGGAGGAAGAAGAAGACCGGUUCUCUCUCUCUUUUUCUCUUUCUCUUUCUCUCUCUCUUUGGCCCCACCAUGACCUCAUGGAUGAUGUCACAAUCCACUCACCCAAUCCUCCACAACCUCUUCCAAUGGUUGCAAUUUCAUUUUCCGCCGGGGUCCAAUUCUUGUACACUUAAUUUAAUCAAUUCUCAAUCAAUUCCAUUCAAUUGAAGCUCAAUUAAAUUAACCCAUGUGUCCUCGGCCUUCUCAUGACAUUUCCCCGUCAAAUGAUCCAACUUGCAUCCCGAAGAUUCGAUUAAAAACGGCCCUCUGACAGUCCCGAACAUAAACGGCCUUACUUUGCUUUUCUGCCAAAAAUCUCGGUUUGUAGAAAAAUCUUCUGGAGAUGAGUCGACAUUCCUAAAAUGAAUUGUGACUUGACAGAACUUCCAAUUUCUGUAAUCGGGUUCAAUUUCACGGUUAAAUUCAAUCCGGCGCGACUUUAGCGCGUCCUAAUCUACUGGGUAGCUUUUAGGAAUUUUCUGUGCAAUUGACCUGUGGUUGAUUAUUUUCAAGCCACAAAGUGCAUCUUCGACACAUUGGCGACUCUUGAUUGUCGUAGAAAUCUCGAGGUUUCAAAUACAGACACGGGGUACCAAAACGAUAGAGAAAUCGGUCUAGUGCCGAUCAACAAGAAUUGUGCAAUUAGAUGGAAUCACCCAUACUGAAUUACAUGGUUCUGUUGAAUCGACCUAUCUCCGGUCUCUAAUCGGUCUGUGCCGUAAUGACCAUUGCAGAUUAGUACGGUCGAGCAGUCGUUUCCUGGUCGAAUUCUCAAGUCUAUUGCGUUUAGAUUCCUUAACGGCUUCACCUGAUAGACUAGUUAUCUCGUGAGUGAUCAGCUCAGAGAAGAAAGCUAUAGACGCGAAGAUGAAAUGCCCGACUUAUUUAAUUGAAACCAGAAUUGGAAAAUCGGGAUGUCACACAAAUGUAUUAUAAAUGUAGAAGGAAAAGAAAGCUCUAAGAGCGGUCAUACAUUGCCAUACACCAUGCCACGUGGACCAGGAGAAGGGUGGCAGAUGACAUCCUAUCACCAUUUUCAAUUUCCUUAGAGAUUAAAAAGCCUUUAUAUGACGACUCAUCCAUAUAAAAUCCAAAUCACAUACUAUUGCUCGAAAGGAUCUGGUAAAGUGAGAGAGCAUAUAUGCUAAUGAAUAGGGAAACUGUGACUUCUUGCUUUUGGCUGGCAGUAGUUAGAUCUGCUGAUUCAUAUACCAAGGCUCACAGAUUUUGCAUCAGCCAGCACAAUGUCAUGAGCUCGGAGCUCUUAACUUCUGAUGAAUUUAGUUCGGAUUACCAUCACACAUUACUUUUCAAUUCCAUUUCAAACAGUGUGUUGUGCAUCCCCAAGAAAACAGUCCACAGUGGCUCAUAAGUAUAUGAAUGCUCCUAAAAAGUAUUGAUAGGCCAUCAUAAAUGGAUAUCUACAAAAACUAUAUAGUUAUUUUUACAUGCCUCUGUAAGAAUGUUAAGAAAGGGCAUUAGCUUCCAUUUAUAGCACUCUGAUAACAUUCAAAAUUGCACCCUAUAAUGAAUUCAUGUUGGUAAGCCACAAAAACCUCAAAGGAAAGAGAGCAAAAAGAAAGAAAGGAGAAGAAAUCAGUACACAAGGAAGGCAUGACAUAAUUUUCAUUUAAAAGCAUUAUCAGAAAGCCAUAAUUUCAAGACCCUUCUCCAACACCCAGAUGCUCAGUUUCAUUUCCUUGACAUCACGUAAUACAGUGAUUGACAUAAAUUUAAACUCAAAAAAAGGUUGAUAUAACAAGCUUUUGAGCAGACACUCACCUCCGCUGUGCUCCUGCCUUCUCGAGCAUCGUAAUUGAUGUUGACAUUGACCUCCAGCUAACAAGAAACCCCAGAACACAUAAAUCAGAUGAGAACUAAUAAGAAUGCAUUUCUGACACCACAUUCUCUGGAACUUUCUCACACGAUCUAACUAGCCUCCAGGAUCUUCUGAAGAGAGGACCUAAACGAAAAAGCACUAGUUGAUUGUGUUCAUAAUGAGUGGAUCUUCCUUGGGUUUGAUAAAAUGAUACGGGAAACCACAGCUGGAUCUUUCAUCAAUAAUAACUGAAGAUGUCACACAAGAUGUGCAGUUGAUUUUUAACAACUAACCCUCUCCCACUCAAAAGGAGUUUUAUAAUUACUAAAAUCUACGUGGAGAAAAAGAAUAUAGGCAGACUUGUCCUUUCAGCAUUACCUCUUCUCAAGACAACUCAACAAACAAACAGAAAAUAGUCGAAUUGGAAAAAAGAAAUCACAUUGCUAGAUUGAAUACAUCUACUUCAACAUCUCAUAAUUCCAAUUCUUCAGGGUUAAACUCCCUCAUGUAGCACCGUACCGCAGGAUUUUUCAGUUCGUAAAUUAUCCACUUUAAGUGCAUAUUCAAAAAUCAACAGAUUGAAGCAAGAGAUACCUCAUUCUCAGGAAAUUCACCCACCACCAUUGCAAUAUACUGUUUCUGCACCAAACCACCUUCAAUCUGAAGAUAUUAAAUGUCAGUUGAAACUUAAAUUUUAGUCCAAGUAUCAUAUGUACCUUGCCACAUCACGAAUAUGAUGUAUAAACACUUAAAAGUAUAUAAUAGGAUAUUCUAGAUAAUUUUUACUCAAGGGAAUGAAGUCAGCAGCAGAAAUAGUACGUGAUAGCACUACUGGUAUUAGGAAAAACAGUCACCACACACGGAUUAGAACUCUACAGGCUUAAGAUAUAUACAAAGGAAAUGCACAUCACAGAAAGAAAAUAUAUGACCUCUUUAAGUCACUCCAUAAGGUAGACGUACAAGACACGGUAUGACGAUAUUACAAAUGAUGAACAAGAUGUCGCAACACAGCAGCAUGCUCAGAGAACUACCACUACCCUUGUCAUAAAUGUAAGAGAGCCCCACUUCAUUUAGGCAAUUGACCACCCACAUAGUAUUGAAGCUAAUAGGAAUUUACAUUAGUAAAGGUUCCAAAAGCACGCUUUUCAAUACAACACUCACCUGUUGCCUGAAAAGAUCUGCUUUUGACGCGUUUCUGGCAAAUAUAAGGAGUCCAGAGACAAGGCAAUCUAGUCGGUGAACAGCUUGUAUUAUAACAUCAAGAGGACGUACGAAAUCCAUAAUGUGGAUGUGACACCAGAUAUAGGUCACAGGAUGGAAAAAGAGUUAAUGAUAGACAUCAAGAGUCACAAGGAAACAGAAUAUGCCCAAUCUGAUUUCGAUAGAGCCAAGAAUGCAUAUGCAUUUGAAAGAGCUACUUAGGAUACGAAAUAGGGGUGCCAGCCCAUGCUCUGCCUGAAGGAUGCCAACCACAGUGUUUUUAUGAUACUGACCACACGGAUGCACCUAUAAACAAGUCGAAAUUUCUAUAAACAUAGAUCCUAUAAGGCCAAAAGAGCUAGCUAGGCCAAGCAAGGCUGCUGUAACCAUAUUACUCUCUGAAUCUCAUCAGUGAUUUUACAGCACUCAUGCAAAAUCCACACGAAAUCACUCUUUUGUUGUACAUUUGAAAUGAGGGAAAACAUAAUUGUGUUGUUCCUUACUGGAAUAGAUGCCGGCUUACAAACAGUCACCACAUCUGGUUCUUUCUGUAGGAUGGAGACACCAUGGCUCGUCACAGGAGGCUCAUGCCUACAACCUUAUCAAGAUUAAUGCAUAUUCAAAGAAUACCCUAAAACUUCUAACAAAAACUGUAAAUUAAGAUUAGAAUUCUCAACUCGUGGGUGAAGAAAGAAUAAAGAAGCCUGAAGAAACAAAAAAGGUAAAGAAAGGGAACCUAAGCAAAAGAAACUGAUGCAGCCAAAGGUCUAUAUUAUCGCUAGAUCACAAUCUUGAAAAGCAACAUUUGAUAAGGAGAUCAUAGCAAGUGUGAAGCUCAAACCAACCUGUGUACAAAGUGGCUUAUUUUUUCAGACGAUUUUACAAUGUAAGAGACAGGAACUACCCUCCCCCCUACUUGUAUCCGUCCACAUUCGACAGCACUGACCUACAGGUUAUAACUAGGCAUGGUUAAAAGUCAUGGUCACAUGCAGAACUAAACAUUCGUUAUGCAACGAAGAAAAUGCUUACAUAAUACUCAUAAGGUCUGCCUUUGAACUCGCGGGCAAACAAAUCCACGAUGGUUUUGCCAGCCCAGCGGCUCUUGACCUAUAAUACAUCAUAAUUCAUAACAAGAAAACUAGCCAAAUUGAGAGCUCCAGGUUGAAGCGCAGAAGGGCUUCACGUCGGUCUAGACAAAAUAAAAGUUUGAUCACAAGUAUGCAGACCACUCCACUCCAGAAGAAGAAAGACGAGAUAGCGGACGACUCACAUGAGAGAUGAACUCGAAGUGGUAGGGUGCAACGUAACGCCUCCCUGCAUUCUCUUAAUAAAUCAGUCUUCUUUUUGCUCCCUCUACUAGCAAGAAUCCCUACAACAUUGGAGAGCUAUUACUAGAAUUUUUGGUUAUCUUAAGAGAACUAAAAAUUUAGGAUUGUUCUACAAUAAUUAUCCGACUGUAUUAGAAGGAUACACCGAUGCUAGUUGGAUUACAAGUGUGGGAGAUGAGCGUUCCACUUCUGGAUGGAUCUUCACACUAGCUAGAGGUGCUGUAUCUUGGGCGAGCAAGAAACAGACAUGUAUAACUCACUCAACAAUGGAAUUUGAAUUUAUUGCUUUGGCGGCAGCUGGGAAAGAGGCUGAAUGGAUUAGAAAUUUGUUGUUGGAUAUCAAAUUAUGGCCUAAUCCUAUGCCUCCUAUUUCUAUCCACUGUGAUAGUCAGGCCACUUUGGCAAGAGCCUAUAGUAGCACCUAUAAUGGUAAGUCUAGACACAUUAGUCUAAGACAUGAAUAUGUGAGACAAUUGAUUAAAGAUGGUACCAUAACAAUUGUCUAAGUGAGGUCAAGUAAAAAUCUUGCCGAUCCUUUGACGAAGGCUUUACCGAGACAUAUGAUAAUAACGACCUCACAAGAAAUGGGGCUGAAACCCUUUAAUUCAAAAUCACCAAUAAUGGUAACCCGACCUUUUUCUAGAACAUCACUAUUUACAAGGUUUAAUGGGUAAGAACAAGUUAUUGAAUGUGAUUGUUGAUACUGACAUAGCCCUGAUAUGAGAAGUCAGUAUUGUCUGUUACGUUUUGUAGGUUAAAUUGAAUUCUUAAUGAAGUAUGAUACAAAUUUGUAGUGUGUUGAUAGUAACAGAAACACAUGGUAGAUAUUUCACCUAUAUGAGCUUAGAAGUGGUGCCGCUUCUUACGAAAGUGAGAGUUGCUUUCUAGAGAGCUCAUGAAACAGGAUCAAGCACAAGGCCAUAAUAGUGUGGAGUAAUAUAGAAAUUCUCGCUGAAACAAGAGAUUAGUGUAUGUGUGGUAUGUCCGGUUCUAUUACAUAAAAGUACAAGUUUAAAGCCGAGCUACUUGUCACUUUGAUAGAGCUUUGAUAUACUUGCACUAAGUAAAGGUUUAACUCAAAAGAGACCUUUAUGUAUGUAUAUUAAUCUUACUGAAACUUUGGCUGUAUAGUUUUUAAAAUUUUAUUUUUAAAUCUUUGUUUUACAAACAAAGUGGGGGAUUGUUGGAAUUUUGUUUGUUAAAACAAAAUGAGUGCGUUUUACUUUGUCCCACAUAGAAAAAGUGGGAGCAGAAUGAUCAGUUUAAAAAUGUGGGAUUUCCCUUUUGUAGUUAAAGGAGUAAUUAGGUGGGGCUAGACCCCACCAUACCUGCGUGCGGGUGCGCGAAUAAUUGCACGCCUGCGCGCCCGCGGUUUAAUUAGCAUUAAUCCCUUGCUAUUUAUCUAUUUAUUUUUAUUUUAUUUUAUAUUUUUAGUUCAAAGGUUGCCUUUUAAUUUGAGAAUUUCGGAAAUGAAAUAUAAAUGAAAAUUCGAAAUUCUAUUUAAAAAUAAAAAAAAUUAUUCCGAAUUUUAUUUGUGUCUUUUCAAGACAACCUUUGGAAAAUUACUUAUUCGGUUUUAAUUUUUCCGAAGGAUUGCAAUUGUUCGUUUUUCGACUUCUUCCGAAGAGUCGCAUUUGUUUAUCCGAACAAUUUUCUAAAGACGUGUUUGUUCGCAAUUCUCACGAAGAGUUGCAAGACUGUUUUAUAUAUAUACUUGUCAUUUUCGGAAAGAAAAGUGUGGUCAAUUUUCGAGUCUUCUUUCUAAAAAACUGCAGCCAAUUUUUCGAUUGUUUUCCUAGAGAGACCCUGGAGAAAUACUAGAAUUGCUAUUUAGUAUUCUCAUUCGAGACUUUGUUGUAUCCUGGAGGAUUUUUGCCGGUGACCAUUAACAACGUUGUGGGGCAAAUAAAUCCUUAAAGAAAGUAAUAUCACGCCUCAAAGUCCGAGUUGUUUUACUCGAUCCGAUUUCAUUGUACUACCCAAUUUCGAAGCAUAUUUUACCAACAAGUUUGACACGGGUUAAGUCGCGCAUAUGCAUCCACUAUUGUCUUUCGAGUAGCUAGUUAAGCUAAUUUAGUUCUUUCUUGUUUGUUGUUAAUGCACGUGUCGAAACUUGUAUAUGCAAGUGGUGAUUAAGAGCGCGCGCUUAAGUGCUCUGGAAAUGCAAUGUUUCAUCUAGCAAUAAAAAUCAUUCGUGUCUCAUUCCUCUUGUGAAUGAACUCAUUCUACUGUUUCUUUGAUCCGUAUUUCGAAAAACAAAAUAUUUCUAGAUCGCUCUGUCAAUGGUAAGUUUGCCUCAAUUCACCUAUGAGAUCAUGACUCACGACUUGAAUAGAAAUCGCCUGUCAAAGAUGCGAGAAAUGAUUGCACGAUAAUCUUUAAUUUACUGUUAGAAUAACAGUCUAUUAUAAAUCUUAAAAAAUCAAAUAACAAAUAAUUAUAAAUUAUUAUGUAGAGCAUUUUUUCAAGAAUUUGUGACUCAUAAAAUACUGUUAUUCUCACAAUAGUUCAAAGACUGUUAUACUAACAAAACCCGAAAGAUGUUAAUGAUCUACCUCCCUUAGAAGCAGAGAAGUCCACUCUUUGGAAGACUAAUAAUAAUACAUAUCAUCGUUGAAGUUAUUUAGUGAGCAAAGUUUCAACAAAAGCGAUUUAAGGACUUGAUUGAUGGCAUUAAUAAACGUCUAGAUGGCCUUAAAUAACAUAUCUAGCGCCAUUCAGUGCACAGAAGUCGCCAAAAGUAAUUCCGGCACCACUGUUGACAAUACUAUGGGCGGCAUUUCUAUGUUGGCUAAAGAUCUUGGAGAUGUGUAAUUUAUUGAAGGGAGUGCUCGAAACUUGACUUGAGCUCGAUUGGGUAGUAGAGUUUUACCAAGCUCGACUUGAGCUUAAAGAAACUCAAUUUUGUGGAGCUUCAUAAAGCUCGAAUAUCUUCCUUGGAUUUUCAUAUAUGUUUGGAUAUUCCGUGUAACCUCAAUGAACUCCAUAUUUGAUUUUAUCGCAAUUAUAAUUGCAAGCUUGAGCUUGACUCAUUAUGAGAUUCGAGUAGCUCGAGCUCGACUCUAGAUCAAACAAGUUGAUUUGAUCAAGUAAUAUAUCAUUGAACCGAGGCCCAAGGUACAUACUCACGAGUACUUGACUCGGUUUAUAGUGACGAACACAAUAGGCUCAGGGAUGAUUACUCUCUUGCUUGGGCAAUAUUUUCUUCCACACUCGGCGGAGAAAACUUUCCUCAAUCAAGCUUUGCAUUGGUCGUUCACAAAGAUGGACAUUCUGACGAAGUUCGCACUUAGGAAACCCAUUUUGUAGUGAAGUCUUUUCUCAUAGAGCUAAUUCGGAGAUUUGCUUCGGAUAUGAUCCAAUUAGCGCGCAACAAGAAAGCAACGCAUUAUCGGCAACUAAAAGGGAAAGGAAAAGACCCAAGCCUAAGCACAAUGGUGGGUUGGUCGGUGUCUCGCCGCAUAAAUCUUAUACAAUAAGGUUGGACACGAGAAUUCACGUACGGAGACGGCUGUUCCGCGCAAAGGUAGGCACGAGUCAUGAAAUGACAUGAAUUCUUGCAAAUAUUAUCGAGCAAGAUGUGCAGAGUCCCAGUCCGAUUGGGAUCCCCUGCCUAACUACAUAAUCGUUUGGAUGUCGGGAAAAGUACCAAAAAAGUCUUAAAUUUAUAGUAUUGAUACUAAUUCAAUCAUAAAUAUUUUCACAUUGAUGUCAAUUUAAUUCAUCCAGUCAAUUUUAGCCGACUAAUGCUGACGUGAACACCAGCCGUGGGUGGCAAUUUUUAAUAAUUUUUUUUUCGAAUUUUUUAUUAACUUUUUUUUUCUUUUUCUUUCCUUUUUCCUCUUCUUUUUUCUCUUCUUCCUCCUUGGAUUCCUUUCGGUGGCCAACGAGCCGCCAAAGGUUUGGUGACCACUGCCAGAGAAGAAUGCCAAGAGGAAGAAGAGGAAAAAGAAAGAAGAGAAGGAAAAAAUUAAUAAAAAAAUUAAAAAAAAAAAAUGGCACUGGUCGCUGCCAAGUUAAAAGAAACUUUCACUGCAUCGUAUUUCAGCGGCGAUCGAUCGAUUGAAAAGAAGAGAGAAGGGACAUCUUCGCGAAGGAAAGUACUAACGUAUAGUUCAAAGUGCUAAUCAGAUCAAUUAUGGCUGCUUCCUUUGACUUUAUCAAGCUUCCUUUCCUAGAAGUUGCUUUCGAAAAGCAUAGACUUUUUGAUGGAUUUGCCCCCUCCGAUCCUUCUUUCGAAUUUCAACGGGGACCUCAUUAACAAGAGAGCCCUAUAGAGCAGUCGUCAUUUCGAUUACUUGCUUAGUGCUAACCAAGAGAAGUGCGGUAUUAUAAGCUUGUUUAUGUUCAUAUGUUCACCAAACAAAGCGAUCAAUGCCGUGUAAAGUUCCCGAAGUGGCGUGAAAAGGGCCCCAUCUUCUCCAACGCAUGUGAAGAAGAUCGGAGCGUCCUGUGGCGCAAAAGGAUGAGUCAAAAGGCUUACCCAUUGAAAUAUUAUUACAUAAUCAAAAGGUUCAGGAUUAAAUUGGUCCAAUUAAAAGGUUUAAGACUGAAUUGGUACCAAUGUCAUAGAUUUAUGACUUUUUUGAUAAUUUUCCCUUUGGAGGUCUCUAUUCUCUACUUAAUUAUUCUCGCGUGCCCUUGGGCCCUUCAUCAUGACUCAGUGAAUUAUAUCUUUGCUUUUGAAACUCGCAUGAUUAAUACACUUUUAGGAAAAACGUAUUUGUAACGCCCCAUCAGAGUUGCACAAAAGCUUUUAGCUUUUAUUUGAAUUUUCUAAUACCCCUCAUGUAUAGGGUGGAAAUAAGUAAUUGGGAAACAAAUAGAGGCCCAGAAAAAUUUGAAAUGAAGACCUCAUAAUCUGAUACGAUAUGAGCUUUUUUGGGAUUUUUUUUCAAUUGUUUAAAAAUUUAAACUGUUAGACAAAAACGUGAUUUAACAUAUAAAUAUUCUAAAGCAUAGAACUUGAUUUUAGGCUACAUGAUUCAUCAAAUGAAGACACAUUCAUGGUAUGUCGCAACUCAGCCUUAUGGCCCGUUGGUUCAGCUUUGGGGAAAUGCCCUUGGGAGAAUGCAAAUACCUUUGGGGUAAAGGAAUUUUUCGAAAUGCUAAACUGUUUGGUAAACUAUAACUAAAAGGUGCUUUAGGGAAAUGCAAGACUGUUUAGUAAACAUAUAUUUGAAAAGUCAUUUAGUGUGACCAAAUUGAUUUUUUAGUUUUAGUAUUUUUAAAAUUGCAAAAAAGAAACAAUAACUUUAUAACAUUUUACAUUUUCAUGUUGAGAGUAAUGUAAAAGAUAUAUAUUAGUAAGUUUAUUUAAAAAUUAUAUUAAAAGAAUUUGAUUAUAGAUUAGAUGCAAAGCUCAAUUUUUGGCCUAGGGUUCUUUUAGGUUUGUUUUCAACUUUGAAUAAUUUUUUUUUAAUUAUUGUAGUAUUAAUCAUCUUUGUUAAUUAAUGAUCAUUCUAGUGUAUUGAUAAAAAGUUGGGCUAUUGAUUGUCAAAAGAUACAAAUGACAAAAAAAAAAAAAAAAAAGCUGAACCCAACAUUUGCAAAGGGUUUUUAUUUAUAAAAAAUAAAAAAUAAAAUCUGAUGAAACUCCGUCGUCGAUCAACGGCAGUUGGGGGUGUGGGGAAGAUGAUCGGUUUAUAAAAAAAAAAAAAGUCAACGGAUGAAUAAUAGAGGUGGACUUGCAUUUCAAAGGCCAGCAUUUGGACGCAUUUGGCCAAGGACACCUCCAAAUGCUGAACCAAACACCUAAUUUUUUUCCCAAUGGGCUUUCGGGGCUGAAAGCCCCUUGGGAAUGCUGAACCAAACAGGGCCUUACCACUUAGACCAAUGACCCACUAAUUAACCACAUAUGAUCGUACAAAUUCCAAGGUUGAUAGGGGCACCCAUUCGAUGUCAGUCACCUAACAAUAUACUAUUAAUUAUCCAGACAGUUAGCAGAUGAUAAUGGUGGCCCAUUUACGCACUCCAUGUCCCAACGUCCAAGCACUUAUUUCCAGACUGCAAAUCCCUUUUGCUAAAGAAGAUGUUUCAUGUCAGAUGAACUUAAACUUUCGAUUCUCAUACCGUUCCCCUAUCACAAUCGAAUAUGAAUGUCAAGACUCAGUUAGUUUCCCUCUCUUAUAAUUUUCCCUUCAUUUCGAAGAAGUGCUUUGUUAGGGGCCUAUUGCUUUCAACUCUGGCAGAGUACAUGAUUCCAAAUUAUAAAUGGAUGGUCCUAACCCGAACUUCAUUCGAUGUCCAAUUGCAAUAUUUGACCAGCGUUGACUGAUAGAUAACAUCAGGGUGGUGUUGUUCUGGAAAAGAUGUCCUCGUAAUGGAUUUGUGGCAAAGUGUGUUACUUCAAUAAUCGAUGUACUUCGCCCACACUGUUGCUUCAAAAGUUAAACCUUUUUUCCGCAAUCGACGACACUUCCAUUAAUUUGGACAAUGAUACUCCUCCCAAACAGAACAUUGACACAGGCACGUGCAAUACCAUUAUAGAGAAGAAAAUUCUUUAUAAAAACCUAAAAACCUAUUAGACUUGAACCAAUUCAAUCUUAAACAUUUCAAUAAUUUACCAAUAUUUUUUUAGUUGGACAAUUUUGUCAAUUGAAUUAUAAAUCUUUUGACAAUAUGCCAAUUGACUCCAUUCAACCAAUUUUAACUAGGUUAUCACUGAUGUAUAUAUCAAUCAUCCUACAUGAUGCCAACAUAAACAACUUUUGUCAUUUUUAAAAAAUAUUUUUUAUUUUAUUUUUUUUUCUUUGCUUGUCGGCGAGAGUCACGAGCAACCCUUGCCCACCACGAAGGCUUCACUUAAGGCAUUGCCUUGUCAACUGCAAGUGAGGGCUCGAAGGCCCUCACCAAAUCUAGGUGAGGCUUCCCCCAGCUAACGAGACCACCAAGUCAAAAUGGGCUCAACUGGCAAAUUGACAAAAAGUUACAAAAGUUAUCCACUUUAAAAAAUAGCAAAAGAAAAAAGGAAAAGAAAAAUAAAAAAAUUACAAAAGUUAUCCACUUUCAUGCUACCGGUGCCACGUACAAAAAUUGGUCAAAUGGAUUCAACUAGCAAAUUGUCAAAAAAUUAUAGGACUCAAUUGGUAAAAUUAAAAAAUUCAGAAUUGAAUUGGUCAAAGUGUAAUAGAUUCAAAACUUUAUGAACAAUAUUCCCCCACUAUAGAAAAAUUCAUUAAUCAAUCUCAUUAAUUCACAUGCCAAUAGCCCAUUCCAUUGAUUAAUCUCAUACCAUGUGACAUCCAGAUUUUCGGAUCCUAAUUUCGAUUAAAUAAAAUUGGGCAUUUCAUCGACGCGACUACAGUGUUUUUCUCUGAGUUGGCCACUCACGAGAUAACUAGACUAGCUGGGUAAGCUAUCAAGGACUUUAAGGCAGAUAGACUUGAGAAUUCGACCAAUGACCGAGCUCUUGACCAUGACUAUUUUUAGAGGCCAUUGCGACACAAUAUAAAAUCGAAUUAAGAUCAGAGAUAGGUCGGUUUGACUGAGAUGAGUGACCGAUCGUGGAUGACUCCACUAAAUUGGAAAACUCUCGUCGACCGGCACUAGUUUGAUUUUACUGUCGUUUUGGUACCCUGUGUUCGUAUUUGAAUCCUCGAAAUUUUCACGACAAUCAAGAGUCACCAUUGUGACGAGUGGGUUCAUUGUGGCUCGAAGAAAAUCGACCAUGAGUUAUUUGUCCUAAAAAGUUCUGAAAACUACCUGGUCGCCUAGGUCACGCUAAAAACGUGUCGGAGUGAAAUUAACCAUGAAAUCGAACCUGAAUUCAGAAAUUGAGAGUUCUGUCAAGUCACAAUUCAUUUUAAGAACGUCGACUCAUCCUCAUAAGAUUUUUCUACAACCGAGAUUUUUGGCGGAAAAGCAAAGUAAGGCCGUUUAUGUUGAGGAUUUUCAGAGGACCGCUUUUAAUUGAAUCUUGGAGAUGCAAGUUGGAUCCUUUGAUGGGGAAAAGUCAUAAGAAGGUUGAGGACACAUGGGUUAAUUUAAUUGAACUUCAAUUAGAUGGAAUUGAUUGAGAAUUGAUUGAAUUAAGUGUACAAGAUUUUAUGCCACGGCAGAAAAAGAAAUUGGACCCAUUGGACUAAGGUCAUGGGAGAUUGGAGAUAGUGGAACAUGACAUCACUUGAUGAUGUCAUGGUGGGCCAUUUUUGGGGAUUAAAUAAAGAGAAAAAGAAAAGGAAUGGCCUCCCCCUCCCUUCUCUCUCCUCCCUCUCUCCUUCCCGUGCGACCACUUCCUCCAUCUUCUUCAUCUUCUUCUUCGAAACCCAGCAAGCCGAAGAACCAGCAAAGCCGGAGCCAAGGCCGUCGUCACCGCCUCACGCCGCACGCCGUCGCAGCUCCGCGACCGCCUGCACGCCCUCCGCCUUCCUCUCCCCCUUCUGCUGGUGUCGGCUUCUUCUCCUUCUUCCUUGUGUUGUUCGAAACCCAGCAGAUCUGGGAAGACAACAGAGCAGCCAGCAAGCUGCUAGACCACCCGCGACGCCUUCACCGUCCGCCGCUCGCGACACCCCGCCGUCCACGCACGCCAAGCCCGCCAUUCCAGCCGUCGUUCCUGUCUGGUGUGCGUCCAGAGCCGCUGUCCAGCACCGUGAGCCACCGCCGGAGCUUCCUCCGGCCACCGUACACCCCCGCCUCAGCCCGCCGGAGCUCCGCCUAGCCCUCUCGGCCCUUGCAUGCCCCAACCCAACUCGGAUCUACCCCUUUCUCGGCCUCAACCCACAGCGGACAGCAGCUGGAAAAAUGGGUAUGGCAGCGGCUUCGUGGCCCGUUUUGGCCGGCUUCCCGACCCCGGAAGCUAGGCCUGCCUUGGAGUGAAUCGAUCCCCUCGGCGUCCCCGUCGAUUUGAGCCGCUCGGAUCGUUAAUCGGGUGAGUUUAACUCACUAAUCCCCGCUUAGUAGGUUAAUCACGUUUAAGGGGUGUUUAGAUUAAACUAAGUAGGUUUAGGUGGUUAGAUUAGUUUAUUUAAAUGUUAAGUGGAUUAAGGGAUGUGAUUAGUUUAGUGGACAAUUAAUUAAAGUUAAGAAAAUGUUUGGAUUAAAGUAAUCUUGUUUAAGCCUUAAUUAAUUAUUUUAAAUUAAAUAAUUAAUUCGAAAUUGUACCAUUAUAAUAAUAAUAUAAUAUAAUAUUAUUAUAUUUAAUUUUCGGAAUAAAUUUAAUUAUUUAUUAUUUUCCGGAAAUUUUGACCGGGAUAGUCGGUGUCUGGAAUUUCAUGCUGAUGAUCGUGGUGAAGUCCGUUUGUUUAAUUGAGCUCCGAUUUGAGCUAAAUUGAAUUUAUUGUAAUUAAUUAUUAAUUUUCGAAAUUAAUUAAUUAAUUAAUUAAAAUUUGGAAAUUAAGAUUUAGAAGGUCGACGACCGAAAUUCCGUGCUGAUUAUCGUAGUGCAGUCCGUUUAUUUAUUUGAGCGUUAAUUUGUGCUGAAUCGAAUUAAUUGUGAAUUUAUGAUUUAUUCCUAAAUUAUCUGAUUUUGGUUUAUUGAUGGAGAAAUAACCGGGCGUCGGUUUACAGCGCCAAAAAUAUGUAAUGGGCUGAUGAAAUUGGUGGGAUAUUUUAAAGUAAAAUUAUUAUAUUUUGGCUAAGGCCAACCGUGUACCCACACACGGCUAUUUAUCGUGAAUGAUAAAAAUGAUGAAUUUACUAUAUGUUUGGAGUGGUAUACUAUAUCGGCCUUCGGGCGAUAUGUCAGCUUUGGGUGAGCAGUAUACCAGUAUACUAUAUUGACCUACGGGCGAUAUAUCAGCUUUGGGUGAGCAGUAUACCUUAUUAUUAGCUUUGGGCGAGCGAUAUAUUUAUCAGCUUUGGGCGAGCAUAUAUAGUAUACUGAAUUGGCCUGAGGGCCCUAAUCUAUCAGCUUUGGGCGAGCAUAUAUAGUAUACUAAAUUGGCCUGAGGGCCCUAAUCUAUCAGCUUUGAGCGAGCAUAUACAUAGUAUACUAUAUCUAUCAGCUUUGGGCGAGCUAUGCUAUCUAUUAUAAGCUUUGGGUGAGCAGUCCUAGACUAUGGUCGGACUUUAUAGAUAGUAUUGAAUGUACCGACCAAGGAAAGGUCGUGGUGACAUGUAAUCGAUUAAGUCGAUUGAUCGCUGAGUCGAUCUGAUUGGUGGAAUGUGAUUGUUUGCGUAGUUAUAAAUAUUAUUAAUUGAACUGAUGUGCAGGAAGGAACUGAUGCCAAGGUAAGCCCUUUGACCUGUGUUGUGCUUAAGCAGCCCUUAUGGCGUAUUGGCUUCCUAAUUGGGUCUUAGUGGGGUAGAACUUGCUGAGACAUUGUCUCAUCCCGGUUUGGGGAAACAACAUUUCAGGACCCUGAUGAAGAGCCUGAGGAGAAAGAACUCGAAGAGGAGUAUCUGAAGGAGAACCCCGAGGAUGAUCCGGAGUAGGAUCCUGAUGACUGUUGCUAUAGAAUCUAAUUGAGUAGAUACCAACCUUUUUAGCAUGGUUUGUAUAUGUACAUGUAUGACUGAGUCAUUAUAGAUGUACAUAAGGGUGUUGGUUUUCAGGUUCAAUUUUCUAGUCCUACUUAUAUAUCCCAUUGCUUGACUGUCUGGGGAUUUUAUUAAGCUUCCGCAUGCGUAUAUAAAUGAAUGGGUUGGCGACCUUCCUAGGAUAUCGCAAAUAAAUCGACCAAGUAAGGGAUGGGCGCGUGCCCGAGGAUCGGGGGGUGACAUACCACAUAUCAAUGGUCUAAUAAAAUUACACGUCGAUGGUCCAUUCCAAUGACUAAUUUUAAAUCACACGUUGAUGGUCAAUUCCAUCGACUAAACUCAAAUUACACGUCAAUGGUUCAUUCCAUUGACCAAACUUAUAUCACAUGACAAUGGUCCACUCCAUUGACCAAUCUGUUGCUCAAUAUCAAACCAUGGUAAUGAUACAACGCCUGGUGACAAGGCGACCAAGAUUCCCUCAUUGGCAAUGUCUCUAGCUAUUAGGCUAUUAGUAGCUGGUGACUCGACCCACAAGGAUAUUCUAGACUAGUAUACACACACCCACAAGCCCCUCACUGAGCUCACGGCGAUAUUAAGCAUCAAUACCAAUCCAGAACAAUACCAUCCACAAUCCACAAAGCCAAUUCGUAAAUCAUUUCAUAUAUCACCAAAAGAUUUCGCAACUCAACUUAUCCACCAAAAAUAUUUUUCAUAAAACAUUCUCAAAUAAUUUCAAGACUCUUCUCAUAACCAGAUUUUAUAAACCAAAUCAAAUCAAAAGCAUGUCAUAAGACAUUUCACAACAUAAUAUUCCAUCAUCCAUGCUCAAAAAGAUUUUCAUAAAAAGGUUUCGUAAACCCAAAUUAUAUAAUAUUUCUUUACUUCGUUCCUAAAAUAGAAUUUAUAUUUUCAUUAACCAUUUCUUACACCAUUCACAAAUACCAAAACGUAGCAAAUGCCCGAUCCAAAUUUUAUGCAACAAAUAUGCUUAUUCAUAUCUCAUAAAAUAUCAAAUAUUUGUCAUUUUGAAGACAUGAGCUUAUAAAUUCUUAUAAGAGAUAAUACUACUCACCUGGGAAAGCCGAUAAACAAAUUAUGUGGUUACUCAAGCCAACACACUCAUAUUCUUAUUAAUUAAUCGAAAAUUAUAUCAAAACCAAGUAAUAUGCUACUUUCCAACUAAUGACUCGACUGAUUUUUGCUUAUCCAUCGAUAAAACAACACCUACGCACUAAUAAACCAUACAUCAAAAGAAAUUAUUUAAGAAGUCUGCAACGUGGAACAUGAGCGCGAAACUUGGUCACGCCAUAACUUUUUCCACCAAACCCCGUUUCAAGCAUACUUAUAGUCAAUGGAAAGCCCUUCCAACAUAUUACAAGAACCCCAAUUUAGCCAACCCGAAAUCAAGCCAAAAACCAACAAAAUAUGGCCCCGAAAUACUGGUCGAGCACUGUUCAUCACGCACGAGAAACUUCAAAAUUUUGUUUUGGGCAAACCGUAAACUUAAAUCGAGUUCCGUAAAAUCCUAUAGUUCCAUAACACCCUAAACUAUCAUUUCUAUAUAUGCAGCUCAAUGACUCAGAAAUCGGAUUUCGCCGCUUGAAUUUCACAUAUUCCCAAAUUUAAAUCCUAACUUUGAAAACCAAUCCGAUUAGAAAAACCAAGGGCGUGAGCGUUUACCGAGCGUUGUAAAUCGGAAUUGGAUCGGCUCGGCAAGGCGUCCGUAGCAAGAGUCCCCUCUUUUUCCUCCUCCUCUUUCUUCUUCCUCUUUACGUUCGUUUCUCUCCUCUUUCUUCUUUUCCUUCUGCCCGAACGUGCCUCCUCCUUUUCCUUUUAUCUCUUCUUUUUCUUUUUUCUUUUUUCCUUUCCUUUCCUCUCUUCUUUUUCUUCCUCUCUCCCAAAGACUCUCAGUCCCUCUCCUUCUUCUUUCUCUUUUUUUAUUUUUUUGACUGGAUCAAAACCCAUAUUUUACAGUUAAGAGACUCUUAUCAGCUCUUAUCCCAUCAAGUGGCCAUCUCAUAUUAUAAUUCCACACUCAACCUCGAACCGAGCCUACCCACAUCGAGAGCUCUCCAGCAAUUUGGUGAACGAAAUUCAAUCGCAAAUACCAUCGAACGAAUCUGGGAGGAGAGUUUACAUGUCAAGGGUAUACUACUGCAUGAUCUCGUAUAAGACGCAUGUUACGAACGCAUGCAAUCCGCGAUAAGGUUAAUGCCGAUAUCACGGUCAAAAAAGGGCUACUCGAUAAAGCGCAACGAUAUCAUUAAAUUAAAGCCUUGAUUAGCCAUAGGAAACGAUAUAAAGACCCGAAAUGAUUCGGCAUUUAUAGCGAAAAAGGGAUACGCGGAUCGAUCUGAAGCCACCUGUCUCCCAUUUUUGGCGGAGGGGUGUGUGAAAAAGAUGGGGGUGGGGAUGGCAAGACGUCACUCCAUGAAUGGAUGGAUCGAUGGUUAUCCCCUUGACAUCUGUAGGAUUGCCCAAAUUGGCCAAGUGGAGAUCUAGCUGUGAACCGACUCAUCCCAAUCCUUCGACAUUUAGAGUAUGCAACGCUCCACCUGAGAUCUUCAUAGAAUGUACCAGGCUCUUUAAUUUAACAUAAGCAAAUACAUUCGACAUAACCUAAUGACCAACAUAAAGUUAUGUAUGAUUGCUCCUAGAGCAUAGCUUCUUGGUUUAGGUAAAAGUCAGAAGAAAUUUUCUGUGCUAUAUGUCUAUGCUUCUAUCUAAUGUCUAGAGUCAAAUUUUCUUUGCAGCGAUUUUAGCAUUACUUACUUAAAACUAAGUUCAGUAUGCUAGUAUUGCAAGUUCUUUUUUUCUUACUUCAUCUUGAUUAAUAAUCGGGAUAAGUGCACCAGAAGUCCUAAAAUUUAGUACACAAGUAUAAUCAAGUCCUAAAAAUUUAAAAAAGUGCAAUUAACAAACGGAUUUUAUUAGACCAAUUUGAUAAAUUUUAGGACUCAAUUGUACUUUUUGAAAGUUUUAGAACUCAAUUAUGUUUUCUUGACAAGUUUUAGUGCUUUCGAUACACUUACCCCUCUAUUAUUUUGACUAAAUCAUUCUUUUCUAGAUGGCCAGAUGAUUGUAUAAAGUGUUGUAAAAUAAUUUUUUUUAACUGUUCACUCAAGUAGAAACGUAGGCUGCACCCCAUUUAGUUCAACUUUUUUUAAGUAUCUAAGAUUGCUAUGUCAAUGAAGACAUAUUUAUAUGUAACAUCAACAUAUAACUAAUUUGGAUGAAGACAUGUCUAUAUAGAAAAUCAUUAUAGAAUCAAUCUCUUGCAAUAAAACAAUGAUAAUAAGAAGGAAAAUCAAUAUUAUGCCUAGGCAAGGGUUGGCCUCCUCGAUGCGAGACCGACCUUGCCAUGGCCAAGGCGAGGCUCGUUAACACUCGCCUGACUCGCCAGACCUCGCCCUCACCCAGGCAAGGCACGAUGAGGCCACUCCCACCUGGGCAAGGGUUGGCCUCACCAGAUCUAGCAAGAGGGCCUUGCUUGUCCACCCAUGGAUGGUCAACGCUAGGCCUCGGCCUGGCGAAGCCAUGCAUCGACCGACCCUCGCUUGUGGCCGGCAAGUGCGACCUUGCUAGCUAUGGCUAUGGCCGGUGGCUGAUGAUGGCCACGGAAAAAGAAAAGGAAGAGAAUGGAGGAAGGGAAAAAAAAUCAAUAAAUUAUUUUAAAAAUUCAAAAAAUUUUAUUAAAAAUGUCCAAGUUAGCGCCGGUCGCACCACAUCAGCUGGCCACCAUCCAUAAUAGUAAUUUCCAACCUAAAUUGGCCAAACAAAUUAAAUUAGUAUCAAUGUAAAAAUAUUUAGAAUUAAAUCGGUACCAAUGCAAUAAAUUUAGGACUUUUUUAGUAUUUUUCUCAUUAAAAGCAUGGACAACAAGGUAUACUAUCGUACUCAAUAAUUGAAAAAUAGAAAAAUCACUUACUUUACAGCGAGGUUGUGUGUGAUUAGGUUACUCUUAGGAGAGUAUUUUACACGCACUUUGCCAAGUUGUGGCCCUCAUAUACCAAAACAUAUGUUGAUUAGUGACUUAUGUUGUCCCCUAAUUACUUCCUUUCACAUUGAUUAAAUAUAUCAUCAUAGGUGUAUCUAAUUGAUAUUUGUACAGCUAAGCUAUAUGAGAAUGUGAUAUGCGAAAUUAAUAUACCAAAUGACAUAGCAAAUUGUAAGUAUGUAUUUAAAUAAGUGAAACACGGUGGAUAAAUAUUAUAUUACAUCAUUUGAUAUAUCAAUUACGUCAAUCAAUUUUAGUAUAAUCAGCGCAUAAAAAUCCUUUUAUCUAAAUUCCAUAUAGGCAAUGUUAACUUAAGUUCAAGGGGAGUGGUUACGUGAUCAAAAGUGACUUUCGAGUCCUAGAGAGUGUCAAAUCUUUAAACCAUGAUAAGGUGCUGGCGUCACGUACGGCGUACAUUCACCGACUACAUCAAGCCACUGGCAAUUACUAGGGGAGAUCAUCAUCUCCAUUUGCAAUAUUAAAAGAUAUUUUGGCCAUCAUCAUAAAUUUAUCUUGUAGCAGUGAAUUUAUUCCUAAACUUGUCAAUUUUAACUAAUGUAGUCUUAGAUCUUUUGACAUUUUUAUCAGUUUAGGUUAAAAUUGCUGACAUAACGCUUCUAUUAAUGCCCGGCUGAUUGCUGACAUGGACAAUAUUAUAUGAAAUGACUUUGAGUCUUAGAAAGUGUCAAACAUAGAAUUAUGUUACCUUAUGUAUUAAGUAAACACGAGGCGCUGGCGUCACGUACGAGCGCACAAUCACCUACUGCCUUAUGCCACCUGCAAUUGUUAGGCGAGAUCAUUAUCUCCAUUUGCACUAUUAAAAGAUAUUAUGGCCAUCCACGUAGUCGAUUCUUUAAAUGAUGUGAAGAUUCAUAUCUAUUACCCCACUUAAUCAACAUGAAAAUUAUCUAAAGAGUCAUAAAUUUAUUGUACGGCAAUGAAUUCAUUCCUAAACUUGUCAAUUUUAACUAAUGUAGUCUUAAACCUUUUGACAUUUUUGCUAAUUUAGAUUAGGCAUCGCUGACAUAACGAUUCUAUUAAUGCCCGGCCGAUAGCUGACAUGGACGAUCUUAUAUAAAACAACAUCAUUUUGCAUUGAACCAAGAUUAUCUGAAUUUUCUCUUUUUCUUUUCUUUUUAAUAUUUCUUGCUUUUUAUUUUUCCUAUUCUAUUGUUCAUCUUUAUCCUCUACCAGUCACAAGUGAGGGUCAUAGCCUUUGCCAAAUCUAGGCAAAGCCACCGGCCACUAUCUAAGGUAAUCCACGCUAGAUUUGGCGAGGCCGUGAUGCCCUUGCAAGGGGUGGCCAAUGCCAAGGUUGCCAUCGCCUAUGGCUGACGACUUUCGCAAACCAUCGCCAAGGCUCUAAUGACCGACGAGCAAAAAAGAUGAAUAGUGCAUUAAAAAGAAAAAAAGAAUCAAAGAAUUCAUAAAAAGAAAAAUUGCAAAAUGACAUCUUGUCAUUUAAGAUCGUCCAUGUCAAUAGCUAGCUGUUCUCCAUAGGACAUUUGGUGCUGACUAAACUAUCACAUCAACAAUUUCUAAUUUAAAUUAACCUAAUAAAUUAUAUUUAAAAAUUGUCAAGGUUUAGGACUAUAUUCGGCAAAUUGAUAAAUUUAGGACUUGAUUGGCCGCCAUACAAUAUGUUUAAGAUAUUUAGGACUACUCUCUCUUCAAUCGGCCGCCAUCAUAAAUCAUUCUAUAUUCUAGCAUAACUUUUGCCUUCCAUCUCCUCUAUAAAUUGCAAGGCCAACGUGAGCACAAUUUCCACGACAUAGCCUUAUUUGUUUUCAGCUUCGAAAUCUUCCAUUUGAAUAUCUUCAGUUUCUGAGAGGAAGAGAGUGGGAAAAUGGCCAUCUUCACGACUGACAAUCCCUGGGCGCUCACCUUUGGAGUUCUAGGUACUUUACACACGGUAUCCAACUGUUUUAUAGUUACUGUCAAACAACAGCCGAUGACUUUGUUUUGACGUGUUUGUCAACCUUUGGAUGAUCCUUGUUGUAGUUAAUACCAUAUCCAUCGUAAUCUUUCUGGCCCCAGUGUAAGUUUUUAACUCUUUCUCACUCCGUGCACACUGACAAAUAUAAGGUUUAGGACUUAUUGGAUCUUCUUUGGCAGGCCAACGUUCUGUAGGACAUGCAGGAGGAAGUCAACUGAAGGGUUAGAAUCGGUUCCAUACGUGGUUUCUCUGUUCAGGGCCAUACUUUGGCUGCACCAUCAGCGCUGUGACAUGGCCCCUAUAUGGCCUAUUCCUCAAGGACUUUUAUGUCGAGGUAUGCAUUGUUCAUCCACUUGUUAAAAAUCAAGAUGGCAAGGUGCGGCAAUAUUAUCUUCGUUCCCCUGAAUGAACGAUAUUAACAUGUGUACGUGUUUGUACAGGGUCCAAAUGUAUUAGUGGUCACCUUUGGAGUGCUUCAGACGGCACUGCAUGCCAUAUACGGGAAGGGGAAUACUAUGUGAUGGAGGAGGAGAAGAAUGAUACAAGUGUUGGGAAGCUGAGCUCUGAUAUACAAAGUUGCAAUGGGCAUGCCAUUGCCUCCCACAUCGAUACCAACAUCUUUGACGAGGAAAGAGAAGUGCGAGAGAAGCUUCAUCAUCUUUAUUGAAACUCCUAAUAAAGGACCAGUGGCCACUCCAUCUGACGUGUGACAGGCGUCUGAGUUACUCAUAUGCCUGAUUGGACUUUUUUUUUUCAGCAGCCCCUAGCUAGCUUGCUCGUUGCUUAUGCUAUGUAAUANNNNNNNNNNNNNNNNNNNNNNNNNNNNNNNNNNNNNNNNNNNNNNNNNNNNNNNNNNNNNNNNNNNNNNNNNNNNNNNNNNNNNNNNNNNNNNNNNNNNUCAACCUUCAGAUGGAGUGGCCCAUGGUCCUUUAUUAGGAGUUUCAAUAAAGAUGAUGAAGCUUCUCUCGCACUUCUCUUUCCUCGUCAAAGAUGUUGGUAUCGAUGUGGGAGGCAAUGGCAUGCCCAUUGCAACUUUGUAUAUCAGAGCUCAGCUUCCCAACACUUGUAUCAUUCUUCUUCUCCUCCAUCAUAUAGUUUUACCAAGCUUGGCUUGAGCUUAAAGAAACUCGAUCUUCUAGAGCUUCAUAAAGCCCAAAUAUCUUCCUUGGAUUUUCAUAUAUGUGUGGAUACACCGUGUAACUUUAAGGAUCUCUAUGUUUGAUUUUAUCACAAUUAUAAUUGCAAGCUUGAGGUUGACUCAAUAUGAAAUUCGAGUAGCUUGAGCUCGACUCUAGAUCAAACAAGUUGAUUUGAACGAGUAAUAUAUCAUCGAACCAAGGCCCGGGCUAUGUACUCACGGGUAACUUCGACUCAGUUUACAAUGAUGAACACAAGGGGCUUGGGGAUAAUUACUAUCUUGCUUGGGCAAUAUUUUCUUCCACCCUUGGCAGAGAAAACUUUCUUCAGUCAAGCUUCAUAUUGGUGGUUUACAAAGAUGGACAUUUUGACGAAUUUCGUACAUAGGAAAGCCCAGUUUCUACUGAAGUCUUUUCUCAUAGAACUAAUUCGGAGAUUUGCUUCGGAUAUGAUCCAAUUAGCGCGCAACCAGAAAGCAACGCAUCAUCGGCAACUAAAAGGAAAAGGAAAAGACCCGAACCUAAGCACAUUGGUGGGCUGCUCGUUGUCUUGCCGCAUAAAUCUUCUUAUACAACAAGGUUGGACACGAGAAGGCACGUACGGAGACGGCCGUUCGGUACAAAGGUAGGCACGAAUCAUGAAGAUGUGGAGAGUCCCAGUCCGAUUGGGAUCCUGCCUAACUACAUCCUCGUUUGGAGGUCCCUGUCCUCUACUUAGUUAUUCUCGCGUGCCCUUGGGCUCUUCGUCGUGACUCAUUGAAUUAUAUUUUUACUUUUGAAACCCGCAUGAUUAGGACACUUUAGGAAAAACGUAUUUGUAAAGCCCCGUUAGAGUUGCACAAAAGCUUUUAGCUUUUAUUUGAAUAUUCUAAUACCCCUCAUGUGUAGGGUGGAAAUAAGCAACUGGGAAGACAAACAGAGGUCCGGAAAGAUUUGAAAUCAAGACCUCCUAAUCUGAUACGAUAUGAGAGUUUGUGAGACUUGUCAAUUUUUUUUAAAAAUUUAAACUGUUAAAUAAAAAUAUAGUUUAACAUCUAAAUAUUCUAAAACAUAGAACUUGACGGUAGGCUACAUGAUUCAUCAAAUAAAACCACGUGCAUGGUAUGUUGCAACUCAGCCUUACCAUCAAGACCAAAGACCCACUAAUUAACCACAUGUGAUCGUACAAAUUCUAAGAUUAGUAGGGGCACCUAUUCAACGUCAAUCACCUAACAAUAUAUUAUUAAUUAUCCAAACAUUUAGCAAACGAUUAUGGUGGCCCAUUUACGCACUCCGUGUCCCGACGUCCAAGCACUUAUUUUCAGACCGCAAAUCUCUUUUGCUAAAGGAGAUGUUUCAGGCAGAGUACAUGAUUCCGAUUUACAAAUGGAUGGUCCUAACCCGAACUUCAUUCAAUGUCGAAUUGCAAUGUUUGACCAGCGUUGACUGAUAGAUAACAUUAGGGUGGUGUUGUUCUGGAAAAGAUGUCCUCGUAAUGGAUUUGUGGCAAAGUGUGUUACUUCAAUAAUCGAUGAACCUCGCCCUCACUGUUGCUUCAAAAGUUAAAACCUUUUUUCCGCAAUGGACGACGCCUCUAUUAAUUUGGACAAUGAUACUCCUCCCAAUCAGAACAUUCACACAGGCACGUCCAAAACCGUUAUAGAGGGGAAAUUUCUUUAAAAAAAUCUAAACCUAUUACACUUGAACCAAUUCAAUCUUAAACAUUUCAAUUUUAUUAAUAUUAUUUGGGUCUAGACAACUUUGCAAAUUGAAUUAUAAACUUUUUAAUAAUUUGACAAUUAAGUCCAUUCAGCCAACUAGGUUAUCGCUGACAUAGAUAACAGUCAUCCAACGUGACGCCAACGUAAACAAUUUUUGUAAUUCUUAGAAAAACAGUAAUUUUUUUUCUUUGCUUUUUUUUUUUCUGGGCUAGCGAGGGUCACCAACAACCCUUGCUCACUACGAAGGCUUCACUCAAGGCCAUCGCCUUGUCGACUGCGGGUGAGGGCGCGAAGGCCCUCGCCGAAUCUAGGUGGGUGACCACAUUGCCAAAAUAGACUCAACUAGCAAAUUGUCAAAAAGUUACAAAAGUUGUCUACUUUAAAAUAAAAUAAAAACAAAUGAAAAAAUAAAAAUAAAAAUAAAAAAAAUUACAAAAGUUGUCCACUUUCGUGCUAGCGGUGCCAUAUACGAAAAUUUGGCCAAAUGGACUCAACAAGCAAAUUGUCAAAAAAAUUAUACUACUCAAUUGGCAAAAUUAAAAGAUUUAGAAUUGAAUUAGCCAAAGUGUAAUAGAUUUAAGAUUUUAUGAACAAUUUUCUCCCACUAUAAAAAGAGAUCACAUAAAUAACUAAAGCCAAAAGCAAAGCAUAUAGCAAUUGCUAAUAAAAUAUAUAACAACACCAAUGAUUCCACAGUUGCCGGGUAAUCGUUAGAGACUCUUAUCAGCUCUUAUCCCAUCAAGUGGCCAUCUCAUAUUAUAAUUCCACACUCAACCUCGAACUGAGCCUACCCACAUCGAGAGCUCUCCAGCAAUUUGGCGAACGAAAUUCAAUCGCAAAUACCAUCGAACGAAUCUGGGAGGAGAGUUUACAUGUCAAGGGUAUACUACUGCAUGAUCUCGUAUAAGACGCAUGUUACGAACGCAUGCAAUCCGCGAUAAGGUUAAUGCUGAUAUCACGGUCAAAAAAGGGCUACUCGAUAAAGCGCAACGAUAUCAUUAAAUUAAAGCCUUGAUUAGCCAUAGGAAACGAUAUAAAGACCCAAAAUGAUUCGGCAUUUAUAGCGAAAAAGUGAUACACGGAUCGAUCCGAAGCCACCUGUCUCCCAUUUUUGGCGGAGGGGUGUGUGAAAAGGAUGGGGUGGGGAUGGCAAGACAUCACUCCAUGAAUGGAUAGAUCGAUGGUUAUCCCCUUGACAUCUGUACGAUUGCCCAAAUUGGCCAAGUGGAGAUCUAGCUAUGAACCGAUUCAUCCCAAUCCUUCGACAUUUAGAGUAUGCAUCGAUCCACCUGAGAUCUUCAUAGAAUGUACCAGGCUCUUUAAUUUAACAUAAGCUAAUACAUUCGACAUAUCCUGAUGACCAACAGACAGUCGUGUAAUUGCUCCUAGAACAUAGCUUCUUGGUAUAAGUAAGGGUCAGAAGAAAUUUUCUCUGUUAUAUGUCUUUGCUUUUAUCUAUUGUCUAAAGUCAAAUUUUCUUCGCAGCAAAUUUAGCUUUACUUACUUAAAUACCAAGUUCAGUAUGCUAGUAUUGCAAAUUCUGUUUUUAAUCUCACUUCAUAUUGAUUAAUAAUCAGGAUGAAUUCACGAAAAGUUCUAAAACUUAUUAUAAGAGUAUAAUCAAGUUCUAAGAUUUUUAAAAAGUGCAAUUAGCAAAAUGAUUUAAUUAGACCAAUUUGAUCAAAUUUAAAAACUCGAUUGUACUUUUUGAAAGUUUUAAAAUUUCAUUACACUUUCGUGAUAAGUUUUGGUGCUUUCAAUACACUUACCCCUCUAUUAUUUUGACUAAAUCAUUCUUUUCUAGAUGGCCAGAUGAUUGUAUAAAGUGUUGUAAAUUAAUUUUUUUCCUUUAACUUAUCAUUCAAGUAGAAACGUAGGCUACACCUCGUUUAGUUUAACUUUUUCUAAGUAUCUAAGAUUGCCAUGUCAAUGAAGACAUAUUAAUAUAUAACAUCAAUAUAUAAUUAAUGUGGAUGAAGACAUGUCUAUAUAAAAAAUUAAUAUAUAAUCAAUCUCUUGCAAUAAAACAACGAUAAUAAGAAGGAAAAUCAAUAUUAUGCCUCGGCAAGGGUCAAUCUCCUCGUCGCUAGACUGACCUGGCCAAGGCGAGGCUUGUCGGGGCUCGUCGAACCUCGCCCUCGCCCAGGCGAGGCCUAGCAAGGCACGGCAAGGCUGCUCUAACCUGGGCGAGGGUCAAUCUUGCUAGAUCUAACAAAGGGGGCCUUGCCUGGCCAUGCCUGGACGGCCGACGCUUGGCCUCGACUUGGCGAGGCCGACCGUUGCCUAUGGCAAGCAAGUGUGACCUCGCCAGCCAUGGCUGUGGCUGGUGGCCGGUGAUGGCCACACGAAAAAGAAAAGGAAGAGAAAGGAGAAAGGGAAAAAAAGAAAAAAAAAUCAAUAAACUAGUUUAAAAUUUCAAUAAAUGCAAAAAAAUUAUUAUAAUAUUAUUAAAAAUGUCUAUGUCAACGCCGUUCACACCAUGUUUGCCAGCCGACAUCCAUAUCAAUAAUUUUCAGCGUAAAUUAGUCAAAUGGAUUGAAUUGGUACUAAUGUGAAAAUGUUUAUGACUAAAUUAAUCCAAUAAAAAGGUUUAUAACUGAAUUGGUACCAAUGCAAUAGAUUUAGAACUUUUUUAGUACUUUUCCAUUAAAGGCAUGGACAACAAGGUAUGCUAUCAUACUCAAUAAUUGAAAAUACAAAAGUCACUUACUUUACGACGAGGUUGUGUGUGAUUAUAUUACUCUUACGAAUGUUUGACACGCACUUAGCCAAGUUGUGGCCCUCAUAUAAAGAAACAUAUGUUGAUUAGUGACUUGUCCCCUAAUUACUUCCUUUUACACUGAAUAAAUAUAUCAUCAUAGGUGUAUCGAAUUGUUAUUUGUACGACUAGGCUAUAUGAGAAUGUGAUCUACGGAACUGGCAUACUAAAUGACAUAGCAAACUAUAAGUAUGCAUUUAAAUAAGUGGGACACGGUGGAUAAAUAUAAUAUUACAUCACUUAAUAUAUCAAUUACGUCAAUCAAUUUUAGUAUAAUUAGCACAUGAAAAUCCUUUCAUCCAAAUUCCAUUUAGGCAUUAUUACUUUAGUUCAACGAAUGUGGUCGCGUGAUCAAAAGUGACUUUGGGUCCUAAAAACCGUUGAAUCUUUAUACCGUGAUAAGGUGCUGCCGUCACGUACGGGCGCACAAUCAGCUGCUGCGUCACGCCACCUGCAAUUAUUGGCCGAGAUCGUUAUCUCCAUUUGCAAUAUUAAAAGAUACUAUCGCCAUCAACGUAAUCGAUACUUUAAAUGAUGUGAUAAGUUGAUGCCUAUUACAUCACUUAAUCAACACCAAAAUUAUCUCAAAAUCAUAAAUUUAUUAUGCGGCAAUGAAUUAAUUCCUAAGUUUGCCAGCUUUAACUAAUGUAGUCCUAAACCUUAGGUUAGAAAUCAUUGACAUAACGGUUCUACUAAUACCCAAUCGAUAGCUGACAUGGACAAUCUUAUAUGAAACGACGUCGCUUUGCAUUCAACCAAGAAUAUCUUAUUUUUCUUUCUUUCUUUUCUUUUCCUUUCAAUAUUUUUUGCCUUUUAUUUUUCCUAUUCUAUUGUUCAUCUUUAUCGUCUACUGGUCAAAAGUGAGGGUCAUAACCCUUGCCAGAUCUAGGCAAAGCUGCCGACCACAAGCUAAUGUAAUCCUCGCUAGAUUCGGCAAGGCCAUGAUGCCCUUGCCAAGGGUGGCCAACUCUAGGGUUGCCCUUGCCUGUAGCCAACGACCUUCACAAACCAUCGCCAAGUCUCUGAUGACCGACGAAUAGAAACGAUGAAUAUUACAUUUAAAAAAAAAAAACAGAGAGAGAGAAUCAAAGAUUUCAUAAAAAGAAAAAUUGCAAAACAACAUUGUGUCAUUUAAGAUCGUCCACGUCAACCGCCAACUGUUCUACAUAAGACAUUUGGUGCUAACUGAAUUGCCACGUCAAUUGACAUGAUAAAUUACAUUUAAAAAUCAUCAAAAGGUUUAGGACUAUAUUCAGUAAAUUGAAAAGUUUAUAACUUAAUUGGCCUCUAUGUGAUAGGUUUAAAUUUUUUUUGACAACUCUCUCUUCAAUCAACCACCGUCAUAAAUCAUUCUAUCUUCUAGCAUAACUUUUGCCUUCCAUCUCCUCUAUAAAUUGCAAGGCCAACGUGAGCUCAAUUUCCACAACAUAGCCUUAUUUGUUUUCAGCUUCGAAAUCUUCCAUUUGAAUAUCUUCAGUUUCAGAGAGGAAGAGAGUGGGAAAAUGGCCAUCUUCACGACUGACAAUCCCUGGGUGCUUAUUUUUGGCGUUCUAGGUAUUUACACACGGUAUCCAACUGUUUUAUAGUUACUAUCGAACAACAACCGAUGACUUUGUUUUGACGUGUUUAUCAACCUUUGGAUGAUUGUUGUCGUAGGUAAUAUCAUAUCCAUCGUGGUCUUUUUGGCCCCAGUGUAAGUUUUUAACUCUUUCUCACUCCAUGCACACUGACCAAUAUAAGGUUUAGGACUUAUUUAAUCUCCUUUGGCAGGCCUACGUUCUGUAGGAUAUGCAGGAAGAAGUCAACUGAAGGGUUUGAAUCAGUUCCGUACGUGGUUUCUUUGUUCAGCGCCAUGCUUUGGCUGUACUAUGCAUCCCUCAAGUCCGAGCCCAGCGCUUUCCUGCUCCUCACGGUCAACUCGGUCGGAUGCGCUAUUGAGACUAUCUAUAUCGCUCUCUACCUUGCUUAUGCUCCUAAACAAGCCAAGGUACGUAGCUACAGCGUUGUUCGCAAAGAACACACCUAAUGUAUUCUAAUUGUUGGAGAGUGGAUGAGCAGAUGAUGACGCUGACGCUGCUGUUGCUGAAUUUCGGAGGGUAUUGUUCCAUUCUUCUUCUGUCCCACUUCUUGGCAAAGGGAUCGGUGAGGGUCCAACUUGUUGGGUGGAUUUGCGUUGCACUCUCUGUUGCAGUCUUUGCUGCUCCUCUGAGCGUCAUUGUAAUUUACUUCUAUGUGACUCCUUUCUUUUUUCUGCACAAGAACGCCUGUCUUGCAUGUCAAUGUAGGACACAAGUUGUGCAUGACAUGCAUUUUGGUUCCGACUUACAUGUGAGUUUACAUACGUGUGUACAGAGAAUGGUGAUACGCACCAAGAGUGUGGAGUUCUUGCCCUUUUCUUUAUCGUUCUUCCUCAUGCUCAGUGCUGUGACAUGGCUCCUAUACGGCCUAUUCCUCAAGGACUUGUAUGUCGCGGUAUGCAUGGUUCAUCUACAUGUUAAAAUCAAGAUGGCGAGGUGUGGCAAUAUAAUCUCCGUUCCCCUGAAUGAACAGUAUUAACAUGUGUACGUGCAUAUAUAGGGUCCAAACGUGUUAGGAGUCAUCUUUGGAGUGCUUCAGAUGGCGCUGCAUGCCAUAUACAGGAAGGGAAAUACAGUUGCGACGGAGGAGGAAAAGAAUGAUACCAGUGUUGGAAAGCUGAGCUCUGAUAUACAAAGUUGCAAUGGGAAUGCCUUCUUCAUCUUUAUUGAAGCUUCUGAUAAAGAACCAGUGGCCAUUCUAUCUGAAGUUUAACAGGCGUCUAAGUUACUCAUAUGCCCGAUCAGACUGUUUUCCAGCAGCUCCUAGCUGGCUUACUCGUUGCUUCUGCUAUGUAAAGUGCAAAGGCAUGAGCGCACGUGGGUGCUUGGAGGGGUAGAGUGUUGUUUGUGAAUGUUCAACUUGUUUUUCCUAAUAAUACAGUUAUCAGGGAGGGGUAGAGUGUUGUUUGUGAAUGUUCAACUUGUUUUUCCUAAUAAUACAGUUAUCAGACGCAUUACUUUUUCAGAAACAGAUUCAGCUACUCUCCAUUCUUUGCUGAUUGAUUGAUAUCAUCUACUUACCAGGCCAUGAGAUCUGUCCGCUCACUAAACAUUUUUUUUUCCUUUGAAAUCCAGCUAGUUAGGAUCAUGAGCUAAGAUCCGAGACACUUUGGGAGACCUGAAUCUGCCUCUUCAUCAGAAAAUAACUGGGGUCACGUAAUGCGUGCCCUGAGACGACGUAAUGCGUGCCCUGAGACGACAUUCUUACUCUCUGAUUCCAAUUUGGGAGAAGUUUGCUCAAGUGGGUAAUAAACUCACUAAGGACAGCACGUACCAUUAGGCACAGAUUCAACUGGACCGUCAACCCAGUUACUACACAAAAUCAUAGUUAAAAAGUGCUCCCAACACACCGUAGAUAUCCCUGAUACUCAACUGAGAGAUCAGAGGAACUUCCCCCUAAAGGAAAGUAAACAGUAAGUACUUCCUCAAUCAGACUGACGAUAAAAGAACUUUAGUCACAGCAAAAUGUUUCUUUUGUCAAGCAGGAUCAACAAUUGAUUCCAUCCUGUUGACACCUAAAUUUUGGUGACCCGGUCAUUCAUUUAUCUCAUACAAAAUUAGGGAUUAAUUUUUAACCCCUAAACAAAAAUAUUAGAAUUAAAUUGUAUAACAUAUAGAUUUAGGAGCAUUUUUUUUAUUGCAUUUACAUUGGACUUUCAACGGAUGAGUUGGUUCUGAGCUUUAGUGUAAUGAGUUGGACUAAUCCCAUGGAGAGGGGAAAUUAGCCCAAGCCCAGUAUUCUCUGAUCACCGAAAAUUCACUCAAAAGGAAUCACGAUUUGAUAUUUUUGGAAAAUAUUCAUAUAUUCGGUAAAUCUUCCGUAUAUUCAUGCGAUAUAUAUACUGAAUGAUAUAUUUCGUGGGGGAUCAGAAGAUUUAGGGUGAAAUAUCAAGAGGAAGACAUCUCGUUGAAUAGGGGAUAUGGGUCGAAUGAAUAUAUGUUUUUGGCAAGUAAAAAGGAAAGUGGAAUAAUCUUAUCAAUACGCAGCCAAGGAACAGAAUAUACUCAAGCAAAAAAAUAUUGAGGGAAUAUCGUUUAUUUCAUCCCAUCACCUGCCUAUAUAAAAGGGACAGGACACAGAAUUGAAUGCACAGCCAUUACACGAGAGAGAGUCUUCACAUUCAGAGGUCAAUGGUCAACAAAGAUGAAAGAAGUCGAAGGGGAGGACAAACACGAGAAGAAGAAAGAGGGAAAUUCUCUGUAUUUCUCUGUAUUUACUCAAUGUACAGAAUUGAUAUUAUAUUACAAAGUAUAUGUAAAAGAAAAGGAAAUGAAAUAAUCUACAGAUUGGAUCCGAUCUUGAUUGAUUCAAUAAUAUCCUCAUGAUUUGAUCCUUGCAUAUCUUUCCAAUAUUUCUGCGUAUCUUCCAACACUCCCCCUCAAGCUGGUGGCUUGUAGAUGUCCAAGACGCCAAACUUGCUCAAGAGAUACGCAUGCUGUCUUUGACAUAAAGGUUUAGUGAAGACAUCCGCUGGUUGUUCUUCUGUUCCAAUCCCCUGUGUCUCGAUCAUCCCUUGCUGGAUUUUCUCUCAGAUGGAAUGACAGUCUACUUCUAUAUGCUUCGUUCUUUCAUGCACGAUAGGGUUAGAUGCAAGUUUGAGGGCCGCAUCAUUGUCGCAGAAUAACUUUGUUGGUCCUCUAACCUGUACUCCAAGAUCCCGAAGUAACCCUCUCAACCACACUAUUUUACAUGUGGUUUUGGCCAUGGCUCGAUAUUCUGCCUCUGCUGAAGAUAAUGAAACAAUUGGUUGUUUCUUCAUUUUCCACGAAAGUAAAGAAUCCCCCAAUUUAAUACAAAAACCGGUUAUGGUCUUCUACUCAUUGGACAGGUUGCAUAGUCUGCGUCACAGUAUGCGGUCAUCUUCAUGUCACAUUUCCUAGAAAGAAGAAUUCCAAGUCCAGGACAUUUCUUCAAGUACUUCACAACUUUUAGUGCGGCAUUCAUAUGAGACUGCUUUGGUUUGUGCAUAAACUGAUUGAGUGUCUGCAUGGCAUAACUUAUGUCUGGCCUGGUCAUAGUUAAAUAUAUGAGCUUCCCAACAAGUUUCUGAUAGCCCAAAGGAUCUCUAAGUACGGGAUCAGCUUCCUGAGAUAGUCCAGCAUCAUAAUCGGCUGUAGUCAGUUUGAUAUUUUGCUCAAUUGAUAUUACAGCUGGCUUACAUCCCGACAAUCCCGCUUCUGAAAUAAUUUCCAAUGCAAAUUUCCUCUGGCUCAGAGAGAUUCCUUGGUCUGAUCAAGCAAUUUCGAUUCCAAGGAAAUACUUUGGCGAGCCUAUAAUGUGGAAAGUAGAAUGCAAGUAUUCCUUAAGACCCUUGAUAGCUAUUUCAUCAUUGCCCAUAAUGAGUAUAUCAUCUACAUAUAUCAGCAAGUAGAUAGAUGACAUACCUUUAGUCCAUGUAAAAAUAGCAUAAUCAAAUCUGGACUGUUGAAAACUGGCAACUAUUAGUGACUCAGCAAAUUUUGCAUACCACACUGUCUGGAGGCUUGCUUGAGUCCGUAUAAGGAUUUGCGGAGACGACAUACUUUAUUCUCCCCCUGUCUCCAUAAACCUUGUGGUACUUCCAUAUAGAUCUCCUCGUUUAAAUCUCCAUGAAGGAAAGCAUCGUGAACAUCUAUCUGAUGUAAUGACUAGUCUUGAAAAGCCGCGAUUGAAAGAAAUGAGCGAACUGUGACGUCUUUGGCGACUGGGGAGAAAGUUUCGUGAUAGUUGAAACCUUCUCUCUAUGUGAAACCUUUAGCCACUAACCGGGCUUUGUAUCUUUCAAUCAAUCCAUCUGCUCGAUAUUUGAUCUUGUAUACCCAUUUAAAUCCGAUUGCCUUGCGAUGUGAGGGUAGGGUAACAAGAUCCCAUGUUUGAUUAUCCAUUAAGGCCUUCAAUUCUGCCUCCAUGGCUUUCCGCCAUCGUGGAUCAGUGCUUGCUUCAUCAAAGCUGGAUGGUUCUCACUCUUCAGAAAUGUGAGUGAUGCAACAUCUAUGCUCCAGGGAUAAUUGAUCAAAGGAAACAUAAGAAGAAAUGGGGAAAAGAAUACCUAGUGAUUCCUAACUCCACAUAUGUAGUCUUUAGUCCAGGUAGGUGGCUGCGUGGCGCGACCGGAACGUCUAGGAGGAUCAUUCUCUAAAGAUAAAUGAUUAUCUGAAAUUUCCACAAGAGGCAAAUCUGAAGGAGGCGAAUCUGAAAGUACCUCAUCAUCCUGCCCUGGACCUUGGACUUCCAUUAAAGGUGUUAUGUUGGUAGUUGAUGUAGAAAAUUCCCUUGUAUCUGGCAAUGAAGGAAGAAAUAUAUAUCCAAAAUCUUCAAUCUUGUCCUCUAUAGAAGAAGUAGGAGAAUGUCAUGUCUUAGUGCUGCCUUUUUCUUGAGUGGCAAAUGGAAAAACAGUUUCCUGGAAUAAAACGUCCCUGCUGACGGAAAAUUCCCCCGUAGAUGGAUCAAAGACCCGGUAUCCCUUCUGUAAAGUGGGAUAUCCCAUAAAAAUGCAAUGGUGAGCACGGGGACCCAUCUUAUCCUUAGGUCCUACGAUUGUGGCAUAGCAUAGACAACCGAAGAUUUUCAGAUGGUCCAGGUCUGGCUUCUUCCCAAAAAGCACCUCGAAAAGGAGAUUGUCCGUCAAGAAUCUUGGUCGGCAUACGAUUUAUUAAAUAAGCUGCAGUCAAUACACAAUCCCCCAAAAAAUUGUCUGGAAUAAAGGCUUGAAUCUUUAAAGCCCUUGCAACUUCCAACAGGUGAUGGUGUUUCUGCUCCACCACUCCAUUUUGUUGUGGUGUAUAAGUACAUGAGCUCUCAUGUAAUAUCCCUUGUGAGGAAAGAAGGGCAGCACAUUCAUGAUUGAAAAAUUAUUUGCCAUUAUCUGUCCUUAUUCUUUGGACAGUAUUCCCAAACUGGGUUUUUGACAGAGAAAGAAAUGUCCUUAAAUUGGCCACAACUUGACCCUUAGACUGCAUGAGAAAAAUCCACGUGGCUCUGGAGUGAUCAUCCAUAAUGGUAAGAAAGAAUCGAGACCCAUCAUCGUUCGCUGUAUGAUAUGGUCCCCAGACAUCAAUAUGAGUAAGGAAAAAAUAUUUUUUGAACGACUUUGGCUCAAAGGAAAGGGACUACGCGAUUGCUUUGCAAGUCGACAAAUUUGACAUUGAGGAUAGGGAAAAAAAGAACUAUGGCCCAAUCUAGAGUGCAAAAGGAAAUUUCUAUCAUUGGUAGUCAAAUUACACAAUGAUUUCUUAUUACAAGGAAAAUGAUCAAGAUUUUUGGGCAAGCUUUUCCAGAAAAAUAAUCCUUUAGAGAGACUACCCUAGCCCAUCAGCUUCCCAGUCGAAAGAGCCUGAAAUAGACAGGUAUCAGCAUCGAAAAAAACUCGACAUGAAUUUUCCUUACAGGCUCUAGACACUGAGAUAAGAUUAAAUUGGAAGUCCGGAAUAUAAAGGACAUUGGUGAGAACAAUAUGGGAGUUAAGGGUGAAUGUCCCUGUUGUAGUAACAUAAGCAAUAUUCCCAUUUGGCAAUUGCACGGUAAUAGGAUCAUCUAAUUCUUCAUGAAUAACAGAGAAUAAUCCUUUAUCACAUGCUAUAUGGUCACUAGCUCCCAAAUCAAUAAUCCAGGUAUUUCGAGAUAUAGUAUUUGUUAGGCAAUAAGAAAUACCUAUAAAGCUGCUUCCCUUUUUUUGGACAUCUGAUUUUUGUAAAGCUUGCAUUAGUUGCUAAUAUUCCCCAUGUGUGAUAGGCUGACUUGCUAAAUUUGCUGAUCCUGUAAGUUGAUAGGCUGCUGCAGAUAUCUCUUUUCCCUUCUUUUCCUUUUCUCCAAGUCUGCCAUGUAAUUUCCAACAAUUUUCAAUUGUGUGGUGGGGGCCGCUUGCAAAAAUCACAAAAUAAUUUCCCUCUAUUUUUAAAAUUUUUCCCAUAUCCUUUGGAAAAUUUAGCACCGUUGGAUCCCUUCGAUCCGAAUCCAUCUCCACCGUCCUGAUCAUACGGAAGCCACGCGCCCUUAGGACCGUCAGAUCACUGCGUUCAAUCUUGGCCAUCCAUUCCAGCCCCUUUAAGCGUUCGCUGAUCCGCAAACCCUAGCGACGGAUCGUAGCCCCUCUUCUUCUCUAGGGUUUUUUCUCUCUUGAUCCUUACCGCCAGCGCUAGAGCUUCGGUGGCCUUGCUAUCCGACGAGGCAAGCCGCCAGUUCUCCUCUUGCACCGCAAGCUGGAAGAUCCGGCCAAGAGUGGGUGCUGGUUCCAUGGCCAGUAUCUGCGACCUGAAUGUGAGGUAAGUGUCGUUGAGUAUAAGCAGGAACCGAGUCGCCUUCUCUUUAUCUUUCAUCGCUUUGUACUGCUGAAGGGUCGUUUCAGGCCCUUCCAGCUUUUCUUCAACAGCUUUUAGUUCAUUCCAAAGGGCUGAAAGCUUGUUGAAGCAUGUCGUCACGGACAUGUUUCCCAACUUCAAUUCGCUGAGUGCUUGAUGCAGUGAGAAAAUUUUCACCCGAUCCAAUUUUCGGUACAUUUCUCGGAUGCUAUCCCAAAUAAUUUUUUAAUCUUCUGUGGGUGGUAGACUGUCGGCAAUUUCUGGGCUGAUGCAGUUCCCUAUCCAUGUUCUAACCAAUUGGUUGCAUUUUUUCCAUUGACGUCCCAUUUUUUCGUCGAUCGAGAUCAGGACGGUCCCGUCAAUAAAACCCUCUUUGUCUUUCGUGAUUAGGGAUCGCCGAAACUCCCAUGCCCAACUCGAAUAAUUUUUUGGUCCUGUGAGAGGAUGGCUGAUGAGCCGCAACUCCGGUCCGUCGGCGGUGGAAACGUAGAGCGCGUCGCCGGGUUCUGGGCGACCCAUGGCGGCCAUGAAGGGAAACGGCAAAAACCCGGGUGGGACUCCCGGGUAGUGAUUUGCAGCUUGACACAGAUUGAAUCCGCCCGGAAAUCCCGCACUUGAAUUACUUGAUCCGCCCGUCUGCUCCAAGCCGAUGGUUGAGCCUGCCCCACUGUUGGUUGGUAGGCCUCCAUCAGUUUGCACGCUGCUCUGGUAGCCCAACUGUGAUGUAACUGGGUUUGUCCCAUGGAUCCAUGGAUAUGGCAUCCACUGGUAAGGAUAGCCCGAGAAAGGCUGCCCCAGAUUAAACUAAGCCAGAAAAGUUUGUCAUUGCGCGUGUUGGGUUUGGAUCUAGCUUUGACUGAGCUGCUGUUCAGCCAUGGAAGUCACGGUGGAUGAAUAUGGGCUGUUCGAAGUCUGUGGCGUCGUGUCUCUUGCUGGCUGCUCGUCUGGGUUUGAGGUGAGAAUUUCUGGUUUGUUCAUACUGGAAAAAAAAAUCCUUCCCCUUCAAAGAAUAGUGAUUCCUUCGAUAACUCUCUUUGCAGGUUAGAAUUCCUCUAGGCAAUCAAAAUAGGAGCGGAAGCUAUGUCAGAACCUUCGGCAGCUCUAAUACCAUGAAAGAAGUCGAAGGGGAGGACAAACACGAGAAGAAGAAAGAGGGAAAUUCUCUGUAUUUCUCUGUAUUUACUCAAUGUACAGAAUUGAUAUUAUAUUACAAAGUAUAUGUAAAAGAAAAGGAAAUGAAAUAAUCUACAGAUUGGAUCCGAUCUUGAUUGAUUCAAUAAUAUCCUUAUGAUUUGAUCCUUGCAUAUCUUUCCAAUAUUUCUGCGUAUCUUCCAACAAAAGAGAGGGCGACACAUUGAAACACACUGCCACGAGAAGCCCUACAUAGCUACGACGUCUUCAUACAAAUAAAGCUUGGGCCCAACUAACGCGAUGGUUGACGCUGCUCCUUGUCCGGGACCCUGACAUUGGAACCCCGCCGCUCUGCUAUCCGAGCCCUGCCAAUGAGCGGACACUCCUAUUGAUCCCGACAUCGCCUGCUUGAAGCUGCUGCCAUUGCUGCUUACGUCCACAAACCGAGAUUCAGCAAAUUCCCGACAACGUUGUUGCUCUCCCAACGUUGCAGUUUCCUCGUGACGCUGAUCAUACGAUGCUGUCACCCAAAACCCCGUCGUGAAUAGCAAAGCCGCCGUUGUUGCCCUCUCGCUGGACCGUCAACAACCCUCCGGUCUCCAUCAACCCUAACGAGACAUCCGAGAGCCGUGAGUUCCAGAACUUGCUCAGGGAGACAAGUCAAAAGAAAUAACACAGAAAGAGGCGCUGACUGGUGAAGAACAACUGAACAAGAUGAAGCAUAAGACGUAUCCAAGAAGUAUGAGUCAAGAAGUCUUAAAGAGUUCUUCUCGGCCACUGUGAAGAUCCACGUUCAUCAUCACCUCAUCUUCACGUCCUCCACAAGGAGGAAAACGUGGAGAAAGAGGAGAGCUGUACCGCACCCACUGAGACAAUUUCCACAAGCAGAAAACGCCAAAAGGGAAGACGGUCACGACGACUCCUUCGCCCAACGCUAGUAGCAAACUUCCAUACUUCCUUGGCGAGGUUCCCUACCGUGACAGCAAAUUGCCGACACCCCUGGCGAGCAGCUGUACCGCGAGCCUUGCCGAGCACCACCACGUCGAGACGCGAGGAUCCGAAUUUGGAAGCUAAUAUUCGAAUUAGGUAAAAAAUUUGUCUAAUUUGCUUUCCGAAUAUUCCAGUUCCUUAUUUAAAAAAUACCGUUGAUGCACAUGAUCGAAGUUCAUGAUAUACGGUUCUAUCCAUAAUCUUGAGUAGCCUUCUAAAUGGGGAAAUCUUCCCAAUUUCACAACGUGCAUAUGAUUGACAAUCUGAUUUCACGCCCGAAAUAUGACUUGCAAUCGCACGGAAAAAUCGCCAAUCCGAUCCCAUGCUCGAGAUACGAUUCGCGAUUUUGUUAAAAAUUGACCAAUCCGAUCUCAUGCGCGAAAUACGAUUCGUCAAUUUAUUAGACAAAUAUCAAUCAUAUCUUGCCUGAUUUGUUGUCGUGUUAUUUGAAUCGAUUUUAUUUCCGUAAAAGAAAACCCGAAAAAAUAUAUUUGAGUUAGAUUAGGUUCAUGUUAGAAUAUCGCUUACUUUAGGGUAGUUUGCAUGUUUAAGAUUAGGAAAUUUAUUUAUUUCGAAUUUUUUAAAUAAAAAUACCAAAAACAUUAAUUUAGGAUGUUAGAUUCUCUUUUCAUUAAUUUAGAUCGCACGUUUAAUUACUAGACAAUUUUAAUUUCGAAUUAUAUAAAAAAGAAAAAGAAAACCUAGAAUUAGGGCAUUCUUUGCACGUCAUCUAGUCAUUGCAUAUUAGGAUAAGAUUGCACAUUUAAUUUAAUUCUAUAUAAUCUUUCUAAUUAAUAAUAAGUUUAGAUAAUUUUUCCUAGAUAGAUUGCAUUUUAGGUUAGGGAUUACCUAGGUAAGAUAACAUUCUAGUUUAAAUUAGGAUUUGGCCUAAUCUGAUUCCUAGUAUAAGUUGGAUAAUAUCUUAAUCUAGGCAAACAAUUCUUGCUAUUUUCUAAUUUCGAAUUUUACGUAAAAUACCAACAAAAAAAAAACAUUGUCUUAGAAUAAAUUAAUUUAUUUUUCUAUGAUAGAUUGCAUGCUUAUUAUAAAAACACAAUAUAUAUAUAUAUAUAUAUAUAUAUAUAUUAUACCUAUGUCAUGUAGUUUAGGUCAUACUACUAUGUCAUGUCACUUCAUGUUAGAUUAGUAGUAUGCAUUGCAUAAAGCAUGAUUCUCAUUAAACAAGUGAAAAUAAAAAUGAAGUGAUUGUGUUAAUUAGAAAUCAUAUCUAGGACUGUUGAUGUGAAUUCUGAUCUAACAUUACAGAUGCUUUCAUUGCUAUGAGGUAAGUCUCAUAAUUUAUUUAUUACUUUAUUUGGGUGUUAAAUUGGUGGUUUACGCAUUCGCAUGAUCACCUCACAUGUUAGGAAAGUAAAUUAAAAUCAACUCAAGCUGCUUGCAAAACAUUUUUUUCGAAAUAAAAUAGAGAGGUAUCGAAAGGGCGUUAGAGAAAUUUAACGUAAUCAAGUCCCUGAACUCACAAUCUCUGGUUCGCAGAAGUAAAGUAAAUCUCCUGUUACUUUACUUGGGUUUCUAAUCGACCCACCAAAAAUAGAUUAGUGGCAACUCCUAAUUGAAAAAAUCAUUUACAUGUUAAGAACUUGAACCUAAGUCGUUAAUUGGUAUGGGCUUGGGAGAGCUCGAGCUAAGUUUAGGCUUAGUAAUCCAUUAGCCAAACCCUAGGUGGUGCACCCAAGGUUAGGUCGCGACACAUCCUACAAACAUGAAGGACUUCAACACUAGCAAUUUCACCCACAAGGAAGCUCUUUUCUCUACAACCAAUGAGCAUGCACUUGGCAUUGGAAUACACUAUUGCAGUAGUUGAAACAAUUUUUACAGGCUUGCAAUUGCCUCUCAUUGUAUCAUAUUCUUCCAAGGCAUUUUCGAAAAGUAAAUAGCUGCAUUAUGUGAAUUUGCUACAUUUUUCAAGCAAAUUUAGAGAACAGCCUUGAGAUGAAAAUUUGGAAUGUUAUCAGACUAGCUAAGUGAUGCUCAAUCUGGAUAUGGGCACUCAUAGACCCAACUGCAUCCAGAAUAUCGUAUGCAGUGCAGCCAUAAUCCCUCCUCACUCCCGUCAUAUCUGCAUUUUGCAGAAACUUAGAAAUCAAAUCUUAGGUUCUCUAUCGUACACACGCAGGCAAGGUUGUUGUGACAUCCCCCUUCUUCCCCCUCUUUUGUCUUCUUCUUCUCUCUGUCCUCCUUCUCCUCUCCGGCCCUGUUUGGUUCAGCUUUGGGAAUGUGCUUUGGGAGUCUAAAGUCCCUUGGCCAAAUGCAAACGCGUUUGGUUCGAUUUUUUGGGCAACUUUGGCAAGAUGCAAUUGCAUCUCCAAAGGACUUUAAGGGCCCUUAGUCCAAAGCAGGUCUGGAAGUCAUUUGGGAACUUGCAUUUUCGGAAUGCAAGUUCCGGUUAUUGUUCAUCUUCUCCAAAACGCACGGAGAAGCCGAUCGGAGGCGGACGAUCGUCGGCCAAGGGGUCGCGCACGCUGGCGACCGCCGCUUGAGGGUCACCCGACCCCAGCGACCGUCGCCGGACCUCAGGCGACGGUCGCCUGGGUCGCGCGACCCAGGCGAACGGUCGCCUGGGGUCAUGCGACGGUCGCCGGGGUCGCGCGACCCCAAGCAACGGUCGCCUGAGGUCACGCGACCCAGGAGGCCAGAUCUGGCCAUCCGGCCGCCAAAUCCGGCAGUCCGAUGGCCAGACUUCAAAAAAAAAUACAAUAUUUUUUUUUGUUUUUUAAAUUUAAUAAAAGUCAUUUACAAAUACAAAUUUUACCAAUCAUUUACAAAUACAAAUUUUACCAAACGGUAUUUUUGGCCAAAGUUGUUUCUUAAUGCAAAUUUUACCAAACGUUAUUUGCAUUUCGGAAAACCCCAUUAACCAAAAAGUAUUUGCAUUUUUGCAAAUGCAUUCCCCAAAAGCUGAACCAAACGGGCCCUCCCUCACAUUUCCUCCCCCCAUUCUAUCCAUCCCCCCUUUCCCCUUUCUUUCUCUCUCUCUCUCUCUCUCUCUCUCUCUCUUUCUUUCCCUCCUUCCCCAGCCACCCUUCUGCCACCCAUUUCCCUCUUAUUUUAUUUUUUAUUCUCUCUCUUCUCUCUCUCCCUCUCUCUUAUUUCCCCCUCCCCCCUCUCUCGGUCGAAGCCCCCCUUUUCUCCUUCUUCUCCUUCUUCUUCUUCUUCUUCUUCUUCUUCUUCUUCUUCUUCUUCUUGCUGGCUGCCGCUUCACCCACCACCAAACCACCGCCCACGCCCCCAACUCACCACCACGCCACCUCUGUCCGCCGCUUGGAGCCGUGCCAUUCACCGUCCUCACCGCCGAAUUGCCAUCUCCACCGCCGAGCUCCCAAAUCGCUGCCGCUCGCUCGUCGCCACAAGCUGUUGCCCGCAUCCCUCACGCCGUUUUCCGUGUCGUCACCAUCGUUCUCAUCCUGAGCCGCCGCGAGCCACCGUUUGAACCGAGCCUCCCCCCCUUUUGGCCGUGGGCUUCAAGAGCCGCCGCCGCCGCCAUCGAGCCUCCAUUUGAGCCGCGAGCAUCGCGUUCUCGAUGCCAUCGUGCUACCGUCGCCGUGGGCUCGCCGUCGCGGGAAAUCGGUGAGUUAACCUCCUAAUCGUGGAUUAGGGCGUUAAUUGCGUUUAAGGGUUGUUAGUUUAAUAUUAACGGUGAUUAGUAUUAGUUAAUUUUAGUUUAUUCUUAAUUGCGAUUAAGAAUGGUUUAGAUUAAUUUUAAUUGCGAUUAGUUUAAGUAAUUAUGAUUUGAUUAAUUAACCGUGGUUAGAUUAAUUAAUUGAGUUUAAUUUAAUUAAUUGUAAUUUAUUUAAUUAAUCGUAAUUUAUUUAUUUAAUCGUAAUUUAGUUAAUUAAUCGUAAUUAUUUUAGUUAACGAUGAUUAAUUUUAGUUAAAUAUAGUUAGGCUAAUUAAUCGUGAUUGCUUAAUUAAUCUCGAUUAGCUUAAAUUAAUGACGAAUUAGUUGUUAAGUAAAAUUCUAUGCUCGUUUUAAUGGACGAAUUUACACUUAAUUCUAAUUGUUUGAGCAUGUAAUGCCAUGAUGUUGAUUGCCCAUAUAAUGUAUUUUAAAUGCUAGUUUUCAAAGAUGGCUUAUUGGUGAGAAAAUAGCAAAUUUUGAAGGGUCGUGUUUGGACGCCAUAUUUUACGUGAUAAAAGGGGCAAUGAUGUUUUAAAAUGAAAGUGUGCAAAGUUUGAUGGGUUGAUUUUAAAUAAGCGACCACAUGCGAUUAUUUUACCGGAAUUUUAAAUGUAAAAAUUUUCCGAGGUUUGUUAUUUAAGCACAAACUUUUUUACACUGGGCUAAUUGACGGAAGAUAAAAAAAUUGGCUUGAGUGUUGGCGUAUUUGUGUGGUCAUUUAAUUGAACUCGUCACCCAACGGGAGUUUGGAGGCGAUGCCCGAUGUUCAUCUGAUGCUCGACAGGGGUCCAGAUGCCGAGUCGCAGUUGAGGCCGGAUCGAUGCUCCUUUAUGGAAUGCCGUCUAGGCGGGGGUUUUAGACAAUGCCGUGCCCGAUUGAACGGGACAAUGUCCGGUCAUGUCGGAAGACUACCAACUCAUGUGUUGGCCGUGGCCUGAGGGAUCGUAAUAAUCGGAACACGUGCGAAUGAUUGUGAAGCAUUGCGCUUGAUUAUGGGGUAAAACUAUUAGGCAUGGUAUGGGACGUGCCAAAACAGGUUUUACCUUAUAAUCAGGACCUGUGUGGAUGCUUGGUGCAUGAGAGUUAUGUGUUCUGAUUAUUAAUUAUGAUUAUUGCAUUUAUAAUGGCAUAUGUGACGUACUAAUAUGCAAAGAUGUGCCAAGGCGAGGUAAGUUGUUUGUGGUGCAUGUUUAGACUGCCUUCGAGACGAAUUUGCGUCCUAAUCGAGGUUUAGUAAGUUUGACUCGCUGAGAUUUUAUCUCACCCCAGUGCUGUUAACCAUUUUCAGGGCCGUAGCGUGGAGAUCUGCUAAGUGCGGUUAUGGUGGGCGCGAGAUACGAUGCUUUUUGGCUGGCCUUACCGUUAGUGAAGCUAGAGUUAACCCUGACCUUUCUGACCCCUUUUUGCUCAUAGGUCGUGUAUGAAUUGUAUUUUAUUGUAGAUAUGUAAAUGUUAAACUCCUUGGAUUAACAAGUGGAUAAAUGAAUGUGCGAUUUUUGAAAAUCAUUUGUUAUGUUUUACUAUCCCUGUUUUGUUGAUGAUUGGGUGUUUAUUUAAUUCGCUUCCGCAUGCGUUUAAUCGUAAGAUAAAAAGAAUGGGUCGGCGACACGUCCUGGGACGUCGCAUUUUUAAUCGACCAUCGAGGGAUGUUCGCCCGCUCGGAAUUCGGGGCGUGACAGGUGUGCAAGCAGAAUAUGAGUAAAGACAAGCGCCCAAGAUGGGAAAAAGGAGGAACACACCCUUUCGGAGCUAAAUUCGGACAAUUCGUGCACACAGGGUCAGUACUAAAUUCAAUGCAAGGCUCUUCUUCCUUGUCGUUCUGCCCAAUAUCAGAAACACUGGAUUCUGAUGACAAACCAGCAGCUUUAUCGGCAACCAUUCCUUCAUCUGAACGAUUGGUCCUUUGUUCAAGAAGGUAAAACAUGUCAUUGGCAAUUGGAUGACCACUAAACUGCAAAUGUACUCGUGUCUGCACAUAAAGAGCAGGGUUAAGAGAAGAGAGUACUGCAAGUACAAGCAUAUAUCAAAUAAACCUCACAAAUUAAAAGAUAUAAAAAACAGGCUGACUUAACCAAAUGCAGAGAGGUAUAUAAUAAGCAGGACCCGAAAGUAUCUUCCAAAAUGAGUAGGACAGUUUAUGGAGAGACAAAAGUGAAGAAAAGAAAGCGCACAUGACUCAAAAAGUUAACAGUAAAUGCAAUGUCCUUCCUAUAUGUGUGGGUACAUCUGUGCAUGCAAUUGACCUUGGCUACAUUAAGGAAAAACAACCAAGGAAGGUUCACUGCUUAUGAAAUAGAAAAUAGGAGGUAUCAGACUCUCAACAUGGUAUUUGCAUCCUUUAGCAUCAUAUUGCCUUACCUGAUGAGUUCUUCCGGUGACUGGUUCACAGAGAACAAUGCUAUGAGUUCCAUCAGUGCUGAUCCUUGUGAACUUUGUACAAGCGGCCUUUCCUUUCAAGAGGGCAGUAUCACAAGUAGGGUCACCCGCCUGUACAAAGAGAUGAUAUUGACCAGACUAAUGGUAUUAAGCACGCUCUUCCAUUCACUGCCAACGCUCUAAUGUACUGAUUGAAAUUAAGACACGACCAUGAAACAGUCAGGGCAGAUGUAUUCUAAAUGUAGAAUGAAAAGAAAGCUCUAAGAGCAGUCAUACAUUGCGAGACACCAUGCCACGUGGACCAGGAGAAGGGUGGCAGUUGACAUCCUACCACCAUUUUCAAUUUCCUUAGAGAUUAAAAAGCCUUUCUAUGACGACUCAUCCAUAUAAAAUCCAAAUCACAUACUAUUGGGUCGAAAGGAGCUGGUAAAGUGAGACAGCAUAUGUGCUAAUGAAUAGGGAAACUGUAGCUUCUUGCUUUUGGCUGCCAGUAUUUAGAUUUGCUGUUUCAUGUACCAAGGCUCACAGAUUUUGCAUAAGCCAGCACUAUGUCACGAGCUUGGAGCUCUUAACUUCUGACAAAUUUAGUUCGGAUUACCAUCACACGUUACUUUUCAAUUCCAUUUCAAACAGUGUGUCGUGCAUCACCAAGAUAACAGUCCACAGUGGCUCAUAAGGAUAUAAAUGUUCCUAAAAAGUAUUGAGAGGCCAUCAUAAAUGGAUAUUUACAAAAACUAUAUAGUUAUUUUUACAUGCCUCUGUAAGAAUGUUAAGAAAGGGCAUUAGCUUCCAUUUAUAGCACUCUGAUAACAUUCAAAAUUGCAUCCCAUUAUGAAUUCAUAUUGGUUAGUCACAAAAACCUUCCCUUACGAAGGAAAGAGAGAAAAAAGAAAGAAAGGAGAAAAAAUCAGUACACAAGGAAGGCAUCACAUAAUUUUCAUUGAAAAGCAUUAUCAGAAAGCCAUCAUUUCAAGACCCUUCUCCAACACCCAGAUGCUCAGUUUCAUUUCUGUAACCUCACGUAAUACAGUGAUUGAUAUAAAUUUAAACUCAGAAAAAGGUUGAAAUAACAAGGUUUUGAGCGAAUACUCGCCUCCGCUGUACUACGCCUUCUCGAGUACUGUAAUUGAUGUGGACAUUGACCUCCAGCUAACAAGAAACCCUAGAACACAUAAAUCAGAUGAGAAAUAAUAAGAAUGCAUUUCUGAUACCACAUUCUCUAUAACUUUUUCACGUGAUCUAACUAGCCUCCUGGAUCUUCUGAAGGGAGGACCCAAACGAAAAAGGACUAGUUGAUUGUGUUCAUAAAUAAGUGGAUCUUCCUUGGGUUUGAUAAAAUGAUAUGGGAAACCACAGCUGGAUCUUUCAUCAAUAAUAACUGAAGAUGUCACACAAGAUGUGCAGUUGAUUUUUAACAACUAACCCUCUCCCACUCAAAAGGAGUUUUAUAAUUACUACAAUAUUUUGAGUUUUAUAAUUACUAAAAUCUAUGUGGAUAAAUUUUACCAAAAAAAAAAUUCUAUGUGGAGAAAAAGAACACAUGCAGACUUGUCCUUUCAGCAUUACCUCUUCUCAAGACAACUCAACAAACAAAAAGAAAAUAAUCGAAUUGGAAUAAAGAAAUCCCGUUGCUAGAUUGAGUACAUCUACUUAAACAUCUCAUAAUUCCAAUUCUUAAGGGUUAAACUCCCUGAUGUAGCACUGUACUGCAGGAUUUUUCAGUUCGUAAAUUAUCCACUUUUAGUGCAUAUUCCCAAAUCAACAGAUUGAAGCAAGAGAUACCUCAUUCUCAGGAAAUUCACCCACCACCUUUGCAAUGUACUGUUUCUGCACCAAACCACCUUCAAUCUGAAGAUAUUAAAUGUCAGUUGAAACUUAAAUUUUAGGCUGAAUAUCAAGUGUACCUCGCCACAUCACAAAUAUGAUGUAUAAACACUUAAAAGUAUAUAAGAGGAUAUUCUAGAUAAUUUUUACUCAAGGGAAUGAAGUCAGCAGCAGAAAUAGUACGUGAUAGCACUACUGCUAUUAGGAGAAACAGUCACCAGACAUGGAUUAGAACUCCACAGACUGAAGAUAUAUACAAAGGAAAUGCACAUCACAGAAAGAAACUAUAUGACCUCUUUAAGUCACUCCAUAAGGUAGAUGUACAUGACACAGUGUGAUGAUAUUACAAACAAUGAACAAGAUGUCGCAACACAGCAGCAUGCUCAGAGAACUAGCACUACCCUUGUUGUAAAUGUAAGAGAGCCCCACUUCCUUUUAGGCAAUUGACCACCCACAAGUAUUGCAGCUAAUAGGAAUUUACAUUAGUAAGGGUUCCAAAAGCACGCUUUUCAACACAACACUCACCUGUUGCCUGAAAAGAUCUGCUUUUGACGCGUUUCUGGCAAAUAUAAGGAGUCCGGAGACCAGGCAAUCUAGUCGGUGAACAGCUUGCAUUAUAAUAUCAAGGAGGAUGUACGGAAUCCAUAAUGUGGAUGUGUCACCAGAUAUAGGUCAGAAGAGGGAAAAAGAGUUAAUGAUAGACAUCAAGAAUCACAAGGAAACAGAAUAUGCCCAAUCUGAUUUCGAUAGAGCCAAGAAUGCAUAUACAUGUGAAAGAGCUUCUUGGGAUACGAAAUAGGGGUGCCAGCCCAUGCUCUGCCUGAAGGAUGCCAACCACAGUGUUUUUACGAUACUGACCACACGGAUGCACCUAUAAACAAGUCGAAAUUUCUAUAAACAUAGAUCCUAUAAGGCCAAAAGAGCUAGCUAGACCAAGCAAGCCUGUUGUAACCAUAUUACUGUCUGAAUCUCACCAGUGAUUUUACAGCACUCAUGCAAAAUCCACACGAAAUCACUCUCUUGUUGUUCAUUUGAAAUGAGGGAAAACAUAAUUGUGCUGUUCCUUACUGGAAUAGAUGCCACCUUACAGUCACCACAUCCGGUUCUUUCUGUAGGAUGGAGACACAUGGCUCAUCACAGGAGGCUCAUGCCUACAACCUUAUCAACAUUAACACAUAUUCAAAGAAUACCCUAAAACUUCUAGAAAAAAACUGUAAAUUAAGAUUAGAAUUCUUAACUCGUGGGUGAAGAAAGAAUAAAGAAGCCUGAAGAAACAAAAAAGGUAAAGAAAGGGAAUCUAAGCAAAAGAAACUGAUGCAGCCAAAGGGAUAUAUCAUCGCUAGAUUAGACUCUUGAAAAGCAACAUUUCAUAAGGAGAUCAUAGCAAGUGUAAAGCUCAAACCAACCUGUGUACAAAGUGGCUUACUUUUUCAGACGAUUUUACAAUGUAAGAGAUAGGAAAGACCCUCCCCUCGACUUGUGUCCGUCCACAUUCAACGGCACUGACCUACAGGUUAUGACUAGGCAUGGUUAAAAGUCAUGGUCACAUGCAGAACUAAACAUUCGUUAUGCAAUGAAGAAAAUGCUUACAUAAUACUCAUAGGGUCUGCCUUUGAACUCGUGGGCAAACAAAUCCACAAUGGUUUUGCCAGCCCAGCGGCUCUUGACCUAUAAUACAUCAUAAUUCAUAACAAGAAAACCAGCCAAAUUGAGAGCUCCUGGUUGAAGCGAAAAAGGGCUUAACGAGGGUCUUGACCAAAUAAAAGUUCGAUCGCAAGUAAAGCAUGCAAACCACUCCACUCCAGAAGAAGAAAGACGAGAUAGCGACGACUCACAUGAGAGAUGAACUCGAAGUGGUAGGGUGCGACGUAGCGCCUCCCCGCAUUCUCUUCAUAGAUCAGUCAUCUUUUCGAUCUCUCUACUGGCAAGAAUCUAUAAAACAAUGAUGACCCAUGAAAGAAAAAUACUCUGUCAAGAGUGAGGUCACGACAUAAAUGAAUUACCUUCGCGAAAGAUGUAAUGUUGGCGCUCCGGCGGAUUCAACGGAGUCUGCCACACGACCUCCCCCUCCUCCCCCUCCUUCUUCCUUUCUCUUCCUCUUCAUUUUCCUGCGACCAUCGACCGCCUAGAAACGACGGCGCUGGGGAGGAAUAUGAUGCGUCAAAGUAAAAGGCGCUUCCUUUAUCCCAUCUGAGGUAAGCGGGAGCUGCAGUGGCAGAGACAAGGCGACGUCGUUCCAGCGUUCCAUCCCGUCUGUCCGUCCGACACUACUCUAGUCUUUAUUUUGGUCUUCGUUUCCAGUCUCGUUUGGUGACUCGCCAACAAACCGACACCAUGUUAAAAAUAAAAAUCAAAUGCGGAAAAACAUGAUCAAUUAUAGAUAAACCUCCAGCCAUUGUCCGUAUUCACGUUCGUUGGAAAAUCAUGAAAAUUCAAAAAAUAUUGGGCACACUCUACUAACCCAAUUCCCUUAUAUACUAAUGAUGUAUUCCAAAAUUGAGAGGGUUUGUGUUAGACCUUGUGAUCACCCAAUUAGAAAUGAACGAUCAUUCCUUUUAUAUACCGUCUCCCAUCAAGACGGUUACUAAAUGGGCAAUUAUCACGAAAAGGUACGAAGCAUGGAAACACUACAUGUCGAAUAACCGCCACUUUAAAGAAAAAAUGUGAGUCCGAAAAUAUGGAAUCACAUAAUAUAAAUAACAUUCUCCCACUUGAUCCCAUCAUUUUCAUCAUACGGAUUAUCCAACCAAUUCCACGAAAAACUUUAUGCUUAAAGAAAAGAAACAAAACACAUGGAUCAUGGCGACAUGUCCUCUAAGAGUGAGUAAUAUCUUUCAUGUACCACAAUGCAUUUUAUUUCUUUAAUGUCAGCCUAUAUGUGACAACACAUCUUAAUGAAUAAACCAUAUAUUUAUUCCAAAACCAAGGAUAAAUGUUAUUCUCAUAAAUAAACAACAAAUUGUGUACACCAAAAAUUGAGAAUCAACAUUACAACAGAAUAAGAGUUUCAUACAACAAAAAUCGUCCAUAUGUCGAAAAAUCACAUGAUAGGACCUAUUCCCAUACUAGUUACAUGAUCCUUAUACUCCAUCGAUGGCAUGCCUUUAGUUAAAGAAUUAGCUAUCAUCAAUUCAGUGCUAACGUGUUCUAAGAUCACUUUAUUCUCCUUAACACGUUCCCUUAUGGCUAAAUACUUGAUAUCGAUGUACUUACUUCGACUGCUACUUUUGGCAUUUUUAGCCAUAAAAACCACAGCUGAAUUGUCAUAAUAUAUUCUUAAUGGCCUAGAAAUAGAAUCAACAAUUCUAAGCCCAAUAAUGAAACUCUUUAACCAUACACCAUGCGAGAUAGCCUCAAAAUAAGAAACGAACUCAGCCUCCAUAGUAGAAGUAGCAAUCAAAGUAUGUUUCGCACUUCUCCAUGACACUACUCCGCCUGCUAACAUAAAAAUGUAUCCAUAUGUUGAUUUUCGUGAAUCAACGCAGCCCGCGAAGUCCGCAUCCGAAUAACCGACUACUUCCAAGUUAUCAGUCCGUCUAUAUAUAAGCAUGUACCCUUUGGUACCUUGAAGAUAUCCCAUCACUUUCUUUGCAACUCUCUAGUGGUCCAUACCUGGAUUACUCUGAUAUCUUCCCAACAUUCCCACAGCAAAAGCGAUGUCAGGUCGAGUGCAAACCUAAGUAUACAUCAAGUUUCCAACAGCAGAAGCAUAUGGAAUGUUAUUCAUUUGUUCCCUUUCUAGAUCGUUCGUCGGGCAUUGGUUCAAAUUGAACCUGUCACCCUUCACAAUGGGUGCUAUACUUGGUGAACAAUCUUUCAUCUGAAAUCUCUCUAGAACCUUAUUGAUAUAGGUUUCUUGAGAUGGUCCUAAAAUUCCUCGAGAUCUAUCUCUAUGGAUCUUAAUGCCAAUGACAUAAGAUGCCUCACCCAUAUCCUUCAUGUCAAAACUCUUAGAGAGAAAUUGUUUCAUUUCAUAUAGCAACCAUUUAUCAUUAGUUGCAAGUAUAAUAUCAUCCACAUAUAGCACAAGGAAACAAAUUUUGCUCCCACUAACCUUCUGGUAUAUACAUUGAUCUAUGAUAUUCUCUACAAAACCGAAUGAAAAGAUGACAUCAUGGAACCUUAAGUACCAUUGGUAGGAUGCUUGUUUCAAGCCAUAUAUAGAUUUCUUAAGCUUGCACACCAAAUGCUCACAUUUACUAGAGGAGAAUCCUUCAGGUUGUUUCAUGUAAACCUCCUCCUCUAGUUCUCUAUUGUGGAACGCCGUUUUCACAUUCAUCUGAUGUAAUUCCAUAUCAAAAUGGGCAACCAAUGCCAAAACAAUACGAAGAUAAUCUUUUUUAGAUACAGGAGAAAAAGUCUCCGUGUAAUCGAUUCCUUUUUUUUGAGUGAAUCCUUUGGCAACGAGUCUAACUCUAUAUAUCUAAUGAAUCAUUCUUAGUUUUAAAGACUCAUUUGCAACCAAUGGCCUUCGCACCAUCAGGCAACUCAACCAAAUCCCAGACUUAGUUAGAUGCCAUAGAACUCAUCUCUUCCUUCAUGGCAUUGUACCACAAAUUGGAUUUAUCACUGUCCAUGGCUUGUGAAAAUGUUUUAGGAUCAUUCUCAGCUCCAAUAUUGUAGUCAGAUUCUUGUAAAUACACAAUAUAAUCACUAGGAAUUGCCGAUUUCCUUAGUCUUGCAAAUCUUAUCAAUGUUGCAUCAACAUUCUCUUGAGGAGCGUGUUGCUCAACCAGUUUUUCAACAAUUUUUGGUAAUAUCUAAACAACUAGAUCUAUUAUAUCAAUAUCAACAGGUUAUGGAACUUCAACGAUUGGUUGUUCAAUAGCCGGCUGAACUGAGGGGGUAUUAUGAGCAACAACCAACCUUAAACUUGAUGUGGAAGGUUGAGUGUCUGAAUAAUCUUUCUUAGGAACAAAGUCAUUCGAUCGAUCACUCCCACUAAUCAAGUCAUUUUUAAGAAAUUUAGCAUUUCUUGAUUCCACGAUCCUAGUGGUGUAAGACGGACAAUAAAACAUGUAUCCCUUAGACCUUUCAGCAUAUCCAAUGAAAUACCCACUUAUGGUCUUUGGGUCCAACUUAUUUUCUUGUGAAUUGUAAACUCUCACUUCAGACGGGCAUCCCCAAACGCGCACAUGUUGCAAACUCAGUUUCCAACCUUUAAAUAACUUAAAAGGUGUCUUUGGGACAGCCUUGGUUGGAACUCAGUUUAAUAUAUACACUGUUGUCUUAAGUGCUUCAGUCCAUAAGGACUUAGGAAGUUUGGAGCCACUAAGCAUACUCCGCACCAUGUCCAAUAAAGUUCGGUUUCUUCUUUCCGCUACACCGUUUUGGUUCGGAGAACCAGACAUAGUAUAUUGGGCAACUAUCCCAUGCUCUUGAAAAAACUUUGCAAAUGGACUAGGUGCUUGUCCAUCUUCAAUAUAUCUACCAUAAAAUUGUCCACCUCUAUCUGAUCUCACGAUCUUAAUUUGUUUACCGCAUUGUUUCUCUACUUCCACCUUAAAUACCUUAAAGGCAUCUAACGCUCCAUGCUUAUUAUGAAUCAAGUAGAGAUACAUGUAACAUGAGUAAUCAUCUAUGAAAGAGAUGAAGUAUUUCUGACCACACGAGUCCAUAUUCAGACUACAAAUAUCCGUAUGUAUGAUUUCUAAUAUUUAUGUACUCAUCUUGGCACAUUUAUUCGUCUUGUUGGUCUGCUUUCCCUUUAUGCAGUCUACACAAGUAUCACAAUCAAUAAAAUCUAAAGUACUGAGUACUCCAUCAUUUACCAAUCACUUAAUUCUUUCUAUGGAGAUAUGUCCCAAUCUCCGGUGCCACAACAUAGAGGAAUCUUCUUUCACAACACAUCAUUUUAUACCAGCGUUAUCAUGAACAUGCAUCACAUUAUAAUAGGCAUUGUCUUUAAAUUAAUUCGAAAAAGGCCAUCAGACAAAGUACCACUCCCAACAAUUUCACAUUUAAACAGAAAUUUGAAUCUGAAAAGUUAAAAGAGUAACUCAAAGAUACAAGUCUUAAAAUUGAAAUUAAGUUUCUAGAGAAACUAGGAACAUAAAAGGUCGUUUCCAAAUUCAAAACAAAGCCACUAUUGAGAACUAAUCUACAUGUCCCAAUAGCUUCCACAUGCGAACGCAUCUUGUUUCCUGAAUAGAUGAUUUGUUCACUUCCCACUGACUUCCUGUGGUUUUAAAAACCCUACAAGGAAUUCGAAAUGUGGAUUGUAGAUCCAGAAUCAAUCCACCAAGUGUUGUGAUUCACAUCAGCCAUAUUAGAUUCAUAAUAAACAUAAGAGAUUGGAUUACCUUUCUUCUAGAGCCAAGCCUUAAAUCUGAUGCAAUCUUUCCUUAUAUGCCCAUUCUUUUUAUAGAAGAAACAUUUGGAUUCUUUCUUAAUGUCAGCUUGGGGAGGUAUCUUACAUUUUCCCUUAUGCUUGCCAUGGCCCUUAUUCUUUCCUUGUGUUGCCAAAUGAGCACUUUCUCCCAAUUCCAUAAUCAGUCUUUCUUCCUCUUGAACACACACGGUCAUGAGUUCAUUAAUUGACAAUUUAUUCUUAUGUGUGUUGUAAGAGAUCUUGAAAGGUGCAUACUGUUGCAGGAGAGUGUUCAAAAUAUAAUACACAAUAAAAUAUUCAAAUAUCUCAACCUCAAUGUUCUCAAGUUGAGCCGCAAUAUCCCUCAUUUGCAUGAUGCGCUCACGCACACCUCUAACAUUAGUGAGCUUUAAUGAUGAAAACUUCAUAAUUAGGGUCAUGGCAUGCGUUUUCUCUAAAGUCUCAAACUAUGCAUCAAUGGCCUCCAUUAAAGCCUUAGCAUUGCUAUGCUGAGCAAUCAAACCACGAAUACUAAGAGAUAUUUUAGCCCUUAUAAACAUCACACAAACGCGAUUGGACCGCUCCCAUUGGUUAUAAAGGGCUAUCUCAGCUGCAGUGCUCAAAUCAGUAGGAGCAAGUGGUUCGUCUUUCCUUAUAGCAUAGUCAAUGUCCAUCCACCCCAAUUGAAGAAGUACUAACUCUUUCCAAACUUUAUAGUUUUCACCAUUCAAUAUGGGAACAUUACACUUAAAUUUAGAGAAAUUCACAGGUUGCAAAAUUGCAUAUCAAAUAAUCAUGCUUAUGUCACAAAAUUUGUGGUAAAAGAUACAUAAAUCAUGUUUUACCAAUGUAAACAUGUUACAAAUAUGAAUCACAUAACAUAAAAACGGCAUGUGGGCUAAGCUUUUAAUUUAAAUAUAUUCAUAAUUAUAUUAUGAAGAAACUACCAUAUUAUAUACAUUUUCUUAAUCCCUGUGGGUAAAUUAAAAAAAAUAAUAUGAUAUUCCAUCCUAAUUAAUCAUAUUAAUAUAAUAAAAAUUUCUAUGGGAUAAAAUUCAUCAUAUUAAUUUAAUUAAUUAUAAUCAAUGUCCAUUUAUAAAUAUGAUCCGGAGGCUCUUGAUAUAUAAUUUAAUUAAUUAAAGAAGCUGUGGCUACUCUCUAAUUAAUUAAAUAUAUGGAUCAUUGGACAUUUAAUUUCAUGCAUAAAAUAUUCAUAAAAAUGCAUGAAAGGACAAAAUAGUAAAUAAAUGCACCAAGGGGUAGAACAGUAAAUAGAUUGGCCAAGGGCAGGAUUGUAAAAUUGCAAGAAGAGCAAAACGGGAAUUUUAAAAAUGGCGUAGGGGCAAAAGGGUAAAAAGUGCACCACGGCACGUCAGGUAGGGGUGAGCGGUUCCCGGUUCCCGAUUCCCGGUUCCGGUUUGGUUCCGUCUGGAACCUGGAACCUACCCUCGGGUACAGUUUUGGAACCUGGAACCUACCCUGUCACAGGUUCCAGGGUCGGUUCCAGAUUCCAACAGGUUCUUUUUUUUUUUUUUUUUUUUUUUUUCGGAUUUGAACUAUAACGAAAAAGGAAAGAGACAAACCAAAGCUUCCAUGUCCAUAAAUUGCCAAAAAUAGUUCCUUGGGAGCAGAAGCAUCCAAAAAAAAAAAAGCACCUUUCUGUCCCUUUAACUAAUGCCGUUCCAUCAGCAAACUGAAUUUUCAUAAAUAUAGCUUUAUUCUUCACAGACUGCAAGGAGAAGAUCUAUCUCUUAAAUGAAACAACAGUUACAGGAAGAAAAAACAAGGGCAGAAAAAGGCAGUAGCACAGCCAAAGUUCAUAUGAGCAUGUCCAUUUGCUAUUGAGUGAUGCAAAUCUCAACUAAACCAGACAAUCUUACCCUUCCUGUCCAAUAUAAUGAAGAACCUGGCUCCCUGCACUCAACCACAAGGUACUUAAACUCAUGUAAAGAUGCAGCUGCUUGAGAAAACCUAGAACCAUGUAGAAAGGCAUAUAACAGAAAUAAGACAAAGAAUUGCAAUGACUUACCAAGUGAAACUAGUCAAUUUAAAUUAUACCUUUCGAAAGGUGGAGGCAGACUGCAAAAGAUGUUGCACCAUGGAGUCCUUGCAACUCAAAAUAUUGAGCAAAACCCCCCUAAAGGCAAUGAAAGGCUCUAAAAGAUUAAUGUGCAGCUCUGUUCGUUUCACAAUCCAUUCCUAAUCAGAAUUCAGCCAGACCAUCUAAUUUGAAGUCAAAUGGAAUAGAUCAGUUGGUGUGAUAGAAACUAGAGAAUCACUUACAAGUUAACAUAUAAUAGUAGUAAAUGUUGAGAUAGUGGUCUGGUUUCAAAAGCAUUAGACACAGAGAAUAACUACAGGCAUCCACUUAGGAAAGACUUAAAUUAUCAAGUAAAGAGAUUCAUCAUCAAAUUACACCAUCAUUGAAUAAAUGGGCAAUUGGCUAUAUUAGUUCAAGCUGCUAACUCAGUUUGACUGGACAUGUUCAAAAGGAUUACGCUCCACAAGGAAGAAUUCAACAGUUUGCUAAGCAUACAAAGAGUCUGAUGAAAGAAAUAUAGGAUUUCAAUGUUGACUCCACAGUUAAAAAACUAGUUAUGCCCAGAAAACAAUUCCCUUAUAUUACAUUCUCUACAUACGAGCAACUCAUUAGGAGCUUAUAGAAUAGAGUUAGAUUAAAAAGGGUAAGAAAAGACCUAAAAAGAUGUGAAUGGAAAAGAUUAGAAAAUAUAACUAAGGAGCUCUUAGAUCUUAUAGAAGACUUGAUAUGGAAUCAAGGACAAGAACAUAAAAGUGAUUGUAUAGUUGAUCCACAUAGUAAUAUCUUGGUCGACCCAUAUAAUUUUGAGGGCAUUCUCACUAUAAGUGGAUGAGCAUAGCGUCUUUGGAACAUAUCUAGAAUUCUAGACUGAGACUGCCAUUCAAAGGUCUCUGUAUAGUCUUAUAAGACAAGUGAAAUGAGAAACCUCAGUAGCAAAAAAUAGAUGCUUCCAAAUUAUCUGAAAGACAAGCGAGAUUCAGAUAUUACUCUAAUAUUGGCCGCUUCCUGAGUAAUAUGGACACUUUUGCCUCUGAGUUUCUGUAAUGUGACUUCAAACCCCUUCUCUCGGUGGACUUUUACCUGCGAAUGACUUUAUGCUAUUCUUAUAAUGAAAAGUUCAUAAUCUUGGCUUCGUCAUUGAGUUCUAUGAUUCUACACAACUAGCAUAUACUUAGAAUGGCAAUCUGCACCAAUUCGAUUGUGUGUCAAAGUGGAUUGACACUGAAAUGUUAAUGCCUAUGCCUCUACUCCACUAACAACUUACCAGCCAUCUAGGAGACUCUGGAACAAAGAACAAACCCAAAAUUUGUAUGACACAGGGAAUGCAUCCUGAAGAUGAAAUCACCAAGAAUGACUUUUUGAUAUUUGCCAACUCAUUCAAAGAUAGAACUGAGACACUACCGAUUAGAGCCAAGAUACGCUAGGAGACAAUGGUUCCAAGAAAGUAAAUCAACAAAAAGCCACAGCAUAUCAUGAACUGCAACAAAAGCCAACUCUUUGUUAAUAAGCAAAUGAAUUGUCUCAACUCACUUUCAAUUUCUACAUUGUCCAAACUUUUUGACCUGAUUGAAUGCCGUAAAUGCUCCCCUAAAAAUACCCACCUUCACACUCCUUUCUUCCGAACGAAAUGCACAGGCCGCGCAAAAAAAUGACACUAAAGGAGAACUGAAAUCUGCAAGACAACAAAGGGCUUUGCUCAGUUUUGCGACACUUCGCAAAACGACGGAGAGAGGGAGCGGCAGAGAUUACCGACACGAAAGGCAAGCGGCGAGAGGCGUCGGGGGCGACUGGGCGAGCGGCGAGCGGCGUCCACCGGGGGAACGAGCUGCGUCCAGCAGCGGUGUCAAGGGCAAGCGAUGUCCAGCAGCUGAGCUGCGGGGCAAGCGGGGUCUGACGGCGUCGAGGGAGGAAAGGGCAAGGCGAGCAGGGGGUGACUAGAGUCUAGCGACGGGACGAGCGGAGUUCGGUGACGGCAUCAAGGGCAAGCUGCGUCCGGCGGCGACAUCGAGGGUGAGCAGCAUUGGGGAUGGGGCAGAGGCAGAGAACGAGGGAGGAGAACUGAACUGUUGAUUUGGGGAUUUUUAGGAACCCUAACCGAUUCCCAGAAAAAGGGAACCGGGAACAGGAACCGGCCCCUUUAGAACCGGGAACCAAACUGGACCCUCCGGUUCGGUUCUCCGAUUCCCGGUUCUACCCGGGAACUGCGCUCACCCCUAACGUCAGGCAUGUGCCAAGCACGCGCCUGCAUCCACGGCGGCCCUGUGGCCCGCACGCGCGCCAUCCACCGCGCAGGCGCGUGCAACGCACACGCCCGACAAGUACCACAGGCAGUUCCGCACACGUGGGCCCACACGGCAGCGGUUGGCGUGCGCGUGACAACGCGUGGCGCAUGGGUUCCACACGCCUGCAACCGCAGCACCCGCGUGGAGCCCACACACCUUCUCCCUCGCGCGAUAGAGCCGAUUUCCACCGAUUUUCACCGUUUUCCACCGCAAUUUCGUCGUUGUUUCUUCUUCGGCAGCCCAUCUAAGAUAGAAAUAAAUAAUGGGUUUUGGAGACCAUGCCGGCACGACCACAUGGAUCCAAGUUUCGUCGAAAAGGAGCAAGAAAUUGGCCCAAAUCAAACGAAAAUUUCCCAAAACACAAACGCUUAACCUCCGCGACUUCCGCCAACUGAUUAGCCUCCGGCGAACACCGAUAUGCCGAAAUAACUCAUGGCUAUUCUUCCUCAUGGCAGUGCGACCGUACCGGUCCGAAGUCGAGCGGUGGGUCUCCGGAAUUUGGCCAGAAUCGGCGAGUUUCUCUCUUGACCUCAAAGAUCCGAAUUACUGUUCAUCUUCAAAAGGCCCCAAAAAAAUACACCAAAAAUUGACAAAAACAAGGUAGAGGCACUUAACAUGCUCUGAUACCAAAUGUUAGAAAUAAAAAUCAAAUGCAGAAAAACAUUAUCGAUUAUAGACAAACCUCCAGCCAUUAUUCGUAUACACGUUCGUCGGAAAAUCCUGAAAAUUCAGAGAAAUAUUGGGCACACUCUACUAACCCAAUUCCCUCACAUACUGAUGGUGUAUUCUAAAAUUGAGAGGGUUUGUGUUAGACCUUGUGAUCACCCCAUUAGAAAUGAACGAUCAUUCUUUUUAUAUACCGUCUCCCAUCAAUACGAUUAUCAAAUGGGCGGUUGUCACGAAAAGGUACGAAGCAUGGAAACACUACAUGUCGAAUAACCGCCACUUUAAAGAGAAAAUGUAGGUCCGAAAAUGUGGGAUCACACAAUAUAAAUAACACACCAAUCUUCCGAACCAAAAGCAGUCACAUUUCGGUCGUUAGCUCCACCAACUUGCCAAGGUAUGACAUGUUUCUCUGAGUUACUCCCUGCCCAUCAAUACGUUUAAACUUGACACCAUCUUCGCUUUCUUUCCCACGCCGUAUCUUUGAUUUCCUUUUUCCGCGAGUUCAUCAAGUCCCGGCUUUUCGUCUUCCUGCUUGCUUGCUCAAUGCAUCGACUCUACUUCCUUUCACUGAUUCAGAUGGAAUGAUCCAAUAAGGUCCCUUGUUGAACUGAGACGAGGCAGGAAGGCGGGCACGCGGGAGUGAUCGACAAGAAGGAGGCGAAGAUGCGGGAAGAGGAUUUGGUGGAUGUAAAGUUCAGAUUGUUCGAUGGAUCGAACAUGGGUACCUUCCAGUACUCAUCAGCUUCCACCAUCAAUAUGUUGAAGUAGAGAGUUGUCUCCGAUUGGCCCAAAGGUUUCCCUCACCUCUCCUUCCCAUGUUCGUUUAAGUAUGUGAUUUGUGCUGAAUAAUAAUAUAAUCCGGUAUCUUCAUCUUGCUCAGAUAUGGUUUAUAAGAUUGGUGAGAUAGUUUAAAAUAGCUUAGCAAGGUCAUACCUGCAGACUAUAUGAACUUUUUCUUGUUUUAAGCAGACUUUAGGAGCUGCUUUCUUGUGGAAUGUAGGAACUGUCUAGGAACUGAGAUCAUGUCUACUACUGGGCCUUUUCUUAAGUUAGUGAUGACCCUGCUUUAAAUUUAUCUGAAAUUGCAUCAUUGCGAGUGUCAGUGACCACAAGUUUAUGACUCAUGGUGCUAUCAUGAAGAGCUGUGAUCCUCUAUUUGCGUACACGCUUCCAAGGCCAAGUUCUUUCCCAUCUUCAAAAAAAUUUCACCCUUAUUAAAAGAUCAUUUUCAUAAAUUUGUAUAACAAGUUCACAUUAAUAAUGCCUGUGAAUUUUUCAAUCACAAAUAUUCUUCAAUGUUUAUUAUAAAUGGUAUCCUUCAUGAGAGCUCCUACACAUAUUCCCUCCAACCAAAUAGUGUUGUCAAAAGAAAACAUUGUUAUCUCUAGAAGUUGCUCGCUCCAUUAAAUGUCAAGCUUUUAUUCCAAAAAUGUUCCAAGAAGAAUGUGUGGUCAUGGCAACAUACUUAAUCAAUCGGAUCUGUCUCGAGUCCUUAAUGGACGAACCCCCUUUGAAUUGCUUUUUGGGAAAAGUCCAGACAUUCGCCAUUUGUGUCUUUGGUUGUUUACAUUAUAUCUCUAUUGUGACAUUCCAAAUGAUUCUGUUUUCAAUUAAAUAAAUCGGGCUUUUCAUCGACGCGCUUAUAGUUCAAUUCUCCAAGCUGAUCACUCACGAGAUAACUAGUUUAUCAGGUGAAGCCAUUAAGGAAUCUAAACGCAAUAGACUUGAGAAUUCGACCAGGUAUCAACUGCUCGACCAUGCUAGUCUGCAAGGAUCAUUACGACACUAUCAGAAUCGAACAAAAAUCAGUGAUAGGUCGAUUCGACUGAGAUAUGUGAUUAGAUUGUGAGUGAUUCCACCUGUUUUCAAUGUUCUUGUCGACCGGCACUAAACCGAUUUCUCUGUCGUUUUGGGUACCUUAUCUCAAUAUUUGAAACCUCAAGAUUUUACGACGACCGAGAGUCGCCAAUGUGUCAAAGAAUUAUGUCGUGGCUUGAAAAUAAUCAACCACGGGUCAAUUGCACUGAAAAUUCCUAAAAGCUACCCGGUAGAUUAGGAAGCGCUCAAAUCGCGCCAGAUUGAAAUUAACCAUGAAUUUAAACCCGAUUUCAGAAAUUGAAAGUUCUAUCAUGUCACAAUUCAUUUUAGGAACGUCGACUCAUCCUCAAAAGAUUUUUCUACAAACCGAGAUUUUUGGCAGAAAAGAAAAGUAGGGCCAUUUUUGUUCGGGAUAGUCAGAGGGCCGUUUUUUAUCGCAUCUUUGGGAUGCAAGUUGGAUCAAUUGAUGGAAAAAAAUCAUAAGAAGGACAAGGACACAUGGAUUGAUUUGUUUGAGCUUCAAUUGGAUGAAUUUAAGAGAGAAUUGAAUGGAAUUGAAGUGCAAAUGUCCAAAAUUCGUAACUCCCUUGGCACACAACAUUUUGGACCCAUUGCCAAGCUUGUUGAGGAAGCUAAGGAGGGGCAAAUGGCUGAGGGGAGGGCCGGCCAUGGUGGGGGCAAGAGAGAGGAGAGAAAGACAAGUGUUGAAGGCAUAUGAGCCACUUUGGGGUCCCCCUCUUCCAGCAGCCUUCUUCUUCCUCUUUCCACUUGCUUUCCCCAUGUUGUGCACUUUUUGAGCUCCCAAGAACCAAUAGCAAUCGGCCAGCUUCUUCCCUCCUCGGUCACACACCGUCUAACCACCGCAAGCCCUCCGAGCGGCCACUGCGCGCCGGCCAAGCCUCCUGCCGCUGUUCCGCCUCCCUGCUCGUCGUCCUCCGCUGUUCGCGCAUCCAGGGCCAUCGUUCAGCUUCGCCAGCAGCUCUUGGUCGCCGUCGUGGUCGCCUGGCCGUCCGUCCAAGCCACUGGAGCCCCACCUAACCUCCGCCUGCUCGCUAUUGUCCUUCCUUCGCCGUUUCAGCCUCAACCGCCGCCGGCUCUAGCCUCUUCGGUCCAAGAUCAGUAGCUGAAGACAACAAGGCCUUGGAGACUUCAAGGCCUGUUUUAGGUGUCUUCCAGGCCUCCGUUGGUGUCACCACUAGGAGGAUUGUCGCUCACCUCCGCGUUGUGGUCGCCGUGGACUCACCGGAACGCAAAACCAGUGAGUUUACUCCAUAAACCUUGCUUAUGAGGUUAAUUAUGCUUAAGGGGUGUUUAUUAGGCUAAGCAUGUUUAGGUGGUUAGAUUAGAUUAGUUAAAUGUAGAUUAGAAUAAGAAAGUAGAUCAGUUUAGUAUGUUGAUUAAUUAGCCUAAUUAGGUGGUUAGAUUAGUGUAAUCUUAAUUAGGAAUUUAUUAAUUAUUUGCAUUUAUUUAAUAAUUAUUUAUUUGUUUAUUUGUUUAUUUUAUUAUUUAAUUAUUUAAUUUUCGGAAUUUAUUUAAUUAUCAAAUAAUUCCAGAAAUUCUGCCGGGAUGGCUAGUCGUCAGGUUUUCAUGCUGAGUUCAAUGGUGUGUUUAGAUUCCGCAAUUGUAUGCUAAAUUAUGCCAAUUGAGUGAAAGUGGUGAAUUUGGAUGAUUAUUCCAAAAGUGCGAAAUAUUGAUAUUUUAUUGUAAAAUCCCGAGUGUCUGCCUUUGGCACCGCAACUGGUUUUGAAGACCAGUUUAAAUUGUGGGAUUUUAAAGGAGUGAAUAUCAGUCAUUCGGGUAAAUUAUACAUAAAUCAACUUUGGCGAGCAAUAGAAUAUGUACAUCAGCUUAGGCGAGCAAUGAUAAUGAACAGCUUAGGUGAUAAAUGAUCAGCUUUGGCGAGCUAUAGAAUACAUAUAUUAGCUUAGGAGAGCAAUAAAAUAUAUAUGUAUCAGCUUUGGCGAGCAAUUUCUAAUCAAUCUCAGCUUAAGUGAGCAAGAAUCGAGUUGAGUCGAUUAAAUUCAUUGAUUGAGUAAAUGGGUUGAUAGUUAGUUGUAUCGAUCAAUUGGAUCGAUUAAUUGGAUUGAGAUUUGAAUUGUACUGAUUUGCAGGAAGGAACUGAGGCGAGGUAAGUCUUCUGACUUGUGUGAUUAGGCCUCUAGGCGUAUUUCCUUCCUAGUCGGGGUUUAAGGGAUGAACUUGCUGAGACAUUGUCUCACCCCGUCGUGGGCUCAACAUUUUCAGGUCCCUAGAUGGCAGAUCCUCCGGAGCUUUUUGGUAGACCAAUGAGGGUCACUGAGCGGGUUUUUGACUAUGCCGAUCCCCAGAAGUUAUUGGGUCUAUGAACUUGUGGUGACCACUGUCUAGGUUGAAGAGAACCUACCUUAUAGGGUUCCUCAUCGAUUAAGAGCGUGGUUGUCUAGGUUGAAGAGAACCUACCUUAUAGGGUUCCUCAUCGAUUAAGAGCGUGGUAUCGCUACAGACUCGAUGGAUUCCUAGAUGGUCCCCUCAGGUGUUUUGAAAUUCCCUCUGGUGUAAUAGAUGCCGCUCUAGGUGAGAGUGUAGUUGAUCCUCCAGAUGGGUUGGUGGAGGACCCGAUGUCACGCCCUGAUCCUCCGAGUACGUGCCCAUCCCUCCUUGAUCGAUUUAAUAGCGAUGUCCCAGGACGCAUCGCCGACCCAUUCAUUUUAAUAUACACAUGCAGAAGCAUAUAAAUAAUCCCCAGACAAUAAAACAUUGGGAUAGGAAAGUAGGGCUAUACUUUUCAAACCAAAACCGACCUUUUAUAAACACAUAGGUUUAUUUACAACAUCAGGUCGCUUACAAAAGUAUCGGCUUAAUCAAAAAGGAACUAUCCUAUGACUAACUAGUCAGAUAGGUUUGCCGAUUCUGUUUCCUUCACUUUCCCAAACUCCAGGACUUCAAGCUUUCCACGACCAUCACUUAGAGACCUGAAAAUGGUUAUACAAUAACCAGUGAGACAAUGUCUCAGCAAGUUCAAUCCCCUAAGACCAUUUAGAAAGCCAAUAUGCCCUAAAGGCUACCUAAGCACAAAUAGGCAUCAGAGGACUUACCUUGACCUCAGUUCCUUCCUGCAAGUCAGUUCAAUUCAUAAAUACUGACAGAUACAUCAUCCACUCAAUUCAAUCAGAUCGAAUCAUUAAUCAAUCGACUCAGUCGAUUACAUGUCAUCGAGACCAUCACCCGGUCACCUCGAUUAUUCAUUCUCAACUCUUAGCCACGGCCUAACGGGCACAACCAAGAUUAAGUGGUCAUCACAACCCCACUGGCAACUUUUUUAUAUUUGGUGGUCAUCACGGCCCCACCUGGCAAUUUUCUAGGUUUAGUGGUAAUCACGGCCCCACCUGGCAAUUUUCUUAAAUUGGGUGGUAAUCACGGCCCCACCUGACAAUUUUGUAGAUUUAGCGGCAUCACGGCCCCACUCGGCAAUUUUCUAUAUUUAGUGGCAUCACGGCCCCACUCGGCAAUUUUCGAUUUUUAGUGGCAUCACGGCCCUAUUCGGCAAUUUAGACUUUGUGGACUUAGUGGAAUCACGACCCCACUCGGCAAUUUAGGCUUAGUGAUAAUCACGGCCCUACUUGGCAUAACCAUUCUCCAGUGGUUCUCUUGAUUUAGUUAACAGUCUCACACGGCAAUUUUCCAAUCAAUUGUACAAUCCAGCAUUUAGUUGCAUAAUUCAACUAAUUCACAACUACCAUGCAAUUACACAAAUCAUCACUCAACUUCACAAAACAACAUUCAAUUACAGAAACUAAACACAUCACUGCGAUCAGCUCGAAAUUCUAUCGAGCGGCUCUCCCGGUAUAAUUUCCGGAAAAUAUUAAUUAAUUAAUAUUUAAAUAAAUUCCGAAAAUUAUUUUAAUUUAAAUAAUAAAGAAUAUAAUUUAAAUAAUAGUUAAUAGUAUUUAAUUUAAAUAAAUAAUUAAGUAAUUAAAAUAAUUAAUUAAAGUCUAAGCAUGAUUAACAUUAAUCUAAUUACAUAAUUAGACUAAUUAAUCCAACCCUUAAUCUAAUCAUGCACAUAAUCUGAUUAACAUUUAACUAAGCUAAUCUAACCACCUAAACAUACUUAGAAUAAUCUAAACACCCCUUAAACGGCAUUAACAUACUAAGCGAGAAUUAGUUAGUUAAACUCACCGGAUUUGCGAACCAGUGAGUCGACGGAAAUUACGACGCGGAGGCGAUCGACAAUCCUCCAAGCGGCGACACCAACAGAGGCCGAGAAGGGCUUGAAAACGAGCCACGAAGUCUGAACACCUUUGAUGGUUUCUGCUUCUGUUCUUGGCUGAACUGCAGAGAAGAAACCAGCAGCUUCAAUGGCGAAAAGGGGCUGAUCGGAGCUCCGGCGAGCGGGUGGUUGGCAACCAGUGGCUCCCGGGGUCAAGAGGGGAUGUGCUAGUGGUUGGAACGAGCAAAGGAAGGGUCAGAAUUGGGAGAAACUCGCGAAAAAUGCGAAACAGUGCAGGCGGGUAGGGGACCGAUGGACCGGCGACCUCGCCGGCGUACCGGACGGCCGGCGACUCCGUUCGGGGCGAGGCCGGGCUCUUUGGAACGGUCUGGAUGUGCUAGUCACGGAGAUGGGUGGCUCGGGGGCUAUAUCACACGGGAAGUCGACUUUUCGCUCCGAUCUUUGGCGAAAGGUCAGCUGGAGCAGAAACUGGAAGAGGGGAAAACAAAGGGGGAAAAUGGUCCGGCGAGUGUGCGGCGAUGGAGGGGCUGAUGCUGCUCAGUUUCUCUGGUUCUCUUGAGCUUUUUCUAAGCCUCACCAAUGGAGAAAUCCAUGCUUCAAGGAGGAAGAAGGGUUGUUGAAGAGAGGGGACCCCAAAUGGCCUCUUAGGCUUCCAACACUUUGCCAAACACUUGAGUGGCUGCCCCACCACUUGCUCAGCCAUCCACAGCCACCUUAUCCACUCUAAGGCUUCCCCACCACCUGCUCAGCCAUCCAUAGCCACCUUAUCCACUCUAAGGCUUCCCCAACAAGCUUGCCAAGUGGUCCAAAGGUUGCUCCCCCUAUGGCAUACGAAUUUGAGGCAUUUAUUCAUCAAAUACAUUCAAUUCCCCUUCAAUUCUUCUCCAAAUGGACUCAAUGUGGUGUCCAUAAAUCCAACCAAGGUGCCAUCAUCCCAAUCAACAUUUUUCUUCACCAUAUAGUCCAACUUGAAUCCCAAAAGUGCAACCAAAAACGGGCCUACGAAUUUCCCAAUCCAAAAUACCCUUACUUUGGAUUUUCGCCGAAAAUCUCGGUUUGUAGAAAAAUCUUCGAAGGGUCCUAAAAUGAUUUGUGACAUGAAAGAACUUUCAAUUUUUGAAAUCGGGUUUAAAUUCACAGUUAAUUUCAAUCUGGCGCGAUUUUAUCGAUAUCUAACCUACCGGGUAGCUUUUAGGAACUUUUCGUGCAAUUGACCUGUGAUUGAUUAUUUUCAAACCACAAAGUGCAUCUUCGACAUAUUGACGACUCUCGAUUGUCGUGGAAAUCUCGAGGUUUCAAAUACGAACACAGGGUACCAAAAUGACAGAGAAAUCAGUCUAAUGCCGAUCGACAAGAAUUGUGCAAUUAGGUGGAAUCACCCACACUUAAUCACAUACCUUGGUUGAGUCGACCUAGCUCCGGUCUCUAAUCGAUUUUUAACGGUGCCGUAAUGACCCUUGCAGAUUAGUACGGUCGAGCAGUCAAUUCCUGGUCGAAUUCUCAAGUCUGUUGCGUUUAGAUUCCUUAACGGCUUCACCUGAUAGGCUAGUUAUCUCAUGAGUGGCCAUCUCAGAGAAAAGCACUAUGGUCGCGUCGAUGAAAAGCCCAACUUAUCCAAUCAAAAUCAGAACCUGAAAUUUAGGAUGUCACACCCAAUGCCCCCGGUGCCUGUGGAGAAUGAAGAGCCAGCAAAGGAAUCAGAAUAGCUAGUCAUAGGACAGCUGUGUUUUGAGGACUGAUCUUCUGUAGAUCUUUUGUUAAUAGACUAGUGUUGUAAAUAAACUGGUCUGUUGUUUAUAAAAGUGUAUGGUUUUGUUUUCAAAAAGAAAAUGUGAUCCUGCUUUUCUAUCCCAAUUGAGUUUUGUUUAGGGAUUAUUUAUUCGCUUCUGCAUGUGUAAUAAAAUGAAUGGGUCAGCGACGUGUCCUGGGAAGUCGCAAAUUCCAUCGACCACAGAGGGAUGGACGCGUGCUCGAGGCUCGGGGCGUGACAUCUAUCAUGGGUCCUCAUAACAAAUUGUAUCUCCAUGCUGUUAAAUGUAUAUUCAUGGGAUAUCAUACUCUUCAAAAGGGAUAUUUAGUUUAUGACCCAUCCACUGAGGGUUUAUUUAUCAGUAGAGAUAUUAUCUUCCAUGAAUAUGUUUUCCUGUUCCAAGACUAGUUAUCUUUUCAUGAACAAAUUAAUAUGGCUACUAAUCACUGCCCAUUUUUUCACUGAAGAAGUUUUUGUUGCCCUUUCAAUCGAUGAUGAUUCCCUAUAUGUCAUCUCCCAUGGCAUCCUUGGCUCCUUAAUAUGAUGCAGCCUCAUUAUCAGGUACAUAUAAUACAACUCUCAGUAUUCCACAGGAAGUCACAUCAGAGUUCCCUACAACUUCUCAAUCACAUACUUCUUUGGGUGAUAUCUCUCUUGAAUCACAUGGGAUUAUUCCAUCAGCUGCACUAAUUCCUCCUCGACGUUCUGGUUAUACUACAUGACCACCCACAUGGACAACAGAUUAUAUUUGUCCUACCUUUGAGUCAUAUAGUAUACAAUAGCCCAUCUCAUCAUAUGUUAACUCUACUCGCCUUUCACCUAACAUAUGUGUUGCCUUAGUAGAAUAUUUGAAGGACAAGAACCAUCUUCAUAUGAUGAAGCUACAAAAGAUCCUCAUUGGCAGCAAGCAAUGGUGGAUGAAUUACAAGCCCUAAUAGAAAAUAAAACUUGGGAUAUCAUUCCCAUACCCCUCAUCGGAAAAUCUAUUGGUUGUAAGUGGGUAUACAAAAUCAAAUACAAGACAAAUGGUUCCAUUGAACCUUAUGAGACAGGACUAGUAGCCAAAGGGUUCACUCGGCAAGAAAGUUUUGAUUAUAUUGAAACGUCCUCUCCAAUAGCGAAGGAAGUCACCGUCCAUUCCUUCUUUUCUAUUGCUGCUUUUCGCAAUUGGCCCAUUCAUUAAACGGAUAUUCGUAAUGCAUUUUUCAUGAGGAUCUUAAAGAUGAAAUCCACAUGGACCUUCCGCUGGAUUUAUGUAGACAAUGAGAGAAUAGCGUAUGUUAUUUCUGUAAAUUCCUAUACGGACUUAAACAAGUUUCUCGUCAAUGGUAUGCUGAUAUGAUUAUGCUUUAUUCACAUUGAGUCAAGGUACAUCAUCAAUUUACUUGCUUAUAUACAUUGAUGAUAUAAUUAUUAUAGGAAAUAAUGAAAAUACCCGACAUACACGUUUAAUAUUAAGGAUUUAGGACAUUCCAAAUACUUUCUUGGGAUAGAGAUUACACGAUCGGAUAACGAAAUUUGCCUCAAUUAACAAAAAUUUGUCCUAGAAAUCAUAGUAGAAGCAAAACUAUUGGGAUCCAAACCAAUUGUUAUUCUAAUUAAACAGAAUGUUAAGUUAACAAUUGCUGAGUAUUAUAAAGGACUAUCACACCUGAAUGACAACCUUUUGCUCAAAGACCCUUCUUCUUAUCAGAGACUUGUCGAGAAACUCAUAUAUCUAACCAUGACUAAACCCGACAUAUGCUAUUCCGUGUAGAUUCUCAACUAGUUCAUGCAUAAUCUGAAGCAGUCCCACAUGAAUGAUUCACUAAAGGUUGUAAAGUACUUAAAGGAAUUUCCAAGUUUGGGGAUACUACCCUCUCGGGAAAGCAACAUGGAGAUGACAACGUAUAGUGAUACAUAUUAUGCUACUUGCCCUAUGAGUAAAAAAUCUUUCACUAGAUUCUGCUUCAAAUUAGGCAACUCAUUAGUCUCUUAGAAAACAAACAAAUAGUCGACUGUUUUUUCAUCAUCCGUCGAAGCAAAAUAUCAGGCAAUGGGCAAGACUAGCUUUGAGAUAGUUUGGAUUAGAGGAUUACUUCAAGAUAUUAGCCUAUCGGUAAAAAGAAUCGACCAUCCUAUUCUAUGAUACUGAUGUUACACUUAAACUUGUAGUAAAUCCAGUUUUCCAUGAAAGACACAACAUAUAGAAAUUGAUUGUCAUUUGAUUAGAGACAAAAUUCAAGAUGAAGUAGUCAAAACAAGAGAAAUGAGAAUGACGGAACAGCCGUAGACAUCUUCAGUAAACCCUUAUGUGAGAGGCAACAUGCGUAUAUAUUAAGCAAGCCGGCAUCCUUGAUGUGCAUAAACCGUCAGCUUGAGGGGAGUGUUGAAGAUAUUGUUGCCUAGACUAGACUGAUUGAUCUUGAUCCGAAUAUUGAUUGUAAUUUUUGCCUAAUUAUUUCCUUUACUUUGCAUGUCUCUUUUUCCUUAAUUAGUUUGAUCCUAUGUACUAUAAAUAGGACUAUAAUUGUACAAUAUUGAUAUGAGAAAGCAAUAUACAUUUUUCUAAUUCUCUGACAAUUUCAUGAAAUGAAAUAAUUAGGCGUCAUUAUUAAUUAUCUAUCUAGUACUUAAAAGUCCAUCAAUACAUCUAAAGAUGAUAAAAGAUGUUAUCUUUAAAAUUUGGUGUUGUAUGGUCAUAAGUUAAAUGGCUAUUGAGCUAUCAAUUUUAGUUCCUACGCCAUUGGAUCUCAAUUUGACAUGUCUUUCAUAUGGGAAAGGACUUACUAAGGUUUUUUUUUUUUUUUUCAUCUAGUUAGAUAGAUAUUUUGACAAUACAAAUAUAAGUUUCAACGGCAGAUUUUCUAUACUUAAAAAUGAUCCUAUCUAAGACCAUAUGCAUCCAUGCUCAUUAUCUCAUGACAUGUGGUACGUCUAAAAAAAAUAGAAUUAGCAAUACCCAUUAUUUCCUAACAUGGUAUAUAUAAAAACAGAGACUUAGCCACAGCUGGUCAUAAAAUCAAUGUGGACUGUCACAUUGGUGAAAUCCAUAUGGUCAUAAGAAACCAGCUUUCUGAAAUUGUCCGAAAUUCUUUAGUAUAUAUGGAGCACUCACUAAUAAUUUCUACUAUGUGAAGAACUGGUUUCGCAUGUUACUAUUUCAAAAAUGAAGUAUCUUUUAAAAAGUUUUCUUGACGUUUAUAUAUAGAUAUGUUGUAGAAAUACUUAAAUGAUUCAAAGAAUGCUCUAGAUGAUUGAAAAUUCAGAGACGAUCACAUGAUGCGCAACAUCAUUUUCAAAUUCAUAAACUCGUAAUGUCAAAAAACAUGACAUGUGUUGAAAAUUGUUAGAAUAAAAUUGAUGAUUAAGACAGGGCAUAAAUCUAACUUAACACGAGGCAAAAUUUUUCCAUAAUCUAAUCCUGGAGGUGAGAUAUAAAUGUUUUAUUGGAAAUAUCAUAAACAUUGGAGUAAUAUAUAAUAAUGGACGCAUACUACGGUUUAAUUAGUGUAUUGAAAAUUGCAACACCUCCUUAUGAUAACCUAGCAAGUGUCCUUGGAGCACUUUUCAACAAAAUACAAAAUGCCACUUUCAAAGUAGCAUCACAAUAAUUCAUAUAUUGGAUAAUUUACCAAACUUGAGAGACAUUACCCCCGCACUUUAUAGGCAAACAACAUAUUUCACUACUAGAAAUUAAAUAUUAUGUAUUGGAAAAAAUAACCUGAAGUAGCACAAGAAUUAUUAAAUACAUUUGGCAAUCUAUCAAAUCGACCGGAAUUGGCCAACCUCAAAUUUCAAAAGCAAGCACCAUAUUUACCAGAGAAAAUUGAUAAUUACUAAUCCAUUGAAAAAUUACUAAGAUAGAGUAGUGCCUUAAUUGCAAAUAUAUUUGCUUACUGAAUGUACUAGACAGUUAUAUCUACCCCAUAUGCAAAGAAACAAUCAAUUGAAAAGGUUACUAGCUUAAAGUAUUAUGAUGGAGGAAGAGAGAGUUGUACCAAUCAAAUGGUCCAAUAAGUGGAUUCAUAAGAAAUGGGAAAAUUUAUCCUAAAAAUCGUAAAUCUUUCAAUUUUACCAAUUGAAUCAUAAACCUUUUCACAAUUUAUUACUUAAAUCUAUCUAUUUAGUUUUGGCAGGAAAUUGCUAACGUGGAUAAUUUUUAAUUAUAUCUUCAUUUUUUUUUAAUUUUCAUUUUUUUCUUUUAUUUUCUUUCCCUUAUUUUUUUUUCCUUUUUUCUUCUUUUCUUUUUCUUAUUUUUGUCUUCGCCAACCAUUUUCAAGCCUCGCCAAUGGUCAGAGAAGGUCGCCGACCUCAGGUGAGGACCGUGAGGCCAACGACCUUCACCUUCACCAAGCCAUUGCACGCUCAAGCGAGGGCAAGGGCUUGCCAACCCAGACCCAAGCCUCCUUUGCCCAAGGCUAGCGAAGGCUAGGCUUGGGCGGCUGUCACGCCCCGAACCUCGAGCGCUCGAACAUCCCACUCUGGUCGAUAAAAUUUUGUAACUUCCCAGGAUACGUCGAUGACCCAUCUUUUUAUUACGCAUGCAAAAGCGAAACAAAUCCCCUGACAACAUUUAGCUUGGGAUAGAAAAGCAGGCAAUCAAUCACAACCAAACAAGCUUUCUUAUAAACACAUAGGUUUAUAUACAAUACUGGAUUGUCUACAAAAUAGACAGGCUCAACAACUACGGGAACUGUCCGAUGACCAACUUGUCAGACAUGUUCGCCGAUUCUUCGGUCUCCACCUCCACAAAUGUCCAUGGCUUCGAGUCCUCCACGACCGUCAUCUAAGGACCUGAAAAUAUUAUCCCACAACCAGGAUGAAACAAUGUCUCAGCGAGUCCUACCUUCUAAUACCCGAUUAGGAAGAAAAUAUGCCUCAGGACACUCUAGCCACACAAAUUAGACAGAGGACUUACCUCGCCUCAGUCCCUUCAUGCACGUCAGUACAAUUCAUAUUCAAACAAUGCUCGCACAAGCUAAAACUACCGACACACACAUCGGUCUAUCAAUUCAAUCAAUCCAAUUGAUAUCAAACGAUCCACACAUCUAUCAAUUCAUACCAUCUAUUAAACCAUACCAUCUAUUCAUCCAUUAAUACAAUCACGGCUCACACAAGCUGAAAUAGAUGCAAUGCUCUCACAAGCUGAUAUAGAUGGUAGCUCGCACAAGUUGAUAUAUAUAUAGAUGGUAGCUCACAUGAGCUGAUAUAUAGAUGAUAGCUCGCACAAGCUGAUAAAUGGAUCGUUGCUCUCACAAGCUGAUAAAGGAUCGUUGCUCUCACAAGCUGAUAAACGAGCAUUGCUCUCACAAGCUGAUAUACAGUGCGCACACAAGCUGACAAUGAUGCUCAUAUAAUAGCUCACCAAAAGCUGCAAUAUAUAUAUAUAUAUAUAUAUGUAUGUAUGUAUGUAUGUAUGUAUGUAUGUAUGUAUGUAUGUAUGUAUGUAUGUAUGUAUGUAUGUAUGUAUGUAUGUAUGUAUAUAUAUGUAUGUAUGUAUGUAUAUCAUAAUUGCUCGCCCAAGCUGAUACAUAUAUAUAAACAAAUGCUCGCCAAAGCUGAUCAUUUAAUAAUAAACCAUAGAACUGGAUAUUCAAUCCAAUAACAACCAAUGAUUCAAACUAGUCAUACAAACCAAUUACGAUGCUAAAAGCCAACACCAUGUAUUUUCAAGUUAAAUACCACAACUUCAUCAAUUUCAUUCAAUUCCACACUUUGGAAUUAUUAACCAAAAUCAUCAAUCACUCAAUUCCUCAAAUUAAACAAACAAUUAGCACAAACUGACCACACUGCUGCGAUCAGCGCGAAAUUCUAACGACCGGCCAUCCCGGCAAAAUUUUCGAAAUUAUUAAAUAAUUAAAUUUAAUUCCGAAAAUUAAAUAAUUAAAUAAUAUAUUAUAAUAAUAUAAUUUAAUAAAAUAAUAUUUAUAAAAUUCGAAAUAAUUAAUUAAUUAAAAAUGAUUAAUUAAGGCUUAACUAGAUUACACUAAUUUAAACAUACAAUUAGCCCUAAUUAAACAUCCAUUAAACUAAUCAUAUAACUAAUCUAAUUCACAUUAAAAUAAUCUAAUUUAACCACAUAAACCUAAUUAAACUAAUCUAAACACCCCUUAAGCAUAAUUAACUCACUAAGUAAGGAUUAGAGGAUAAACUCACCCGAUUAACAAGCCGAACGGCUCAAAACGACAGGGACGACACGAGGGUCGAUAGUCUCCAAGGCGGGCCUAGCUUCCGGGGUCAGGAAGCCGACCAAAAUGGGCCAAAACCAAGCUGAAAUACCCAUUUUCCAGCUGCUAUUUGGGGCCGAGAAGAGAUGGAUCCGGGGUUAGGUCAAGCUGGACAGGGCCGGUGGUGGUCCGUCUAAGUUCCAACGGUCCAGGCAGAGGCGUACGGCGGCGGAGGGAGCUCCGGUGGUGGCUCACGGUGUUGGACAGCAGCUCUUGAUGCACAUCGGACAGGAACGAUGGCCGGAAUGGCGGGCUUGGCGUGCGUGGACGGCGGGGUGUCGCGAGCGGCGGACGGCGUGCAAGGGGUGCGCAACGGCGGUCCGACUAGACUGCUGGCUGCUCUGGCAUCCUCAGAUCUGCUGGGUCUUCGAGCAGCAACCGAAGAUGGAGGAGAGAAGGCUUCGGCGAGAGAGGGAGAAGGAAACGGAGGCGUGCGGAGCAACGACGAGCAGCGACGGCGUUCGGCUGGGACGAACGGCGACGGCGGCUUCGGACGGAGCUUCUAUGGUUCGCUGGUCUUCAGCUUCUUCGGCUUGCUGCGUUUCUUCGAGCAACAAGAAGAAGGAGAUGGAGGGGAGGCUCGACGGAGGAGAGAGGGGGAGAAACGGUUUCUCUCUCUUGGGGGGGACCACUUCUCACAUUUUCCUCUUUCUUUAAUCCUCCAAAAAUGGCCCACCAUGACCUCAUGUGAUGUCACCUUCCACUCAACUCCAAGCUUCCACAACUAUCUUCAAUGGGUUCAAUUUUAUUUUCCGCCGUGGCAUGAAAUCUUGUACACUUAAUUCAAUCAAUUCUCAAUCAAUUCCAUCCAAUUGAAGCUCAAUUAAAUUAACCCAUGCGUCCUCAACCUUCUUAUGACUUUUCCCCAUCAAGUGAUCCAACUUGCAUCCCAAAGAUUCGAUUAAAAACGGCCCUCUGACAAUCUCGAACAAAAACGGCCUUACUUUGCUUUUCCGCCAAAAAUCUCGGUUUGUAGAAAAAUCUUCUGAAGAUGAGUCGACGUUCCCAAAAUGAAUUGUGACUUGACAAAACUUCCAAUUUCUGUAAUCGGGUUCAAUUUCACGGUUAAAUUCAAUCUGGCGCAUCUUUAGCGCAUCCUAAUCUACCGGGUAGCUUUUAGGAAUUUUUAGUGCAAUUGACCCAUGGUUGAUUAUUUUCAAGCCACAAAGUGCAUCUUCAACACAUUGGCGACUCUCGGUUGUCGUGGAAAUCUCGAGAUUUCAAAUACGGACACAGGGUACCAAAACGAUAGAAAAAUCGUCUAGUGCCGAUCGAUCAGAAUUUUGCAAUUAAGUGGAAUCACCCACAUUUAAUCACACGGUUCUGUCGAAUCGACCCAGUGACCUCUGUUGACCAUCAACGAGGCCUUAUGGAAGGAAAAAGGGAAACAAAAGGAAAAAAAGAAUAGAAGGAAAAAUAUUCAAGUAUUAUUAAAAAUUAUCCACAUUAGUAUAGGUAAUGUCAUAUAGGACAGCUGAUGUCCAGUCAGUAGUUUUUUACUAAAAUUGAUCGAAUGAACUUAAUUGGCAAACAUAAAAAGAUUUAUGACCCAAUUGACAAAAUUGAAAAGUUUAUAACUACAUUGGCAAAACUACAAUAGAUUUAAGAAUUUUUGGACAAUCUUUCCAUAAGAAAUGUGUAUAGGACAUGGUAACGAUAAUAAUUUUUUUUUCCCACCUAAGGUGAACAGAAUAGCGGUUUGGUGUUAAAUCUAUCACACCAUGACAACUACAAUACUUUUUUUUUUUUGUUAAGUGCUUGUUUGUUUUUCUAAAGACGUGGUUUGAUGCAACUUUCACAUAACAAUUUUAGCUAUGAAAAAGAGGCUGCAACUUUUAAAGAUGUUCAACAAGCACCUCAAGUUUAACAUCUCCAGAACUAUAGUAGCUUAUAGCAGAUUUCAGAGAGCUGCUUCACCCAACUUUUAGAUACUACAAUUCCAAGAUGUAAAUUUCCAAAUAUAUGAAUCACUAACACUUCAUAGUACCACUAUAUAGAAAAAUAGAGAUACAAUUCAGUCAUAACUAUAGCUAAUGGGAUCUAAAUAGUACCCACCAUGCUGAACCAUUACAUAAGAUAGCCGGAUUUUGAUAAUAUUGGUCCAUUUGGUCAGGCAACAAAUCACCAUGAAGAACGACAAUUUUAAUGGAUUAUCCUCACUGAUUUACCAUGCAAUCUAUUUUAAACCUAAAGACUGAAAAUUUUGACGGGAAGAUUAAAGUGUGACCGAAGUUUACUGGUAAACGACAUAGAAGUUUUUGGUUGAAAAAGUGAGAAGGUUCAAUACUUCCUUUCCUCGGUUGGUUCAAAAGGUCGAAACCUUUUCCAAAAUGUUGAGUCAGGACAAUAACACAUCCUAGGAUUGCACACGCAUCCAUUAUAGAAAUCACCUGAGCUACAGCAAAUGUUACAUCCUCAAUUGGGGGUUUUUGUUGCAACAUCCCAGACUUGUCGCCAUCCGGAUUCUUUUAUCUUAUUUUUAUGCACAUGCGAAAACGUGUACUUAAAUCUUCCCCAGACUAAUAACAACUUGAAGAUGCGGACAAUCUCAUACAAACACACUACUUUCAUACAUAUAUGUUAGUGAUACAAUACAUAUGCUGCUUCCGGCUACAUUGCUUUUUACAUGAUAGCAAAAGGUUGGGGUAUCCCUAGCUCUGCUAUGGGCUAUAGUCUCCAAAAUUGGGAACCCUCCGCUAUUAGGCGGUAUUGCAAUCUAGUUCCUUGACCCCUUAGACAGUGCUCCAUCGUCCGAGCCGACUGGCCCGUUGAACGCACGAAGUGGACUGACGAGGUCUCCGUCGAACCAGACAUACCAGGCUACAUAACGAUGGGGGACCAAGUCAUCUAGCCCUUCAUCCACCCAUAUGGUGGUAGUGUAUUCACGAUAUGUAUAAGUGGUCUCCUCCUCUAAGUCCGCUACGUCGGCAACCGACACUUCCAUAUUUAUAGGCAGACCAAAAUGUUCAGGAGGUGGGUUAACCUUACUUAAAAACCUGAAAAGCAUAAGGAGUGAGUCUUGGGAACUCAAUAAGUAAUAUUUCUAUUUCUCUACCAAGAAAGCCUCUCAUCAUCAAGAAUUAGUAUGUACCACACUCGCAAAUAGUGUCAAUGGCAAAUCAAUAGCAAAUCAUAAGUCAUGCUUCAUCCACACAUGCCAUCCAUGUCGAGACAACCAUCAGUUUAACAACCAGCAUAUGAAUAAUUCACAAUUAUGCAUCACCGGUACCCAUGCAAAUUCAUUUAUCGUCGUCCUAGUUCAACCAGGCCCUCCCGGCUCAACCGAGGCAUCUAGCUUCAUGCUAGGCAUCCUAACUCAAUCAAGGCAUCACGAUUCAACCAAGGCAUCCUGGGGCUAGCUUACUUGAGGCAUCCAUGCUCAACCCAGGCAUCCUAGCUCAACCAGGGCAUCAUGUUCAAUGAACGAGGCAUCACCGCCGAUGUUGUGUGGCAACGAACGCUUUUCCUCUUUAAGUGCACGCAUAUAUGCAUCAUAUAAGUCGGUUCUUGUCUUUUCUCUUAGCUGACACAUGCAUGGCCUGAAGGCAUGCUCAUUCUUUCGUGUGUGCCAUGAGUUCGUGUACGUCGCAAAUAAAUAUGUCAAGAAUGAUCCUUGAUCCAUAACUUGAGCCAAUCACUUGGCGUCGAUCUCAUAUCAGACAAGGCUUGGAAACGGCACGCCUCAAUGCCGAUCCAAGACAUUGAGACUUGGGUAUACCUUGCUUUAAUGAAGAUCCUAAACUUGCCGAACCUCAAUUUCAACCCGAUGUGAAUACACUUGUGCCGUGAAUAACCCUUGACUCAUGGUUUGAUUCAACGCCAAGUGCAAAGUUCCCGCACCAAUUCAAACUAUAGAAUCGGCAUGCUUUAGUGCCUUACCAAGACCAUGUAGAUUUAGGCGAUCCCCAUACCAAUCAAGGCAUAGAAUCGACAUGCCUCAAUGUCAAUUUAGGACCUCGCGACCUUGGGCGAUCCCUACACCAAGUGAGACUUGGACCCGGCACCCUAUUUAUGCCGAACCAAGGCCUUGUGGGUUGGGCGACUUUGCCUUGCGAUGAACUCAAUCUGAACAAACCUCGAUUUCAUUCUAGACGUAAACGACUCAAGCACACGGCCAUGUACAAUUGCAAGCAAAAUCAGAUAAAAGAUAUCACAUACCACCCACUGCUUAACGGGUGAGCACUUAGCUAGCUUCAAUAAUGGGAUCUACCUUCUUAGAGGAGAAAGAUGAACCUUACUUAUCUUGACAAACCUCAAGAACUAACUUGGAUAGCUUGAUGGGUUGGUGGUGCGAGGUCGAGAGAAAGGAAGAGGAGGAGGAGAGUAGGCGUGAAUGGCAAGGGAGCUUAAAAUAACGGAAAUGAAUGGAAACCCCUCCUAUUUAUAGGCACCAAGCUCAUCAUUACUCAUUCAAGCAAUCCAAUUACAUUUCUUAAAGUGGCAUGGCUAUAACCUUGAGGUGGCAAGCCUAGGUCGCAAGGUGGGACACCUAUUUGGAAAGGCAGCACACCUAAUUUUAUGAGAUGGAGAUCUAAUGGCUUAGUGUAAUUAUUUAAAGGUUUGUUUGUCUCCUUUUUAUUGGACCACAUGAGUACUUAGCCUAUUAUCAAGGGACAAGUCAUUAUGGAUAGGUGGCACCCUAAAAGAUAAGGUAACGCCAAGGCCAUAGGAUAGCCAUAAUUUACUCCAAGGUGUCUUAUUUUUAUUGGGACAUUCGGCCUAGAUUCUUUGCUUAAUCUCCAAGGUGAAUUCUUGGUAAUCAUGGCCAAAUCUAGAAGGAUCUAGGUGAAAUGGUGAGUCAUCCUCCUUCAUGAAGAAGCUCGGAUGUUCUAGAGACUUCUAUUUUGUACAUUUCCAAGCAACAUGGCAAUCAUGGAAAAAUAGGCCAUUGACAAUGCAACCAAGACCGAGCAGGAGCUUUUGGUGUACAUCCCCUAACGACCAUUCGGACAUACCCGAGGUUCGUGGCUAAGCCUCCCUCGGUAUGGUUGUCGUAGGCAAAGUUUACUUUCUUGGCUAGAUUGAUGGCCUAGGGCAUAGGCUCAAUGACGGGUCCUUAGAUCGACUCUAGCCGAAUGGAUUGGACCCUGGAUCAGCCGUAGGCUUCAUUCAAACCGAUUCCCUAUUGUCAUGUGGCCGUUCGAGAUCGGUCAGAUUCGUACUCAGCACAUGGUCAUACCGAGUCGAAUCAUGAUCAUCCAUGAUCGAUGCAUGACCAAGCAGAAUCACUUGCGAUCGGAACAUGACCAUUUGGAUCGAUUCAUUAUCGUUGAUUGAUCCGUGAUGGGUGUGACCAUCCCUCGACCAACCUUGACGGUCGAGUAGUCGUCAAUCGACUAAACUGCUCGGGUCCAUUAUCAUGAUCAUGGGACUGGUCCACGACUAUUCCCAAGAUUUGAUCCAUGAUCAAUAUAUGGCCAAAUCUUGGAACGAUCUAUGACCUAUCCCCCCACUAGCACACCAGAUUCACAGCCAUUUCUCGUAGGUUGAAAAUCGGGAUGUUAUAGCAAAUAUCUAGCCGAAGAUAAGUACCACGUGCUCAUGUUAAUGGGAUCUUGAGUACACAAUAUAUCAUAAGAGAUCUGCUGAGCUAAUCAUAGCAUUCGCGCCAUUAGAGUUCAGAGCACUUAGAAAAAGCAAAUCUUAUCAUUUUAGUUUGUCAUAUAUAUUCCAAGAUGCACUACCACUUUAAAAAUUUUGGGGGCUUUUAAUAACCAACGGUAUAAAGGAUGAUGAAGAGCUAGCGCAGUUUUUCUAUUCAGUUUUAUAACGAGGCGAAUUCCAAGCACAAAACCUUAAAGUGAGAUGAUAUCAAAUGAUAGACCCAGGGCAAACCCUUUCCAUAUAUGUCCUUCCACAAGAGUUAGAUACGUAUAAUCGUCACGAGAUCAAACGCCGCCACCAGUUCCGAUACAGGAAAAAAGAUUGUUACAUUCAUCCUAUGCACGCGUGACGGUCAAAAAAGCUGUUGCAGAUGGAGCGCAAUACCAUCAAGUUCUUUAACAUUGGAUUCAUUGAACCGAAAAGAUUUGCCAUUCAUAGUUCAAGGGACGUGCGAAUGUUGAUCAGGAGCCACCUGUCGUCCAUUCAUGCAGGAGGCACAGAACGUUUGUGCUGCGAUAGGUAGCUAAGCGGAUGGAUUCGCAUUACCCUCUCGACGUCUGCGCAUGCCUAAACUGAUAAAGAAAGGGAGUCUUAAACGACAAACGCCUAAAAACCUACGGAAAAGAUAUGAAAAACUUAUUCAUUUAAGAAGCUCGAAUGUGUGGUGCGAUGUUAAGGUGAAAGGGGAAGAGAAAGUCUGUAAUACUUAAGUCUGGCAUAAAAUAUUGGUAAAAAUUGUCCAAAAAGCCCUAAACCUAUUAUAUCUUUACCAAUUGAGUUCUAAACCUUUCAAUUUUGUUAAAUGAGUCCCAAACCUUUUCAACUUUUGCCAAUUGAGUCCGCUUGGCUAACUUUGACCGGAAAUUGCUGACAUGGACAACUAGUGCUAACAUAGCACUUUUAAAUAAUAUUUUUAUAAAUAUUUCAAAUUUUUACGUUUUUUUUCUUUUUUACUUUUUUUUUUUUUUUGGUGGGUUUAGGAGCUAGGCCUGACAAGGGUGGCUGGCUGACCCAAAAAGCAAGGGUGUCGUGGCCCUCACCGAUUCUAGGCGAGGACUCGCACGCCCUCGCUUUUGCCGAGGAGGGCAUCGUGACCCUCGCCCGGAGUUGGCAAGGGGCACAAUGCCAUCACCUAGGGCCAACGAGGUUCAAUCGGCCCUUGCUUGUGGUUGGUGAGGGUUGCCAGCCCUCGCCUAUGGCCGACUGCUCCCUCGCCGACCCUAAUUCUUUAUAAUAAAAAAAAAGUCAUAAAAAUUGAAAAUAUUUUUAAACAAGUGCAACGUUAGCACCAGUCAUCCACCUUAGCAAAUUCCAGCCAAAAUUGGUCAGAAUGAUUCAAUUGACAAAAGUUGGAAAGGUUUAGAAUUAAUUGGAAAAAUUAAAAAAUUUAGGACUCAAUUGGCAAAGUAUAAUAAGUUUAAUUCUUUCUUACUAGAUGUUGAUGUUUCGGGUGCAUAAUAUGUCUGUGCUACUCCACCCAACCAAUUAUUUUUGGCGAUUAUAAUAUUCUACGUCAUGGCAUAAGACGGUGUGGUCUUUCUCCUCCCUCUGUAGAUAUUGCAUGGCUUGCGUGACUAGAGUUCACACAGAAUAGCUCAUCAGUAGGGCAUCUCGUGUUGAGCUAUAAAACCUUUCAUUCUCAAAUAUUUCCUUCAGUUGAGCUGCCAUCCUUGAUUUCCUGAGAAGUAGAGAGAGAGGCAAUGGCCAUUUUCUCGAUCGAUAAUCCCUGUUCUUUUGCUUUUGGCCUCCUAGGUAUAUAGUUUUAGCUAGACAGGAUCUAACUUGUAGUCUCACUUAGUAUCUUCAUCAAACUAGAGUUAACAUGCACAUUACAAGUUGUGCCAUCACUAACCCCUAUCUCAUCAAGAUAUUGAUUCCCUUGUAAGGCCAUGGACUGAUUCAUUUGUCAUCUUUUCUGAUAAUUCUUUGUCCCAAGUAAUCUCAUAUCUUUUGUGGUCUUUUUGGCCCCAAUGUAAGUUCAUCCUCUUGAUCAACUUUUUGUUUAGCUUAACAGAAGGGUCUGGAAGUAUCAUCUUCAACGACUGAUUGAUAAGGUUCUUGCAAUUCUUUUUUUUGUUUAUGUUGACAGACCAACAUUUUAUGGGGUGUGCAAGAAGAAGUCAACCGAAGGAUUUCAAUCGUUCCAUACAUGGUUUCUCUGUUCAGCGCCAUGCUCUGGAUAUACUACACAUCCCUCAACUCCAAGUCCAGUGAUUUCCUUCUCAUCACUAUCAACUCAGUGGGAUGUGUCAUAGAGACCAUCUAUGUUGCUCUCGACAUUGCUUUUGCUCCUGAAAAAGCCAAGUUACAUAGUUACCUAUCCAAUCAUGUUUACAUGAUAUCGUCACAAUCCAUACACGGUUGAUAUGUAACAGUAUACGUUGUUAAAGAAGGUUUUUUUUAUUAUAAAUGCGUGCAUGCAUGUGACACGGCCCACGAACGAAGCAUGUACCGUCCGUGAUUCGGCCGUGUCACGCACAAGGGCUUGCCACGGACAAGCCCUAAUUGGUUCCAGUCCCGACCGAUCCCUGACCGAUCCCGCAUCCAUCCUUGAUCGAUCCCCAAUCGAUCACCGAUCAGUCCCUGCACGAUCCGUGAACCGUGCCCGAUCCGUCCAUGCGCGAUACGGGGGAUAACCCGUGCACGACCAGCGGCCGACUCCUAAUCAAUGCUUGGCCAGCCCCUGCACAAACCUGGAGUUGUUCACCUGCUCCGUGUCAGGUGGCCAGACUCGCCCAUGCUGACCCUGGUCUUGCUUCUGACUUGUGCAUGCGCCUGUGGCUGUUUCCCAAUGCCUGCAGCCAUUGAGUGGCCUGUUGUGUAGCCUUGUAAUGAUGAUACAGAUUCAAACUCCACUGUUGGAUCGAAGGGACGAUCAACGGCCGAGAUUAGACCCGAACUUGUAUAUAUAGGGGUCCCUCCCCCUCAUUUGAGCUCAGCUCAUUCAUAGUGAAUAUAUUCGCCCUUUGCACAACCGACCCUUGUGCUUGUGUGCGUGAGUUGAAAUGCUGACUUAGGAUCAUGAAUCCUAAGGCCGCACGGUGUUUGAUCGAUCAUGUUCGACCAACCCGUGACAAGUGGUAUCAGAGCGGGGAUCCCUUCAGUAGGUGGGUGAUUCGGGGAAAAGCCUGUGGUCUUCCUGAUCCUAUGAGGGUGGAGAGUGAUCGUCGAGGCCAAAAGAGCUCGGACAAUGUGCGGCUCUCGUCUAGCUUCUGGGAUGGCAAUGGGGGCAUAGGAAGGAACCGAAUAGCUCGCUGAACGGGGAUAACAUUCCUAGAUCAAUGGGCGAAUCUUAAGAAGAGGUCUGCAAUCACGUUUCCACCAAGGGAGACCCUCUGUUGGCUUGCAGAGAUCAAGAGGAGCUUAAUAGGCGAAAGAAGGUGCUGCCAUAGGGGUGCAAUUGGCUAGGGGUGCCACACUUGUCAGGGAGUACAAGUGACUAGAGAUUAGCGAACAACUUUGAUCAGGGGAAGCAUGCAAUAGAGUGGUGUGACUUGUUCUGUUGGGCGAGCGUUGCCAUCUAUGUAAGUCCUAGGAAGUGGCACUGAUGGUUAGAGAAACGCAGGGAAGCGACAGACCAGCCCGCAACGAAGGCGUUACGGAAUUGGGUGGGGGAGUUUGACAUGGUCCAUGAUUUUCCCGUACCCAUGAACCAUUGGGAACGAAGUUUGGGGUUAUCGAGUGAAGAGCGAGGGCGCAGAGAGGAUGAACACAACUAGUCCGUGGGAGUGGCGUCGGGACGGUUGGUGCUUGGAGUUCUAAGAUAGAAGGAUAAUAUUACUUAGGAGCUCUGAAGGCGGGGUUGGCCUCCUAUGCACAAACUAGUCGGGAGCUGAUGCCGCUCUCCUAAUGAGGCCAUGGCAGGCCGAAACCAAUUGUUAAGCCUAAAGAGGGCUGUUGUCUCGCUCGAUUGACUAGACGCCCGAGCCAAGCUGGGCGUGGUACGAUCUUGUAUGAAAAUAGCUAUUCAUCAUUUUGUUCAUUGGAACAACUAUAGAAGGAAGGCUGGCCUGGUGAAUAACGUUCGCUAGGCGCCACACGGGUUAAUCCGCAACCAAGGAAACUAUCGACCCGUGACAAGUGGUAUCAGAGAGAUCGUUCCUAGCGCAAUGGCUGAUCCUCGUGCUGAUGUCCCGGUCGUGUAAGGCGAUGACCAAGAGGAUCGUGGGCGUCAAGCCGAGAAGGCCACCAGGUCGAAGAAGAACCGUGCUAUCUCGUGUUCGAGGGAUCCAAAGGGGGAUUUGGAAAACCGAAUGACAAUCCUAGAGGAGACCGUCACGGACGUCCAAGCAUUGAUGGACGACCUGAACCAGACCGUCAAUGGAGCGCAAGCCGGUAGGGAGGAGUUCUUGGCCGAAGUGCAAGAACUCAAAGCCGGCAUGGGAGAGCUUCGGGUCAAGGUACUAGGAUCUCUCACGCACGAGCUACAACAACGAGACGAGACUUGGGAGACCGCGAUGGUGGCCAUGUGCGCGGAGAUGGCCGAGCUGAAAAGCAAGCUCGCCGAGCUUGAAGCUGCACGCAUGAACGGGGUGAUCACCGUGCAAUCACGUGCCGAUGCACCCAAGCCGAAAGAGUUCAAUGGCUCGCGAGUAGCAAAUGACAUGGACAACUUCCUGUGGUAUAUGGAACACUACUUCCAGACCAUGGGAACGACUGACGACAUGAUUCGGGUAAACAUCGCAGCCAUGUAUUUAGCUGAUGAUGCGUUAUUAUGGUGGCAUCGUAGGUCGGAUGAUAGAAAUGGCGACCCUAUCACGACAUAGGCUCGGUUCGUCGAGGAAUUUCGGCGAACCUACUAUCUCGCUUAUGCAGAAGAGGAAGCUCGCGGGGAACUCAAGAGCCUAAAGCAAAAAGGCGGAGUCCACGACUAUGUGAAGCGAUUCUCAGAGCUGCUACUCUAAAUCCCGUCCAUGACCGAGACGGAGGCAUUCCACCAGUUCAUGAGCGAACUCAAACUAUGGGUCAAGCAAGAGCUCAAACGGUGCAAUGCAACGGAUCUCACAACGGCUACUUCCGUGGCUGAGUCCCUUGUGGAAUACAGGCCGGCAUCCUCGGCCAAGCCUGACUCUCGGUCGAGAGAAAAUGCCACUAAUGGGGGAGAUCGGAGCCGGUACCAUCGUCUGAACAGAGGCAAAUCGCCUUCGGUCCCUCCUAGGACUCAACCUAAGUCGAGCAACGGAGGAUACCAUCGUAACGUACGCACCUAUAACUGCUUCCUUUGUGACGGUCCCCAUAUGGCCCAAGAUUGCCCGAAAAGAGGGAAGUUGGCAACCUUGUGCAAAGAGGAUAAACCGCAAGAGGAGGCGCGGUUGGGAUCGUUACGGAUCCUUGGGUCCUUGGGUCGAUCGAGGCCAAGAAGGCCAAGGAACCCAAAGGAAUGAUGUUUGUAGAUGUGAAGAUCGGUGGUACCACGAUGAGUGCACUCAUGGAUAACGGGGCGUCCAAACUCUUCAUAUCCAAAGAGGCCGCGAAGAAGCUGAAGCUUCUAGUCGAGACAGGUGAUGCCGGUUGGCUCAAAAUGGUGAAUUCCAGAGAAGUCCCGACCAGCGGCAUGGCUAAGGACGUGGAGUUUCACCUCGGUCCAUGGACAAGCCGGGAGGACAUCGAGGUAAUCCACCUUGACGACUAUCACUUCGUGCUUGGUUUAGGAUUCCUUGAUGGGAUCAAUGCGGGCGUUAUGCCCUUCACGGAUUGUAUUUGCAUCCUAGAUAAGUGGUGCCAAUGCAUGGUCCCAAUUUACCGCGAGUCGAGACGCGAUAGGAAAAUGCUAUUGGCCAUACAGCUGACUAAGGGGUUACAGAAAGGCGAGGUGACCUUCUUGGCAGCGUUGAUGGAGGAGGGCGCUAAAGAAAGUGAGGUACCGGGAGAGGUAGCCUGAGUCCUCGACGUUUUUCAAGACGUGAUGCCGCUCGAGUUGUCCAAGAAGCUGCCUCCUCGGAGAGAAGUGGACCACCGGAUCGAGCUCGUGCCAGAUGCUCGAUCGCCGGCCAUGGCACCCUAUCACAUGGCCCCGCCCGAAUUAGAAGAACUAAGGGAAAAACUCAAAGAUUUGUUCGAUGCGGGAUACAUUUGACCGUCCAGGGCCCCGUUCGAUGUGCCAGUUUUGUUCCAAAAGAAACAUGACGAAUCCCUCCGCAUGUGUGUUGACACCUAAAAAAAAUAAAAUUAUUGCAUGUAGAUUAUCUAGGUAUUUAGUAUAGUUUUUUAAAAUGGAAGAUGUUUUUUCCUAAAAAAAAAAAAUUAAAAAAUUAAAUUAAAAAAAAUUAAAAAAGAAAAAAAAAAGUUAAAAAAAAAGAUUAAAAAGGAAAAAAAAAGAAAAAAAUUUGGGGCCAAUGAUCUAAAUGUGACUAGCCAAGCCCAAGAGGUCAAAUUGGAAUUGAAAUGGCAAAUUGGUGCCAAAAUGCAAUUUCCAAAAGUUGAGGGACCAAUUCGCAAAUUUUGCAAAAUUUCACUCGAGCCCUUAAAUCAUCAUUUGGGCUCCCAAUUGAGUUAAAAUUGAACUUGGGUCAAGUCUAAUUAAUCGAAUCAGGCAAAAAAGGACCUAAUUGCAUUGUAUUUGGGAUUCUCGGGCAAGAAAAUGGCCAACUUUGAGGGACUUUCUUGCAAAAUUGGGUGGAGACAAUUGCGAAAAAUGGUCAAGAUCUUAAACUACUAUAUAUGAUCUUGCUAAUUGAUCGAAAAUCGCAGCCAAAUUCAUGGAUUAAAGCACCUAAACCAGCUGACAAAUCCCAGUCCUCAAGUUGGUCUGAAGUCGGAGCUGCUGAGUAAGCAACUUGGUGGCCCCACCAUAUCCUCCUUAGCUGUCCAACCGGCCUGCUCUUUGCACGUGAUGGAAGACCGUAAUGAGUAGUGCAAGUGGACGGAAAUUUGCCAGGGAUAAGCCGCUGAAAGCACGGGAAAGUCGCAGCAAAAUCGGCACACUCAACAUCUGCAAGAUUUGAAAAUUCUGGCUAAGUCAGAAAGUGGGUGGAUAGCUCAGAUGGCAGGCUUGGUAGGUGGACAAAAAGCCGACCAAGAGAUUUAUGAAUCCGGGGGAUAAGAUCACAGAAGGGAUGAUUUUCAAGGGAUGAGAGAAAGGGACGAGGGAGAGAGGGGAGAGCUCGGAAUCGUUACCCAAAGACACCUUCAGAAGCAACUCCAGAAAAGCAAAAACCCAGAAAAUCCAGACCGACCUUGAGAGAGAAAAGUGAGAUUUUCACAACUCUUCGGCCAAAAUUAGCCAAAACCUUCAACUAGAGAGUGAAACUUCAUUCAAAUAUCUUUCCAUCCAUAGGUCGCACGUUCCAAAUGGAGAUCGGGAAGGCCUCCUAAAGCCCCCCGAAAGUACACCCUCCUGGCGGGCCAAGAAACACUGGAAAUUUUUCCAAGUGUUGAGCCCGAUUGGUCACGAGUGAGGGAAAGCCAGUGUUUUUUUGAGAAAUUUGAGAGACAAAUGAGGAAAAUAUUGAAUUUUACCGCAAACUAGAAUAAAUAUAGUUUUUUUUGUGUCAAUUUUUCCAACAAAAGACGUCUUGAAGUCUAAUUUUAGAGGUCAAAGAAAACCUUCAUUGUCAGUUCUUUUUUUCUGCAUAUCUCAUUUCCAGUUGAAGAAGCCAACUUACACGGGCCCCCGAGGAUAAUUUCUUGGUUUCCUCGGCCGUGAACCAUUUGAAAAGGAAACUAGGAAGCAAGGUAAGCAUCAUAGAUGUAUUUGUUUUCGAGUUUGGGCAUGUUUUAAUCAUGAAAAUCAAGAGGAAAACCAGCCCGGAAAACUGAUUUCUGAGGCUGAAAUUUUUCUAAGUGUUUGAAAUCUCUUCAAGAGUUUUGCAUGUGUGCUUCUUGGAGAGGUCGUUUUGAUGUUGUUCGGUGAGUCAUUCUCUAUGAUAUUUGUUGCAUUUGAAAGCCCAUGUUACCUACUUUCACACGGAUUAAGUAGCAUUUCCCUUAGAUCUUGUAUGUGAUGAGUGCCGGGGCUUGAAUAUGGGCAUGUAACCUGUUUGCUUGACUUGGGUUCAAACCCAGAUUUGCAAAAUCAGUUAAAACCCGUGCAUUUGAGGACGAUUUUAGCUUGGUUCUAGUGUGUUUUUAGCUAUGAUUUCUAUCUAAUCUUGUUCUUUGCAUGUGUUAGUAUAAUCUUGAUACUUUAGUUCCACAUGAGAUUGCUUAUGAGUGGAGAUUGAAGGCUGCAAACAUGGCUCGAGGAGGCUAUUGGGGCUAGUUUAAUGCACACCAAGUGUUCGACAAAAUGCCCAAACUAAGCUUCGAUCUUGAAACGGUCGAUUUGAGCUUGAUUAUUGUGAUAUUCAUGUGCUGUGUUACUCCAUGUUAGCAUAGAUCGGUUUAAGGAAUUAUUAUUAAUUAAAAAAAAAUUUAAAAAAAAAAGAGAAAAAUAUGAAAAUUUCAAAAAUAUCAAAAAAUGUUCGAUAGCAUCAAAUUAGGAUAGAAAUGACAUAUAUGAAAUUUUCCUAAUUUUAAAAGAUCAUUUUCCUAAUUUAAUACUAUUUUGGUAUUUUAUAACCAUUUUUGUAAAUAAUCCAUUUUGCGUAGAUUAAAACUAUUUAAAGUAAUUUCAUGCAUAUAGAGUAAUUUCAUGCAUAUUUGAAUUCUCAUUUUGCUCAUGGGGGUUCUGUCCCGGGGCGUGAUAACAAGGCCAUGUAAUAUUAUUUGCCCGACUUGUAUCGGGUUUACCUUUUCCGCGUUUAUUUUCAAGUCAUUUCAAUUUCUUGGAUGUUUACUUACGCGCUGCUUUUCAUUAUUUUGAGUGUAAAUUUCUCUUCUAAAUUAUGUUAGGAUUAGUCUAGACAUUAAAAAAAAAAAAAAACUACAAAAAUAUUUGCAUGGACACUUAGUGGUUUCAUAAAAAUUAUAAUUGGUAAUCAAGAUUGUAUGGCCAUUUAGAUAAACAACCUUCCAAAUUAGUGGUACCGCAAGGGCGCUAAUAGAAACAUUGGCGUAAACAAGUCCCCGUUCCUAGAAAUCUUUGGUUGCGUAUGAAUCGAGACAACACUCCCGUGUCUUGAUUGGUUUCUAGCCGACCCCAAUAGGCUAAUGGCGACUCCUAGAAUUACAUAGGUUGUUAAGAACUAAAAAAAAAAACGAAUCCAACGUCGCGCGGGGUAUGGACUUGGGAGAGCCCUCGCCUAAUCUAGGGCCAUUGGUCCACCUCUUUAGGCAAAUACCCCUAAACCUUCUUCUUUUUCCCCGGACGGAAAAAAGGAGGUCGUGACAAUGUGCAUCGACUACCGAGCAUUGAAUAAACUCACCGUCAAGAACAAGUACCUGAUUCCUCUUAUUGCAGACUUGUUCAAUCAGCUCGGGGAAGCCCGAUGGUUCUCCAAGCUUGAUCUUCGAUCGGGAUACUAUCAAGUUCCGAUUGCUGAAGGGGAUGAGCCAAAAACCGCGUGCGUGACCCGCUACGGAUCAUACGAGUUCCUCGUCAUGCCUUUUGGCUUGACCAAUGUGCCGACUACGUUCUGCACACUCAUGAACAAGGUACUUCACCCGUUCCUUGAUCGGUUCAUUGUGGUUUACCUUAAUGACAUCGUUGUAUAUAGCCGGACGCUCGAGGAACACGUCGAGCACUUCAGACGAGUUUUCCAGCUCCUACGGGAAAACGACUUGUACAUGAAACGUAAGAAAUGCGCUUUCGUGCAAAAGGAAGUUCCUUUCCUCGGGCACAUCGUUGGGGGCAAACGAGUGCGAAUGGACGCGGCCAAAAUACGUGCCAUUGUUGAAUGGGAACCACCGACUAAGGUGACGGAGUUGAGAUCCUUCAUUGGUCUCACGAACUACUAUCGGCGCUUCAUCCAGGGAUAUUCGAGCCUCACCGUGCCACUCACGGACAUGCUGAAGAAGGAAAGGUCGUGGGAGUGGAUGGAUCGGUGUCAAGAGGUGUUUGAUCGGUUGAAGCGGGCCAUGACCGAGUAGCCGGUGCUUGUUCUACCCGACUACACCAAACCAUAAGAGGUAGAGACCGAUGCUUCUGAUUUUGCUAUAGAUGGUGUCUUGAUGCAAGAAGGGCAUUCGGUUGCCUUUGAGUCUCAGAAAUUGAACGAUACCAAGUGACGAUACAUGGUCCAAGAUAAGGAAAUGACCGCGGUGAUGCAUUGCCUUCGUACGUGGAGGCAAUAUCUCUUGGGAUCGCGGUUCAUGGUGAGGACCGACAACAUGGCCACGAGCUACUUCCAAACUCAAAAGAAGCUCAGCCCGAAACAAGCUCGAUGGCAAGACUUCCUAGCCGAGUUUGAUUACGUGUUGGAAUAUAAGCCCAGAAAGUCCAAUUCCGUGGCCGACGCCCUAAGCAGGAAGCUGGAAUUGGCCAAUGUGGUCAGCCGACCCGACUGUCCAUGGAUUGAUCGUAUCAAGGAGGGGCUGAAACGUGACCAAACUGCCCAAGCCCUCCUUCAAUACCCCCAAGAGGGCAAGACGAGGCGGUUUUUGUAAGGACCCGGGCCUCCCACUGUGUAAUAUUGUCCAUUUUGGGCCUUCGGCCCUCACGGCUUUAAAACGCGUUACACAAGUUAGAGAACCCAAGCCUUAUAAACCAGCCCAGGACUCCCCCCUAAGCGAUGUGGGACAGGAGACACGUCCCUUCCCUGCACACGUCCGGGGACCGAGGCGCGGACGCACCACCAUCCCUCCUUCUCGUGUACCGCCGCCUGGGCCGUCACACUCUCCCCCCCUUGGGAGCACAGCGUCCUCGCUGUGGCCCCACAUGCGGUCAGGAGUCGGCUCUAAUACCAUUUUUAAGGACCCGGGCCUCCCAUUGUGUAAUAUUGUUCACUUUGGGCCUUCGGCCCUCACGGCUUUAAAAUGCGUUACACAAGUUAUAAACUAGCACAGGACUCCCUCCCUAAGCGAUGUGGGACAGGAGACGCGCCCCUUCCUUGAGCACGUCCGGGGACUGAGGCGCGGACGCACCGCCAUCCCUCCUCCCCGCGCACCGCCGCCUGGGCCGUCACACUGACACUGUGCAUUGCACUCAAAUGCCUAGGGUGUUACGGUUUUUGUGAGAGGAUGAUCUCCUCUACACCAAGGGACGGCGACUAUACGUGCCGUUCUACGGGAAACUCCAGAAGAAGGUGAUGCACGAGUGCCACGACUCCAAAUGGGCGGGUCAUCUGGGAAUCCACCGCACCAUGGCACUCAUCGAGGAUCAAUAUUAUUGGCCACACAUGAGGGAUGACAUUGAAGCUUAUGUAUGGACAUGUCUUGUGUGCCAACAAGACAAGAUAGAGCAAUGGUCUCCGGCGGGGCUCCUUGUGUGACAUCCUGAAUUUCCAGUUUUGUUUUCAAUUGAAUAAAUUGGGCUUUUCAUCGACGCGCCUAUAGUUCUUUUCCCUAAACUGAUCACUCACGAGAUAACUACUAUAUCAGGUGAAGCCGUUAAGGGAUUUUAACGCAAUAGACUUGAGAAUUCAAUCAGGAAUCGACUGCUCGACCGUGCUAAUCUACAAGGAUCAUUACAGCACUGUCAAAAUAGAUCAGAGAUCAGAGAUAAGUCGAUUCGACUGAGAUAUGUGAUCAGUGUGUGGGUGAUCCCAUCUGAUUGCAAAAUUCUUGUCGAACGGCACUGGACUAAUUGUUCUGUCAUUUCUGUACCCUGUGUCCGUAUUUGAAACCUCGAGAUUUUCACGACAACCGAGAGUCGCCAAUGUGUCGAAGAUGUACAGUGUGGCUCGAAAAUAAUCGACCACAAGUCAAUUGCACUAAAAAUUCCUAAAAGCUACCCGGUAGGUUAAGUCACACUAAAAUCGCGCCAGAUUGAAAUUAACCGCGAAUUUAAACCCGAUUUCAUAAAUUGAAAGUUCUGUUAUGUCACAAUGCAUUUUAGGACCGUCGACUCACCCUCCAAAGAUUUUUUUGCAAACCGAGAUUUUUGGCGAAAAUUCAAAGUAGGGCCGUUUUUUACAGGGAAAAUUAUAGGGCUGUUUUUUUAUCGCAUUUUUGGGAUUCAAGUUGGUUCAAUUGAUGAGGAAAAAUGUUGAAUUUGAUGAUGACACCUUGGCAGAAUUUUUAGGGCUUCAAUUGGAUCAAAUUGGAGGAGAAUUUAAUGAAAUUGAUGAGGCAAAUGUCCAAAUUCGUAGCCAAAGGGGGGAGCAACCUUUUAGACCUCUUCAAUGGCUUGUUGGGGAAGCUUGGGUGCUGCAAAUGGCUGAGGUUGAAGGCUGAAGUGGUGGGGGCAUGUGUGAUGAGUGAUUUGGACAAGUGUUGAAGACUUUGAGGCCAUUUGGGGUCCCCCUCUCUUCAGCAGCCCCUUCUUCCUCCUUGAGACUUGCUUUCCCCAUUGCUGAGUGUCUUUUGAAGCUUAGAAAACCAGAAGAAACCAGCAGCUCCUCCCCCUAGCCCGUCACAUGCCCGCUGGAGCCGCCAGGACCGCUGCUCACUGUCGCGCCCCCACGCGAGCCCGUCGCGCACCGUUCGCUAUCCCUCACCUCCUAUUGCACCCAUCCGUGCCCCCGAGCCUCCCUGGUCACCGUAGGGCUCAUCCGGAGCCCCGUCCACGCCGUCCAGCAGCCGUCGUCGCCCGCCGUCACCCCUGCUCGCCCGCUGCAGCCCCGUCCGCCCGUCCCUUGCCGUUUCCAGCCCCGUUUAAGCUUGCUCAGUCCUUAGACAGAACCGAGAAGCCCAGCCAGCCAUGAGCCUUCGUGGGCUAUUUUAGGCCUCUUCCGAGCCUUGCUUGGUGUCGCCGCACGCUUGUUUGUCGCCCGUCUCCAUGUCACCAUCGCCGUGGACUCACCGGAUCGCUAAACUAGUGAGUUUACUUGCUAAACUAUGCUUAGAGAGUUAAUGAUGCUUAAGGAGUGAUUAGUUUAGGCUAAGUAUAGUUUAGGUGGUUAGUUAGAUUAUAUUAGUGAUUUAAUUAUUCAUUUGUGCAUGUUAGGUGGUUAGAAUAGACUAAUUAGGGACUAGAUAGAUUGUGUUAUUUAUCUAGAUAGGUUCAGAAAUUUUCCGGGCCCGUUUCAGUGUUUAAUUAAGCAUUUCCGGCCUAAGUUUUUAUUUUUGGUAUUUAAUUACAUUUAUUUAAUUAUUUUUUAUAUUUAUUUAAUUAUUUAAUAUUUUUCAAAAAUUAUAUCGGGAUAGCCAGUGACCGGAAUUUCGUGCUGAUUGCAGUGGUGUGGUAAGUUUGUACAAUUGAUUGUUAAAUUGUGCAAUUGAGUGAUGAUUGUGAAAUUUGGUAUUUAAUUAGAAAAUACCGAGUGUCGGGGUUUGACACCGAAAAUGGUUUUACGUACCAUCUCAGCUUGUGUGAGCAAUGAAUUGUCAGCUUGUGUGAGCAUUGAUCAGUCAGCUUGUGAGAGCAUUAUUUUAUAUCAGCUUGUGCGAGCAUUAAUGUUUAUCAGCUUGUGCGAGCAGCAAUUGAUUUGGAAUUUGCAAUCGAUGGAAUUGGAUUGAAUUGGUCAAUUGGGUAUAUGAAUUGUACUGACUUGCAGGAAAGAACUAAGGCAAGGUGAGUCUUCUGUCUUGUGUGCAUAGACUGCCUCUAGGCGUAUUUCCUUCCUAGUCAGAGUUUAGGAUGUGAACUUACUGAGACAUUGUCUCACCCCAUCAUGGGCUCAAUAUUUUCAGGUCCUUAGAUGGCAGUUCCUCUGGAACGUUUUGGCCGACCCAUGAGGGUUACCGAGCUGGUUUUUAACUACCCCGAUCUCGGAAGUCACUAGGUCUAUGAACUGGUAGUGACCACCGUCUGAGUCGAAGAGGGCCUACCUCAUAGGGUGCCUCAUCGAUUCAGAGCGUGGUCUCGUUACGGACCCAAUGGAUUCAGGGUGGGUCCCCAUUGGAGUUUUGAAAUCCCCGAUGUGGUAGUCGAUGCCACUCUAGGUGAGAGUGCAGCUGACCCUCCUGAUGGUGUGGUGGAGAACCCGACGCCCCCGGAGCCGGUGGAGACCGAAGGAUCAACAAAUGUGUCCGACUAGCUGGUCUUAGGACAGCUUCUUUCUUUUAGAGCCGGUCUUUUGUGGACUUUUGUCUAUAGACUAGUAUUGUAAAUAAACUAGUCGGUUGUGUAUAAAGGUUUGUUUUGGUUGUGAAAUUGUGGUCCUGCUUUUCUAUCCCAUCUUUGUGUUGUCAAGGGUAUUAGUUCGCUUCCGCAUGCGCAUUAAAAUAAAUGGGUCGGUGACGCAUCCUGGGACGUUGCAUUUUUAUCGACCAUCGAGGGAUGGGCAAUCGCUCGAGGAUCGGGGCGUGUGUUGACACCUAAAUUUUUGCCCAAAAAUCAUUUCCGAAAAAAUGAAAACUUGUUUUUCCAUAAAUAAAAAAAAAAUAUAUAUAUAUAUAUAUAUAUAUUGCAUAUAGAUUACCUAGGUGUUUAGUAUAUUUUUUUAAAUUGGAAGAUGUUUUUCCAAAAAAAAUUAAUUAAAAAAUUAAUAAAUUAAUGAAUUAAUAAAAAUUAAAAAAUAUAUUAAAAAAUAAAAUAAAAUAAAAUAAAAAAUAAAAGAAGAAAAAAAGUUGGAGUUGAUGAUCUGAAUGUGACUAGCCAAGCCUAGGAGGUCAAAUUGGAAUUAAAAUGGCAAGUUGGGGCCAAAAUGCAUUUUCUAAAAGUUGAGGGACUUAUUUGCAAAUUUUGAAAAAAUUUCACCUGAGCCCUCAAAUCAUCAUCUUGGCCCCCAAUUGAGUUGAAAUUGAACUUGGGUCAGGUUUAAUUAAUCGAAUCGGGCAAAAAAAGACCAAAUUACAUUGAAUUGGGUGUUAGUUUUCCUCGACCUUCCUACCUGGUUGGGGGUUGUUUUUUGUUUGUUUUUCUGGUGUGGCUUUCUGCCGCCCUAGCUAUGUACCGGCUUUCUGUUUGCCGUGCUUGUUUUGUUGGUUGUGCGGCUCUGUUUUCUUUUGCCGCGGUUGGUCCUUUUACGUCCCGAUAUCCUUCCACUCAGGUUGUUUUUCUUCUUGAGUGUAAGUUUCGGUGCCAGGAUUUUCUGUACAUUUGCCUGUCCUCAAUAUAAUUAUUACCCUUUCUACCAAAAAAAAUUACAUUGAAUUGGGCAUUUUCGGGUAAGAAAAUGCCCAACUUUAAGGAACUCUCUUGCAAAAUUGGGUGGAGACAAUUGCGAAAAAUUGUCAAGAUCAUAAACUACCAUACAUGAGCUUGCUAAUUGAUCAAAAACCGCAGCCAAAUUGAUGGAUUAAAGCACCUAAACGAGCUACCAAAUCCCAGUCCACGGUUAAGUCUUAAUUCGGAGCUACUAAGUAGGCAUAUUGGUGGCCCCACCAUAUCCCACUCAGCCACCCAAUUAGCUUGACCUCUGCAUGUGAUGGAAGACCAUUAUUGGUAGUACAAGUGGACAAAAAUUGGUCAGGGAUAAGCUGCUGAAGGCACGGGAAAAUCGCAGCAAAGUCCAGACACUCAGCAGCUGUAGAAGUUGAAAAUUUUGGCUUAGUCAGAAAGUUGUUGAAGUAGCCCUGUUGACAGGCUUGGUAGGUGGACAAAAAAUCGACCAAAAAUCCCUUAAUUCAGGGGAUAAGAUCACUGAAGCAAGGUCUUUGAGGGCAUGAAAGAGAGGAGACGAGAAAGAAAAGAAGGAGCUCACGGCCGUUCUCCAAAGAGACUCUCAAAAGCAAUUCCAGAAAAAGCAAAACCCAGAAAUUCCAUAUCAACCUUUAGAGAGAAAAGUGAAAUUUUCACAAACUUUCAGCCAAAAUUAGCCAAAACCUCAACUAGAGAGUGAAACUUCACUCAAAGAUCUUUCCAUCCAUAGGUCGCACGUCCCAAAUAGAGUUCGGGAAGGUCUCCUAAAGCCCCCCGAAAACCACCCUCUUGGCGGGCCAAGAAAGUCCGAAAAUUUUUCUAAAUGUUGAGCCCGGUUGGUCACGGUUCUUGUUUCUGCAGAUCUCAUUUCCAGUUUGAAGGAGCCAACUUCCACAUGCCCCCCGAGGAUAAUUUCUUGGUUUCCUCAGCCAAGAACCACAUGCAUGAAAGGGAUGUUACUCAUGCCAAGCAAGAAACAUUUAGGAUGAGGAAAGGCAAUCCAUUUCCAAACAUGUCCUUUGAGCACUCUGGGAUUCGAGGGAAAAAGAAAACCCGCGUCGUUUAAGGUCAAUGAAUUCAUUCGCAAGCGGUACAUAGAUCAAGAUGAUAAGAGGCAUUUCUUUCCUCUAUCAUACGCACUACAAGUGACAAUAGUUAGCCCAUUUGAGCCUUUUAAUGUGAAGAAUUUUCUACAAAAUACCCCUAUUGAGAACCACCCCCACGAUGGGGCAAUUAUGGAGGUUUGGGUUGACAUUAUUUGGAGAGGAAAGAUGAGAAAGGUUUCUUUGCUCUCACUUGCAUAAAUCUUUUUGCGAUAACUUCAGGUGAAUUCUUAUGGAAGCUCGAAGCAUCCCAAGGUGAAGAAGAGCAUUCUUUUCUCUACCCAAACACUGAUACCCUUUGCUUAAACCAAGUUGAGCCUAAUCGUUCAUUUCCAAAACUCGAGUGGUGUUAUCUCCCCACAUUAGGGCAAGGCAUAUGAUUUGCCAAGGCAAGUGAUGUUUACGUGAAAAUGCGGAAAGCAUCUCGAAAGUCCUAAGAGUUUAAAAAGUUCAAAAGAGCAAAAGUCAAAUGAAAAUUAGGGGGCAUGAAAAAGCAGUAUGCCUAGUAAAAGCAAAGCUAAUGCCCAUCACCCAAAAAAAAAGUAGAAGGAAAAACAAUUGCAGCAAGAGGAAUGUCUCUGUAAAAGCAAAAAUGACAAAAAACAAAAUGCUUAUACCAAAAGGAAAUCACUACAAAUGCAAAAGUCAUGAGAGAAAAGAGCAAAGCUCUUAUUUUGAAAUGAUUAGUCAAGGAACUUUCGAGACAAAUUCGAAUGCUUUCAAAAAAUCGAAUGACAUGGAAAUGAUGUCAUUGCAAUCACCAACUCUCAAAUCCCUCUUCGAAAAAGUGCUAAGCCUUUUAAGCCUUUCACCGAACCAACAUUACAACCCAUUCCCGAAGUCUCUUCAGAUUGGGAUGAUUCGAGUGGAAAUUAGGACUUCUCCAAAGAAGCUACUGUUCGAAGAAGUGAGAGUAGGGUUAUCUUAUCUCAUCUUAAGGUUUCUUGACUUGUAAACCUGGCGAAGAUGUCGAUUAGUGAUUAAUUCAUUUCAUAGCCAAUGAUGCUUAUCCAUUACUAAAACCAUGACCAAACUUGCACUACGGUCCUCCUAAAAGACCUUUUAGAUUGGUCAAUGUGUACUUAUUGCGAAUGAUUCAAAGCCUUGCACACUAGAAAAGUGAGAUUGAGUGAUCAGUUUAUUUCCCACAUGAAUAAAUGGGAUUAAACAACCCUUUUCUUGAGAAUAUGUGAGAAGCCCUUUCUGAUUAGGGGUCCUUGCUUGGCAUACUUAACAGACCUUUCUCAUAAGUCAAGGUCACUUCAACAAGGACUUUCCUUCCAAGAGAAUUUGACGAUUAAUGAUAUCAUCCGAGCGUGAUGACAGUUUUGUAAGUUUGUUAAGUGGUCGGAAUUAGUUUGAUUUGUUUAUGCAAUCAUUGCCUUCUCAUUACCGAUACAUUUUUGAUAUUGUUUCUGAUGACAUGUGUUGAAAUUGACCUCAUCUACUAUGCUUCCGCUACUAGAAUACUUGUUAUAAUGAAUUCUAUUUGAUGUGUUGUAUCCAUUUCAAAAUAUUCUCGAAUGACAGGUUUCUUUAGAAAAACUACACGAUUUUCAAGAGGUUCUUGGUCAUCCUUAAACCUUGCAAUUCUAAAGGGUUCAUGGGUUAGCCUUAAACCAUGCAUUUUCAAGAGGUUCUUGGUCAUCCUUAAACCUUGCAAUUCUAAAGGGUUCAUGGGUUAGCCUUUGUCACGCCCCAAUCCUCCGAGUGCGCGCACAUCCCACUCUGGUCGAUACAAAUGCGACUUCCCAGAACACGUCGCCGACCCAUUCAUUUUUAUUACACAUGCGGAAGCGAAACAAAACCCCUGACAACAUUUAACUUGGGAUAGAAAAAUAGGCAAUCAAUCACAACCAAUCAAGCUUUCUUAUAAACACAUAGGUUUAUAUACAACACUAGAUUGUCUACAAAAUAGACAAGCUCAACAAAAAGGGAACUGUCCUAAGACCAACUAGUCAGACACGUUCACCGAUCCUUCGGUCUCCACCUCCACAAUUGUCCAUGGCUUCGAGUCCUCCACGACCGCCAUCUAAGGACCUUAAAAUAUUAUCCCACAACCGAGAUGAGACAAUGUCUCAGCGAGUCCUACCCUCUAAGACCCGAUUAGGAAGAAAAUACGCCUCAGAGCGCUCUAGCCACACAAAUAGGAUAGAGGACUUACCUCGCCUCAGUUCCUUCCUGCACGUCAGUUUGAUCAAUAAAUAUUGACAACCACAUCAUCCAAACAAUUCAAUUACUCGGAUCGAUUCCGCGAUCAAUCGACUCAGUCGAUUACAUGUCAUCGAAAUCAUCACACGGUCAUUCUGACUAUUCAUUCUCGACUCUCAAUCAUGGCCUUACAGGCAAGUCUAUAUGUAGUGGCAUCACAGCCCCACUCAACAAUAUUUUAUGUAGUGGCAUCACAGCCCCACUCGACAAUGUUAUAUGUAGUGGCAUCACGGCCCCACUCGGCAAUAUUUUAUGUAGUGGCAUCACGGCCCCACUCGGCAAUAUUUUAUGUAGUGGCAUCACGGCCCCACUCGGCACGACCGAUUCCAAAUUCGGUGGUAAAUCACUGUCCAACAGGACACAGCCGAACUUCGACAAUUUUCUAGAUCCAUUCACAACCUUUCACCAUCAAAUUCCAAUCAAAUAUCAACACUAAACAUCCUUGGGAUAAAUCCCCACAUAAACAUCCAUUCAAUCAAUCCAUACAAAUUGGACCUACCAACCAAUUACGGUGCCAAAAGCCGACACCGGGUAUUUUCAAGUUAAAUACCAAAACUUCAUCAAUAUUACUCAAUUCCACAUCUUUGGAAUAAUUAACCAUAACCAUCAUUCCACUCAAUUUCUCAAUUAAACAUACAGUUAGCACAAACCGACCGCACUGCUGCGAUCAGCGCGAAAUUCUAACGACCGACCAUCCCGGCAAAAUUUUUGAAAUUAUUAAAUAAUUAAAUUUAAUUCCGAAAAUUAAAUAAUUAAAUAUUAUAUUAUAAUAAUAUAAUUUAAUAAAAAUAAUAUUUAAAAAUUCGAAAUAAUUAAUUAGGGCUUAAACAAGAUUACACUAAUUUAAACAUACAAUUAGCCUUAAUUAAACAUCCAUUAAACUAAUCAUACAACUAAUCUAAUUUACAUUAAAAUAAUCUAAUUUAAUCACAUAAACCUAAUUAGACGAAUCUAAACACCCCUUAAGCGUCAUUAACUCACUAAGCAAGGAUUAGAGGAUAAACUCACCUAAUUAACGAGCCGAACGGCUCAAAAUGACGGGGACGACGCAAGGGUCGAUAGUCUCCAAGGCGGACCUAGCUUCCGAGGUCGGGAAGUCAGCCAAAACGGGCCAAAACUCCACUGCGAUACCCAUUUUUUUCCUCUCUGUCCGCUGCUGGUUGAGGGCGGAUCCGGCGCCGGUUGAGGCGCACAAGGGCCGAGAUGGGCUGAGGGAGUCCUGGCGGGCCGAGGCGAGGGUGUACGACGGUCCACGGCGGCUCUGGCAGUGGCUCAUGGUGCUGGACAGCAGCUAGAACGCAAGCUAGUCGGGAACGACGGCUAGAACGGCGGGCUUGGCGAGCGUGGACGGCGGGGUGUCGCGAGCGGCGGAUGGCGCGCAAGGGGUGCGCAACGGCGGUCCGACUGGACUGCUUGCUGCUCCGGCGUCCUCAGAUCUGCUGGGUCUUCGAGCAGGAACCGGAGAUGGAGGAGAAAGGCAGCAACAGGAGAGGGAGAGGGGAAACGGAGGCGUGCAGGCUGAGGAGCGGCUAUGACGGCAUGCAGCGGCGGCGGAUCUAGCUCCAGCGGUGGCUGCGACGAUUGUUGGCUUCACUGGUCUUCAUUUUGCAAGGCAUCGUACAUCAAGGAGAGAGAUGGAAGAGAAGCUCGACGGAAGAGAAAGGGGAGAAAAGGGAACCGGUUCUCUCCCUCUCUCUCUUUCUCUCUCUCUCUUUGGCCCCACAAACAUGGCCCACCAUGACCUCAUGUGAUGUCACCUUCCACUCACCUCCAAGCUUCCAAGACAAGCUUCUAAUGGGUCCAUUUUGCGUAGUCCACCAUGGCAUACGAAUUUCACUUAUUUGUACAUCAAAUCCAAUCAAUUCUCACUCAAUUCCAUCCAAUUAAAGCUCAAUUAAAUUAACCCAUGUGUCCUUAACCUUCUUAUGACUUUUCCCCAUUAAAUGAUCCAACUUGCAUCCCAAAGAUUCGUUUUAAAACGGCCCUCUAACAAUCUCGAAGAAAAACGGCCUUACUUUGCUUUUCUGCCAAAAAUCUCGGUUUGUAGAAAAAUCUUCUGGAGAUGAGUCGACGUUCCUAAAAUGAAUUGUGACUUGACAGAACUUCCAAUUUCUGUAAUCGGGUUCAAUUUCACGGUUAAAUUCAAUCUGGCGCGACUUUAGCGCGUCCUAACCUACCGGGUAGCUUUUAGGAAUUUCCUGUGCAAUUGACCUGUGGUUGAUUAUUUUCAAGCCACAAAGUGCAUCUUCGACAUAUUGGCGACUCUCGGUUGUCGUAGAAUUCUCGAGGUUUCGAUUACGGACAUAGGGUACCCAAAACAACAGAAGAAUCAGUCUAGUGCCGGUCGACGAAGAUAUUGCAAUCAGGUGGAAUCACCCACACUCUAAUCACAUAUCUCAAUCGAAUCGACCUAUUACUAAUCUAUGUUCGAUUCUGACAGUGUCGUAAUGAUCCUUGCAGAUUAAAACGGUCAAGCAGUCGGUUCUUAGUCAAAUUCUCAAGUCUAUUGCGUUUAGAUUCCUUAACGGCUUCACCUGAUAAACUAGUUAUCUCGUGAGUGGCCAACUCAGAGAAGAGAGCUAUAGGCGCGAAGAUGAAAUGCCCGACUUAUUCAAUUGAAACCAGAAUUGGAAAAUCAGGAUGUCACAACUCUUCCCCUCUUAUAAAAAUUUCUUCCUCGAAAUUUAAACCAUCAAAAAAUUUUCUUCAAAAUGGUGGCGUAUUGUCGUCUCAUCCAUUUUGCUCCUUCAUUCUGCUUCACACUGCUAUCCAAGAUCCUUGGUGCCAACGAAACAUUUCCAAAUUGACCAAACCAAUUCUUGAUUCCCUAAAGGCUAAGCACUUGUCCAUCUUUACAAAAAUGAAAGUUGCAAAAGUUUUGGUUCUUUUUCUUUUCUUUUUAUUUUUCCACAAAGCAGCUAACUGCCGCGUCGGGGAUUCGAACUCCCGACUUCGGACUGUUCACUUCCUUCCCGGGUACCACUCGACUAGAGGCGCCGACGGUGCUCCAAACUGCUUUCUUUUUCCAUUUAAAGCCAAAAUCCUCCUUUGAACUCAAAUUUCGAUAGAUUCCGAUUUAAAUGAUGCUUCAUCUUCCUUUCCUUAACCAAACGCGAUGUCUCUAUCAUAGGCGACAUCCAAGGAUGAACAGGAUUCUCAACCGAAGGUUUUCGAUGCUUAAUUGCGUAAAUUUUUCGGCGGCUUUGAGCGGCCUUUAAUCUGUCACUGAUAUUCGUAACUGCAUUCGCUGACUGCUAAACUGACUCUGGGCUGCAACCUUUCAUUCUAUGAUCUCAACUCAACAACUGAAGUUCUGUACACUCUGUUCAGCACUGACUAAAAAGAAACUAUCUGACUGAUCUGCUGAAACUGGGAAUCUCUGGUCCAAAUCUGAUACAACUCAGUCACUGUCACUCUAAGCAUAUGAACUAUUUGACACACAUACACUUCUGCAUGCUUAAUCAAAUCAAGAUCCUUCUACACAGCCACAAGAUUGGCUGAUUUCAUCAGUCUGUCAAUUACUUUCCAAAAUGAAAUUAUUACCACAUUGACCCCUUAGACGACCUGUCACAACUUCCAUUGUGACGUGUUCCCACUUCCUCACGGAGAUAUCGAGAGAUUACAAAGGUCCUCUCGAAUUGCAAAACCGUGCUUUCUCUUGAUAGCAUAUCUGACACUUGCAACCUGUCAGUGAUAUCUGUCUUUACAACGGUCUACUAAUCCUGUUGAUGCAAAUUCUGACUCAUCUUCGUACUGUUUGGACAACGCUGAAGCUGCUACGACAAGCUUCCGAUAAGAUCUCUUCUUUAAUCACUGUAUCAUUAGGUACACUUAAUCGUUCUCGGAACCUUAGUGUUCCGUUCUCAGAAAUCUAAAAAUCAGCCUUUCUCUUAACUGUAUUCUCUUACAUAAUCUUUUGAAUCUCUGAGUCUGUCCACUGAAGCAUCUGAUUCUAACCUGAAUAUCCGAUUCAAUUCUGAGGGUGGCCAUAAAAUUUGAAGGUGGCCUACCUCAGAUUUGAAAAUCGAAUUUCGAACUUUCUCAAGUAAGGUCCAUACUUUAACCAGCAUAUGCACAAAUGAAGACUCGACUCAACGCAUCAGUGACUUCUUUCAUCCUUCCAGGGUGAUACCAGAUACCACCAUCCUAGUCCUUCAAAAGAUCUGGUUCACAGCAGUAUCUCAUAUUUAAUUCCUUCUGAGAGAAUAAAUACUUUGAGACUUUUAACGGUCAGCGAAGAUCUGGAGUCUUUUUUUCACACCAACAAUAUCUCUAAAUCUUCAGAGCGAAAAUUAUUGCUGCGAAUUCCAAGUCAGGCGUUGGGUAAUUCAGUUCAUGAGGUCUCAACUGACGGGACGCGUAUGCAACAACCCUGCCAUGCUGCAUCAGCACGCAACCUAGUCCUCUAAACAACGCAUCACUAUAGAUCUCAUAACCUCCAUAACCAGACGGUAUGGUCAGCACAGGUGCGGUAGUCAGCUUUUGCUUAAGCUCUUGGAAACUAUACUCGCACUUGUCUAUCCACACGAACUUCUUUUCUUUCUUCAGUAGUCGAGUCAACGGCGAAGCUAAGGUUGAAAACCCUUUCAUAAACCUUCUAUAAUACUCUACUAAACCCGGAAAACUUCUUAUCUCUUUCACUGUAGUCAAUCUCGACGAAGAUAUUGCGAUCAGGUGGAAUCACCCACACUUUAAUCACAUAUCUCAGUCAAAUCGACCUAUUACUGAUCUUUGUUCGAUUCUGACAGUGUCGUAAUGAUCCUUGCAGAUUAAUACGGUCGAGCAGUCAGUUCUUGGUCGAAUUCUCAAGUCUAUUGCGUUUAAAUUCCUUAACGGCUUUACCUGAUAGACUAGUUAUCUCGUGAGUGGCCAACUCAGAGAAGAGAGCUAUAAGCGCGAAGAUGAAAUGUCUGACUUAUUCAAUUGAAACCAGAAUUGGAAAAUCGGGAUGUCACAGCCUUAAACCAUGCACUUUGAAGAGGUUCUUGGUUAUCCUUAAAACCUUGCAAAUCACAAGGUUAGUGGGACUGCCUUAAACCACACGGUUAGUGGGUUUGCCUUAAACCACAAGGUUAGUGGGACUGCCUUAAACCACAAGGUUCGUGGGACUGCCUUAAACCACAAGGUUAAUGGGACUACCUUAAACCACAAGGUUAGUGGAACUGCCUUAAACCACAAGGUUAAUGGGUCUGCCUUAAACCACAAGGUUCGUAGGACUGUCUUAAACCAUAAGGUUAGUGGGACUGCCUUAAACUACACGGUUAGUGAGACUGCCUUAAACCACAAGGUUCGUGGGACUGCCUUAAACCACAAGGUUAGUGGGACUGCCUUAAAUCACAAGGUUAGUGGGACUGUCUUAAACCACACGAUUAGCGGGACUGUCUUAAACCACACGAUUAGCGGGACUGCCUUAAACCACACGGUUAGUGGGACUGCCUUAAACCACAAGGUUCGUGGGACUGCCUUAAACCACACAGUUAGUGGGAUUGCCUUAAACCAUAAGGUUAGUGGGACUGCCUUAAACCACAAGGUUAGUGGGUCUGCCUUAAACCACACGGUUAGUGGGACUGCGUUAAACCACACGGUUAGUGGGACUGCCUUAAACCACAAGGUUCGUGGGACUGCCUUAAACCACAAGGUUAGUGGGUAUAUCCUUAAACUACACUUUUCAAAUUGUUCACAGGUACAUCUCUAGAUCACGCUCUUUACAUUAAGCUCACUUGCAUUUUCAUUUUGCUAUUGUCAAAAAAAAAAAAUCAGGUGUCAUCUUAUCUUUGAAAGAAAUCUCUUUGAGCUCCCUUCCAAAGAGGGGCAGCUAUUGACACCUAAAUUUUUGCCCAAAAAUUAAUCAAAUCGGGCCAAAAAAAAACCAAAUUACAUUGAAUUGGGCAUUUUCGGGUAAGAAAAUGGCCAACUUUAAGGGACUCUCUUGCAAAUUGGGUGGAGACAAUUGCGAAAAAUUGUCAAGAUCAUAAACUACCAUACAUGAGCUUGCUAAUUGAUCAAAAACCGCAGCCAAAUUGAUGGAUUAAAGCACCCAAACGAGCUACCAAAUCCCAGUCCACGGUUAAGUCUUAAUUCGGAGCUGCUAAGUAGGCAUAUUGGUGGCCCCACCAUAUCCCACUCAGCCGCCCAAUUAGCUUGACAUCUGCACGUGAUGGAAGACCAUUAUUGGUAGUACAAGUGGACAAAAAUUGGUCAAGGAUAAGCUGCUGAAGGCACGGCAAAAUCGCAGCAAAGUCCGGGCACUCAACAGUUGCAGAAGUUGAAAAUUUUGGCUAAGUCAGAAAGUUGUUGAAGUAGCCCUGUUGACAGGCUUGGUAGGUGGACAAAAAACUGACCAAAAAUCCCUUAAUUCAGGGGAUAAGAUCACUGAAGCAAGGUCUUUGAGGGCAUGAAAGAGAGGAGACAAGAAAGAAAAGAGGGAGCUCACGGUCGUUCUCCAAAGAGACCCUCAAAAGCAAUUCCAGAAAAAGCAAAACCCAGAAAUUCCAGAUCAAUAUUCAGAGAGAAAAGUGAAAUUGUCACAAACUUUCAGCCAAAAUUAGCCAAAACCUUCAACUAGAGAGUGAAACUUCACUCAAAGAUCUUUCCAUCCAUAGGUUGCACGUCCCAAAUGGAGUUCGGGAAGGUCUCCUAAAGCCCCCGAAAACCACCCUCCUGGUGGGCCAAGAAAGUUCGAAAAUUUUUCUGUGUUGAGCCCGGUUGGUCACGAUUCUUUUUUCUGCAGAUCUCAUUUCCAGUUUGAUGGAGCCAACUUCCACGUGCCCCCCAAGGAUAAUUUCUUGGUUUCCUCGGCCAAGAACCACUUGCAAAAGAAACUAGGAAGCAAGGUAAGUAUCCUAGAUGUAUUUUUGUUUGAGUUUGAACGUGUUUUAAUAGUGAAAAAUCAAGAGGAAAACCAGCCCGGAAAACUGAUUUCUGAGGCUGAAAUUUUUCUAAGUAUUUGAAGCCUCUUCAAGAGCCAUACAUGUUUGAUUUGCUAUACCCCAUUUUCGUUCAUUACUUGUCUUUGUGACUUUGAUUAAUGUUAUAUGGGAGUACAAAUUAUGCAUAGGUCAGCUUGGUUUGGUCUUUAAAUCCCCGUGUGAACUAUGAGAUCGUCAAAAACCAAGUCUAUCCACAUUAGUUCAUGGCUGGUUAGUGUGGACUUUGCAUGUGGGCUUCUUGGAGAGGUUGUUUUGAUGUGUUCGGUUGGUCAUUCUCUAUGAUGUUUGUUGCAUUUGAAAGCUCAUGUUACCUACUUUCACUCGGAUCAAGUAAUGUUUCCCUUAGAUCUCGUAUGUGAUGGGUGUCGGGGCUUGAAUAUGAGCAUACAACCUGUUUGCUUGACUUGGGUUCAAACCCAGAUUUGCAAAAUCAACUCAAACCCGCAUUUUGAGACCGAUUUCAACUUAGUUCUUUUGUGUUUUAAGCUAUGAUUUCUGUCUAAUCUUUCUCCUUACAUGUGGUAAUAUAAUCUUGAUACUUUAGUUCCACAUGAGAUUGCUUAUGGGUUGAGAUUGAAGGCCGCAAACAUGGCCCGAUGAAGCUGGUUUGGGAUGACUUGAUGCACACCAAGUGUUCGAUGAAAUGCGCAAACCAAGUUUCGAUCUUGAAACGGUCAAUUUGAGCUCAGUUAUUGUGAUAUUCAUGUGCUGUGUUGUUCAAUGUUAGCAUAUAUCGGUUUAGGAAAUUAUUAUUUUUAUUUUUUUUUAAAAUGAAAAAAUCCAAAAAUUUUAAAAUAUAUAUAUAUAUAAGUGAUAGAUGGUAUCAAAUUAAGGCAAAAAUGACAUCUAUGAAAUUUUCCUAAUUUUAAAAGGUCAUUUUCCUAAUUUAAUGCUAUUUUGGUAUUUUAUAAUCAUUUUUGUAAAUAAUCCAUUUUGCAUAGAUUAAAAUUAUCUAGAGUAAUUUCAUGCAUAUUUAAAUUCCCAUUUCGCUCACGGGGGUCCUGUCCCGGGGCAUGAUAACAAGGCCAUGUAAUAUUAUUUGCCCGACUUGUAUCGGGUCUUUCUUUUCAGCAUUACUUUCAAGUCAUUUCAAUUUCUUAGAUGUUAUUUACCGCACCGCUUUUCAAUAAUUUGAGUGUGAAUUUAUUUUCUAAAUUAUGUUAGGAUUAGUCUAGAGAUUUUAAAAAAAAAACUACAAAAACAUUUGCAUUGACACUUAGUGGUUUCAUAAAGAUUAUAAUCGGUAAUCAAGAUUGCGUGGCCAUUUAGAUAAAUAACCUUUCAAGUUAGUGGUACCGCAAGGGCGCUAAUAGAAACAUUAGCGUAAACAAGUCCCCGUUCCUAGAAAUCUCUGGUUGCGUAAGAAUUGAGACAACACUCCCGUGUCUUGAUUGGUUUCUAGUCGACCCCAAUAGGCUAGUGGCGACUCCUAAAAUUACAUAUGUUGUUAAGAACUAAAAAACAAAAUCCAAUGUCGCGCGAGAUAUGGGCUUGGGAGAGCCCGCGCCUAAUCUAGGGCCGUUGGUCUUCCUCUUUAGGCAAAUACCCCCUAAACCUUCUUCCUUUUCCCCCAAACGGAAAAAGAGAGGUCGUGACAGCGUGACAUCCCCGCCAUUUAGUGGUAUAAGAGCUGGUCGAUAGUUGGAGUGAUAAGGUGCGAUGGGUUCAUGGUAUAGAUAGUAGGAAAGACCUUUAUUUCAUGCGAAUGCAUGUCAGUGAUAGCUGUUUGGUAGAUUGUUUGGUGUGAUCGCUCAGCUUCUAUUUCUGUGUGGAAUUGGAAAGCAAGUUUCUGUAUAGAAUCUGUGUCAUAAGUGAUCAGAAGGAGAGGACUCCUACGAAGAGGGCAGUAGCCCCUGUGACUCAGGGUAGGAUGCCGACCAAGGUCGAUACCCGAGAUGGCCGAGGUAGAGCGCAGGCUAAGGUCAGCGCUAGUGGAGUAGCACCGCCUCCUAUUGGUGCUAGGGUAACAGCCCCUGGCGAUCCCAGGAUCGAAGGGAUCAUGCGGGCGCUUGAGAUGCUUGGAAAUAUGAUAGGGUAGUAGGCCCAGAAUCAAGCUACUGCCACUACCGCCGCUGCUACAGCCGCUGCUACUGCUACAGUUGCUACCGCUGAGUGAGACCACAACCGCUGCCGUACCUACUGAAAUUCCACUUGGGAACGUGGUUGUUGAGAGAGAGAGAGACCGAUUCAUAAGCUCGUGGAGCAGUUCUUGAAGCUGAACCCGCCGAGGUUCACUGGUGUAGGAGAUCCCGAGACUGCAUCGCUCUAGAUCUAAGACCUGGAGAAAGCCUUUGCACUUCUGAUGUGCACUGAGGAGGAAAAGGUUGUCCUAGCAAUAUAUCAGUUGUAGGGUAACGCAAAUACUUGGUGGAGAGCCACCAGAGGUACAGUAUUCCUAGAAGGCGAGGUUCCAGUGUGGAAUGCCUUCCUCAGAGCCUUUAACGACAAGUAUUAUUCUGGUAGUGCCCGAGAGCGAAAGAUGGAGGAAUUCCAACACCUCCGUCAAGGAAUGAUGACCGUGGACCAGUAUGAGACUAAGUUUGCUGAGCUGUCUCAAUAUGCUCCAAGACUGGUGGAAAUCCCGAAGACAAAGCUCAGAGGUUCAGAAACGGCCUCCGACCAGAGCUGAGGAGUCCAUUAGUGCCAUUCAACCUGAAGGAUUACAAUGAGGUUUAUGGUCGGGCCUAGCUGAUAAAGAGGGACCAGAGUGAACAGACUGCUGCGUCUGGUUCGAGGUUCAGUUCGAACAGAGAUGGAAACCGGUUCAAGAAGAAGCCCAUGAUCGGAGGAAGGUAUCAUGCCCACCUAAUAGGAAGGGUGGAGUUGGCAAGUCAGCGCCGAGUCAGAAUGGCGCGUGUCGCUUGUGUGGAAGGCGACAUGGAUCAAUCCCGUGCCAUUUUAGGAUGGGUGCUUGCUUCGAGUGUAGCCAACAGGGUCACCUAGCCAGAGACUGUCCCAGAAAGCAGAGGGGACCACAGUAGUUACCGCCGCCGCCACCGUUGGGUCAUAAUAGGGGGUUUGCGCCGUAGUUCGCACCACAGGGUGAAUUGAACAGACCUCCAGCUCAGGGAAGGAAGUACGCUAUCACGAGAGGGCAGGCGGAGGACUCGCCUAAUGUGAUUGCAGGUACGGUUUCGCUGAACGACCACGCUGCAUAUGCUUUAUUUGACCCUAGUGCGACUCAUUCGUUUAUAGCUGAGCAAUUUGUUAAGCUAAUAGGAUUGAGUCCCGAGUUGUUGGAGUCAGUGGUUAGCAUAUCUACACCGUUGAAGGAUAAGGUGUUAGCUGCAUUGGGUUGUUCUGGUUGCAAGUUAGGGAUUGGUGAGCGAGAGGGGAAAAUAGAUUUGAUAGUCCUAGUCAUGUAUGUUUUCGAUGUGAUAAUUGGCAUGGACUGGCUCACCAAGCAACGAGCUAAAAUGGACUGCUACCGUAAAGCGAUUCAGUUUAACCCGUGAUCGGGUGAAUAUUUCAAGUUUAUUGGGAGUCGAGGAGGACCCUCAAUUUCCUUAAUCUCGUCGCUUAAGGCAACCCGUUUGUUAGACGGGGGUUGUCAGGGUUACCUGGCAACUGUCGUGGAUACGACAGUUGAGGAACUAAAGAUCGAGGACAUCUCAGUAGUUCAAGAAUUUCUAGACGUGUUUCCUAAAGAAUUGCCAGGCCUGCCGCCAGAAAGAGAGAUAGAGUUCGUGAUUGAAUUAGCACCCGGGACAGAGCCAAUUUCUAAGGCUCCUUACCAGAUGGCGUUGUCUGAGUUGAAAGAACUAAAGGUACAGAUGUAGGAAUUGUUGGAUAAGGGAUUCAUACGUCCUAGUGCAUCACCUUGGGGAGCACCAAUUAUGUUCGUAAAGAAGAAAGAUGGUUCGUUGCGCCUGUGCAUCAACUAUUAUCAACUCAAUCAGGUGACGAUCAAGAAUAAGUAUCCACUACCGAGGAUCGACGACUUGUUUGACUAGUUGCAAGGAGCGUCGAUAUUUUCAAAGAUCGACUUGAGGACAGGGUAUCAUCAACUAAGGAUCAAAAAGGAGGACAUACCGAAGUCAGCGUUUCGUACUCGAUACAACCAUUAUGAGUUCACUGUAAUGCUGUUUGGUUUGACGAACGCCCCAGCUACUUUUAUGGAUCUGAUGAACCGAGUGUUUAAAGAAUAUCUAGAUUAGUUUGUGAUCGUGUUCAUCGACGAUAUUCUGGUGUAUUCGAGGAGUUCUGAGGAGCACGAGAGGCAUUUGAGGAUGGUACUUCAGACCCUGAGGAAUCAUGAGCUGUACGCCAAGUUUAGUAAGUGCGAGUUUUGGUCGACUCGUGUAGCGUUCCUAAGUCACAUGAUUUCAGGCGAAGGAAUCUCCGUGGACCCGACCAAGAUCGAAGCAAUUAUCAACUAGCCAAGACCAACGACCGUGACAGAGAUCAGAAGUUUCCUGGGUUUAGCAGGGCAUUACAGAAGGUUUGUGGAAGGAUUUUCAACGUUAACGUCGCCAUUGACUCAACUACUAAAGAAAGAAGAGAAGUUCGUAUGGACAGACAAGUGCGAGUGUAGUUUCCAAGAGCUUAAGCAGAAGCUUACUACCGCACCUGUGCUGACCAUACCAUCUGGUCCUGGAGGAUACAAGAUCUAUAGUGAUGCGCCAUUUAAAGGAUUAGGUUGCGUGCUAAUGCAACAUGGUAGGGUUGUUGCAUACGCGUCCCGUCAGUUGAGACCUCAUGAGUUGAAUUAUCCGACGCAUGAUUCGAAGCGAUUAUUUUUGUUCUGAAGAUUUGGAGACAUUAUCUAUGUGGAGAAAAAUUCUAGAUCUUCACUGACCAUCAAAGUCUCAAGUAUCUAUUCUCUCAUAAUGAGUUGAAUAUGAGACAGCGUCACUGGAUGGAACUCCUGAAGGACUAUGAUUGUGAUAUCUUGUAUCACCUUGGAAAGGCUAACAAGGUCGCAGAUGCACUGAGUCGGAAGUCUUCAGUUGCACAGAUGAUGGUUAAGGAAUGGAUUUUACUCGAGAGAGCUCGAGAUUCGGUUUUCAAAUUUGAGGUAAGCCACCUUUCGAAUCUUAUGGCCACCCUCAGAAUUGAGCCGGAAGUAUAGAUCAGAAUCAAGACGCUUCAGUGGACAGACCCAGAGAUUCAGAAGAUCCUACAAGAGAAUACCGAAAAGCAGAAGGCUGAUUUUCAGAUUUCUGAAGACAGAACACUGAGGUUUCGUGGACGAUUGUGUGUACCUGACAAUGCAGAGCUUAAAGAGGAGAUCUUGUUAGAAGCUCAUCGUAGCAGUUACAGCAUUCAUCCUGGUAAUACGAAAAUGUAUCAGAAUCUGCGUCAACACUAUUAGUGGUCUGGUAUGAAGGCAAAUAUCACCAAGCAUAUCGCUAAGUGUUUGACGUGUCAGCAAGUGAAGGCAUAGCAUUGUAAGCCGGGAGGACUUCUGCAACCUCUCGAGAUUCCCGAGUGGAAGUGAGAACACAUCACAAUGGACUUUGUGACAGGCUUACCAAGGAGUCAGAGGGGUAAUGAUUCCAUUUGGGCAAUGGUCGAUAGACUGACGAAGUCGGCUCACUUCAUCGCUGUAUGGAAAGACCUUGAUUUAGACAGGCAUGCAGAAUUGUACGUGCGUCAAAUAGUUUGUCUGCAUGGAGUGCCGGUGACGAUUACAUCAGACCGAGACCCGAGGUUCACAGCUGCCUUUUGGAAAAGUUUGCAGACCGCCUUAGGAACGAAACUACAGUACAAUACGACCUAUCAUCCUCAAACGGAUGGACAGUCUGAGAGGACGAUUCAAACCCUCGAAGACAUGCUACGAGCUUGUGUGUUGGACUUCAAGGGAAGCUGGGAGGAAUAGCUUCAUCUUGUCGAUUUUGCCUACAACAACAACUACCAGCAGAGCAUUCGGAUGGCUCCUUUCGAAGCGUUGUAUGGCAGACUGUGCUGAACACCAGUUUUUUGGGAUGAGGUCGAAGAACGAAAGAUCACAGGCACAGAGUUGGUUCAGCAGUCAGUGGAUGCAGUUGCAGUCAUCAGAGACAGAUUAAAGACCGCUCAGAGCCGCCAGAAAAGCUAUGCUGAUAAGCGUCGGAGACCAUUGGAAAUCUAAGUUGGUGAGCACGUCUUUCUGAAGGUGUCACCAAUGAGGGGUGCUUCGCGCUUCGGCAAGAAGGGAAAGCUGAGUCCGAGAUACGUAAGUCCCUUUGAGAUUCUGGAAAGGAUAGGGACUCUAGCGUAUCGUCUUGCAUUGCCCCCGAGGUUGGCGUAAGUGCAUGAUGUCUUUCACGUGUCGAUGUUGAGGAAGUAUGAGCCUGACCGGACCCACAUGCUAAAUUUUGAGGAAUUAGACGUGGACGACAGAGUGUCGUACGUGGAAAGACCAGUUCAGAUUGUAGAUCGGAAGGAACAGGUUCUGCGCACCAAGACGAUCCAGUUGGUUAAAGUGGUCUGCAACACCACGGCACAAAAGGAGCAACUUGGGAAAGUGAAGAUUCGAUGAGAUGAAUGUACCCCCACCUUUUUGCUUAAAGAUUUGUAAUGGUUUAAAUUUCGAGGAUGAAAUUUUUAUAAGAGGGGAAGAGUUGUGACAUCCUGAAUUUCCAGUUCUGUUUUCAAUUUAAUGAAUCGGGCUUUUAAUCAACGCGCCUAUAGUUCUUUUCCCUGAACUGAUCACUCACGGGAUAACUAAUCUAUCAGGUGAAGCCGUUAAGGAAUUUUAACGCAAUAGACUUGAGAAUUCGAUCAGGAAUCGACUGCUUGACCGUGCUAAUCUGUAAGGGUCAUUACGGCACUGUCAAAAUCGAUCAAAGAUUAGAGAUAGGUCUAUUCGACUGAAAUAUGUGAUCAGUGUGUGGGUGAUCCCACCUUAUUGCAAAAUUCUCGUCGAACGGCACUGGACUAAUUGUUUUGUCAUUUUUGUACCCUGUGUCCGUAUUUGAAAUCUCAAGAUUUUCACGACAAUCGAGAGUUACCAAUAUGUUGAAGAUGUACAAUGUGGCUCAAAAAUAAUCAACCACUGGUCAAUUGCACUAAAAAUUCCUAAAAGCUACUCGGUAGGCUAGGUCACGCUAAAAUCACGCCAGAUUGCAAUUAACCGCGAAUUUAAACCCGAUUUCAGAAAUUGAAAGUUUUGUCAUGUCACGAUUCAUUUUAGGACUGUCGACUCACCCUCCGAAGAUUUUUUUGAAAACCAAGAUUUUUGGAGAAAAUUCAAAGUAGGGCUGUUUUUGACCGGGAAAAUUAAGGGCCGUUUUUUAUCGCGUUUUUGGGAUUCAAGUUGGUUCAAUUAAUGAGCAAAAAUGUUGAAUUUGACGAGGACGCCUUGGCUGAAUUUUUGGGGCUUCAAUUGGAUCAAAUUGGAUGAGAAUUUAAUGAAAUUGAUGAGGCAAAUGUCCAAAUUCAUAGCCAAGGGGCAACCUUUUGGACCUCUUCAAUGGCUUGUUGGGGAAGCUUGGGUGCUGCAAAUGGCUAAGGUUGAAGGCUGAAGUGGUGGAGGCAUGUGUGAUGAGUGAUUUGGACAAGUGUUGAAGACUUGGAGGCCAUUUGGGGUCCCCCUCUCUUGAGCAACCCCUUCUUCCUCCUUGAGAAUUGCUUUCCCCAUUGUUGAGUGCCUUUUGAAGCUUAGAAAACCAUAAGAAACCGGCAGCCCCUCCCCCUAGCCCGUCGCACGCCCGCCGGAGCCGCUAGGACCGCCGCUCAUUGUCGCACCCCCGCGCGAGCCCGUCGCGCGCCGUCCGCUGUCCCGCGCCUCCUGUUAUGCCCAACCGUGCCACCGAGCCUCCCUAGUCACCGUAGGGCUCAGCCGGAGCCCUGUCGACGCCGUCCAGCAACCGCCGUCGCCCCUGCUCGCCCGUUGUAGCCCCAUCCACCCGUCCCUUGCCGUUUCCAACCCCGUUCCAGCUUGCUCGGUCCUUGGACAGAACCGAGAAGCCCAACCGUGAGCCUUCGUGGGCCAUUUUAGGCCUCUUCCGAGCCUCGCUUGGUGUCGCCGCAGGCUUGUUUGUCACCCAUCUCCGCGUCACCAUCGCCGUGGACUCACCGGAUCGUUAGACCAGUGAGUUUACUUGCUAAACUCUGCUUAAGGAGUUAAUGCUACUUAAGGGGUGAUUAGUUUAGGCUAAGUAUAGUUUAGGUGAUUAGUUAGAUUAUAUUAGUGAUUUAAUUAUUCAUUUGUGCAUGUUAGGUGGUUAGAACAGACUCAUUAGGGACUAGAUAGAUCGUGUUAUUUAUCUAGAUUGGUUCGGAAAUUUUCCGGGCCCGUUUCGGUGUUUAAUUAAGCAUUUCUAGCCUAAGUUUAUAUUUUUGGUAAUUAAUUGCAUUUAUUUAAUAUUUUUUGUAUUUAUUUAAUUAUUUAAUAUUUUUCGAAAAUUAUAUCAGGAUAACUGGUGACCGAAAUUUCGUGCUGAUUGCAAUGGUGUGGUUAGUUUAUACAAUUGAUUAUUAAAUUGUGCAAUUGAGUGAUGAUUGUGAAAUUUGGUAUUUAAUUAGAAAAUACCGGGUGUCGGGGUUUGACACUGAAAAUGGUUUUAUGUACCAUCUCAGCUUGUGUGAGCAAUAGUGUAAAUCAGCUUGUGUGAGCAAUGAUCUAAAUCAGCUUGUGUGAGCAAUGAAUCGCCAGCUUGUGUGAGCAUUAUUUUAUAUCAACUUGUGCGAGCAGCAAUUGAAUUGGAACUUGCGAUCGAUGGAAUUGAAUUGAAUUGAUCGAUUGGGUAUAUGAAUUGUACUGACUUGCAGGAAGGAACUGAGGCAAGGUGAGUCCUCUUUCUUGUGUGCAUAGACUGCCUCUAGGCGUAUUUCCUUCCUAGUCGGAGUUUAGGAGGUGAACUUGCUAAGACAUUGUCUCACCCCGUCGUGGGCUCAAUAUUUUCAGGUCCUUAGAUGGCAAUUCCUCCGGAACGUUUUGGCCGGCCCAUGAGAGUUACCGAGCGGGUUUUUAACUACCCCGAUCCCGAAAGUCAUUGGGUAUAUGAACUGGUUGCGACCACCGUCUGGGUCGAAGAGGGCCUACCUCAUAGGGCGCCUCAUCGAUUCAGAGCGUGGUUUCGCUACGGACCCAAUGGAUUCAGGGUGGGUCCCCUCUAGAGUUUUGAAAUCCCCGCUGUGGUAGUCGAUGCCACUCUAGGUGAGAGUGCAGCUGACCCUCCUGAUGGUGUGGUGUAGGACCCGACGCCCCCGGAGCCAGUGGAGACCGAAGGAUUGACGAAUGUGUUCGGCUAGUUGGUCUUAGGACGGCUUCUUUUUUUUAGAGCCGGUCUUUUGUGGACUUUUGUCUAUAGACUAGUAUUGUAAAUAAACUAAUCGGCUGUAUAUAAAGGUUUGUUUUGGUUGUGAAAUUGUGGUCCUACUUUUCUAUCCCAUCUUGUGUUGUCAGGGGUAUUAGUUCGCUUCCACAUGCGCAUUAAAAUGAAUGCGUCGGCGACACGUCCUGGGACGUCGCAUUUUUAUCACCACUGAGGGAUGGGCACACUCUCGAGGAUCAGAGCGCGACACCUUGAGCCGUUGCCUAUCCCGAAACAUCUAUGGGAUAGUGUUUCCAUGGACUUCAUCGUGAACUUGCCAAAGUCCGAAGGGUGUCGAACCCUCAUGGUCGUGGUGGAUCGAUUCACCAAGUACGCGACGUUCGUGCCAGCCACAAAGGAUUGCCUAGCCGAGAAAGCGGCCAAGCUGUUCCUCAAGCACGUCGUCAAGUAUUGGGGCGUCCCACGCACGAUCGUGAGCGAUCGCGAUCCUUGAUUCACCGGGCGGUUUUGGACCAAGCUCUUCAAGUUGCUGGGAACGAACCUCACCUUCUCCACGAGCAUGCAUCCCCAAACCGACAGACAGACGAAACAGGUGAAUGCACUGCUGGAAAUCUAUCUCCGGCACUAUGUGAGCAAUAUGCAAGUAAAUUGGGCGCGAUUGAUCGACGUGGCCCAGUUCUCAUACAACUUGCAGCGGAGCGAGUCCACGAACCAGAGCCCAUUCGAGAUCGUGACCGGGCAACAGCCGCUCACACCGAGCGCUAUCGCUUCGAGAUAUCGAGGAAGCAGCCCCUCCGUGUACAAGUUCGCUAAGGAAUGGGAUGAACAUGCAGACUUGGCGCGAGCGUGCCUGAAUAGAGCCGCGAAGCGCACAAAGAAGUGGGCUGACAAGAAGCGACGGCAUGUGGAGUUUCAAGUCAGAGACUUGGUGUUGGCCAAAUUACACCUCGUCCUUCGAUACCGUGAUGUGCACAAAGGGCUGAUCCGUCACUACGAGGUUCCCUUCCAAGUGUUGCAGUGGAUCGAGAAGGUGGCGUACAAGCUAGACUUACCAUCCAAGCUUAAGGUACAUCCCGUGUUCCAUGUGAGCAUGUUAAAGCCUUUCCAUGCGAACGAGGACGAUCCAGAUCAAGGCAAUUCACAAAGAGCGCCCCUUGGAGUAAAGACCUCCUAUGAUCAGGAUGUUGAAUGCAUCAUGGCCGACCGGAUGAUAGAUAUUGUGCGCCAAGGAAGGAAUACCUCAUCCGAUAGAAGGGCCUUCCCGAGAGUGAAGCAAGUUGGGAACCCUCCGAGGGCCUGUGGCAAUUCAAGAAGCACAUCAAAGCCUUCCAUGCCACAGACGCAACGAGGGCGUCGCCCGAUUAGGUGGGGGAGAAUGACACGGCCCACGAACGAAGCAUGUCCAAGACCGUCCGUGAUUCGGCCGUGUCACGCACAAGGGCUUGCCACAGACAAGCCCUUAUCGGUUCCAGUCUCGACCGAUCCCUGAACGAUCCCGCAUCCAUCCUUGAUCGAUCCCUAAUCGAUCACCGAUUAGUCCCUGCACAAUCCAUGAACCGUGCCUGAUCCGUCCAUGCGCGAUAAGGGGGAUGACCCGUGCACGACCAGCGGCCGACUCCUGAUCAAUGCUCAGCCAGCCCUUGCACAAACCUGGAGUUGUUCACCUGCUCCGUGUCAGGCGGCUAGGCUCGCCCAUGCUAACCCUGAUCUUGCUUCUGACUUGUGCCUACGCCUGUGGCUGUUUCCCAAUGCCUGCAGCCAUUGAGUGGUCUGUUGUGUAGCCUUGUAAUGAUGAUACGGAUUCAAACUCCACCAUUGGAUCGGAGGGACGAUCAACGACCGGCAUUAGACCUGAACUUGUAUAAAUAGGGGUCCCUCCCCCUCAUUUGAGCUCAGCUCAUUCAUAGUGAAUAUAUUCGCCCUUUGCACAGCCAACCCUUGUGCUUGUGUGCGUGACCUGAAAUGCUGACUUGGGAUCACGAAUCCUAAGGCCGCACGGUGUUUGAUCGAUCGUGUUCAACCGACCCAUGACACAUGCAUGCAGGUUUUUAUAGUGAAGUUGAUAGUGAUGGGCUUUCGAAAGUUUUGCUCCUUUCUUCUCUUGUCCCGCUUCUUAACAAUGGGAUCAACGAGGGUCCAACUUCUUGGGUGGCUUUGUCUUGGAUUCUCCAUCAUCGUUUUCGCAGCUCCUUUAAGUGUUAUGGUGAAUAGUUGGAGUAACUCUUGAUUUCUUACAUUUUACUUUUCCCUAGUUAUACUUUCCUUCACGCACUACUGAGUUAUGUGAGACAAGUUUUGCAUAACGUUUAUUUUCAACGAAUAUUGCGCAGAGAAUGGUGAUACGCACCAAAAGUGUAGAGUUCAUGCCCUUCUCUCUCUCAUUUUUCCCCACGCUCAGCGCUGUAACUUGGUUCCUAUACAGUGCAUUCCUCAAGGACAUCCACGUCGCAGUACACAUCGAUUUUCAGCAAAUACUAGAAAUUUCACUAAAAAGAGUUUGCUAUUACCCAAAGAGAAAAGUUUAUCGUGGAGACUAUGGUUUAGAUAUCGUUUUAUUUUCUGAUAUACAUUCAUUAAUGUAAGUAUGAUCAUUUACAUAGGUUCCAAAAGUAUUGGGGUUUAUCCUUGGAGUGCUUCAGACGGGACUGUAUUUGAUAUAUAGGAAGAGGAGUGUGAUGGUUCUGGAGGAACCCAAUAAUUUCAGUGGUGCAAAGCUGAUUGCGCAUACUCAAAGUAGAAAUAUCGCCUGUAACGACAGCAUCAUCGAUGUUCAUGAGUUCAAGGAGAGGAAAGACGAUGUGUACGAGGGUAAGAUAAGCUUGAAAGAUACCGACAAUGGACUAGUGGCGAAUAGUUCAUGUGAAUUUUGACACGGGUUAAGUCGCUGCAUAUGCCUCUACUGUUGUCUUUCGAGUAGCUAGUUAAGCUAAUUUAGUUCUUUCUUGGCAAAAGAACAGCGUAAAUGCCAAAACUUAGCACAAGGACACUUAAGUGCCAAAAAUUACGAAAUGUACAAUUAAGUGCCAUUUUUUUUUUUUUUUAAGAAUUGGAAUACCUAAGUGCCAAGUCUAGCGAACCCUAUUGGAAAUCCUACAUUUCAAUUUUUGAUUAAUAUUGCUCGCAUACGUGGCUCGCCGGAGAGCUAACUUGGCUCUGACUCACCCAAAACGAUGUCAUUUCUAUAGUUGGCCAAGAUAAAAGCCCUAAAUCAGCCAAAAUGAUAUCAUCUCCCCAAUUGCCCCAAACCUAGAACCCUAAAUUGGCUAAAAUCCCAAUUAAAGCGCUCAAACCCUAAUCCCGAAUCCUAAUUUCGAUUUACCCCAAAUUCCACUGCCGAAUAUUAUAAAUGGAGAGUAGAACUUUCAGCAUUUACUUAAAUUCCUCUCACCGAAGUGAAGGAAAAGGCGAGUGUUUCUGUUUUUGUGGAUCACCGAGUCCAAGAAGAACAUCGUGGACUCAAAUGAAUCCCAUGAGAAAAUUCUAUGGAUGUGCCAUAUAUAAAGAAGUGUUGAAAUGAAAUACUUCGAAUUGGUCGAUGCGAAAUUCUCUCACCUAGCCACAAAGGUGAUAUUAGACCUACUUGAUGGAUGACAUCAACCUCCAUCUACAUUCGUGGACGAUUUGGAUGAUGUUAACUCAAUACAAGCUGAAAUAUCUUCGCUAACCAUUUAAAGAAUGAAAUUUCAAAGAUAAAAAUUGAAUAGAAGUGUUACCAAACGUUUAUUGUUUUGUUGUUUUGCUGUCUAUCCUACUUUAUAAUGAAAUGUCAAGCAUUUGAAGAUGGGAAGAAAUUUCUCUAAUUGCCAUAGUUGAAAGUGAGUGGACAAAUGUAAUUAUUUUGGAUCAAAUGUAGGCCUUUUUUUUUAAGAUGAAAAAAAGUUUGUGUUGUUCACAAGAUUGUUGCGGCUUUAUUGUUAUUUGUGAUGUUAUGUAUAUUGGCUUACUUCUUUUGCUUGUGAAGAGAUCAAGGAAAGGAAAUGAGUGAAUAAGAUGCUACUUGUACUAUAUUUUUGCUUGUUCUUAAAUAGAAACCAACAAGAAUAUGUAUUGGGUCACUAUGUUGUGGCGGCUUCUUUACUUGAACUAAAUAUAAACUAGCAAACAAACAUUAAAUUGAAUGAGUUAUUUCUCUGGUUUGCUAUAAACUAACAUAUAUAUAGAACAGACACAAGUAAUUAUUCAAGUACCAUAAGUUGUAUUUCAUGAUCACUUAAGUAUCAUUUGUGAUGAAAAAAUGAUCACUUAAAUGUCAAGUUAUUAUUAAAAGUAAUCACAUAAGUGCCACCCAUGGUUAAAAGUGAAUACUUAAGUAUUAAGUUUUUUAAAAUGUGAUAAGUUAAGUUCCAAUUUUUUGUAAAUUUCUCCUAAAAAUUGCACUAGCCAUCAAUCACCACCCACCACCCACCACCACUAGCCACAUCAUGUACCCCAACCAUCACCUCAAGCCACCACCAGCCACCACUAUGUUGGUGGUGUGCUGCUGUAGGAGGUGCCGGUGCAAAUAAGGUGCUAGUGCAAGCUGAGCCUUACACCAGCACCAUCUGAUGCAAAAUGUGUACAAUCCACACUUGCGCCAGAUACUGCAUAAGCUCCCAAUCGCCAUCAACCACCACCAGGUACCAUUAGGCACCACCGACCACUAGCUAUCAGACACCACCACUAGCCACACCAGACACCACAGCUAUCACCAUAAACCCACUUGCUACUAUAGAAGGUGAUGGUGCAAGCUGAGCCUGCACUAGCUUCCACUAGCACCACCUGAUGCGAGAUGUGCACACUACAUACUUACACAAAAUGCUGCAAGAGCCUCCAACUACCACCAGUCACCACCAGGCAUCACCAACCGCCACCAUCAGCCAUAUUAGGCACCUCAGCCACCAUCAGCCACUACCACCAACCACACUAGGCACCUCAACCACCGCCAUAGACUUAUCUGUUGCUGCAAAAGAUGCUGGUGCAAGCUGAACCUUACACCAACUUGUACCAACACCACCUGGUGCAAGAUGUGCAUUAGAUGCUGCAAGAGCCCCCAAUCGCCACCAGUCACCACUAUCAGCCACCACCACUAGUCACACCAAGCACCCCAACCACCAUCACAAACCCACUUGUUACUGUAGAAGGUACUGGUAAAAGAUGUGCACACUGCACACUUAUACCAGGUGCUGCAGGAGCCCCUAACCGCCACCAUGGUGACCACCAGCCACUACCUAAGUAGCACCGACACGUAACACGACAUAACAUGCCAACAUGUCAUUUCUCAAAAAUAAAAAAUUACGACAUGUUGGGUCACGUUACAUAUUAAAUGAAUAUUUUUAUUUUAAAUUAAUUUGAUUCAUAUUCAUGAAUAAAUAAAUAAAUAAAUAAAUAAAUAUAGCUUACAAUGAAUUCACUCUAAUAAUAUUAAUAAAUAUAUUCAUAGGAAAUUCGAAAGAUAUUACGUAUCCAUGUUUGGGGAAAUGUUUCUAGCUUUAACAAAAGUUAUCAAUGAAACUAACCACUAACAAGAGAUUAAAUAAAUUCAUGAUCUUCUACAAUAACCAAAAUUUAUUAUUAUUUAACAUUCAGUGCCUUUAUUUUCCAUAAUCAAUUUUUAGCCCCACUUACUUGUUUUUCAAACCCAAAAAAAAAACGCCCUACCACCCUCUACCCCCCCUCCCCCCAAAAAUUAUUUCCCUCCCCCAUUUCUUUUCCCCCUCAUUUCUUCCCCCGUCCCCCCACCUGUCACUUCCUUUCUUGAAAAUUGAAGUCAUCUUCCACCCUUCCUUCCCUCCAAAAAGAAAAAAAUCAUGCUAGUCCCAUCAAAAUUCCCAUUUUUAAUUUUUUUUAUCUACUCUUAUUGCUAAAACUAAAAGAGGAGAAAACUCAAAAAUCCUAAGCAUGGCCUCCCCCUCCUCCUCCUAUUCACACAAUCCUCUUGCUCUCGAUCUCUGCUCUCUUUCAGUCACCUCAUUGCAAUCGCUCGCCCCUCGUCACCAGCCCUUCCUCCUUUGCAGCUGCAGUCUCGCUUCCGGCCCUCCAUCGCGGCAUCGCAAUUGCAGCCCUCUAGGUCGCCUCGGUCUCUACUCUUCCUCUGGCCCUCCUUGCAAUCGCGGCCUCACCGUCACUCACGGCCUCACCUCCACUCUUUUGCCCUCGCCUCCACCCUCCAUCGCCUUCUUCAACGAUUCUCUCUCCCUUCACACUUGCAGACCCGCCCUAGAAACCACCAUGCCUCUCGCAAUUCCGGACACGCGUGUCGGUGCGUGUCGGAAAGAGUUGACCAUGCCUCUCGCAAUUCUGAAAAUCGUAAUUUCCAACCUAAAUUGCCCAGGUAGAUUGAAUUGGUAUCAAUGUGAAAAUAUUUAGAAUUAAAUCGGUAUCAAUGUAAUAAAUUUAGAACUUUUUUAGUAUUUUUCCCUUUAAAGGCAUGGACAGCAAGGUAUGCUAUCGUACUCAAUAAUUGAAAAAUACAAAAGUCACUUACUUUACGACGAGGUUGUGUGUGAUUAGCUUACUCUUAUGAGAGUAUUUUACAUGCACUUUGCCAAGUUGUGGCUCUCAUAUACCAAAACAUAUGUUGAUUGGUGACUCAUGUUGUCCAUGAUUACUUCCUUUCACAUUGAUUAAAUAUAUCGUCAAAGGUGUGUCGAAUUGAUAUUAUGGCUAAGCUUUAUGAGAAUGUGAUCUCUGGAACUGAUAUACUAGAUGACAUAGCGAAUUGUAAGUAUGAUGGAUAAAUAUAAUAUCACAUCACUUAAUAUAUCAAUUAAGUCAAUCAAUUAGUAUACUUAACACAUAAGAAAUCGUUUUAUCCAAAUUCCAUUUAGGUAAUGUUAACUUAAGUUCAACGGCAGUGGUCACGUGAUCAAAAGUGACUUUGGGUCCUAGAAAGUGUCGAACCUAGAAUUAUACCUUAUGCGUUAAGUUUUGAACAUAGAAUUAUGCUACCUUAUGUAUUAAGUAAACUUAACACAUAAGGUGCUGGCGUCACGUACGGGCGGACAAUCACCUACUCCGUUGUGCCACCUGCAAUUGUUAGGCGAGAUCAUUAUCUCCAUUUGCAAUAUUAAAAGAUAUUAUGGCCAUCCACGUAGUCGAUACUUCAAAUGAUGUGAUAGAUUCAUAUCCAUUACACUACUUAAUCAACAUGAAAAUUAUCUAAAGAGUCAUAAAUUUAUUGUACGGCAAUGAAUUCAUUCAUAAACUUGUCAAUUUUAACUAAUGUUAGUCCUAAACCUUUUGACAUUUUUGCUAGUUUAAAUUAGAAAUCGCUGACACAACGAUUCUAUUAAUGCCCAGCCGAUAGCUGACGUGGACAAUCUUAUGUGAAACGACGUCAUUUUGCAUUGAACCAAGAAUAUCUGAAUUUUCUUUCUUUCUUUUCCUUUCAAUAUUUUUUGCUUUUUAUUUUUCCUAUUCCAUUGUUCAUCUUUAUCCUCUACUGGUCACAAGUGAGGGUCAUAGCCUUUGCCAAAUCUAGGCAAAGCCGCCGGCCACAAGCUAAGGUAAUCCUUGCUAGAUUUGGCGAGGCCAUGAUGCCCUUGCAAAGGGUGGCCAAUGCCAAGGUUGCCCUCGCAUCUGGCCAACGACUUUCACAAACACAUCGCCAAGGCUCUGAUGACCGACAAGCAAAAAAGAUGAAUAGUGCAUUAAAAAAAAGAAUCAUAGAAUUCAUAAAAAGAAAAAUUGUAAAAUGACAUCAUGUCAUUUAAGAUCAUCCACAUCAAUAGCCAGCUGUUCUCCAUAAGACAUUUGGUGCUGACUAGACUAUCACAUUAACAAUUUCCAAUUUAAAUUAACCUAAUAAAUUAUAUUUAAAAAUUGUCAAGGUUUAGGACUAUAUUCAGAAAAUUGAAAAAUUUAGGACUUGAUCGGCCGCCAUACAAUAUGUUUAAGAUAUUUAGGACUACUCUCUCUUCAGUCAGCCGCCAUCAUAAAUCAUUCUAUAUUCUAGCAUAACUUUUGCCUUCCAUCUCCUCUAUAAAUUGCAAGGCCAGCGUGAGCACAAUUUCCACAACAUAGCCUUAUUUGUUUCAGCUUCGAAAUCUUCCAUUUGAAUAUCUUCAGUUUCUGAGAGGAAGAGAGUGGGAAAAUGGCCAUCUUCACGACUAACAAUCCCUGGGCGCUCACCUUUGGAGUUCUAGGUACUUUCCACACGGUAUCCAACUGUUUUCUAGUUACUGUCGAGCAACAACCAAUGACUUUGUUUUGACGCGUUUGUCAACCUUUGUAUGAUCCUUGUUGUAGGUAAUAUCACAUCCAUCGUGGUCUUUCUAGCCCAAGUGUAACUUUUUAACUCUUUCUCACUCCAUGCACACUGACAAAUAUAAGGUUUAGGACUUAUUUAAUCUUCUUUGGCAGGGCAACGUUCUGUAGGACAUGCAGGAGGAAGUCAACUGAAGGGUUAGAAUCGGUUCCAUACGUGGUUUCUCUGUUCAGCGCCAUGCUUUGGCUAUACCAUGCAUCCCUCAAGUCCGAGUUCAGAGCUUUCCUCAUCACGGUCAACUCGGUCGGAUGCGUCACUCUACCUUGCUUAUGCUCCUAAACAAGCCAGGGUACGUAGCUACAGCGUUGUUCGCAAGGAACACGCCUGAUGAAUUCUAAUUGUUGGAGACUGGAUGCAGAUGCUGACGCUGAAGCUGCUUUUGCUGAAUUUCGGAGGGUAUUGUUCCAUUCUUCUUCUGUCCCACUUCUUGGCGAAGGGAUCGGAGAGGGGUCCAACUUGUUGGGUGGAUUUGCGUUGCACUCUCCAUUGCAGUCUUCGCCGCUCCUCUAAGCGUCAUUGUAAUUUACUUCUAUAUGGCUCCUUGCUCUUUUUCUGCAUGAGAACGCUUGUCUUGCAUAAUAAUGUGAAACACAAGUUGAUCACGACAUGCAAUUAGGUUUCGACGUACAUAGAGUUUAUAUACGUGUGUGCAGAGAAUGGUGAUAUGCACCAAGAGCGUGGAGAUCAUGCCCUUCUCUUUAUCAUUGUUCCUCAUCCUCAGCGCUGUGACAUGGCCCCUAUAUGGCCUAUUCCUCAAGGACUUUUAUGUCGAGGUAUGCAUUGUUCAUCCACUUGUUAAAAAUCAAGAUGGCAAGGUGAGGCAAUACUAUCUUCGUUCCCCUGAAUGAACCAUAUUAACAUGUGUACGUGUUUGUACAGGGUCCAGAUGUAUUAGGAGCCACCUUUGGAGUGCUUCAGAUGGCACUGCAUGCCAUAUACGGGAAGGGGAAUACUAUGUGAUGGAGGAGGAGAAGAAUGAUACAAGUGUUGGGAAGCUGAGCUCUGAUAUACAAAGUUGCAAUGGGCAUGCCAUUGCCUCCGACAUAGAUACCAACAUCUUUGACGAGGAAAGAGAAGUGCGAGAGAAGCUUCAUCAUCUUUAUUGAAACUCCUGAUAAAGGACCAGUGGCCACUCCAUCUGAAGUUUGACAGGCGUCUGAGUUACUUAUAUGCCUGAUCAGACCUUUUUUUUCAGCAGCCCCUAGCUAGCUUGCUCGUUGCUUCUGCUAUGUAAUAUGUAAAUGGAACUAAUGAUUAAUUGAAUGGUGACUCUCACGAAUGGUGGGCACUUAAAAAAACGAGUCCCUAUUAACGAUAAGCAUUACACAUUGAUAGACUUGAUGAUAGCAUUUUGUUCUCUUACUGUAUACUUUCCUUUCUAUGACCUNNNNNNNNNNNNNNNNNNNNNNNNNNNNNNNNNNNNNNNNNNNNNNNNNNNNNNNNNNNNNNNNNNNNNNNNNNNNNNNNNNNNNNNNNNNNNNNNNNNNUUUACAUAUUACAUAGCAGAAGCAACGAGCAAGCUAGCUAAGGGCUGCUGACAAAAAAAGUCUGAUCAGGCAUAUGAGUAACUCAGACGCCUGUCAAACUUCAGAUGGAGUGGCCACCGGUAAUUAAUUUUCUCGUUCCUUCCGCGGUGGACUGUUGUUUGUGAAUGUUCAACUUGUUUUUCCUCAUAGCACAGUUAUCAGACGCAUUACUCUUUGCGAAAGAGAUUCAGCUACUCUCCGUUCUUUGCUGAUUGAUUGAUAUCAUCUACUUACCAGGUCAUGUGGUCCGUCCGCUCAUGAAACAUUUUUUUUCCUUUGAAAUCCAGCUAGUUAGGAUCAUGAGCUAAGAUCCCAGACACUCUGGGAGACCCUUUUAUAUUCAUUGAGUAAAUUUGCCUCUCCAUCAGAAUAUAACUGUGGUCACUUUAAUGCGUGCCCUGAGAUGACAUUAUAAGUUCUUACUCUGUGAUUCCAAUUAGAGAGAAGUGUGCUCAGGUGGGUAAUAAACUCACCCAGGAUAGCACGUACCAUUAGGCCCAGACUCAACCGGACCCUCAACCCAGUUACUACACAAAAUCAUAGUUAAAAAGUACUCCCAACACACCAUAGAUAUCCCUGAUACAAAACUGAGAGAUCAGAGGAACUUCCCCCUGAAAAAAAGUAAAAAGUAGUUCCUCAAUUAGACUGACAAUAAGAGAAUUGAGUCACAGCAAAAUGUUUCUUCUGUCAAGCGGGAUCAACAGUUAGUUCUCAUCCUACAAACAUGGACUUCAACGCUAGCAAUUCUACCGAUGAGGAAGCUCUCUUUUCUACAACCAAUGGGCAUGCACUCGGCAUUGGAAUACACACUAUUGUGGUAGUUGAAACAAUUUUCACAGGCUUGCAAUUUGCCUCGCACUGUAUCAGAUUCUUUCAAGGCUCUUUGGAAAAGUAAAUAGCUGCAUUAUGUGAAUUUGCUACAUUUUUCAAGCAAAUUUAGAAAAAAGCCUCAAGAUGAAAAUUUGGAAUGUUCUCAGACUAGCCAAGUGAUGCCCAAUCUGGAUAUGGGCACUCAUAGACCCAUCCAGGUCCAGAAUAUCGUAUGCAGUGCAGCCACAAUCCCUCCUCACUCCCAUCAUAUCUGCAUUUUGCAGACACUCAAAUCAAAUCUUAGGUCCUCUAUCGUACACACGCAGGCAAGGGUGUGCAACCAGAAUAUGAAUAAAGACAAGAACCCAAGAUGGGAAAAAGGAGGAACACUCACCCUUUUGGAGCUAAAUUCGGACAAUUCGUGCACAUAGGGUCAGUACUAAAUUCAAUGCAAGGCUCUUCUUCCUUAUCAUUCUGCCUGAUAUCAGAAACACUGGAUUCUGAUGACAAACCAACAGCUUUAUCAGCAACCAUUCCUUCAGCUGAACGAUUGGUCCUUUGUUCAGAAAGGUAAAGCAUGUCAUUGGCAAUUGGAUGGCCACUAAACUGCAAAUGGACUCGUAUCUGCACAUAAAGAGCAGGGUUGAGAGAAGAAAGUGCUGCAAAUACUAGCAUAUAUCAAAUAAACCUUACAAAUUAAAAGGUAUAAAAAACAGGAUGACUUAACCAAAAGCAGAGAGGUAUAUAAAAAGCAGGAACUGAAAGUAUCUUACAAAAUGAGCACGACAGGGUUUAUGGAGAGACAAAGUGCAGAAAAGAAAGCGCACAACUCAAGAAGUUAACAGUAAAUGCAGUGUCCUUCCUGUAUAUGUGGGUACAUCUAUGCAUGCAAUUGACUUGGCUACAUUAAGGAAAAAUAACCGAGGAAGGUUCACUGCUUAUGAAAUAGAAAAUAGGAGGCAUCAGACUCUCAACAUGGUAUUUGCAUCCUUUAGCAUCAUAUUGCCUUACCUGAUGAGUUCUUCCAGUGACCGGUUCACAGAGAACAAUGCUAUGGGUUCCAUUGGUGCUGAUCCUUGUGAACUUUGUACAAGCGGCCUUUCCUUUCAAGAGCACAGUAUCACAAGUAGGGUCACCUGCCUGUAAAAAGAGAUGCUAUUGACCAGACUAAUGGCAUUAAGUACAUUAUUACAUUCACUGCCAAUGCUCUAAUUUACUGGUCGAAAUGAAGACACGGCUAUGAAACAGUCAGGGCAGAUGUAUUUUAAAUGUAGAAGGAAAAGAAAGCUCUAAGAGUGGUCAUACAUUGCCACACACCAUGCCACGUGGACCAGGAGAAGGGUGGCAGAUGACAUCCUACCACCAUUUUCAAUUUCCUUAGAGAUUAAAAAGCCUUUAUAUGACGACUCAUCCAUAUAAAAUCCAAAUCACAUACUAUUGCUCGAAAGGAUCUGGUAAAGUGAGAGAGCAUAUAUGCUAAUGAAUAGGGAAACUGUGGCUUCUUGCUUUUGGCUGGCAGUAUUUAGAUCUGCUGAUUCAUAUACCAAGGCUCACAGAUUUUGCAUCAGCCACCACUAUGUCACAAGCUCGGAGCUCUUAACUUCUGAUGAAUUUAGUUUGGAUUACCAUCACACGUUACUUUUCAAUUCCAUUUCAAACAGUGUGCUGUGCAUCACCAAGAAAACAGUCCACAGUGGCUCAUAAGUAUAUGAAUGCUCCUAAAAAGUAUUGAUAGGCCAUCAUAAAUGGCUAUCUACAAAAACUAUAUACUUAUUUUUACAUGCCUCUGUAAGAAUGCUAAGAAAGGGCAUUAGCUUCCAUUUAUAGCCCUCCGAUAACAUUCAAAAUUGCACCCUAUAAUGAAUUCAUAUUGGUAAGCCACAAAAACCUUCCUUUACGAAGGAAAGAGAGCAAAACGAAAGAAAGGAGAAGAAAUCAGUACACAAGGAAGGCAUGACAUAAUUUUCAUUCAAAAGCAUUAUCAGAAAGCCAUAAUUUCAAGACCCUUCUCCAACACCCAGAUGCUCAGUUUCAUUUCCUUGACGUCACGUAAUACAGUGAUCGACAUAAAUUUAAACUCAGAAAAAAGGUUGAAAUAACAAGCUUUUGAGCAGACACUCACCUCCGCUGUGCUCCUGCCUUCUCGAGCAUCGUAAUUGAUGUUGACAUUGACCUCCAGCUAACAAGAAACCCCAGAACACAUAAAUCAGAUGAGAACUAAUAAGAAUGCAUUUCUGACACCACAUUCUCUAGAACUUUCUCACACGAUCUAACUAGCCUCCAGGAUCUUCUGAAGAGAGGACCUAAACGAAAAAGCACUAGUUGAUUGUGUUCAUAAAUAAGUGGAUCUUCCUUGGGUUUGAUAAAAUGAUACAGGAAACCACGGCUGGAUCUUUCAUCAAUAAUAACUGAAGAUGUCACACAAGAUGUGCAGUUGAUUUUUAACAACUAACGCUCUCCCACUCAAAAGGAGUUUUAUAAUAACUAAAAUCUACGUGGAGAAAAAGAAUAUGGGCAGACUUGUCCUUUCAGCAUUACCUCUUCUCAAGACAACUCAACAAACAAACAGAAAAUAGUCGAAUUGGAAAAAAGAAAUCACAUUGCUAGAUUGAGUACAUCUACUUCAACAUCUCAUAAUUCCAAUUCUUCAGGGUUAAACAAACUCCCUCAUGUAGCACCGUACUGCAGGAAUUUUCAGUUCGUAAAUUAUUCACUUUUAGUGCAUAUUCCAAAAUCAACAGAUUGGAGCAAGAGAUACCUCAUUCUCAGGAAAUUCACCCACCACCAUUGCAAUAUACCGUUUCUGCACCAAACCACCUUCAAUCUGAAGAUAUUAAAUGUCAGUUGAAACUUAAAUUUUAGGCCAAGUAUCAUAUGUACCUUGCCACAUCACGAAUAUGAUGUAUAAACACUUAAAAGUAAAUAUAGGAUAUUCUAGAUGAUUUUUACUCUAGGGAAUGAAGUCAGCAGCAGAAAUAGUACGUGGUAGCACUACUGGUAUUAGGAAAAACAGUCACCACACACAGAUUAGAACUCUACAGGCUUAAGAUAUAUACAAAGGAAAUGCACAUCACAGAAAGAAAAUAUAUGACCUCUUUAAGUCACUCCAUAAAGUAGAUGUACAAGACACAGUGUGACGAUAUUACAAAUGAUGAACAAGAUGUGGCAACACAGCAGCAUGCUCAGAGAACUACCACUACCCUUGUCGUAAAUGUAAGAGAGCCCCACUUCCAUUUAGGCAAUUGACCACCCACAUAGUACUGAAGCUAAUAGGAAUUUACAUUAGUAAAGGUUCCAAAAGCACGCUUUCCAAUACAACACUCACCUGUUGCCUGAAAAGAUCUGCUUUUGACGCGUUUCUGGCAAAUAUAAGGAGUCCAGAGACAAGGCGAUCUAGUCGGUGAACAGCUUGUAUUAUAACAUCAAGGAGGACGUAUGAAAUCCAUAAUGUGGAUGUGAUACCAGAUAUAGGUCAGAGGAUGGAAAAAGAGUCGAUGAUAGACAUCAAGAAUCACAAGGAAACAGAAUAUGCCCAAUCUGAUUUCGAUAGAGCCAAGAAUGCAUAUGCAUGUGAAAGAGCUACUGAGGAUACGAAAUAGGGGUGCCAGCCCAUGCUCUGCCUGAAGGAUGCCAACCACAGUGUUUUUACGAUACUGACCACACGGAUGCACCUAUAAACAAGUCGAAAUUUCUAUAAACAUAGAUCCUAUAAGGCCAAAAGAGCUAGCUAGGCCAAGCAAGGCUGCUGUAACCAUAUUACUCUCUGAAUCUCAUCAGUGAUUUUACAGCACUCAUGCAAAAUCCACACGAAAUCACUCUUUUGUUGUACAUUUGAAAUGAAGGAAAACAUAAUUGUGUUGUUCCUUACUGGAAUAGAUGCCGGCUUACAAACAGUCACCACGUCUGGUUCUUUCUGUAGGAUGGAGACACCAUGGCUCGUCACAGGAGGCUCAUGCCUACAACCUUAUUAAGAUUAAUGCAUAUUCAAAGAAUACCCUAAAAAUUCUAGAAAAAACUGUAAAUUAAGAUUAGAAUUCUCAACUCGUGGGUGAAGAAAGAAUAAAGAAGCCUGAAGAAACAAAAAAGGUAAAGAAAGGGAACCUAAGCAAAAGAAACUGAUGCAGCCAAAGGUAUAUAUCAUCGCUAGAUCAGAAUCUAAAAGCAACAUUUGAUAAGGAGAUCAUAGCAAGUGUAAAGCUCAAACCAACCUGUGUACAAAGUGGCUUAUUUUUUCAGACGAUUUUACAAUGUAAGAGACAGGAACUACCCUCCCCUCGACUUGUAUCCGUCCACAUUCAACAGCACUGACCUACAGGUUAUAACCAGGCAUGGUUAAAAGUCAUGGUCACAUGCAGAACUAAACAUUCGUUAUGCAAUGAAGAAAAUGCUUACAUAAUACUCAUAAGGUCUGCCUUUGAACUCGUGGGCAAACAAAUCCACAAUGGUUUUGCCAGCCCAGCGGCUCUUGACCUAUGAUACAUCAUAAUUCAUAACCAGAAAACCAGCCAAAUUGAGAGCUCAAGGUUGACGCGACGAAGGGCUUAACGAGGGUCUUGACCACAUAAAAAUUAGAUCACAAGUAAAGCAUGCGAACCACUCCACUGCAGAAGAAGAAAGAGGAGAUAGCGACGACUCACAUGAGAGAUGAACUCGAAGUGGUAGGGUGCGACGUAGCGCCUCCCUGCACUCUCUUAAUAGAUCAGUCUUCUUUUCGCUCCCUCUACUAGCAAGAAUCCCUACAACAAUGUCCCAUGAAAGAAAAAUACUCUCUUGAGAAUUACCUUCGCGAAAGAUGUAAUCUUGGCGCUCCGGAGGAUUCAACGGAGUCUGCCACACGACCUCCCCCUCCUCGCUCGCUCCUCCCCCUUCUUCCUUUCGCUUCCUCUUCAUUUUCCUGCGACCAUCCACCGGCUAGAAACGACGGCGUUGGGGAGGAAUAUGAUGCGUCAAAGCAAAAGGCACUUCCUUUAUCCCACCUGAGGUAAGCGGGAGCUGCAGUAACAGGGCCGAGGCGACGUCGUUUCCAGCGUUCCGUCCCGUCUGUCCGUCCGACACUAUUCUAAUCUGUAUUUUGGCCUUCGUUUCCUGUCUCCUUUGGUGACUCGCCAACAAACCGACACCCAUCUUCCGAACCAAAGGCAGUCGCAUUUCGGUCGUUAGCUUCACCAACUUGCCAAGGUAUGACAUGUUUCUUUGAGCUACUCAUUGCCCAUCAAUACGUUUAGACUCAAACACCAUCUUCGCUUUCUUUCCCACGCCGUAUCAUUGAUUUCCGCUUGCCGCGAGUUCAUCAAGUCUCGGCUUUUCAUCUUCCUGCUGGCAUGCUCAAUCCAUCGACUCGACUUCCUUUCGCUGGUUCAGAUGGAAUGAUUCAAUAAGGUCCCUUGUUGAACUGAGACGAAGCAGAGAGACGGGCACGCGGGGGUGAGCGAGAAGGAGGAGGCGGAUAUGCGGGAAGAGGAAUUGGUGGAUGUGAAGUUCAGAUUGUUCGAUGGAUCGGAUGGGUCCCUUCCGGUACUCAUCGGCGUCCACCAUCGAUAUGUUGAAGCAGAGAGUUGUCUCCGAUUGACCCAAAGGCUUCCUCCACCUCUCCUUCCUAUGCUCGUUUCAGUAUGCGAUCUGUGCUGAAUAACCUUAUAAUCCGGUAUUUUCAUCUUGUUCAAAUAUGGUCCAUCAGAUUGGUGAUAUAGUUUGUAACAGCUUAGCCGGGUCAUACGCGCAUCCUAGACUAUAUGAUCUUUCCCUUGCUUUAAGUCGACUUCAAGAGCUGCUUUCUUGUGGAAUGUAAGAAUAGAUACGAACACCUAGAGUGCCAAAACUUAAUACAAAUUGACACUUAAAAAGUGCCAAAAUUUUGGAAUGUGACACUUAGUACAAAAAUGUACAAAAAUCGGAGUAAAAUGAAUUACUUAAAGUAACACUCCGGCCAAAAUGUCGAUGUGGUAAUUUCCCGGCAAAGGAAUUGUAAAAUGACACCGUUUUGCACACUAACGUAGUUAAAAAAUACAAAAGCGACGUCAUUUUGCUACUGACGUCAUAAAAAAUUAAUAUAAAAUUAAAUUAAAUUAAAAACUAAACUUAUUUAAAACAUUUAAAAAUAAAAUAAAAAUGUUAAAAAAAAUAAAAAACUUGGCAUGAAGGGCUAAGCCCCGGCCGACCCUUCCCCCCUUCGUCACUAGCCCUUUCAAGGCGACAGCAGCGAGGGCACAUCAGAAAAUCGCCACGUCGGCAUUUUGGUCGGAGCGGCACUUAAGUGAUCGAUUUUGCUCCGAUUUUGGCAGUUAAGUAUCACUUUCCAAAUUUUUUGUACUUAAGUAUCCUUCCGUACCAAAUUUUGACACUUGAGAUGUACUUCUGCCUAGGAACAGCCUAAGGUUGAGUUCAUGUCUAAUACUAGGCAUUUUCUUAAGUUAGUGAUGACCCCACUUUAGACUUACUUGAAAUUGCAUCAAUGCAACCGUCGGUGACCACAAGUAUAUGACUCGUGACACUAUCAUGAAGAGUUAUGAUCGUUUGUUUGCGUACACAAGCAACUUCAUAGGCCCAAAUUCUUUCCCAUCAUCCAAAAUUUUUUCACCCUUAUUAAAAAAUCAUUCAUAAAUCCAUACAACGAGUUCGCACUAAUAAUAUCCAUGAAUUUUUCAAUCACAAAUAUUCUUCACGAUUCAUUGCAAAUGGCAUCCUUUAUGAGAGAUCCCGCACAUAUUCCCUCCAACCAAACAAUGUUGUCGAAAGAAAAUAUCAUUACCUCCUAGAAGUUACUCCUCCCUUAAAUGUCAAGCUUUUAUUCCAAAAAUGUUCCAAGAAGACUGUUGUCAUGACAACAUACUUAAUCAAUCAGAUCUGUCUCGAAUCCUCAAUGGAAGAACCCCCUUUCGAAUUGCUUUUUGGGAAAAGUCUAGACAUUCGCCAACUUUGUCUCUUUGGUUGUAUAUGUUAAGUGCCUACCAUGGGCCCUCAAAACAAACUGUAUCUUCAUGUUGUUAAAUGCAUAUUCAUGGGAUAUCCUACUUUUUAGAAGGGAUAUUUGGUUUAUGACCCAUCCACCGAGCAUUUAUUUGUCAAUAGAGAUAUUAUCUUCCGUGAAGAUGUUUUCCCUUUCCAAGACCAAUUAUCUUUACAUCAAUAAAUUAAUACGGCUACUGAUCACCGCCCAUUUUUUUAUUGAAGAACCCUUUCAACUGAUGAUGAUUCCUUAUAUGUCAUCUCCCAUGGCAUCCUCGGCUCCUAAAUAUGAUGGAGCCUUAUUAUCAAGCAUAAUAUGACUCCCAAUAUUCCACAGGAAGUCACAUCAGAGUUCCCUACAACUUCUCAAUCACCUACUUCUCUAGGUGAUAUCUCUCUUGAAUCACAUGGGAUUAUUCCAUCCGCCGCACUAGUUCCUCCUCGACGUUCUAGUUGUACUACGUGAUUGCCCACAUGGACAACAAAUUAUAUUUAUACUAUGUUGGAGUCAUUUGAUACACAAUAUCGCAUCUCGUCAUAUGUCAGCUUUGCUCCUCUUUCACUUGACACAUGUGUGACAUUAGUAGAAUAUUUGAAGCAUAGGAACCAUAGGAACCAUCUUUAUUUGAUGAAACUGCAAAAGACCCUCAUUGGCAACAAGCAAUGGUGGAUGAAUUACAAGCCCUAAUAGAAAAUAAAACUUGGGAUAUUGUUCUUAUACCCCUCAUCAGAAAAUCUAUUGGUUGCAAGUGGGUAUAAAAAAUCAAAUUCAAUGCGGAUGGUUCCAUUGAACCCUAUGAACAAGACUAGUAGUCAAAGGGUUCACUCAACGAGAAUGUUUUGAUUAUAUUCAAAUGUUCUCUUCAAUAGCGAAGGAAGUCACUGUCCAUUCCUUCUUUUCCAUUACUACUUUUCGUGAUUGGCCCAUUCAUCAAAUGGAUGUUCAUAAUGCAUUUCUUCAUGGAGAUCUUAAAGAUGAAAUCUACAUGGACCUUCUGUCGAGUUUACGUAAAUAGGAAGAGAAUAGAGUAUGUCAUUUCUAUGAAUUCUUAUACGGACUUAAGACAAGUUUCUCAUCAAUGGUACGCCGAAUUUGCCACUGCACUUUCAACUGCAAAAUUCUAGGAAUCUAGACACGAUUAUGCCUUAUUCACAUUGAGUCAAGGUACAUCAUUAAUUUAUUUGCUUGUAUACAUUGAUGAUAUACUCAUUAUAGGAAAUAAUGAAAAUGCCAUGAAGAAAUUUAAGGGGUAUCCACACCCUACAUUUCAUAUUAAAGAUUUGAGACCUCCCAAAUACUAUUUUGGGAUAGAGAUUACACGAUUGGAUAGGGGAAUUUGCCUUAGUUAAUGCAAAUUUGUCCUAGAAAUCAUAUUAGAAGCAGGACUAUCAAGAUUCAAACUAACUGUUAUUCCAAUUGAAUAGAAUGGUAAGCUAACAAUUGUUGAGUAUGAUAAAGGACUAUCACACCGGAAUGACAACCCUUUGCUUAGAGAGCCUUCUUCUUAUUAGAGACUUGUUGGGAAACUCAUAUAUCUAACCAUGACUAAACCCGACAUAUGCUAAGCCAUGUAGAUUCUCAACUAGUUCAUGCAUAAUCCGAAACAGUCCCACAUGAAUGAUUCACAAAAGGUUGUCAUGUACUUAAAGGGAUUUCCAAGUUUGGGAAUACGACUCUCUCAAGAAAGCAACAUGGAGAAGACAACAUACAGUGAUACAUAUUAUGGAGAAGACAACAUACCACUAUGAGUAAAAAAUCUUUCAUUAGAUUCUGCUUCAAAUUGGGCAACCCAUACUCUCUUGGAAAACAAAGAAACAGUCGGCUACUUUUUUAUCAUCCGUCAAAGCAAAAUAUCAAGCAAUGGGCAAACUAGCUUUGAGAUUGUUUGGAUUAGAGGAUUACUUCAAGAUCUCGGCAUAUGGUUAAAAGAACCAAUCAUCCUAUUAUAUGAUAAUGAUGUUGUACUUAAACUUGUAGUAAAUCUAGUUUUCCAUGAAAGACACAACAUAUUAAAGCUAAUUGUCAUUUCAUUAGAGACAAAAUUCAAGAUAGGGUAGUCAAAGCAAGAGAUAUGAGAACAACGGAAUAGCCCGUAGACAUCUUCACUUAAUCCCCAUAUGAGAGGCAACAUGCGUAUAUAUUGAACAAGCUAGGCGUCCUUGAUGAAUAUAAACUGUUAGCUUGAGGGGAAGUGUUGAAGAUACUGUUGUCUAAAUUGAUUGAUCAUGAUCCAAAUACUAAUUCUAAUUGAUGAUGAUUAGUUCAUUGAUAGGAACUUGAACAUUCUGUAAUAGGAAAUUGAUUUUUUCCCCUUGUUCUGCAUAUCUCUAUUUCCUUAAUUAGUUUGAUCCUAUGUGCUAUAAAUAGGACUAUAAUUGUACAAAAUUGAUAUGAGAAAGCAAUAUAAAUUUUCCCAAUUCUUUGACAAUUUCAUUGAACGAAAUAACUAGGAGUCAUUGUUAAUAAUCUAUCUUGCACUUAUAAGUCCAUCAAUACAUCUAGAGAUGAUAAAAGAUGUUACCUUUAAAAUUUGAAGUUGUAAGGUCAUAAGUUAAAUGGCUGCGGAACUAUCAAUUUUAGUUUUUACGCCAUUGGAUCUCAAUUUGACAUGUCUUUCAUAUAGGAAAGGACUUACUAAGGUUUUUUUUUCCCCCAUCUAGUUAGAUAGUUUGACAAUACAAAUAUAAGCUUGAACAAGAAAUUUUCUAUACUUAAAAAUGGUCCUAUCUAAGACCAUAUGCAUCCAUGCUCAUCAUCUCAUAACAUGUGGUAUGUCUAAAUAAAUAGAAUAAGCAAUACCAAUUGUUUCCAAACAUGGUAUAUAUAAAAAGAGAGACUUAGCUACAGCCGGUCUAUGUUAUACAUGAAGAAUUGUUAGGUGUGAUCCAAUAGAAUCAAUGUGGACCGUCACAUUGUGAAAUCCAAACGGUCAUAAGAAACCAACAUUCUGAAAAUGUCCAAAAUCCUUUAGUAUGUAUAAAACAUUCACCUAAUAAUUUUUACUAUGUGAAGAAUUAGUUUCACAUGUUACUAUUUCAAAAAUGAAGCAUCUUAAUAGGAGAGACCUUAAAAGGUUUUCUUGACGUCUAUAUAUGUUGUAGAAAUACUUACACAAUUCAAAGAAGGCUCUAGAUGAUUGAAAAUUCAGAGACGAUCACAUGAUGCGCAACAUCAUUUUCAAAUUCAUAAACUCGUAAUGUCAAAAAACGUGACAUGUGUCGAAAAUUGUUAGAAUAAGAACGAUGAUUAAGACAGGGCAUAAAUCUAACUUAACCACAAGGCAAAAUUUUGCCAUAAUCUAAUCCAGGAGAGGUGAGAAAUAAAUGUUUUACUGAAAUGUCAUAAACAUUGGAAUUAUAUAUAUAUAAUUAACACAUACUGCGAGGUUAAUUAGUGUAUUGAAAUUUGCAGUACCUCGUUAUGAUAACUUAGCAAGUGUCCUUGGAGCACUCUUAAACAAAAUAAAAAGUGCCGCUUUCAAAGUAGCAUCACAAUAAUUCAUAUAGUGGAUAAUUUACCAAACUUGAGAGACAUUACCCCUGCACUUUAUAGGCAAACAACAUAUUCACCACUAGAAAUGAAAUAUUAUAUAUUGGAAAAACUAACCUGAAGUAGCUCAAGAAUUAUUAAAUACAUUUGGCAAUUUUUCAAAUUGACUGGAAUUGGGCAACCUCAAAUUUCAAAAGCAAGCACCAUAUUUACCAGAGAAAAUUGAUAACUACUAAUCCAUUGAGAAAUUACUAAGAUAGAGUAGUGCGUUAAUUGCAAAUAUAUUUGCUUACUAAAUGUGCUAGACAGCUAUAUGUACCUCAUAUGCAAAGAAACAAUCAAUUGAAAAGGUUACUAGCUUAAAGUAGUAUGAUGGAGGCAGAGAGAGUGGUGCACAUCAAAUAGUUCAAUGGGCAAAUUCAUAAGAAAUGGAAAACCUUGUCUUAAAAAUCAUAAAUCUUUUAAUUUUAUCAAUUGAAUCAUAAAUUUUUUUUCACAAUUUAUUAAUUGAAUAUAUUUUUUUAGUUUCGGUAGGAAAUCGCUGAAAUGAAAUUUUUAAUUAUAUUUUCAUAUUUUUUUAAUUUUACUUUUUUCUUUUCUUCUCUCAUUUUUUUUUCCUUUGUUCUUCUUUUCUUUUUCUUCUUUAUUUUCUUUGCCAACCAUUGCCAAACCUCGUCAAUGGUCAGCGAAGGUUGCCAACCUCAAGCAAGGGCUGCAAGAUCGAUGACCUCCGCCUUUGCUAGGCUAUUGCCUACCAAGGCAAGGGCGAGGGCGAGGGCUCCCCAGCCCAAGCUCCAGCUUCCUUUGCCCAAGGCUAGGCCGGCCCUCACUUAAGGCUAGCGACCUCUACUAACCAUCAACGAGGCCCCAUGGAGGGGAAAAGGGAAACAAAAAGAAAAAAUGAUAGAAGGAAAAAUAUUAAAAUAGUAUUAAAAAUUAUCAACGCCAAUAUCAGUCAUAUCAUAAUUUGCUAAUUGAAUCCAUCUAAUUAGUUUUGGUAGAAAAUCACAUAAUUUUUAAUUAUAUUUUCAUAUUUUUUGAAUUUUCUUUUUUUUAUUUUCUUCUCUUUUCCUUAUUUUAUUCUUUUCUUUUUCUUCUCUUGGCCAACCAUCGUCAAGCUUCAUCAAUAGUCAGCGAAGGUCGCCGACCUCAGGCAAGGAUUGUAAGGCCCACGACCUCCACCUUCGCCAGGUUCUUGCCUGCUUAGGCGAGGGUGAGGACUAGCCAGCCCAAGCCAAGCUUCCUUUGCUUGAGGCUAGUGAUGGGCGGCCCUCGCCUAAGGCCAAUGACCUUUACUGACCAUUGACAAGGCCCAACAAAGGGAAAAGGGAAAACAAAAAGAAAAAAGAAUAGAAAGAAAAUUAUUAAAUUUUUUAUUAAAUAUUAUUCAUGUUAAUGUCAAUCGUGCCAUAUAGGUUAGCCAAUGUCUAUGUUAGUAUUUUCUGGCCAAAAUUAAUCAAAGGAACCUAAUUGACAAAAAUAAAAAGAUUUAGGAUUCAAUUGAAAAAGUUAAAAUGUUUAUGACUAAAUUGGCAAAACUACAAUAGGUUUAAGAAUUUUUGGACAAUCUUUCUAUAAGAAAUGUGAAUAGGACACGGUAAUGAAAAUAAUUCUUUUCUUCCUUAAGGUGAAUAAAAUAACGGUUUGGUGCUAAAUCUAUCACAUCAUGACAAUUACAAUACUUUUUUUUUUUGUUAAAAGGUUGUUUCUUGUUCAAAAGUUGUGGUUUGAUGCAACUUCUACAUAACAAUUUUAGCUGUGAAAAAGAGGCUGCAACUUUUAAAGAUAUUCGACAAGCACCUCAGGUGCAAUGUCUCCAAAACUAUAGUAGCUUGUAGCAAACUUCAGAAAGCUGCUUCACCCAUCUUUUAGGUUCUACAGUCGCUAGAUGUAAAUUUUCAAAUAUAUGAAUCACAACACUUCACGAUACAACUAUAUAGAACAAUAGAGAUACAAUUCAGUCAUAACUAUAGCAAAUGGGAUCUAAAUAGUACCCACCAUGCUGAACCACUACAUAAGAGAGCCGGAUUUUGAUGAUAUUGGUCCAUUUGGUCAGGCAACAGACCACCAUGAAGAACGACAUUAUCCUCACUAAUCUACCAUACAAUCUAUUUCAAGCCUGGAAACUGAAAAUUUUGACGGUGAAGAUUAAAGUGUGACCGAAGUUUACUGGUAUACGAUAUAAAAGUUUCUAGUCGGAAAAAUGAGCAGGUUCAAUUGCUCUACUUCCUUUCCUCGGUUGGUUCAAAAGGUCGAAACCUUUAUCUAAAUGCUGAGUCAGGACAAUAACACAUCCAAGGAUUGUACACGCAUGCAUUAUAGAAAUCACCUGAGCUACAGAAAAUAUCUAGCCAAAGAGAAGCACUGCGAGCUCAUGUUAAUGGGAUCUUAAGUACACAAUAUAUCAUAAGAGAUCUGCUGAGCUAAUCAUAGCAUUCGCGUCAUUAGACUUCAGAGCACUUAGAAAAAGCAAAUCUUAUCACUUCAGUUUGUCAUAUAUAUUCCAAGAUCCACUGACACUUUAAAAAAAUUUGGGGCUUUUAAUAACCAACGGUAUAAAAAAUGAUGGAGGGCUAGCGCAGUUUUUUUAUUCAGUUUUAUAAUGAGGCGAAUUCCAAGCACAAAACCUUAAAGUGAGAUGAAUCAAAUGAUGGAUCCGGAGCAAACCCUUAAGUAUAAUUGUAAACGGGAUCAAACGUCGCCACCUGUCCCAAUACAGGAAAAAAAAAAUGUUACAUUCGUCCUAUCACGCGUGACGGUCAAAAAAGCUGUUGCAGAUGGAGCGCAAUACCAUCGAGUUCUUUCACAUUGGAUUCAUUAAGCCGAAAAGAUUUGGCAUUCGUAGUUCAAGGGAAGUGCGAAUGUCGAUCGUGAGCCACCCGUCCUCCAAUCAUGUGGGAGGCACAGAACGUUUGCUCUGCAAUAGGUCGCUAAGCGGAUGGAUUCGCAUUACCCUCUCGAGUCUGCGCAUGCCAAAACUGAUAAAGAAAGGGAGUCUUAAACGACAAACAUCUAAAAACCUACGGAAAAGAUAUGAAUUCCUUAUUUAUUUAAGAAGCUCGAAUGUAUGGUGGGAUUUUCAGGUGAAAGGGGAAGAGAAAGUCUGUAAUACGUAAGUCUGGCAGAAAAUAUUGAGAAAAAUUAUCCAAAAAGUUCUAAAUCUAUUACACGUUGCCAAUUGAGUCCUAAACCUUUUUAACUUUUGCCAUUGGAGUCCAUCGGACCAACUUUGGCUGAAAACUCUUGACAUGGACGACUGACACUAAUGUGGCACUUUUUAAUUAUAUUUUUUAUAAGUAUUUAAUAUAUAUAUAUAUAUAUUACUUUUCUUUUUUCUUUUUCUUUUUUGGGUUUAGGAGUUAGGGCCGAUGACGGUAGCCGGCCAACCCUCGCCAAUUCUGAGAAAGGGCUUGCGCGCCCUCACUUUUGCUGGGGAGGGCACCAUGGCCCUUGCCCAAAGUUGGCAAGGGGCACGACACCCUUGCCACGGGCCGGCGAGGGCCAACCGGCCCUAGCUUGUGGCUAGCGAGGGCAGCCAACCCUUGCCUAUGGUCAGCGAGUGACCAACCACCCCUGCUGGCCUUAACUCUAAAUCCAAAAUAAAUAAAUAAAAAUUAAAAAAGAAAAAAGUCAUAAAAAUUUAAAAUAUUUUUAAAAAAGUCCAACGUUGAUGUCAGUUGUCCAUGUCAGUAAUGUCUGACCAAAAUUGGCUAAAUUGACUCAAUUGGCAAAGUUGAAAAGGUUAUGACUCAAUUAGUAAAAGUACAAUAGAUUUAAUACUUUUUGAUCAAUUUUCCCAAAAUAUUGAUAAACAUAGAAAUCAUCUGACUAGUUGUUGAUAUUUCGGGUGCACCAUCUGUCUGCGUUACACCACCCAACCAAUUAUUUUGGGCGAUUAUAAUACUCUACGUCAUGGGCCAAGAGGGCGUGGUCUUUCUCCUCCCUCUAUAGAUAUUGCAUGGCCUGCAUGACUAGAGUUCACACAGCACAGCUCAUCACUAGGGCAUCUCGUGUUGAGCUCUGAAACCUUUCAUUCUCAAAUAUUUCCUUCAGUUGAGUUGCCAUCCUUGAUUUCCUGAGUAGAGAGAGGGGCAAUGGCCAUUUUCUCGACCGAUAAUCCGUGUGCUUUUGCUCUUGGCCUCCUAAGUAAAUCGUUUUAGCUACACAGGAUCUAACUUGUAAUCUCACUUAGUAUAUUCAUCAAACUAGAGUUAACAUGCACAUUAUAAGUUGUGCCAUCACUAACUCCUAUCCCAUCAAGAUACUUAUCCCAUCAUAAGGCCAUGGACUGAUCCAUUUGUCAUAUUUUCUGAUAAUUCUCCACGUAAUUUCAUAUCUUUCGUGGUCUUUUUGACCCAGUGUAUGUUCAUCCUCUCGAUCAACUUUUUGUUCAGCUUAACAGAAGGGUCUGGAAGUAUGUUCUUGACCAACUGAUUAAUAAGGUUCUUGCAACUCUUUUUUUGUUUAUGUUGGCAGACCAACAUUUUAUAGGGUAUGCAAGAAGAAGUCGACCGAAGGAUUUCAAUCAGUUCCCUACGUGGUUUCUCUGUUCAACGUCAUGCUUUGGAUAUAAUACGCAUCCCUCAACCCCAAGUUCAAUUAUUUCCUUCUCAUCAAUAUCAACUCAAUGGGUAGUGUUGUUGGGAAAAUAUAGCUUCAAAUUGGGUAGAACAAUGAAAUCGGAUCUUUAGAAUACCCAAGUCGGACUUUAAGGCGUGAUAUCACUUUUUUUAAGAAUUUAUUUGCCUCACAAAGUUGCUAAUGGUUACCAGCAAAUUUCCUCCAUGAUACAACAAAGUCUCAAAUGAAAAUACUAUAUAGCAAUUCUAGUAUUUUUCUAGGGUCUCUUAUGGGAAACAAUUGAAAACAAUAGCUGUAGUUUCUCUCAAAAGAAAACGAAAAAAUGGAAGAAGAUAUGUUUUUGAUCUCAAAACAAACGUACUUAUCUUUGUCUUUCGAAUAGAGGCAGCCCUUCAAAAGGUUGCAAAAGAACAUAGACAACAUUUCGUGAACAAGUACGUCUUAAAAGUUACAUUGAAAAGACAUAAAAAAUUCGAAAUUAAAUAAAUAAUAAAUAACCGUAACUUUCCGUGAACUGUUUCACUGUUUCAACAAGACUUUAUAGUUAAUUUUUUAUAAAAAUAAAUCCGAAUUUUCAAUAAAUAAAAUUAAUGAUCGUCAAUUAGUAUCAAAUUUCGUCCAAGUGCGCACUCACAUCUUUUCGAUAUGGGACAAUGCAUCUCUUCAUUUGUUUUAUAAACAAAUUACCAACAAGUGUCAUAGAGACCGUCUAUGUUGCUCUCUACAUUGCUUAUGCUACUUUAAAAGCCAAGGUACACAGUUACCUACCCGAUCAUGUUUACGUGAUAUCAUCACAAUUCAUACACGGUUGAUAUGUGACAGUACACGUUGUUAAAGAAGGUUUUUUAAUAUUAUAAAUAUGUGCAUGCAUGUGACACAAUCCAAGGACGAGCAUGAUCCAAGACAUUCAAAUGAUUGGCCGUGUCCCACACAAGGGCUAGCCUAUGAGGUGCCCACGAACAACCUAUAAGCAAUGCGAGAGCCAGCCCAUGAGCAAAGUGGGAACAAGCCCUUGACCAUUUGGCUUCCUUGUGUCAGGCUACCCUUCGGUUCCAAUGAACUGUCCCUACAAACCCAUGACAGAUGUCCCCCGAGUUCUCCCAUGGCCUAGGGCCUCUUGAGCUUCUAGUAUAACCUUGUAAUAAUUGUACAUAUUCAAAUGCGACUAUUGGAUCAGAGAGAAAUUAAUGGCUAGGAUCAGACCUAUACUUGUAUAAAUAGAGGACUCUCCCCCCUCACUUUUACACUUUUGUUGACAAGCUACUACAAUCCGAGUUUCACUCUCAUACUUCACUCUUAUGAGCUGAGUACAUGCGAGGCUAACUUGAGAUCAAAUCCUAGGCCAUACAGAUAGGGAACGUCUUAUUUGAUUAACCCAUGACAAGUGGUAUUAGAGCCUUUAUUCCAAGCACAAUGGCUAAUCCCCGUUCCGAUGUUGUGAUCGUUCAAGGCAAAGAUCGCGAGGAUCAUGGAAGAUUGAUCGAGAAGGUCACUCGAUCGAAGAUGAACCAUGUUGUCUCAAGCUCGAAGGAUCCGAAAGGUGACUUGGUGAACCGAAUGACGGUUCUAGAGGAGACUGUCACAAACGUCCAAGGGAUGGUGGACAACCUAAACCAGACCAUUGAGGGAGUGGAAACUGAAAGGGAGGAGUUCUUGGCCAAGGUGCAAGAACUCAACACCAGCAUGGGAGAGCUCUGCGUCAAGGUGCUGGGGUCCCUCAUCCACAAGUUGUAGUAGUGGAAUGAGACCUGGGAGGCCGUGAUGGCAGCCAUGUGCAUGAAGAUUGCUGAGCUCAAAGGCAACCUCACGGAGGUGAAGCGGCACGCGUGAACAAGGUCACCAUGCAAGCAAGCUUACUUACUGACACCUAAGUAGCACCGACACUGACACACGACACGACAUGAUACGUCGACACGUCAUUUCUCAAAAAAUAGAGAAUUUCGACACGUUAUGAAACGUUAUAUAUUAAAUAUAUAUUUUUAUAUAUGCAUAAUAAAUUAUCAUUUUUAUAAUUAUUUCAAUUAAAUUAAUUUGAAUCAAAUUCAUAAAUAAAUAAAUAAAUAAGCCUAGAAUGAAUAUCUACUAAAAACAUUAAUCCGCUAUUUAUUAAUAUCAUUCAUUGUUUCAAUUUGACAAAUUCAACUCUAUUUCAAUGAUUCAUAAAACUUGGAGAAAAAACAAACGAUCUGUAUUCUAGACUGGCAUGUUAGAUAUGUUGACAGAGAAAAAAAAACUUAAAGAGUGAAUUGUGUAUCAUAGGAAGUGGGAGUCAGAAAGGAAAAUAAUACUAGGCUUUUCUUCUUUCUCCAUCUAUUAUUUUUAUUAUUUUUUUUUAUUUUUUCACAUAUAUAUUUUGACAUCUCAUUUAUUGAAUUUUUAAAAUUGACAUCGAUAUCAGAAUCACGUGUUAGAAACUCAUAUGUCAAAAUUUCAACUCUAGUGUCGAAGAGUGUCGAGAAAGUUGACCAGGUGUCAGAUUUUCCAACACGUGUAAACCAGUGUCGGAGAGUGUCGAACACGUGUCGAAGUAUCCGACACGACACGAAGGCUCUUGGAGAGUGUCGGUACUUCAUAUACUGACACACCCAAGUCAAGGGAGUUCAAAGGCUAGCGAGUGGCCAAGGACGUGGAUAAUUUCUUGUGGUACAUAAAACAAUACUUCUAGGCCACAUAAAUCAAUGAUGAUGUCUCGGGUAAACAUCGCAUCCAUGUAUUUAGUUGAUAACGCAUAGUUGUUGAAAAAUAGGGUCGAGAACCAAUUCCUGUUGAAACCCAUCCAAGAAUUGGUUCCCAAAAUUCAAAACUAAUUUGAACCGGUUCGAAGUAAAUACCCACCUGAGAACCGGAUCGAUUGGACCAGUUUAGGAACUGAUUUUGUAAGCCCAACCCCAUAAGUCCAAAACCCUAUUUUCUUCCCUUUUUUUUUAUCUCUCACAAACUUGCACAGCAUUUUUCCCUUCAUCAUUCUUGAGUUUCUCUUCCUCACUCACUUUCGUCCAUCUCCUCACUCCAUCCAUCGUUGGCUCCCUCUCACUCUAUUUCAUCUAUCACCGGCUCUCUCAUUUGUAAGCUUGCAAAUUUCCUUAGUUUUUUGGACUUUGCUUUCAAAUUGAAGCUUAGUUCCUCUCUUUUUCUUUGGGGGUGCUUUCCCGAGUUGGAUUUCUUGUCAGAUUGGUGGAAAAAUUUGCAUUUUUUUGCUCAUAUGGGAACUCACUAUGAGUGGUUUGGGUAAGGUGGGAGGGAGAGAAGAAGUCGUAGAACUCAAAGAGCUUUAGGAUCGGGUGAAUCGCUGCCAUGUCGAGGUUCUACAAGAUCAUGGGGAUGGGUGGAUCCGCUGGGCUCUUGCCCCCUCUAGCCUUCCCAUCAAAUGGCGGCAAGGGCAACGGCGGCUCACGUGGUUGGUGGGCCCAAGCCUUCUCGGAAUGCGCAUCAGGGAAAACGGAGGCAACAAUCUGCUACACGUGCGAGACAGCCUAGGUUUCUUCCAUGUGAUCCUCUAUGCGAGCUUUUGCCUCGGCUUAGUGGAAAGUUUGCUUCUUCUUCUUUUUUUGUUCAUAUGCCAUUGAUGUUGAUGUUGCUACUUUUGUUGUUGAUGGCGUUGGAUUUGGAAUUAAUUGUUUGGGUUUAAUUGUUCCUUCAACUGGCAAAACACACGAAUCCACAUCUCUACUCUCAAAAUCAAAGCUAGUAGAAGAAGAAGAGGAAUACUAAAGAAGAGGAGGAAGACCCACCAUAGCACUUCUCAGUACUCAUUACAAGAAUGAGACUAAUAUUAUACCCAUGUUUAUUGCUAAUGUUUAUGCAAUGUUAAGAUUUUUGCGUUGCCUUAUGAUUUUGUUUAUGAUAAUUAGCCUUGUGGAUCCCUAGUUUGUUGUUUAAUCAAAAAGUUCAUGUACUUAAUAAUUACAAGUGCUUAAUGUUUCAAUACAAAUUAGGAGGAUUAUAUUGUUUUCUCACAUAUUAAUAUAAAAUUCAAAAUCGUAUAAGAUAUCGAGUGGUUACAAAACAAGUUCAAGUGGAAACAAGAUUAACCCUGGAACCAAAUCCAAAAAAAAAAUAUGGUGGUUCAACUACAGGAUCCAAUCUGUUCAAAAAAAAAAACUACAGGAUCCAAUGGAAACAGGGUCGAGUACAAAGUCCAUAAAAGAGGAACCGGUUAUAACAAGAUCGAGUACAAGAUCUAGAUCUAGAACCUACCUAUCUUGGACCGAUCACCCCUACUAUGUGAAGCGAUUCUCAAAGAUUCUACUCCAAAUCAUGUCCAUGACCGAGACGGAGGCAUAUCACCAAUUCAUAAGUGGACGCAAGUCAUAGGUCAAGCAAGAGUUCAAGCAGUGCUAGGUGACGGAUCUUGCAAGGGCUAUGUCCGUGGUCAAGUUCCUUGUGGAGUAUAAGUCACCUUCCAUGAAAAGUCCAAUUCUCGUCCAAAGGACAAGGCCAAUGGUGGGGAAGAUCAAGAAAGAUUCAAUCGCCCGAAUGAAGCCAAGUUACUAAUGGCAACACCUAACGCACAAUUGGAGUCAAGUGGAUGGGGACAAAUGAAGGUGCGCACACACAAGCGUUUCUUUUGCGAUUAUCCUCACAUGGAUCGAGAUUGUCCCAAGAGGGGCAAACUAGUAGCCCUAUUCGAGGAGGACGAUCCACGAGAGGAGGCACAGUUGGGUUCACUACGCAUCCCUUGUUCGAUCAAAACAAGAAGGAGAAGGAACCCAAAGACAUGAUGUUUGUGGAUGUAAAGAUCAGAAAUACCACGAUGAGGGCGCUUGUGGAUACCAGGGCGUCCAACCUCUUCAUAUCCCAAGAGGCCACUAAGAAACUGAAUCUUCUAGCCGAAAAGGGAGGAGCUGAUUGGUUCAAAACAGUAAACUCCAAGGAAGUCUCGACUAGCAGCAUAGCUAGGGAUAUAGAGCUCCAUCUUAGUCCAUGGACCAGUAAAGAAAAUAUCGAGAUAAUCCCCCUCCAUGGACCAGUAAAGAAAAUAUCGAGAUAAUCCCCCUUGACGACUAUGACUUUGUGUUAAGUUUUGGAUUCCUCGAAAGGAUCGAUGUGAGCAUUAUGUCAUUCGCAUAUUACAUAUACAUCCUUUAUAAACACUGCCAAUGCAUGGUCUUGAUCCAUCAUGAGUUGGAAUGCGAUAGAAAGAUGCUAUCGGUCAUGUAACUAUCGAAGGGAGCAAGGAAGGGUGAGGUGACAUUCUUGGCAACAUUGAAGACUGAGAACGUGAAGGGAGGUGACACAUCGAAGGAGGUGACCUAAGUCCUCGAUUCGUUUUAAGAUGUGAUGCCGUCCGAUUUGCCCAAGAAGCUUUUGCCUCGAAGAGAGGUGGACCACUGGAUCAAGCUCGUGCUCGAUGCUCAAUCAUUAGCCAUGGCACCCCACCACAUGGCACUGCCCGAGUUGGAAGAAUUGCAUAAACAGCUCAAGGAGUUGCUCAAUGUGGGAUACCUUUGACCAUCCAAGGCUCCAUUCAAUGCCCUAAUCAUGUUCCAAGAGAAGCACGACAAAUCCCUUCGGAUGUGUAGCUAUUAAACAAGCUCACCAUCAAAAACAAGUAUUCGAUCCCUCUCAUUACAGACCUAUUCGAUUAGCUUGGGGAAGCUCGGUGGUUUACCAAGCUUGAUAUUCGAUUGAGCUAUUAUAAGUUCAAAUCAUCAAGGGAGACGAGCCAAAGAACAUGUGCGUGACACGCUAUGGCUCAUACGAUUUCCUCGUCAUGCCAUUCGACUUGACUAAUAUGUUGGCCACGUUCUGCACUUUAAUGAAUAAGGUACUCCACCCAUUCCUUGAUAUGUUCGUUGUGGUGUACUCAAUGAUAUUGUCAUGCAUAGCCAGACUCUCAAAGAACACAUCGAAUACUUAAAACAAGUCUUCCAAAUCUUGCAGGAGAAUGAUUGUAUGUGAAGCGUGAGAAGUGCACCUUCGCGCAAGAGAAAGUUCUUUUCCUCGGUCACAUCAUCGGGGGGGGGGGGGGGGGGGGGAGGGACGAGUGUGAAUGGAUGCAGCUAAAAUCCGUGCCAUCGUUGAAUGGGAACCACCGACCAAGGUGACAAAGCUAAGAUCAUUCCUUGGUCUCACAAACAACUAACGACGCUUCAUUUACCACUAUUCAAGCCUUAUUGCGCCACUCAUGGAUAUGUUGUAAAAUGAAAGGCCAUGGAAGUGGAUGGAUUGAUGUCAAGAGGCAAUCAAUCAAUUGAAGCGGGCCAUGACCGAAGACAUAGUGCUCAUGCUGCCUGACCAUGCCAAGCCAUAUGAGGUAGAAACCGAUGCCUUUGAUUUUGCUUGCGGUAGUGUCGUUAUAUAGGAUGGGCACCCGGUUGCCUUCAAAUCUCAAAAGUUGAAUGAUACCGAGCGGCAAUACUCGGUCCAAGUGAAAGAGAUGAUCACGGUGGUGCAUUGCCUUCAUGCAUGGAGGUAUUAUAUCUUGGCAUCCCAAUUCAUUAUGAGGAUGGACAACGUGGCCAUGAGCUACUUCCAAAUUCAAAAGAAGCUCAGUUUAAAGUAAGUUCGGUGGCAAAACUUCUUAGUCCAAUUCGAUUAUGUACUGGAGGAUAAGCCAAGGAUGGCUAAUUCCAUGGCGGACGCCUUGGUUGGAAGUUGGAACUAGCAAAUAUAGCGAGUCGACGCAACUAUCAGUGGAUCAUUUGUAACAAGAAAGGGCUCGAGCACAACCCUACAGCCCAAGUGCUCCUUAAGUACGUGUAGAAGGGCAAGAUAAGGCAAUUAUGGCAUGAGGACGGCCUCUUUUACACCAAGGGACAACAACUUCAUGUGUCACUCCACGAGAAGUUGAGGAAAGAAGUACUACACAAGUGCCAUGACUCCAAAUGGGCAAGUCAUCUGGAAAUUCACCACACCAUGGCACUCAUUGAAGAUCAAUAUUAUUGGUCUCACAUGCAGGAUAACGUUGAAGCUUAUGUGCAGACAUGUCUUGUAUGUCAAUAAGGCAAUAUCAAACAAUAGUCGUCAUCGGGACUCCUUGAACCAUUGCUUGUCUCGGAGUGUCCAUUUGAGAGUAUCUCCCUUGACUUCAUUAUUAUUUUGCCCAAGUUUUAAAGGAUGUUGGACCCUCAUAACCGUUAUGGAUUGGUUCUCCAAAUACACAAAGUUUGUGCCUGUGACUAAAGAUUGUCCAGCCUAGAAAGCGACUAAGCUAUUCAUCAAGCAUGUCGUCAAGUAUUGAGGGAUACCACGCAUGAUCGUGUGCGAUCAGGAUCCUCGAUUCACCAAGCGGUUUUGGACUGAGCUCUUGAAGUUACUAAGGUCAAACCUCAACUUCUCCACAAUCCCUAAACUGAUGGUCAGAUGGAGAGGGUGAAUGCACUUAUCGAAAUAUACCUCCAGCAUUAUAUGAGCACCACGCAAGUAAAUUGGGCGAAGCUAACUGAUGUGGCCCAAUUCCCCUACAACAUACAGUGGAGUGAGUCCACAAACCAAAGCCCGUUUACGAUCGUAAUGGGGCAACAACCGCUCUCACCAAGCAUGGUUGCCUCAGGCUAUCGGGGGAGUAGUCCACUAGCGUACAAGCUCACAAAGGAAUGACACAAACAAGUGAACUUGGCGCGAGCAUAUCUACACAAGGCCACAAAGCUUAUGAAGAAGUGGGCUGACAAGAAGCGACGGGACAUGAAUUCCAAGUCAGUAACCUAGUGCUAGCCAAGUUACAUUUGGUCCUCCAAUAUGAAGCCGUGCAUAAGGACUAAUCCAUCGCUAUAAAGGUCCCUUUUGAGUGUUGCAACGGAUUGGAAAAGUUGCAUACAAGCUGGAUUUGCUAUCCAAACUCAAGGUACAUCCAAUGUUCCAUGUGAAUAUGCUCAAACAUUCUAUGUAGAUAAGAAAGACCUAGACCAAGAGGAAUCACAACGGGCACCCCUUGGGGCAAAAACCUUGAACAAUUGGAAUGUCGAGUACAUCAUGGUGGACCGAGUCAUAUGGAAGAGGUAUUGGAUGCCCAAGAAGGAAUACCUGGUCCAAUGGAAGUAGGGGUGAGCACGAUUCCCGGGUAGAACCGAGAACCGGGGAAUCACACCGGAGGGUCCAGUUCGGUUCCUGGUUCUAAAGAAACCAGUUCGGGUUCCCAGUUCCCUUUUUCUGGGAACCAAGAACCGGUUAGGGUUCCACAAAAACCCCUAAAUUAAUUUUACAUUUACCCUUCUCACUUCUCAGUUCACGCUUCACAGUUCUCUUUCCUCUCCCGUUCCUGCCUCACACUGCUCGCCGUCGAUGAGUUCCUCGAUGAAUCGAGCGAUCGCCUUCUUGGAUCUCCACACGGACUCGGGCCUCAAGUCCCUUAACGAGUUUCUCUCCGACAAGACCUACAUCUCCGGGUAACGCUUCAAUCUCUCUCUCUCUCUCUCUCUCUCUCUCUCUCUCUCUCUCUCUCUCUCUCUCUCUCUCUCUCUCUCUCUCUCUCUCUCUCUCUCUCUCUCUCUCUCUCUCUCUCUCUCUCUCUCUCUCGGUUCUUCGUGCAAGGGAUCAAUCGGUCGAUUUGGUAUCUUGGGCCCCCUUGCUUGUUUGGGAUGUUUAUCGGCAUCGUUGUCGAUGGCAGAGAUCAGCUCAUGAAGGACGACAUCAAGGUGUACGCCGCGGUUCUCAAUAAGCCCAAAGGCUCGUUCCUGAACGCCGGCAAGUGGUACAAGUGUGUGUCCUCACAUCUCGCCUCGAGGUUCGUUUCUCUCUUCGAUUUGGCUCUUAUGUUGCUGGGUUGCUCGAUUUUGCUUGAUUCGGAACUUCCUUUUUGGAUAGGAUCGCUUCUAGUAGUUUGUGUAGUGAUUGAUUCAAUGAUUGUGAGUUUUAGAUGCUGGUUCUUGGUACCAUGUUUCGUGAUUUAGCAUCUUGGUACUAGUACCCAAAAGGGUUCUGAAAAGCGAGGAUUUUUUUGUGUUUACGAAUGCCUGUUAUGCUGGAUUUCUCGUACUUUGGCCCAAAACAGCCAACUCUGUGAGGUGUUUCAAAUUCCUUUUGUCUUCCCCUGAGGUGGCGUACCUCAUAGUUUUAAAUUUCAUAAGCUUCUAAUCCUAAGUGUUCUCUCAUGUUAUCUUGUCUGGUGCCUGUUAUUUUGGAAUUAUGAGAUUGAGUUUUGCUAUCAUUAUUGUCUUCUGGCAAUGCAGCUUCAUAUUUUUGUCAUCUAAACAUAUAAUAUAUUCUUAUGUUCGAUGAGUCGUAGUGCAUUACCAAAACAUUUUUCCCUUUAUCUGAUCUUGCAAUAAGUUGCAACUAUUGUUAGUCUAUGUAAGAGAGGGAGAGAGAGACUAUCAAGUAAUUCUUUCCCCAAGUUAAGAGUUCAAACAUCAUCUACUCAGUGGGAUUUUAUUGAAAGUAGAUGUUUGUGAACAUAUUCUACCAAUCCGGUGAGCUUUUUCCUGGUUCAUUAUGCAUAGAAAUCCAUUGUAUCUCCUGGUCGUGGUAUCCUUGCCAUUGAUGAGUCAAAUGCAACCUGUGGGAAAAGGUUAACAUCCAUCGGGUUGGACAAUACUGAGGUCAAUCGUCAAGCUUAUAGACAACUUCUGUUGACCACGCCUGGUCUAGGUGAAUACAUCUCUGGUGCCAUUUUGUUUGAGGAGACACUUUACCAAUCGACAACAGAUGGGAAGAAAUUUGUUGACUGCUUGCGUGAGGAGAAAAUUGUUCCCGGUAUUAAAGUUGACAAGGUUUGCUUUGAGGGGCCCUUCCUGAAUGUCUAUGCUUCAAAUAGAAACUAUCAUUGUCAAUGUGCUUAUCAUCGGUACACUCUCUUUGUCCAAAGGGUUUGGUUCCUCUUCCUGGAUCCAAUAAUGAAUCCUGGUGCCAAGGCUUGGAUGGAUUGGCUUCAAGGUCCGCUGAAUACUACAAGCAAGGUGUUCGUUUUGCCAAAUGGUGAGUCAGCUUGUGCUCCAAUUUGUUCGUUAAGAUGUUACUUUUGGCCUUACCUUAAUUUCUCUAUGGGAAAAAAGUCCAGAAAAUAUCUUAUUACAUGACUUGUAACUAAUCUGUUUGCCAUUGCUGAAUUUUCCCCUUGCUAUUUGAAUGCUUUACACUUGUGCUCAUUAGCCUUCAAUGCUUAAAUUAUUCUGCAGGAGGACAGUAGUUAGCAUUCCUUGUUGCUUGCAUCAAUGAUUUUCUUGUGUUUGUCAAUUUUCACAACAAAAGUGGCUAAGUUGCCAUCCUUUUUCUGAUCUUGGCUUGAGCUGACAUAGAAGCUUUGGUUUAUCUCUUCCUUUCUUCAUUAUAGUUCAAAUUUGAAAAUGAAAAACCUGGAAUCGACCCUGGAACCUAUGACAGGGUAGGUUCCAAGUUCUUGGUUCUGACGAGUAGGUUCCAGGUUCCAAAAAAUGAGGAACCUAUACCCGAUGGUAGGUUCCAAGUUCCAGACAGAACCGAACCGGAACCGGGAACCGCUCACCCCUAAAUGGAAGGGUGUUCUAGAGAGUGAAGCAAAUUGGGAACCAUCCGAGACUCUUUACAAUUCAAGAAACACAUCGACGCACUCCAUGCCAAAAAGCGACAAGGGUGUCAUCCGAAUAGAUGGAGAAGAUCGACACUGCCCAAGGACGAGCAUGAUCCAAGACGUCCAAAUGAAGGGUCAUGUCCCACACAAGGACAAGCCCACAAGUACCCACAAACGACCCAUGAGCAAUAGAGCCGGCUUAUGAGCAAUGCAAGAAGCCAGCAACCAUUCGGCUUCCUCGUGUCAGGUGACCCUUCAAUUCCCACAAACUGACCUUGUAGACCCAUGGCAAACAUCCCUUGAGUUCGUCCAUGGCCUAGGGCCUCUUGAGCUUCUGGUGCAACCUUAUAAUGAUUGUAUAUAUUCAAAUACGACCGUUGGAUCGAAGAGGAUCAAUAGCUAGAAUCAGCCCAUACUUGUAUAAACAGGGGACCAUUUCUCCUCACUUGUACACUCUUGUUCACAAGCUAAUAUAAUUUGAGCUUCACUAUCAUACUUUGUUCUUGUGAGCUAUGUACAUGUGUAAGGCUAACUUGAGAUCAAAUCCUAAGGCCGCACAAAUAGGAAUCAUCGGAAUCAGUCGACUCGUAACAUAUGCAUGCAAGUUUUUACAAUGAAGUAGAUAGUGAUGGGCUUUGGAGGGUUUUAUUCCUUUCUUCUCAUCCUUUUAAUUAACAAAAGGAUCAACCAGGGUCCAACUUAUUGGGUGGCUUUGUGUUGGAUUCUCCGUCAUUGUUUUCACAGCUCCUUUAGGUUGCGUUUGGUUCAGCAUUUGCAAUGGCUUUGAGUCCAAUGCAAAUGCUGAAAGCCCAAAAUUACUUGGAGAAAAUGCAAUUGUGUUUAGUAAAAAAAUUUGCAAAUGAACUUUGAGUUGAAUGUGUGUUUGGUAAAGAAAACUUUUGCAAGGGACUUUGAUGGGUAUAAUAUAUAUAUAUAUAUAUAUAUAUAUAUAUAUAUAUUCUUUCUUUCUUCUUUUUUUCUUUUUUUUUGAAAAUUCAGCUAAACCCUUCGCCGGACCGGCGAAGGGCUGCGGCCGCCGGCGACCGUCGGCUGAGGUCGCCCGAGGUCGGGGGACCUCUGACAAGGGUCGCGCGACCUAGCCAAGGGCCGCCAAAGGUCCGGCGAUAGAGAUCGCCUCCGAAUCNNNNNNNNNNNNNNNNNNNNNNNNNNNNNNNNNNNNNNNNNNNNNNNNNNNNNNNNNNNNNNNNNNNNNNNNNNNNNNNNNNNNNNNNNNNNNNNNNNNNCCCUCGCCGGAGCUCGCUCGACCUCGGGCAACCUCAACCGAUGGCCGCCGACGCCAGAUCUAGCUCACCGGCAGUCGUCGCCCUUCGCCGGUCCGGCGAAAGGCUGCUCCUUUUUCAAUUAAAAAAUAAAUAAAUACAGGGGCAAUAACGGAAAUAUGAAAAAUUAAUGAGGGUACUUUAGGAAGAGAAAAAAUGUUUUCAGCAUUCCCAAGAGUUGGCUUUCAUUUGAAAACUCCUUGAAAUUGGUUGCCAAAACACCCAUUUUUGGGUUGAAGGGACUUUGGGGGCUGAAUGGACUUUCUAAAUGCCCAUCCAAACGCACCCUUAAUUGUGGUGAAUAAUUGGAAUAACUCUUGAUUUCUUACCUUUUACUUUUCCCUAGUUUUACUUUCCUUCAUGCACUACUGAGUUAUGUGAGACAAGUUUUGCAUCAAAAUUAUUUUCGACGAAUAUUGCACGGAGAACAGUGAUACGCACCAAAAGCGUAGAGUUCAUGCCCUUCUCUCUCUCAUUUUUCCCCACGCUCAGCGCCGUAACUUGGCUCCUAUAUGGUAUAUCUCUCAAGGAUAUCCACGUCACCGUACGCAUCGACUUUCAACAAAUACUAGAAAUUAUGCUAAAAAGAGUUUUCUACUACCCAGAGAAAAAAGUGUGUCAUGGAGACUACGGUCGCUUUAUUUCUCAUAUACAAUCAUUAACAUAUGUAUGAUCAUUUACAUAGGUUCCAAACGUAUUGGGGUUUAUCCUUGGAGUGCUUCAGAUGGGACUCUAUCUGAUAUAUACGAAGAGGAAUGUGAUGGUUUUGGAGGAACCCGAUGAUUUCGAUGGUGCAAGGCCGAUUGCUGAUACUUAAAGUCGCAAUAUCGCCUUUAACGAUAGCAUCAUCGACGUUGAUGAGAUCAAGGAGAGGAAAGACGAUGUAUACGAGGGUGAGAUAAGCUUGGAAGCUUCCAAUAAUAGACCAGUUGCAAAUAGUUCAUGUGAAGUUUGACCCGGGUUAAGUCGCAGCAUAUGUCUCUGCUGUUGUCUUUCGAGUAGCUAGUAAGCUAAUUUAGUUCUUUCUUCUAUGUUGUUAAUGCACGCGUCAUGACUUGUAUAUGCAAGUGGAGAUUAACACCACGUGCAUAAGUGCUCUAGAAUUGCAAUGUCUUUUCUAGUAAUUAAAAUCUUCCUUGUCUCGUUCCUGUCAUAAAUGAACUCAUUCUACUAUCUCUUGGAUCCAUAUUUCGAAAAGAAAUAUGAAGUUUGCCGUGAUUCACAUAUGAAGAUCAUGAUUCGUGACCUACAUCGAAAUUGGCCGUGAAAGAUGCCUGUCGUGAUCUACCUCCUUUAAAAGCAGAGAAGCCCACCGUUCGGAAAGCUAAUAAUCAACCAUAUCAUCGUCGGCGUCGUUCAAUGAGCGACGUAUCAAUAAAAGUCAAAUGGAUACGGGUUCUGUGUCAGCGGAGGAGUCAUAUCAUCUGGCAUGAGAUUACCAGAUUCAAAAGCUUGGCACAACUUCCAUCCGGGCCUCUCGUUCUAGCCCGUUGCACUUCUUUAAGGAUGACAUAGCUUCAUAACAUUGAGGCAAUAUCUAUUAUCUCUUAGAAAUUUUUUAUAAUAUGGGCUUACAUUAAUUAAUUAAUUUUCUAUUUUAAAUAAUCGGGUUAAUGAAUAUUCCAAUAUUUGUUAAACCCUAGAGUGAUCUUAUUGAAUUGGGUUUUGACAUCUAUUAAUAAUGGGCUUAAUUAAGCAGUAAAGUGUAGGCAAUUGUGUUUAACUGAAGCCCGUAAUAGGAAUUGCUCAAUUACACACUUUUGAUUAGGGUUUGCUAGGUCUCCUCUCUAGGCUAUAAAAUGGUGGGGUAUACCUAUCAGUUGUUUUAAUCACAUUGAAAGCUACUAUACUAAAAUAGGUCAUAAAAAGAAAGAUCUAGCAUCCCGAUAGAUCUCUGGGUAUUAGAGUGAUCUAUUUUUCUUCAAGUAAAGUAAUAGCUUAAACAGGUACGCUUUAAUUCCGCUAUACUUAUUGAUCUCGGUGUUUUAUAUUCAUAUAUAAAUCCAAUUCUUCUUAAUGAUUAGUUACUUAUGUGAAUAAUUUUCUUCAUUAUCUACUCAUCAAUAUGUGAAACUUCAAUAGUUUGGUCAGGCACUCGGGUGCCGAUCGAGUCGAGCCACGCUUUUGGGUUGAGUCACCACUGCAGUCUACAGCAGAGUUCUUGUGCCCCCAGCAAUUUAUUUCCAGCCUUUCCCUUAUUGGUGGUCAUAGCGAUUUAAUGACUUAAUUGAUGGCAUUAAUAACUGGCUAGAUGGCCUUAAAUAACAUAUCUUGCACUAUUUAGUGCACAUAAGCCGCCAAAAGUCUUUCCGACACCACUUUGACAAUAUUUGAGUGAAAAUGGGCGGCAUUUUUUAAUGUUGGGAAAAAGAUCUUGGAAAUGUGUAAUUUAUUGAAGGGCACGUUGGUCAGGUGCUCGAAACUUGACUUGAGCUCCAUCACGUAAUAAAGUUUUACCGAGCUCGGCUUGAGCUUAAAGAAAUUCGAUCUUCUAGAGCUUCAUAAAGCCCAAAUAUCUUCCUUGGAUUUUCGUUGUGUGUGGAUACACUUUGUAACUUCAAGGAACUCUAUGUUUGAUUUUAUCACAAUUAUAAUUGGAAGCUUGAGCUUGACUCGAUAUGAAAUUCAAGCAGAUUGAGCUCGACUCUAGAUCAAACAAGUUGAUUUGAUCGAGCAAUAUAUCAUCGAACCAAGGCCCGAGCUACGUACUCACGGGUAACUUUGACUCGGUUUACAAUGAUAAACACAAGGGGCUUGGAACGAUUACUAUCUUGCUUGGGCGAUAUUUUCUUCCACCCUCGGCGGAGAAAACUUUCUUCAAUCAAGUUUUGUAUUGGUGGUUUACAAAGAUGGACAUUUUGACGAAGUUCGUACAUAGGAAAGCCCAGUUUGUACUCUUUUCUCAUAGAACCAAUUCGGAGAGUUGCUUCGGAUAUAAUCCAAUGAGCGCGCAACCAGAAAGCAACGCAUUAUCGGCAACUAAAAGGAAAAGGAAAAGACCCAAACCUAAGCACAUUGGUGUGCUGCUCGUUGUCCUGCCGCAUAGAUCUUCGUAUACAACAAGGUUGGACACGAGAAUGCACGUACGGAGACGGCCGUUCCGUAGAAAGGUAGGCACGAAUCAUGAAGAUGUGGAGAGUCCCAGUCCGAUUGAGAUCCUGCCUAACUACAUCCCUCCUUUGGGGGUCUCUUUCCUCUACUUGGUUAUUCUCGCGUGCCCUUGGGCCCUUCGUCGUGACUCAUUGAAUUGUAUCUUUACUUUUGAAACCCGCACGAUUAGGACACUUUGGGAAAAAAUAUUUGUAAAGCCCCGUUAAAGUUGCACACAAGCUUUUAGCUUUUAUUUGAAUAUUGUAUUACCCCUCGUGUGUAGGGUGGAAAUAAGCAAUUGGGAAGACAAAUAGAGGUCUAGAAAAAUUUGAAGUCAAGACCUCCUAAUCCGAUACAAUAUGAAAUUUUAUGAGACUUUUGUCAACUAUUUUAAAAACUUAAACUAUGAAGUGAAAAUGUGGUUUAACAUCUAAAUAUUUUGAAACAUAGAACUGGAUGUUAAGCUACGUGAUUCAUCUAAUAAAACCACGUGCAAGGUAUGUUGCAACUCAGCCUUACCAUCAAGACCAAAGACCCACUAAUUAACCACACGUGGUCGUACAAAUUUUAAGAUUAGUAGGGGCACCCAUUCAACGUCAAUCACCCAACAAUAUAUUACUAAUUAUCCAAACAUUUAGCAGACGAUAAUGGUGGCCCAUUUACGCACUCCAUGUCCCGACGUCCAAGCACUUAUUUCCAGACCGCAAAUCUCUUUUGCUAAAGGAGAUGUUUCAUGUUGGAUGGAACCUUCGACUCUCAUACCGUUUCCCUAUCACAAUUGAAUAUGAAUGUCGAGAUUCCGUUAGUUUCCCUCUCUUAUCAUUUUCCCUUCAUUUCAAGGAAGUGCUUUGUUAGGGUCUUAUUGCUUUCGACUCAGGCUGAGUACAUGAUUCCGAAUUACAAAUGGAGGGUCCUAACUCGAACUUCAUUCAAUGUCGAAUUGCAAUGUUUGACCGGCGUUGACUGAUAGAUAACAUCAGGGUGGUGUUGUUCUGGAAAAGAUGUCCUCGCAAUGGAUUUGCGGCGAAGUGUGUUACUUCAAUAAUCGAUGUACAUUGCCCUCAUUGUUGCUUCAAAAGUUAAAACCUUUUUCCGCAAUCGACGACGCCUUCAUUAAUUUGGACAAUGAUACUCCUCCCAAUCAGAACAUUCACACAGGCACGUGCGAAACCGUUAUAGAGGGCAAAUUUAUUUAAAAAGACCUAAAUCUAUUACACUUGGACUAAUUCAAUAUUAAACAUUUCAAUUUUGCUAAUAUUACUUUGGUCUAGACAAUUUUGCUAAUUGAAUUAUAAACAUUUUAAUUAACAAUUAAGUCCAUUCAACCAACUAGGUUAUUGCUGACAUUGAUACCAAUCAUCCAACGCGAUGCCAACGUAAAAAAAAAUUGUAAUUUUUAAAAAAUAAUUAUUCUUUAUUUUUUAUUUUUCUUUGCUAUUUUUUUUUCCUGUGCCAUCGAGGGUCACCAGCAACCCUCGCCCACUAUGAAGGCUUCACUCAAGGCCAUCACCUUGCCGAUUGUGGGUGAGGGUGCGAAGGCCCUCGCUAAAUCUAGGUAGGCAACCAAAUGCCAAAAUAGACUCAGCUAGCAUAUUCUCAAAAAGUUACAAAAGUUGUCUACUUUAAAAUAUAGCAAAUGAAAAAAUGAAAAGAAAAAUAAAAAAACUUACAAAAGUUGUCCACUUUCAAGCUAGUGGUGCCACAUGUGAAAAUCGGCCAAAUUGACUCAACAAGCAAAUUGUCGACAAAAUUAUACAACGCAACUAGUAAAAUUAAAAGAUUUAAAAUUGAAUUAGGCAAAGUGUAAUAAAUUUAAGAUUUUAUGAACAAUUUUUUCCCACUAUAGAAAGAGAUCACAUAAAUAACUAAAGCCAAAAGCAAAGCAUAUACCAAUUGCUAAUAAAAUAUAUAACAACACCAAUGAUUCCACAGUUGCCGGAUAAUUGUUAGAGACUCUUAUCAGCUCUUAUCCCAUCAAGUGGCCAUCUCAUAUUAUAAUUCAACAAUCAACCUCGAACCGAGCCUGCCCACAUCGAGAGCUCUCCAGCAAUUUGGCGCACGAAAUUUCAAUUGCAAAUACCAUCGAACGAAUCUGGGAGGAGAGUUUAUAUGUCGAGGGUACACUACUCGCAUUUUCUCGUAUAAGACGCAUGUUAGGAACGCAUGCAAUCUGCGAUAAGGUUAAUGCUGAUAUCACGGUCAAGAAAGGGCUACUCGAUAAAGCGCAACCAUAUCAUUAAAUUAAAGCCUUGAUUAGCCAUAGGAAACGAUAUAAAGACCCGAAAUGUUGGCAUUUAUAGCGGAAAAGGGAUACGCGGAUCGAUCUGAAACCACCUGUCCCCCAUUUUUGGCGGAGGGGGUGCGUGAAAAAAGAUGAGGUGGGGGAUGGCAAGACGUCACUCCAUGAAUGGAUGGAUCGAUGGUUAUCCCCUUGACAUCUGUAGGAUUGCCCAAAUUGGCCAAGUGGAGAUCUAGCUGUGAACCGACUCAUCCCAAUCCUUCGACAUUUAGAGUAUGCAUCGCUCCACCCGAGAUCUUCAUAGAAUGUACCAGGCUCUUUAAUUUAACAUAAGCUAAUACAUUCGACAUAUCCUGAUGACCAACAGAGUCGUGUAAUUGCUCCUAGAACGUAGCUUCUUGGUAUAGGUAAGGGUCAGUAGAAAUUUUCUCGGUUAUAUGUCUUCCCUUUUUUCUAAUGUCUAGAGUCAAAUUUUCUUCGCAGCAAAUUUACCUUUUACUUACUUAAAUACUAAGUUCAAUAUGCUACCAUCGCAAAUUCUGUUUUUAUUCUCACUUCAUAUUAAUUAAUAAUCAUGAUCAAUGCACGGAAAGUUCUAAAAUUUAUUAUAAAAGUAUAAUCAAAUUCUAAAAUUUUAAAAAAGUGCAUUAGCGAAAUGAUUUAAUGAGACCAAUUUGAUAAAUUUUAAGACUCGAUUGUACUUUUUGAAAAUUUUAAAAUUUCAUUACAUUUUCGUGACAAGUUUUAGUACUCUUAAUACACUUACCCCUCUAUUAUUUUGACUAAAUCAUUCUUUUCUAGAUGGCCAGAUGAUUGUAUAAAGUAUAGUAAAUUAAUUUUUUCCAUUUAACUUAUCACUCAAGUAGAAACGUAAGCUACACCCUGUUUAGUUUAGGUUUUUCUAAGUAUCUAAGAUUGCCACGUCAAUGAAGACAUAUGAAUAUAUAACAUCAAUAUAUAAUUAAUGGAUGAAGACAUGUCUAUAUAGAAAAUCAAUAUAUAAUCAAUCUCUUGCAAUAAAACAAUGAUAAUAGGAAGGAAAAUCAAUAUUAUGCCUGGGCAAGGGUCAACCUUCUUGACGCGAGACCGACCUCGCCAUGGCCAAGGCAAGGCUUGUCGAGGCUCGUCAGCCCUCACCCUCACCUAGGCAAGGCCUGGCAAGGCACGGCAAGGUAGCUCCGACCUGGGCGAGGGUCGACCUUGCCAGAUCUGGCAACAGGGACCUUGCCUAGCCAUGCCUAGACAGCCGACGCUCGACCUCGACUUGGUGAGGCCAAUCCUUGCCAUGGCUAGUGGCCACUGAUGGCCACCAGAAAAAGAAAAGGAAGAAAAUUGGGGAAGGGAAAAGAAAAAAAGAAACAAAAUUCAAUAAAGUAGUUUAAAAUUUCAAUAAAUGCAAAAAAAUUAUUAAAAUAUUAUUAAAAAUGUCCAUGUCAGCGUCAGUCAUACCACGUCUGCCAAUUGACAUCUACAUCGGUAAUUUUGGCCUAAAUUGAUCAAAUGGAUUGAAUUAGUACCAAUCUUAGAUCGAUGGUUAAAUUGAUCUAAUUAAAAGGUUUACAACUAAAUUGGUACUAGUACAACAGAUUUAGAACUUUUUUAGUACUUUUUUAGUACUUUUCCAUUAAAGGCAUGGACAACAAGGUAUGCUAUCAUACUCAAUAAUUGAAAAUACAAAAGGCACUUACUUUAUGAUGAGGUUGUGUGUGAUUGAAUUACUCUUAGGAGUGUUUGACACGCACUUUGCCAACUUGUGGCCCUCAUAUACCGAAACAUAAUAGUGACUUAUGUUGUCCCCUAAUUACAUCCUUUCACAUUGAUUAAAUAUAUCAUAGUAGGUGUGUCAAAUUGAUAUUUGUUCGAUUAAGCUAUAUGAAAAUGUAAUAUGUAAAAUUGAUAUACCAAAUGACAUAGCAAAUUAUAAUUAUGCAUUUAAAUAAGUGUGACGCGGUGGAUUAAUAUAAUAUUACAUCACUUAAUAUAUCAAUUACGUCAAUCAAUUUUAGUAUAAUUAGCACAUGAAAGUCCUUUUAUCCAAAUUCCAUUUAGGCGACAUUAACUUUAGUUCAACGAAUGUGGUCACGUGAUCAAAAGUGACUUUGGAUCCUAGAAAGCGUUGAAUCUUUAUGGUAUGAUAAGGUUUUGCGGUCGCGUACGGGCGAACAAUCACCGACUAGUCGACUACGUCAUACCACCUGCAAUUAUUAGGCGAGAUCAUUAUCUCCAUUUGCAAUAUUAAAAGAUAUUUUCGCCAUCAUGUGAUCAAAGAUAUUUUAUUUCAAGAUCCAAAGCCAGUUAAACAGAUUUGUUUUUGCAAGAUUGAGAGAUUAUUUCACGAUUAAUUUAUGAGGCUAAACAUUACGUGAGUUAUUAUAUAUAAUUGAAAUUUGAGAAAUACUGAAUGUGUUUAAAUGACUCAAGUGUUAUUAUAAUUUCCGUAUAUCACUUGAUCUAUAGUAAAAUUCGUCACUACUUUCUUUGUGGACGUAGGUCACUACGAUUGAACCACGUAAAUCUAGUGUUCGACUUAUUUUCUCUCUCUGUUUAUUUAAUGUUCGAUCACUCGUUUCCACAACAAAAAUCAUCUGACUAGGUGUUGAUCUUUCGGGUACACAGUCUGCCUGUGCUACACCAUCCAACCAAUUGUUUUGGCCAUGAUUAUAAUACUCUACAUCAUGGCCCAAGACCGCGUGGUCUUUCUCCUCUCUCUCUAUAUAUAUUGCAUGGCCUGCGUGACUAGAGUUCACCCAGCACAGCUCAUCACUAGGGCAUCUCGUGUUGAGCUCUGAAACCUUUCAUUCUCAAAUAUUUCCUUCAGUUGAGCUGAGCUGCCGCCCCGGAUUUCCUGAGAAGUAGAGAGAGGGGCAAUGGUGAUUUUCUCGACCGAUAAUCCCUGGGCCUUUGCUUUUGGCCUCCUAGGUAUAUUGUUUUAACUACAUAGGAUCUAACUUGUAUUCUCACUUAGUAUUUUCAUCAAACUGGAGUGAACAUGCAAGUUAUAGGUUGUGCCAUUACUAACCCCUAUCUCACCAAGAUUUUGAUUCGCUCGUAAGGGCAUGGACUGAUUCAUUUGUCAUCUUCUUCGUCCCAGGUAAUAUCAUAUCUUUCGUGGUCUUUUUGGGCCCAGUGUAAGUUCAUCCUCUUGAUCGACUUUUUGUUUAGCUUAACAGAAGGGUCUGGAAUUCUUUACCAAAAAAAAAGAAGGGUCUGGAAGUAUGAACGUGAACGACUGAUUAAUAGGGUUCUUGCAAUUCUUUUUUUGUUAAUGUUGGCAGACCAACGUUUUAUGGGGUAUGCAAGAGGAAGUCAACCGAAGGGCUUCAAUCAGUUCCGUACGUGGUUUCUUUUCUCAGCGCCGUGCCCUGGAUAUACUACGCAUGCAUCAAUUCCGGGUCCAAUAAUUUCCUUCUCAUCGCUGUCAACUCAGUGGGAUGUGUCAUAGAGGCCAUCUAUGUUGCUCUCUACCUUGCUUAUGCUCCUAAAAAAGCCAAGGUACGAUACUAACCUAUCCGAUCGCAUGUGUAUGAUAUCGUCACAAUUCAUACACGGAUACACGGUUGAUAUGUAACAGCUUACGUUGUUAAAGAAGGUUUUUUAAUGAUAAAUGCUUGCAUGCAUGCAUGCCUGCAGAUUUUUACAGUGAAGCUGAUGGUGAUGAGCCUUGGAGGGUUUUGUUCCUUUCUUCUCUUGUCCCACUUCUUAACAAAGGGACCGACCAGGGUCCAACUUCUUGGGUGGCUUUGUGUUGGAUUCUCCAUCAUUGAUUUCGCAGCUCCUUUAAUUGUUAUGGUGAAUAAUUGGAGUAACUCCUGUUUUCUUACCUUUUUACUUUUCCCUAGUUGUACUUCUCUUCAUGCACAAUGCUACUGAGUUAUUUGAGACAAGUUUUGCAUGACAAAUUUUUUUCGACGAAUAUUUUGCAGAGAAUGGUGAUACGCACCCAAAGCGUAGAGUUUAUGCCCUUCUCUCUCUCAUUUUUCCUCACGCUCAGCGCUAUAACUUGGCUCGUCCACGGUAUAUUCCUCAAGGACAUCCACAUUGUGGUACGCACUGACUUUCAGUAAAUACUAGAAACUAUGCUAGAAAGAGUCUUCUAUUGCCCAAAUAAAAAAAGUUUGUCACAGAGACUAUGGUCUAGAUAUUGCUUUAUUUUCUUAUAUACAUUCACUAACGUAAGUAUGAUCAUUUCUAUAGGUUCCGAACGUAUCGGGGUUUAUCCUUGGCGUGCUUCAGAUGGGACUGUAUCUGAUAUAUAGGAAGAGGAAUGUGAUGGUUUUGGAGGAACCCGAUUAUUUCGGUGGUGCAAUGCCGAUUGUCGAUGCUCAAAGUUGCAUUAUCGCUUCGAACGACAGCGUCAUCGAUGUUGAUGAGGUCAAAGAGGGGAAAGACGAUGUACACGAGGGUGAGAAAAGCUUUGAAGCUUCCGAUAAUGGACCAGUGGCGAAUAGUUUAUGUAAAGAUUGACAAGGGUUAAGUCGCGCAUAUGCAUCCACUGUUGUCUUUCGAGUAGCUAGUUAAGCUAAUUUAGUUCUUUCUUGUUUGUUGUUAAUGCACGCGUCGUAACUUGUAUAUGCAAGUGGUGAGUAAGAGCGCGCGCUUAAGUGCUCUGGAAAUGCAAUGUUUCGUCUAGCAAUAAAAAUCGUUCGUGUCUCGUUCCUCUUGUGAAUGAACUCAUUCUACUGUUUCUUUGAUCCGUAUUUCGAAAAACAAAAUAAAUCUAGAUCGCUCUGUCAAUGGUAAGUUUGCCUCAAUUCACCUAUGAGAUCAUGACUCACGACUUGAAUAGAAAUCGCCUGUCAAAGAUGCGAGAAAUGAUUGCACAAUAAUCUUUAAUUUACUGUUAGAAUAAUAAUCUAUUAUAAAUCUUAAAAAAUCAAAUAACAGAUAAUUUUAAAUUAUUAUGUGGAGCAUUUUUUCAAGAAUUUGUGAUUCAUAAGAUAUUGUUAUUCUCGUAAUAGUCCAAAAACUGUUAUACUAACAAAACCCGAAAGAUGUUCAUGAUCUACCUCCCUUAGAAGCAAAGAAGCCCACUCUUUGGAAGACUAAGAUAAUACAUAUCAUCAUUGAAGUCAUUUAGGACCUGUUUGUUUAUUUUUGUUUCUAUUCCCCAAAACAAAAAUUUAUUUUCUUUUGUUCCAGGAAACAAAAAAAAAAAACAAAAACACGUUUGUUUACACUUUUAUUCCCUGUUCCUAAGAACAAAUUUGGAAUAGAAAUAAGAAAUAAGAAAAACUUGUUUCUUUUUCUCGGGAACACUUUUUUAAGAAAUAAAAGAACAAAACACAAAACUUGUUUCUUUUUUUUCUCCUUUUUCUUCUUCUUUUUUCUUCUUUUUUCUUUGGCUGGUCGCUGGUCUCGGCCAUGGCCAACAACCGGCCGUCAAGGUCCUGCAACCUCGCCGAAGCAUCGUCGGCCGUCGGCGAGGCUCGGCCUCAUCAGGCCACCACCAGGUCAGCGUCGCCCAACGAUGGCCUGGCUCGGCCCUUGCCGGUGGUUAGGCAAGCUCAGCCUCGCCGAGCCACUGCCAGGCGUCUUGGAGGUGGCCCGGCAAGGCUCACUUGGCCAACGGCGAUCUCGCUAGGGCCAGGCUGGCCUCUGGUGGCCUAACAAGGCUUGCCGAGGCCAAGCUAGCCUCCGGCCAAACUUGUUUUUGUUUUUUUUCUAUUCGAGAAACAGAAAUUCUAUGCAGUUACCAAACGCAUUCUUCUGUUCAAAAAUUGUUCUCCGAAACAAAAAUAGUUCUUUUUAUUUUUGUUCCUAAGAACAAUUUUUGAACAGAAACGUUACCAAACGCGCCCUUAAUGAGCAAAGUUUCAACAAAAGCGAUUUAAGGACUUGAUUGAUGGCAUUAAUAAACGCCUAGAUGGCCUUAAAUAACAUAUCUAGUGCCAUUUAGUGCACAUAAGUCGCCAAAAGUAAUUCCGACACCACUGUUGACAAUACUAUGGGCGGCAUUUCUAUGUUGGCUAAAGAUCUUGGGGAUGUGUAAUUUAUUGAAGGGAGUGCUCGAAACUUGACUUGAGCUCGAUUGGGUAGUAGAGUUUUACCAAGCUCAGCUUGAGCUGAAAGAAACUCAAUUUUGUGGAGCUUCAUAAAGCUCGAAUAUCUUCCUUGGUUCAAUGGUUUUUCAUAUAUGUUUGGAUAUUCCGUGUGACCUCAAUGAACUCCAUAUUUGAUUUUAUCGCAAUUAUAAUUGCAAGCUUGAACUUGACUCAUUAUGAUAUUCGAGUAGCUCGAGCUCGACUCUAGAUCAAACAAGUUGAUUUGAUCAAGUAAUAUAUCAUUGAACCGAGGCCCAAGGUACAUACUCACGAGUAACUUGACUCGGUUUAUAGUGACGAACCCAAUAGGCUCAGGGAUGAUUACUCUCUUGCUUGGGCAAUAUUUUCUUCCACACUCGGCGGAGAAAACUUUCCUCAAUCAAGCUUUGUAUUGGUCGUUCACAAAGAUGGACAUUCUAACGAAGUUCGUGAGAUAGCUAGUAUAAGCACCUAGAGGGGGGUGAAUAGGUGCACAAAUAAUUUCUCGAGAUACGGAAGCGAUUCUAGGCAAACGAUAGAAAGGAAGUUCUCUUUUGAUUAAUAAAAUACGAUCAAAAUAAAGUAAAUAAUAGGGAAGAGAAAAUUGAACACAAGGUUUAUAAUGGUUCGGCUUAUUCCAAGCCUACAUCCACUUUUCCGCACUGACAGCCCACCAGCUGGAUUUCACUAUGAACAAAAGAGAAGUUACAGCACAGCUUUUCCUUGAUUCCACAGUGUAGAUGUUCUACCACACUUCCUCAAGGUUUCUCACAAAUAUAGACUCUCUUUUGUUUACAAGAUUUCGCUCAACAAAUGAAUUGACUAAGAACAAGGAGCUUCAGACUUUGGAAUUCUUCUAUCGUGCACACUCUCGAACAACUGGAACGUCUUCCUUAUAUACUCAUUCAUGCCAUCAUACCCGUUGGCACUUACCAAAGGAAUUCCUCCAAUCUACCCGUUGGACGGAAUCAAUUAAGAAGAUCAUUCGAGCUAUUAAAGGAAUAUGUCGAUAGCCCAUCAAUCAUAUUCACCCAUACAAUCAGGAUCUCGGUUUCCAUAAGUAGAACCUUCCAAGUAUACUUUGCCAAUCAUUGGAUCCUUAAUCUUCGAAUCAAUUAUGAUCAAAUAAAGGAUUCCGUCAUGUCAUAUCCAGCCAAGAGAUCUUCUCCAGUCGAUAAGGUCACAUCCUUAAUGAAACAUCCAGUUCUGGAUAGCCUUUCUUCAACGGAUUAGAAACUAUCAAUGAGGAUAGACUUUGAGUCUUGAGUUUGGCUAUCCGGAGGUCUUCAGACUUUAAAUUGCAGAGUCUGCAAGCCUUCAGACUAGACUGACGGAAGCGUUUUGUCAACUUCAAAACACUUCAAGAGGAUUUCUCCAACAAUCUCUCCAUUUUUAUGGUGACAAAACUUUCCUGCAGAUUUAGACAACUUUGACCUGCAAAACAUUUCUCAAACACAUAUGCAUAUCUUAUAGAGAUAAAUGGCUAAAUGAAUAACACUAAAAUCUGCAACCACAGAAAAUAGGUUAGUCUAGUAUGCAAUAAAGCCAUCCAUAAGAUAUCAAUAGUAGUUAAUAAUAUAAGCAAUCAAAUCCAAAUCCCAAAUUCAGUCAACAUCCAGACACACAAGUCAAGUCAAAACAAACCAAACAAGCCAAAAGCUCGACAAAUUUAAGUUCAAAGAUUGACAAAUUUAAGUUCAAAGUUUUCAAAUCUCGCAUCUCUCCCCCUUUUUGUCAGCAUAAAAAAGGUUGAGAUGAAAAUGGAGUAGAGUCAAGAAUGCUUGGGAACACGAACAAGCUAGAAAUCUCCCAUUGACUGAACGAUUCCUUCCAGCCUUUUCAAGUCUUUCUUUACUUGUGCAACAUCCUCACCCUUAGCAUUAGCCUGAAUCUGAAGAGAAAGAGCUUGGAUCUGAUCAUUCAAUGAACCUGAAGAAGCUUGACCUGCAUUCUGCAAGUUCUGAACUUCGCAUCCCAAUGCAUAUAUCUAACAUCGCAUCUCCAAGAGAAUAUCCAUAACUCUGCGAAAAUCUAUUGAAUUAUCGGUCUGCGUACUGGCGUCGGCACAAUCUAAUGGAGUAAAUGCAGACGAUGGCAAAUCAGCAUAAUCACGCAGAUUUGGCGAUGAAACAUCAUGACCUUCCUCAGGAAAUUGAGAGGCAUAGAUGUCCUCUAGAUCUGCUGGAGAGCGACUGACUCCCUCACUAGUUGCAGGAUAUGAGGACAUUCCUCUUUUCUCUUGAUCUCCCCAUGUUUCCAUGCCUUCAGGUGGAGAAGAGUGCUCCUCAUGUUCUCCUUCUUCUUGAUCUCUUUUCUCCUCUUCUUCUUUUUCAACUCUCUCUUUCUCAGCAUCUCUUUCUUCUUUUUCUUCUCUUUCCUCCGUUUCUUUUUCCUCGGCUUCUUUCUCUUCUCUUUCUUUGGUCCACUGUUCUGAGUCUUUCUCUGGAACAGAACGACUCAGAUUCUUCAAUGCCAUUGCAGAAAUAGUGAUGUUUUCCUCAUCAUCUUCAUCCUCAACGAUGAGAGCUCUUCUUCUCUUGGAUGGAGCAUCCAUGGGCUCCUUCCCUUUUCUUUUUGCUGCAGAAGAGAUUUGAUGAGUUUUGACUGGAGUCUUCUCCUUGAAUUUCUCCAACGCCUUGCUUAGUUCCUUCAGACGCAUUUUAGUCACCAUUUUCAGUCCUACCACCAUAUGAUCGCACGAUCGAGCACAAAGAAUUUGCGGAGGCUGAAUAUUCAGAUGUCUGAAUAACUUCGUCACAAGACCUGGAUAAGGAAGUUGACCUCUGUCCUUCAUCACUGCUCUAUACAUGUGGAACAUAACAGUGUGAGGAAGAGAAAACCUUUUCCCAGUGAUGAUGGCAUACAUCAGCUUUGCCUCUAAACUUGAAACAUCAGUCUUGGAAGUUGAUUUCGGUCUGAGGCAAUUGAUCACAACUUGUGAAGCAAAAUGUUGAACGCACUCAUCCUUAAGUAGGAAAUCUUUUCCUCUAUUCUCCUGUCCUUAACAAGUUCCAAUAUAGCACGAGCAAUAGAAACUUUGAUCCGUUGAUAUCUUCCUCUCUCAACUCCUAACACAUCUGCUAGCAUAUCCAUAUCCACUACAAAGUCUUGAUCUUUGACACUGAAAGAGAAUCUAUUCGCAUCCAAGAAACUAAGAUUUGAAUAGAAAUAUGCAGUUAGUUGAGGAUAGGCCUCUGUGGUGUCAGAGCAGAAUUUUUCAAGUUGAAGAUAACCGAACUUUUCCCUCAAGUUCACAUUCACAGCAUCCAGAAAAUCAAAAUCCACACUCCUAGGGUUUAUCACCCCCACGCUUCAGCAAUUUUGAGUAUAGAUCCUUCUGUUCCUUCGAUCUAAACAACUCUCCCAUUUUUCCUCGAUUUUCCACCGCAACACCCAUUCUCGGUUGAAAUUGGCUGUACAAUUUGUCAUCAUCAUUCCCAUCUAUCAGAUUAAAUCCCCAAUCAUGAGGAUCACUUGGGAUAUUCGCAAGGGUUUCUUCUGCCACCCCUUUACGAGCAAUUCCCAAACUUUCCAUUUUUCGCAAAAAGAUAUAUUCAUUUCCAUAUCCUUUGUCCUUAAGAAAAUCAUUGACAUAGUUCAAUGGAGUACCAGUCCCUUUUAAAGCACGAUACAGCUUAUAAAUAAAAGAGGGCCUUUGAACUCUUACAGGAUCUGCAUCUUCAAUGAUUUCUUCCUUUUGUUGAAUAUCAACACCUUGAGGACUAGAUGGAGGAGAAUGACGCUGCUAAGAAUGUUGUGGGCUCUGCUGCUGAUUUGGAGACACUUCUUCUUCAGUGAGAUCGAGGUGCGUAGGCCCCUCACUCAUUCGCCGUGGUCCCCUGCUUGCGAUCCUCGAAGACUUUCUUGAAGACGACAUCUUUCUUAGUCUUUGAAAGAUUCCUUGCUUGACUUUCCCAAGAAAGAUGACAACUUUUUCGAAGAUUAAACAAGAGAGGAAAACAGGAAUGGAAGAUUGGUGCUUUUUAGGGUUUUGGAGUUAAGCGAAAAGAAACCGACUGUAUACAAGACAGUCGAAAGGAGGGGAUACCAAACGUCGUAAUGGAAAGUGAAAAGAUGCCUUAAAAAAAAUAACUGCAUUUUUCGAAAAAUGGUCAUUUCAAAAUAACUCCUUUUUCAAAAGGAAACGUUGCAAUAAUCACGUCAAUUAAAGAUAGCGGUUGAGAUAACAAUAAUAAAACACGGUUGAUAAACGUACCUUUUCAAGAUUAGAUUAGAGAGAGAAUAACUUACAGUCAAAGUCUUGCAGUCAAAGUCUUAUUUGUCUGAGUCUGAGAGUCUCUAGACUUUAACUUCUUCAAACCUCAAAAUGUUGAGUCUGGAACAGAUAAUUUCAAAUUGAUUUUUCUCCAAAGGCUUUGUAAAUAUAUCCGCCAGUUGGUUCUUUGAGUCAACAAACUGAAUCGUAAUUUUUCCAUUUUGAAGAUGAUCUCUAAUGAAGUGAUGUCGAAUCUCUAUAUGCUUUGCUCUUGAGUGAAGAAUUGGAUUUUUAAAUGAGAUUCUUUAGGGUCUGCUUGAAAUCUGGCACAAAUGCAAACACUAAACAAAAUGUCAAGUCUAGAAGCAGGAAGAUAAAGAAGUGAACCGAUGAUACUCCUGUAUAACUUUUGGUCGACUUUCUUUCCUCCUUCAUCUUUGUCUAUCUUCAAGGAACUUGACAUUGGUAUAUCAGCCUUUUUGCAAUUGUCCAGUCCAAACUUUUUAACAAUAUCAUUAGCAUAUUUUUCUUGAUGAAUAAAAGUUCCUUCCUUCAGUUGUUUCACUUGAAGUCCAAGAAAGAAGGUUAACUCACCCAUCAUGCUCAUUUCAAAUUCAUCCUGCAUAGUCUUAGAGAAUUUCUUGCACAGACUUUCAUUAGAGGAUCCAAAAAUAAUAUCAUCGACAUAUAUUUGAACAAGCAGAAAACUCUUGCUUUCUCUUUUAAUAAAAAGAGUAGUGUCUACUUUACCUUUAACAAAACCAUUUUCAAUUAAAAACUUACUGAGUCUGUCGUACCAAGCUCGAAGUGCUUGUUUUAAGCCAUAUAAGGCUUUUUUGAGUCUGAAUACUGAGUCUGGUUUCCUUGGGUCUUCAAACCCAGGUGGUUGUUCCACAUAGACUUCAUCAUGGAUUAAUCCAUUUAAGAAGGCACUUUUGACAUCCAUUUGGAAUAACCUGAAAUUCUUAUAACAAGCAAAAGCAAGUGAUAAUCGAAUUGCUUCUAACCUUGCUACUGGUGCGUAAGUCUCGUCAUAAUCUAUCCCUUCUUCUUGUGUGUAUCCCUUGGCCACGAGUCUUGCCUUGUUUCUUAUGACUUUUCCUUUCUCGUCCAUCUUGUUCCUGAAAACCCAUUUAGCUCCAAUAACAGACUUACCUUUCGGUUUAGGAGUCAAUUCCCAGACAUCAUUAAUACUGAAUUGCCUGAGCUCUUCUUGCAUAGCUUCAAUCCAGCUUUCAUCAGAUAAAGCUUCUUCUAUGCUUUUGGGUUCUAUUUCAGAAAUAAGAGCCACAGCACUAGACUCUUCACGCUUUUUGGAUCUUGUGCGAAUUCCUUCAUUGAUGUCACCAAUAAUAAGAUCUUUGGGAUGACUGGACUUAUGUUUCCAGUUGCUGGUUAAUUUUUCAGAUUGAUAGUCACUUCCUUCACUUGAAUCUUCAACAGUCACUUGUUGCUGGUUCUUCAAAGUCUGAGCUAUUUCCUGAGAUUUAGACUUUGUAGAGUCUGGAGCAGGUUUAGAUUCUUCAAGAUGAGUCUGAAUGGAUUCAUUUUGCAUAGAAUCUUGGAAUUUAACAUUCAUUGAUUCUUCCACUGUUUGAGUCUUCUUGUUGUAGACUCUGUACGCUUUGCUUGUGGUUGAAUAUCCAAGGAAGAUGCAUUCAUCUGACUUUUCUUCAAACUUACCAACUCGAUCAUUUGCAUUUUUCAGUAUAAAACAUUUGCAUCCAAAUACAUGAAAAUAUGAAACAAUAUGCUUCUUUUCUUUCAAUAGUUCAUAGGGGGUUUUUUCCAGAAUAGGUCUUAGAAAAACUCUAUUAAUAAUAUAACAUGUUGUAGAAGUUGCUUCAGCCCAAAAACGUGAAGAGAUAUUGCUUUCUAUUAAAAGAGUUCUAGCCAUUUCUUGAAGAGAUCUAUUCUUCCUUUCCACAACUCUGUUUUGCUCUGGAGUAUAUGGAGAGGAGAACAAGUGCUGAAAGCCAGUUUCAUCACAAAAUUUUGUAAAAUCUUGAUUUUCAAAUUCACCUCCAUGGUCUGUUCUUAUACUUGAAAUAACAUAGCAUUUUUCAUUUUGAACCUUUUUAGCAAAUUUUUUAAAGUAAGAGAAAGUUUCAGACUUACUUGCCAAGAAAUAUACCCAAGUAAAUUGUGAGUAGUCAUCCACAAUUACUAGGUAGUAUUUCUUACCUCCAAUGCUUUGUGUUCUGGUUGGUCCAAAAAGAUCCAUAUGCAGAAGCUGCAGUACACGGUUAGUGGAAACUUGAUUUAUUGGUUUAAAGGAAUUUCUUACCUGUUUUACCAAUAUACAUGGUGUACAUAGAUCAGACUUUUGGUAUGAUAAAUUGGGUAGACCACGAACAAGCUUCUUUGCUGAAAUUUUGGCUAUCUGCUUCAUAUUGAUAUGCCCAAGCUUUUUGUGCCAUAAGUUUGCUUCGUCUUGGAUUGAGAUUAGACAUUGCGAUUCAUCUGGUUUCACAUCCAAGAGGUAGAUACUUCCGUGUCUUCGACCCAUGAAUGACUGAGUAGAAUCUUUACUAAUUCCUGAACAUAUUCCCUCUUGAAAGUUGAUUUUCAAACCAGUAUCACAUAGUUGACUAAUAUUGAGCAAAUUGUAAUUAAGUCCUUCCACUAAGGAAACAUUGCUGAUUGUGAGGUUUUCAAUCUUUACAGUUCCAAAUCCCACAAUUUUUCCUUUGCUGUUUCCUCCAAAAGAGACUUUUCCACCAUUUACUCGAACAAGCUUUAUGAAGUAAUUUGAGUCUCCUGUCAUGUGUCUUGAGCAUCCACUAUCCAGAUACCAUUUUACCUUUUUCUUGAUAGUAACCUGCAUUUAAAAAAGAAACUCAAACCUUCUUUGGUACCCAUAUUUUCUUGGGUCCAUUAGUGUUAGUAUGAUAUGCGGUUUUUGCCCAUACCUUUUUAACAGGUUUCCAAAUCAUAGGACAUUCUUUUUCAAAAUGAUCUGCACUAUUGCACUUUGAGCAUCUGAGAGCAUUGCGACCUACUGGUUUUACAAAGAUCAUUUUAAAAUGAUUUUUAUAAGCAUCUCUUGUGGGUCUUUGUUUGAUUCUUUCCUUCACUUUAGGAAAAUCAAUUAAAGGAAUGGUUUCAGCAGUCAUUCCCAAACCAGAUUUAUUGAAAUAAGGUCUUUGAACAGAGAGAAUUUUUUCCAGUUUCUCAGAUCCUAUAGAAAAUCUUUUGGAAAUAUUUGAGAUAUCACUUUUCAAGAAUGUAUUUUCUUUUAAAAGAUUAUCUUCACUUUCUUUAAGAGAAGAAACAUUCUUGUCUAAACAUUUCACUUUUCCAUUCAAAAUAUUUUCCUGUUGUUUUAGAGUAGGAUUUUCCUUCUUGAGUUCGGAAAUUCUUUUAAGAGAAGUCUUAAGAUUAAAACACAAUUCAUCAAUGUAUUUUGAAACUUUAAUAGGGAUUUUGAAGUUACUUACCUCAAAUUCGCUUUCUGAAUCUGAAUCUGUCUCGGAGUUUGAAUCUGAAUCCAAUUGUGCCAUUAGACAUAUAUCGGCAUAAUCAUCAUCACUUUCUUCACACUCUGUAUCACUCCAGGUUUCUGCUUUAAGAGCCUUUCGAUACUUUUCAGUUUUUCCUUUCUUCUUCCUCAGAAGAGGACAGUUGAGUCUGAUGUGUCCCUUUUUCUUACAUUCAAAGCAGAUUACAUCUUUGUUUGAUUCAUCAUCCUCAACAAACUUAGUCUGUUGCUUUUGAAAACUUUGUUUCUUUGGAUUGAAUCUUCUUCCUUUUCUGUUCAUCUUUCUGAAUCUUCUUAUCAUGAGAGCAAGCUCCUCAUCAUCCAUAUCGUCUUCAGAAUCUGUAACAUCAGAAUCAUCAUUAGAUUUUAAUGCAACGGAUUUCUUACCUUUAGGGUCUUCGUCUUCAUUGAUUCGUUCCACUUCAUAAGACUGAAGAGUCCUGACCAACUCAUCAACAGAUAGUGGCAUGAUUCUUUGGGUCUCUCUAAUUGAGGUCUUUAUGUGAUUCCAAUCCUUGGAGAGUCCACACAGUAGCUUGUUUACCUUCAUUGGAUCAAAAAUUGGUUGACCUUGAUUUUCAAGACCAUUCACGAUUUAUGUAAAACGACUAAACAUAUCAGUUAUAGAUUCUCUUGAUUUCAUUUUGAAGGAUUCAUAUUGACCAAGGAGAAUGUUGAUUCUAGUCUCUUUCACUCGAUCGGUUCCUUCAUAGGUAAUAUGUAAUCUAUCCCAGACUUCUUUAGCUGUAACACAAGAAGAUAUUCUGUUAUAUUCAGUAGGAGAUAAAGCACAAUAUAAAGAAUAAAUUGCUUUUGCAUCAAGAGCUUGUCUCUUGAUUAUCUCUUCCUGAGUCAUUUCGCUAGACUCAACAGUAUCUUUUUCUCUUUCUGAGACAGAUGCAGCUUUAGGAAUGAUUCCUUUUUUUACAACAUCCCAUUCCAGAGGAUCCUUUGAUCUUAGGAACGUCUUCAUCUUGUUUUUCCAUAUGUUGUAAUCAUUUCCAUCAAAGUAAGGUGGUCUGGUAUUACUUUGCCCUUCUACCAACCCUGGAGCAUACUAGCCAUGGAUCUUUAACUCUGAAGUAAAACACUUCAAACAAAGUGAGUACACAGGCUCUGAUACCAAUUGAAAUAGCUAGUAUAAGCACCUAGAGGGGGGUGAAUAGGUGCACAAAUAAUUUCUCGAGAUACAGAAGCGAUUCUAGGCAAACGAUAGAAAGGAAGUUCUCUUUUGAUUAAUAAAAUACGAUCAAAGUAAAGUAAAGAAUAGGGAAGAGAAAAUUGAACACAAGGUUUAUAGUGGUUCGGCUUAUUCCAAGCCUACGUCCACUCUUCCGCACUGACAGCCCACCGGCUGGAUUUCACUAUGAACAAAAGAGAAGUUACAGCACAGCUUUUCUUUGAUUCCACAGUGUAGAUGUUCUACCACACUUCCUCAAGGUUUCUCACAAAUAUAGACUCUCUUUUGUUUACAAGAUUUCGCUCAAUAAAUGAAUUGACUAAGAACAAGGAGCUUUAGACUUUGGAAUUCUUCUAUCGUGCAUACUCUCGAACAACUGGAACGUCUUCCUUAUAUACUCCUUCAUGCCAUCAUACCCGUUGGCACUUGCCAAAGGAAUUCCUCCAAUCUACCCGUUGGACGGAAUCAAUUAGGAAGAUCAUUCGAGCUAUUAAAGAAACAUGUCGAUAGCCCAUCAAUCAUGUUCGCCCAUACAAUCAGGAUCUCGGUUUUCAUAAGUAGAACCUUCCAAGUAUACUUUGCCAAUCAUCGGAUCCUUAAUCUUCGAAUCAAUUAUGAUCAAAUAAAGGAUUCUGUCAUGUCAUAUCCAGCCAAGAGAUCUUCUCCAAUCGAUAAGUUCACAUCCUUAAUGAAACAUCCAGUUCUGGAUAGCCUUUCUUCAACGGAUUAAAAACUGUCAAUGAAGAUAGACUUUGAGUCUUGAGUCUGGCUAUCCGGAGGUCUUCAAACUUUAAAUAGCAGAGUCUGCAAGCCUUCAGACUAGACUGAUGGAAACGUUUUGUCAACUUCAAAACACUUCAAGAGGAUUUCUCCAACAGUUCGCACUUAGGAAAGCCCAUUUUGUUGUGAAGUCUUUUCUCAUAGAGCUAAUUCAGAGAUUUGCUUCGGAUAUGAUCCAAUUAGCGCGCAACAAGAAAGCAAAGCAUUAUCGGCAACCAAAAGGGAAAGGAAAAGACCCAAACUUAAGCACAAUGGUGGGCUGGUCGGUGUCUAGCCGCAUAAAUCUUAUACAAUAAGGUUGGACACGAGAAUUCACGUACAGAGACGGCUGUUCCAUACAAACGUAGGUACGAAUCAUGAAAUGACAUGAAUUCUUGUAAAUAUUAUCGAGCACAAGAGUCCCAGUCCGAUUGGGAUCCCCUGCCUAACUAUAUAAUCAUUCGGAUGUCGGGAGAAGUACCAAAAAAUUCUUAAAUCUAUAAUAUUUAUAUCAAUGCAAUCAUAAAUAUUUUCACAUUGAUAUCAAUUAAAUUCAUCCAACCAAUUUUAGCUGACUGGUGCUAGCGUGAACACCAGCCAUGAUUGGCAAUUUUUAAUAAUUUUUUAUAUUUUUUCAAUUUCUUAUUAAUUUUUUUCUUCUUUUUUUCUUUCCUUUUUCCUCUUCUUUUUUCUCUUCUUCCUCUUUGGAUUCCUUUCGGUGGCCAAAGAGCCGCCGAAGGUUUGCUGGCCACUGCCAGAGAAGAAUGCUAAGAGGAAGAAGAGGAAAAAGAAAAGGAAGAGGAAAAAGAAAGAAGAGAAGGAAAAAAUUUAAAACUAAAAAAAAAAUGGCACUGGUCGCUGCCAAGUUAAAAGAAACUUUCACUGCAUCGUAUUUCAGCAGCGAUCGAUCGAUCGAAAAGAAGAGAGAAGGGACAUCUUCGCCGCGAAGGAAAGUACUAACGCGUAGUUCAAAGUGCUAAUCAGAUCAAUUAUGGAUGCUUCCUUUGACUUUAUCAAGCUUCCUUUUCUAGAGGUGGCUUUCGAAAAGCAUAGUCGUCAUUUCGAUUACUUGCUUAGUGCUAACCAAGAGAAGUGCGGUAUUAUAAGCUUGUUUAUGUUCAUAUGUUCACCAAACAAAGCGAUCGAUGCCGUGUAAAGUUCCCGAAGUGGCGUGAAAAGGGCCCCAUCUUCUCCAACGCAUGUGAAGAAGAUCGGAGCGUCUUUUGGCGCAAAAGGCUUACCCAUUGAAAUAUUAUUACAUAAUCAAAAGUUUCAUGAUUAAAUUGAUUUAAUUAAAAGGUUUAAAACCGAAUUGGUACCAAUAUCAUAGAUUUAUGACUUUUUGGGUAAAUUUCCCUUUGGAGAUCUCUAUCCUCUACUUAAUUAUUCCCGCGUGCCCUUGGACCCGUCAUCAUGACUCAGCGAAUUAUAUUUUUGCUUUUGAAACUCGCAUGAUUAAUACACUUUUAGGAAAAACGUAUUUGAAAUCAAGACCUUCUAAUCUGAUACGAUAUGAGAGUUUGUGAGACUUUUUUCUUCUUUUUUUAAUUUAAAUUGUUCGAUAAAAAUGUAAUCUAACAUCUAAAUAUUCUAAAACAUAGAACUUGACCGUAGGCUACAUGAUUCAUCAAAUAAAACCACGUGCAUGGUAUGUUGCAACUCAGCCUUACUAUCAAGACCAAAGACCCACUAAGGGCGUGCAUGUUUUCGUUUCUAGAAUCUGUUUAAGAACAGGUUUUUUGUUUUUUUGUUCUCGGGAACAAAAAAAGAACGGAAACGCGUUUGUUUGUGUUUCCGUUCAAAAACAGUUUUUUUGUUCCCGAAACAAAAUUGGAACAAAAAAAAGAAACAAAAAAAAACUUAUUUCUGGAAUCCAGAAACACUUGUUGAAGGCUUAAAAAGAACAAAAAUGAAAAGAACAAAACCGUAACACUUCUGGGUUCGUUCGUGCCAUUCUCUUUCGUUCGUGCUCUCCCUUUUCCAACGUCUCUCCCUUCUCUCCGGCGCCUCCCACUCGGCUGACUCUCCGGCAACUCCCCACUCCGCUGACUCUCCGGCGCCUCCCCACUCGGCCGACUCUCUAGUGCCGACAUCUGGUGCUCCUUCACCGGCUGAAGCUUCCGAAUCCAGGUAAGUUUCUGCUACUCCUCCUUCUCCGUUCGACGAGGGCUUCGGCGAGAGCCACCCCUCGCAAAUCCAAGCCACCUUCGCCGACAGCAGGGACGCUCGCUCGAGCCUUAAGCGAGCAUUGCUCGCCCAGAUCUACGGCGUCAGCAGAGAUGACUUCCUCGGACUUCAGCACCGUCCCUCCCCCUCCGUGUUCCCUCCCCUCCACCACGAUGGCCUCGACCGUCUCCCACCGCCACCACCACCACAUCAUCCCACUUCACCUCCCUCUUCCUCGUCUCCGUCAUCGCCAUCGUCGUCUUCUUCCUCGCCUACUCCUCCUCUUAACGAGACAGAGAUUGAGCCGCCGCCGUCGCCGCUGCUGAGCCGUCCGCCGUGAGGAAUCCUCUGGUUCGGCGUCCGCGGGAUUGCUUCAAGAGUCCGCCACUGCAGGUUUCUGGUCGUUCGGCUCUGCUGCGGCGGCGGCCGGAGUGGCGGCGGUAAUCCUGCUGUCAUUGGUGUACGCGAGAAUGCGGAGCAGGAGGAGGCGGUGGUGGUGGAGCAGGGACAGAGUCCCCGUGGCGGAGGCGAGCGAGAACCCCCUCCUCCUCCUCAUCAGAGACAAGGACCAGGUAACGGACGGGCACUCUCAAUUUCUUGGUCACUCCGCUAGUGCUUGAUUCGCAUGGUAGAGCUGAUGAUUCGGAGCUAAAAGAAUUCACCUGGGUUCGCCCCUGUUUCUAGCUGUAAUUGCUUUUCUCUUUUGGGUUUUUCAAGGCUUACACAGAUUCAUGUGCUUCUUCAGCAUGUAGAAUGAGAAAAGGAACUGAGCAAAACAAAACAAGGGAGAAUUUAGCAGGCUUAUGCGGUCGAUGGUCUAGAAAAUUGUUGGCGAGGGUGGGAAUUGAAAGACGGUUUAGUUGUUUCUCAAGCACUAGAGCUUUCAAUGUCAAAAGAUUCAGACAACCUUAUUAGGGUCCUGAGAAUUAGGAUCCUAUUGGAUUUUGGAGCAAAAACAAUGUCAAAGGCAGCAAAACAAUGUAGAUCCAUAUAAACUUAUGAGAAAAUGCUACUUUUCUGAACAAUCUAUCAGUGCAGUCAAGUAGAAACUACUUGCAUUAACGAGUUUUCCUUCACAAUCGAAACGAAAAAGAACCGAACUUCUCUAGGAAACAUGUGGGUAGGAGCAGUUAGCUGCACAAUUGGGUAUUUUUUAAUUCAAGCUGACCUGACUUAUGGUUUGUCACUCGUGCAAAGCCGAUGCAUGUUCGAUUAGAAUUUGUUCUUCUGCAGAAAAAACCAGAAAGUCUUAACUGAUCAAACGAUGCAAUUCGAAAAACAGAAUACGAGUAAAAGGGUACAGAAUAUCUCAUGUUGAGCAUGUGAGAACUCUUAUCUGUCCGGUUACUGAUGUGCGGUAGGAUCCCCGGAUUCAUAGUAUCUACUCGCGUAGCUAUCACUCAAAAUGAGAAGUCAAGAACUGUGUAUCGCUUUGUUGAAGAUUCGAGUCGAUGUCAAUAGGGAGUUUUCGGUUGUACAAACGACACAUUUUUGGAUGUUCAAUAUUGCAAUUCGAUGGUCUGUUUCGCCUUCUUGGAACUCUUUCAUUGUUUAGCAUGGCUUCUCACAUCUAGUUGUACAGAAGUGUCUAUCUUCUUUACGACCACUGACUCAGGAUUAAUCUUUUGGACUGCGCAGAAGAUCAGUCAAAUCCUGCUUCAAAUUGCACAAAUGAACAAACUUAUGUUAGCUCAACGACGGGUUCAGGUGCUUCGAGUCGAUCGUUAAUGCUUUUCAUCUCUCAUCAGUCGUCUCUCUGCUGCACUCGCUCCUUAAAGCUGCUCCAACCGGCACAAGAAUGGACGUGAAAAUGCGAGAAUUUUUUGCUUCUGUUUAUACAUAUAUGUAUGGAGGGAAUACACUUGAACUGCUCAAUGAGUACUGAUUCUGUAAAGACAAAUGGUGACUGCACCAAUCUAUUAUUCUAUUAGUCUGAUAUGUGGAAAUUCCAUCAUUUUGCUAUGCUUUUCAGGACUACUAUUUAAGAAAAUGGUGACUGCACCAAUCUAUUAUUCUAUAAAAUGUUUGUCUUCACUCACCAUGAACAAAAUAAAAUUAAUGAGCGUUUCAUAAGAAUGAGAAUUCAAUAUCAAGUUUAAACUAUAUUAAAGAAAAGCAUUUUUUUGAAAAAUUUAAAACAGAAAUUUUGUGUUGUUUACCAAACGUGUUUCUGUUCUUUUUCUAUUCUAGGAACAGAAAUUGACUGCAGUUACCAAACGUGUUUCUAUUUUUUUUUAUUUCAAAAACAGUUUUUUUUUUACACUUACCAAACGCGUUCUUUUGUUCAAAAAUUGUUCCCCGGAACAGAAACACUUUUUUUUUAUUUCUGUUCCCUGGAACAAUUUUUGAACAGAAACGUUACCAAACACGCCGUAAUUAACCACAUGUGAUCAAUUAUAUUGUUUACAGAAAUGGCAAACCAAUUCGGGGAAUUUCUGAUACAAGUAUUCAAUUAGUUCGGACUUGUUUAAUUUUAAAUUGGGACCAAGACAAAAAAAGUUCUUCUAUCGAAGAGGCUCAUACUUCCUUUGUUGAAGUAAGUACAAAUGGUCUGAUUCGAGAUUUCCUAAGAAUUGACUUAGUGAAAUUCCCUAUUUCGUAUCUCAGAAAAAGGAAUGAUCCCUCAGGCUCAGGAUUGAUCUCAGAUUCAGAUAAUGUGUCAGAUCACACCAAUAGCAAUCCCUUUUAUUCCAAGACAAAAAUUCAACAAUUACUUAGCCAAAAUCAAGGAACUAUUCGCACGUUGUUAAAUAAAAAUAAGGAAUGUCCAUCUUUGAUAAUUUUGUCAUCAUCUAAUUGUUUCCGAAUGGGUCCAUUCAAUGCUGGAAAAUAUCACAAUGUGAUAAGAGAAUCAAUUAAAAAAGAUCCUAUAAUUAAAAUUAGGAAUUCGAUUGGCCCUUUAGGAACAGUCCUUCAAUUUGUGAAUUUUUAUUCAUUUUACUAUUUAAUAACUCAUAAUCCUAUUUUGGUAACUAAAUAUUUGCAACUUGAAAAUUUAAAACAGACUUUUCAAAUAAUUAACUAUUAUUUAAUGGAUGAAAAUGGGAGAAUUUUGAAUCCCGAUUCAUGCAGUAACAUCGUUUUGAAUUCAUUCAAUUUGAAUUGGUAUUUUCUCCAUCAUAAUUAUUAUCAUAAUUAUUUUGAAGAAAGAUCCACAAUAAUUAGUCUUGGACAGUUUAUUUGUGAAAAUGUAUGUAUAUCCAAAAACGGACCCCAUCUCAAAUCGGGUCAAGUUUUGAUUGUUCAAGUUGACUCUGUAGUAAUAAGAUCCGCCAAGCCUUAUUUGGCCACUCCAGGAGCAACUGUUCAUGGUCAUUAUGGAGAAAUCCUUUACGAAGGAGAUACAUUAGUUACAUUUAUAUAUGAAAAAUCGAGAUCCGGUGAUAUAACGCAGGGUCUUCCAAAAGUGGAACAAGUGUUAGAAGUGCGUUCAAUUGAUUCAAUAUCGAUGAACCUAGAAAAAAGAAUUGAGGGUUGGAACGAGCAUAUAAAAAAAAUUCUUGGAAUUCCUUGGGGAUUCUUGAUUGGGGCUGAACUAACUAUAGUGCAAAGUCGUAUAUCUUUGGUUAAUAAGAUCCAAAAGGUUUAUCGAUCCCAGGGGGUGCAAAUCCAUAAUAGGCACAUAGAAAUUAUUGUACGCCAAAUAACAUCAAAGGUGUUGGUUUCAGAGGAUGGAAUGUCUAAUGUUUUUUUACCUGGAGAACUAAUUGGAUUGUUGCGAGCGGCGCGAACGGGGCGCGCUUUGGAAGAAUCGAUCUGUUACCGCGCCAUCCUAUUGGGAAUAACAAGGGCAUCUUUGAAUACUCAAAGUUUCAUAUCUGAAGCGAGUUUUCAAGAAACUGCUCGAGUUUUAGCCAAAGCUGCUCUCCGGGGCCGUAUCGAUUGGUUGAAAGGCCUAAAAGAGAACGUUGUUAUAGGAGGGAUGAUACCCGUUGGUACCGGAUUCAAAGGAUUAGUGCAUCGUUCAAGGCAACAUAAGAACAUUCCUUUGAAAACCAAAAAGAAGAAUUUUUUCGAGGGGGAAAUCGGAGAUUCUAAGAUUAGUAGGGGCACCUAUUCAACGUCAAUCACCUAACAAUAUAUUGGUAAUUAUCCAAACAUUUAGGGCGUGCAUGGUUGCACUUUUAUUUUUUGUUCAUGAAUAGAUUUUCUGUUUUUUUAUUCCAUGGAAUAAAAAAAGAACAGAAACGUGUUUGUUUGCGUUUUUGUUCCAAAUCUGUUUUUUUGUUCCUGGGAACAAAAUUGGAACAAAAACAAGAAACAAAAAAAACUUGUUUCUUGUUUCUGGAACAAUUUUUAAGAACAAAUUUUCUCUCUCAUUUCUUUUUUUUUUUGUUUUCUUCCUCUUUUCUUCUUCUUUUUUCUUUGGCCGGUCGCCGGCCUUGACCAUGGCCGGCGACGGGCCGUCGAGGGCCGGCAAACUUGCCGAAGCGUCGCCGGCCCCCAGCGAGGCCAAGCGUCACCGGCCCCUGGCGAGGCUCGGCCUUGCCUUGGUUGGGCGAGCUCAAGCUCGCCCAAAUCCGGCGAGGCCGAGCUCGCCCAGCCACCGGUUGCCUAGCGAUGGCCCGGUGAGGCCGCUGGCCCUCGUCGGCCAGUCGCCGACCAUGGCCGAGGCCAGUGACCGGCCAAAAGAAGAAAAAAAGAAAGAAAAAAAGAAAGAAAAAAAGGAAAAUUAAAAUUAAAAAAUUAAAAGAAACAAAAAAAGAAGACAAAUGGUGCGUUUGUUUGCGUUUCUGUUUAAAAAUUGUUUCAGGAAACAGAAAUAGAAAAAAGUGUUUCUGUUCCUGGGAACAAUUUCUGAACAAAAAAACGCGUUUGGUAACUGUAUAAAAUUUCUGUUUCUGGAAUAGAAAAAGAACAGAAACACGUUUGGUAACUGUAAAAAAAUUCUGUUUCUGGAAUAGAAAAAGAACAGAAACACGUUUGGUAAUGUACAAAAUUUCUAUUCAAAUUUUUUUUCAAUUAUUUUUUUUUUUAAUAAAAUGUGAACUUGGUAUUGAAUUAUCAUUCUCAUGAAAUGCUCAUCAAUUUAAUUUUGUUCAUAUUAAGUGAAAACACUAAUAUUAGACCAAAUCCAAGCAAUACGGGACAAAACGCAAAUUGAGAAGCUUUAACACAAAGGCAGAAAAAUAAAUAACAAUAACUUCGACAUUGAUUCACAUCACUUUGAUAUAUUCAGCCACAAAUCCAUAGAUCUACAUGAUGUCAUAGAGAUUGAGAUUAAAGAAACAAUAAUGUAUAGAACUCUGAGAGUGAUAAAAGGCUAUUUUGUCAUGCCCGAUGUUGUCAAUUGACAGUCCACACACAAUGAAAAGUGUAGCAGCAGUAAGCAGACGCUCACUUGGCAACAAUAACUUCUAUGCUCGCUGUUGCGAGCGCUCGAGAGAGCAGAGCAGGGCUCACUGCUAUGCUCGCUCGAUUCAGGCAUUUGCAUGAUUCUUGCUAACUACUUUGAUUGACAUUAAUAGAUCAAUAAAUGGAGAAAGACUAGGAAAAUACCCACUGGAAGAUAUUGGCCUAGAUAGGGCAUCGUUUUUUUUGCCACAGAACAACAGGAUCGCGGGACAAAGAUCAACAGAACAGCAACUCGUCAUGGUGUCGAGGAACGCCAGCAAAGGCCAGAUAUUUGCCCCGUUUCGUGCCCUUUCUGUUGAAGAAAUCUUUCCAGAAUAUUUUGAAGCUGACAAAACAUUUCUAUCAGUCUAGUCUGGAUAUCAUUGGUUUAAAGUCUCAAGACUUUGUAAUCUCAAGACUCAAGACUCAAGACUCAAGACUCAAGACUCAAGAUUAUUCUCACUGACAGCCUUUCUAAUCCAGUGGCGUAGGAUAUCCGAAGCCGAAGUAUAUGGUUGGGGAUUUGAUCCAAUCCUCUGGAAUAGAUCCCUUGGUUGGAUAAUCAUUUCGGAUUCUUUGAUUCUUAUCUAAGAUCAAUUGAAGAUCUGAUGGUCGACGAAACAUUCUUGGAAUGUUCUAUUCUUGGAAACCAAAAUCCUGAUUGUAUGGGCGAACAGGAUUGAUGGGCUAUCAUCAGAUUCCUUAAAUAGCUCGGAUGAUCUUCUUAAUUGAUUCCGUCCAACGGGUAGAUUGGAGGAAUUCCUUUGGUAAGUGCCAACGGCUAUGAUGGCAUAAAGGAGUAUAAAAGGAAGACGUUCUAGUUGUUUUAAGUGUGUGAUCGAUAGAUAAAUUCCAGAGUCUGAAGAACCUUGAUUGUUAGUCGAUACAGUUCGAGCGAAAUUGUAUACACAGAGAGUGUUUGUACUUGGGUAAUACCUUGAGCGAGUGUAGUAGAUCAUCUACAUCGAGAAAUCAAGGAAGAUCAACACUGUAACAUCUCUUUGUUCAUAGUGGAAUCCAGCCAAUCGGCUGUCAGUGCAGAAGAGUGGACGUAGGCUUGAAUCAAGCCGAACCACUAUAAACCUCGUGUUUAAUUCUCUCUUUCCUUUACUCUGUCUUACGAUUGAUUUUUUUAAUCCUUCAUCUGUCUAAGUAUUGCGCAAACUGCAAGAAAAUUUUCAUAAACCUAUUCACCCCCCUCUAGGUACUCGUACUAGCAUUAUCAAUUGGUAUCAGAGCCUGUGUUCUUACUUUAUUUGAAGUGUUUUACUUCAGAGUAAAAGAUCCAUGGCUAGUAUGCUAGCACCAAGGCUGGUGGAAGGGCAAAGCAAUACCAGACCACCCUACUUUGAUGGAAAGGAUUACAACAUCUGGAAAAACAAGAUGAAAGCUUUUCUACGAUCAAAGGAUCCUCUGGAAUGGGAUGUGGUGGAAAGAGGAAUUACUCCUAUUGCUGCAUCAGCAUCCGAAAGAGGGAAAGAAACUGUUGAAACCAGCGGAAUAUCUCAAGAAGAGAUAAACAAGAGACAAGCACUCGAUGCAAAAGCAAUUUACUCUUUAUAUUGUGCUUUAUCACCAACUGAAUAUAACAAAAUAUCUUCUUGUGAUACAGCAAAAGAAGUCUGGGACAGAUUACAUAUCACUUAUGAAGGGACAGACCGAGUGAAGGAGACCAGAAUUAACAUUCUCCUUGGUCAAUAUGAAGCCUUCAAAAUGAAACAAGGAGAAUCUAUAACUGACAUGUUUAGCCGUUUUACAGAUAUUGUCAAUGGUCUUGAGAAUCAAGGACAGAAAAUUUCUGAUCCUAUGAAGGUGAACAAGUUACUGCGUGGACUCUCCAAGGAUUGGAAUCAUAUAAAGACUUCAAUAAGAGAGACGCAAAGAAUUAUGCCAUUAUCUGUAGACGAACUGAUUGGAACUCUUCAGUCUUAUGAAGUGGAACGAAUUAAUGAAGACGAAGAUCCAAGAGGUAAGAAAUCCAUUGCAUUAAAAUCUAACGAUGAUUCUGAUGAUACAGACUCUGAAGAAGAUCUGGACGAUGAGGAGCUUGCUCUUAUGAUUAGAAGGUUCAGAAAGCUGAAUAGAAAAGGAAGAAGGUUCAACUCAAGGAAACAAAGUCUUCAGAAACAGCAAACCAAGUUUGUUGAUAAUGAGGAACCAAACAAAGAUGUAGUUUGCUUCGAAUGUAAGAAAAAGGGGCACAUCAGACCAAAUUGUCCUCUCCUGAAGAAGAAAAGAGGAAAAGCUGAAAAGUCUCGAAAAGCUCUCAAAGCCGAAACUUGGAGCGAUACAGAGUGUGAAGAAAGUGAUGAGGAAUAUGCCAACCUAUGUCUGAUGGCACAAUCAGACUCAGACUCUGGAUCAGACUCAGACAGUGAAUUUGAGGUAAGUGAUUAUAAAAUUCCUGUCAAAGUCUCUAAAUACAUUGAUGAACUAUGUUUUAGUCUUAAGACUUCUCUAAAAAGGAUUUCCGAACUUAAAAAGGAAAACUCAGUCUUAAAACAAAAGGAAAAUAUUUUAGAAGAAAAAGUGAAAAGUUUAGACUUGAAUUUUUCUAUUCUUAAGGAGAAUGAAGAUAAACUUUCAAAAGAAAAUGCUUUCUUAAAAACUGACUUAUCAAAUAUUUCAAAGAAAUUUUCAAUAGGGUCUGAAAAACUUGAAAAAGCUCUUUCAGUCCAAAGACCUUACUUUAACAAGUCUGGUUUGGGUAUGACAGCAGAAACAAUUCCUUUAAUUGAUUUUCCAAAAGUAAAAGAAAGAAUUAAGAAAAGACCGACAAAGGAGGCUUACAAAAAUCAUUUCAAGAAAGUCUUUGUAAAGUCUGUAGGUCGAAGUGCUCUAAGAUGUUCAAAGUGUAACAGUCAGGAUCAUUUUGAAAAAGAGUGUCCUAUGGUUUGGAAACCUGUUAAGAAAGUAUGGCCUAGUAAUGCUUAUUCUACUAACGCCAAAAGACCCAAGAAAAUUUGGGUACCAAAGAAAGCUUGAGACUCUUCUUUGAAUGCAGGUCUCUGUCAAAAAGAAAGUUAAGUGGUAUCUUGACAGCGGAUGUUCAAGACACAUGACAGGAGACUCAAAUUGCUUCAUAAAGAUUGUUCAAGUGAAUGGUGGAAAAGUUUCAUUUGGAGGAAACAGCAAAGGAAGCAUUGUGGGUUUUGGAACUGUGAAAAUUGGAAAUCUCACAAUAAGCAAUGUCUCUCUAGUGGAAGGACUCAACUACAAUCUUCUAAGCAUUAGCCAAUUAUGUGAUACUGGUUUCAAGAUCUCCUUUCAAGAAGGCACAUGUUCUGGAAUUAGCAAAGACUCAACUCAGUCUUUCAUGGGUCGAAGACAUGGAAAUAUCUACCUCCUUGAUGUAAAACCAAAUGAAGCACAAUGCCUAAUCUCAAUUCAAGAUGAAGCAGUCUUAUGGCACAGAAAGCUUGGCCAUGUCAAUAUGAAACAAUUAGCCAAAAUCUCAUCAAAGAAGCUUGUUCGAGGUCUACCUAAAUUACCAUACCAAAAGUCUGAUUCAUGCACUCCAUGCAUUCUGGGAAAGCAGGUAAGAAAUUCAUUUAAGCAAAUAAACCAUGUUUCUACUAAUCAUGUACUACAGUUGCUUCAUAUGGAUCUCUUCGGACCAACCAGAACCCAGAGCAUUGGAGGUAAGAAAUAUUGCCUAGUAAUUGUGGAUGAUUACUCCCGUUUUACUUGGAUAUAUUUUCUUUCAAGUAAGUCAGAAACCUUUUCGUAUUUUGAAAAAUUUGCCAAAAAGGUUCAAAAUGAAAAAGGAUGUGCAAUCUCAAGCAUAAGAACAGAUCAUGGAAGUGAAUUUGAAAAUAAAGAUUUUACGAAAUUUUGUGAUAAAUCUGGUUUUAAUCAUAUGUUUUCCUCUCCAUAUACUCCAGAGCAAAACGGAGUUGUGGAAAGAAAGAAUAGAUCUCUUCAAGAAAUGGCUAGAACACUUUUAAUUGAAAGCAAAAUUUCUUCACGAUUUUGGGCUGAAGCUGUUUCAACAGCAUGCUAUAUUAUAAAUAGAGUCUUUUUAAGACCUAUUUUGGAGAAAACCCCCUAUGAAUUGUUCAAAGGUAAAGAGCCUAUUGUUUCAUACUUUCAUGUGUUUGGUUGCAAAUGCUUUAUUUUGAAAAAUGCAAAUGAUAGAGUUGGUAAGUUUGAAGAAAGAUCAUAUGAAGGCAUCUUCCUUGGAUAUUCUACAUCAAGCAAAGCCUACAGAGUCUACAACAAGAAAAGCCAGUUAGUGGAGGAAUCAACGAAUGUUAAAUUCCAAGACUCAAUGCAAGAUGAAUCCAGCCAGACUCAGUAUGAAGAGUCUGAACCUACUCCAGACCUUCCAAUGCUUACAACUCAAGAAGCAUCUCAGUCUCUGGAAGUCCAACAUCAAGAAGCACAUGAAGAUUCAAACAAAGAAAGAGAUCAUCAACUAGGAAGAACAACCAGUAACUGGAAGCAUAAAUCCAGUCAUCCUAAAGAUCUCAUUAUUGGCAAAAUCAAUGAAGGAAUCCGCACCAGAUCAAAAAGGCAUGAAGAAUCUAGUGCUGUGGCUCUCAUUUCUGAAAUCGAACCAAAAAGCAUAGAAGAAGCUUUAUCUGAUGAAAGUUGGAUCGAAGCUAUGCAAGAAGAACUCAGACAAUUCAACAUCAAUGAUGUCUGGGAAUUGACAUCUAAACCAAAAGGUAAAACUGUUAUUGGAACCAAAUGGGUAUUCAGGAACAAGAUGAAUGAAGAAGGAAAAGUCGUACGAAACAAAGCAAGACUCGUGGCCAAAGGAUAUACGCAAGAAGAAGGAAUAGACUAUGAUGAGACUUACGCUCCAGUAGCAAGGUUAGAAGCUAUUCGUCUAUUACUUGCGUUUGCUUGUUAUAAAAAUUUCAGGUUAUUCCAAAUGGAUGUCAAAAGUGCAUUCCUAAAUGGAUUCAUCCAUGAGGAAGUCUAUGUGGAACAACCACCUGGGUUUGAAGACCCAAAGAAGCUAGACUCAGUCUUCAGACUGAAAAAGGCCUUGUAUGGUUUAAAGCAAGCACCUCGAGCUUGGUACGACAGACUAAGUAAGUUCUUAUUACAGAAUGGUUUUGUCAAAGGUAAAGUAGAUACUACUUUGUUUAUCAAAAAGGAAAGCAAAAGCUUUUUACUUGUUCAAAUAUAUGUGGACGAUAUUAUUUUUGGAUCAUCUAAUGAAAGUCUAUGCAAGAAAUUUUCUAAGUCUAUGCAGGAUGAGUUUGAAAUGAGUAUGAUGGGAGAGUUAACAUUCUUUCUUGGACUCCAAGUUAAACAAAUGAAGGAAGGAACUUUUAUUCAUCAAGAAAAAUAUGCGAAUGACCUUGUCAAAAGGUUUGGAUUGGAAACGUGCAAAAAGACCGACAUACCAAUGUCAUGUUCUCAGAAGAUAAACAAGGAUGAAGAAGGGAAGAAAGUAGAUCAAAAGCUGUACAGGAGCAUGAUCGGCUCACUUCCUUAUCUUACUGCUUCUAGACCUGAUAUUUUGUUGAGUGUUUGCAUUUGUGCUAGGUUUCAAUCAGAUCCCAGAGAGUCCCAUCUCAAUGCUGUAAAACGUGUUAUCAAAUACGUUGCCUCAUCUUCAAGCAUCAGUCUCUGGUAUCCCAAGAAGGGAGACUUUAAUCUUCUAGGAUACUCAGAUGCAGAUCUGGCCGGUUGCAGAGUCGAUAGAAAAAGCACCUCUGGAACUUGUCAAAUACUUGGAAACAGGACAGUGUCUUGGUUUUCAAGGAAGCAAAGCACUGUAUCUCUCUCAACGACAGAAGCAGAGUAUGUAGCUCUUGGAAGCUACUGUUCGCAAAUUCUCUGGAUAAAACAACAGCUACAAGACUUUGGGAUUGAAGACUCAUGCACAGAAAUCAGAUGUGACAACACCAGUGCGAUCAAUCUCACCAAAAAUCCAAUCCUUCAUUCAAGAGCAAAGCAUAUUGAGAUUCGACAUCACUUUAUUAGAGAUCAUAUUCAAAAUGGAGAAAUCUCGAUUCAAUUUGUUGAUUCAAAGAGUCAACUAGCGGAUAUAUUCACAAAGCCUUUGGAGAAAAAUCAAUUCGACCUUAUCCGUUCAAGACUCAACAUUUUGAAGCCUGAAGAAGUUAAAAGUCUAGAGACUCACCAACUCUGAGACUCUAAUCUUUCAGACUUUAAAUUCUCAGACUCAGACAUUCGUGGCUAUAGACUGUAAGUUGUAUUUCAUCUAAGAGGUACGAAUUUUCAUUUAGUUAUUUUAACUCGAAAAGGUACGAUCUUUUAUUCAGUUAUUCUAUAAUCCGAAUGAAAUUUGGAGAUUUUUUUAAAAAGAAUAAUUUUGGCAGUUGUUGAUUUUGAAUAGAAGUGAUAGUUCACUUUCCUUGCACCGAUUGAACUUCCCUUUUCAAAACUGAGUUAUACAUAUAUAUACAGCUUUUCUUUUCUCCAAUCUUCAAAACCCUAAAAGGCACUCUCCUCCCGAUACUGUUUCUACUGCUUGUUCGUCUUCGAGAAAGUGGUCAUUUUUCUUGGGAAAGCAAGUGAAGGAAUCUUCCAGCGACAAAGAAAGAUGUCUUCUUCGAGGAAAUCAUCAAGAAUCGCAAGCAGGGGACCACAAAGAAUGGAGAAGGGACCGACUCACUUCGAUCUCACUGAGGAAGAAGACUUAACAAGUCAGCGACAAAGUCCGAUUCGUUCUCAUCCACGUCAUUCAUCGCCUCCUGCCCCACAAGGUGCAAGUCAUGAUCUGGAAGAAGAGAUAAUCGAGGAUGCCGACCCAGUAAGAGUUCAAAAGCCCUCCUUUUUGUAUAAACUUUAUCGUGCGUUGAAAAGCACAGGUACUCCACUGAAUUAUAUAGAUGACUUCCUUAAGGACAAAAAUUAUGGGAAUGAGUAUCUUUUUCUGAAGAAAAUGGAGGAAUGGGGAAUUGCCCCGAAAGGAAAAGCAGAGGAAGCACUUGCGAACAUUCCAAGUGAUCCUCGUAUGCCAGGACAAAAUUUAAUUGAAGGGAACGAUGAUGACAGAAUGUUCCUUGAAUUUCAACCGAAAAUGGGCGUGGCAGCAAAGGUGAAAGGAAAUCGGAUGGAUUUGUUCAAAUCCAAGGAUCAAGAAAAAGUGUAUUCCAGGCUGUUGAAAAGAGGCGUGAUAAACCCUAGAAGUGUCGAUUUUGACUUCCUGGACGCCAUCAACAUAAACUUAAGAGAAAAGUUGAAUUUGUUUCAACUUGAGAAUUUUUGCUCUGACUCAACAGACGGGUAUGCUCAUCUGACCGCUUAUUUCUAUUCAAAUCUUAGCUUUCUGGAUGAGAAUAGAAUAUCAUUUAGUGUACGAGACAAAGUCUACGUGGUAGAUGUGAAUAUGUUGGCUGAUAUAGUUGGAGUUGAACGAGGACGUUAUCUACCAAUCAAAGUCUCACCUGCUCGUACUACUCUGGAACUUGUCAAAGAUAGGGACGCAGAGAAGAAAGUUACCUAUUCCAGGAUGAAUGCCAUCAACAUUGUGCUUCAUAAGAUUGUGAUCAACUGUCUUAGACCAAAGUCUACGUCAAAGACUUCUGUGUCUCUUUCUGAAGCAAAGUUAAUGUACGCGAUCAACUCAGGACGGAAGUUCUCUCUCUCGCACACUAUUCUCUUCCAUAUGUACAGAUCAAUGUCAAAAGACAAAGGACAAUUGCCUUAUCCUGGUCUGGUGACAAAGAUCUUCAGACACAUGAAUAUUGAACCGCCUCAAUCACUUUGUGUUCAACCGUGUGAUAAGAUGGUGGUAGGUUUGAAGAUGUUAACGAAGAUGCGUCUGCAAGAACUUUCCAAGGUAAUGGAGAAAUUCAGAGUGAAAUCUCCUAUUCAGUCUGCUUCAAAGAGAAAAGGAAAGGAGGCCAUUGGAGCCCCAUCAAAAAGGAAGAAAAGAUCUCUCAUCCUAGAGGAUGAAGAUGAAGAGGAUGAAGAUCCUACUAUCCAAGCACUGACAAGAACCAGACGUUCUGUGUCUCAGCCGAGAGAAUUUCAGAAGAACCAGAGAGAAGAAGAAGAGCAGAGAGAGAAGGAGAAAGAAGCUGAAGAAGAGAAAGAAAAAUCUGCUGCUGAAUCUGGAGAUAAGGGAAAUCUAGAGCAUGAUCAUCACUCUUCCCCUUCGGAUGUCCUAGAGACAGGGGGAGCUGGCGAGCAAGUAAAGUCUGCACCUCAUGCUGCAAAUAGUGAAGGUCCAAGACAAUCUCCAGCAGACCCAGAAGAAUUUCAGGCUUCUCAAUUGCCUGAAGAAGGUGAUACGUCGACACCAAAUCUGCAAGACUAUACAGAAGCGCCUUCAUAUACUCUUACUCCAUCUGAAAAAGCUCAAGCCAGCACACAGACAGACAAUUCUGCAGAUUUUCAUCGCAUCAUGGAUAUUCUUUUGGAAAUGCGUGGCCAAAUAUAUGCACUGGAAUGUGAAAUUCAAGCCAUGAAGAAUGCUGGACAAGCUUCUUCAGUCAGCCUAGAGGACAAGAUGAAAGACCUUGCUCUGCAAAUUCAAGCCAAUGCCAAAGGAGAGGAGGUAGCUCAUCUAAGAGAGGAUUUCAAGAGGCUAGAAGGUGUAGUGCAGUCAAUGGGAGAAUUCCAGAUCGUGCGCAUUCCCAAGCAGACAUGACUCCUUUCUCACCCUCUUUUUAAAUGAUGACAAAAAGGGGGAGAACCAAAUUUGAACAAACAUUAUUUUAAAACUUUGACUACUUUGACUUUUGUGGUUAUGUUUUUUAGUAUGACUUGAGAACUUGAACUUGGGUGUGAGACUGAAUGGCUGUGGAUUUUGAUGCUUGACUGGUUGCAUUUAUAUUAAGUAUUGUUAUAUGGUAUUACUCAUGAAAGACUAAUCAAUUUGCUGUGGAUGCAGAGUCUGGUUGUUUAUUAAUCUUUAUGAGUUAGCCAUAUUGCUUGAGAAAUGUUUUUGCAGGUCAAAGUUGUUCAAAUCUACAAGAAAGUUUUGUCACCAUCAAAAAGGGGGAGAUUGUUGGAGAAAUCUUUCCAGAAUAUUUUGAAGCUGACAAAACAUUUCUAUCAGUCUAGUCUGGAUAUCAUUGGUUUAAAGUCUCAAGACUUUGUAAUCUCAAGACUCAAGACUCAAGACUCAAGAUUAUUCUCACUGACAGCCUUUCUAAUCCAGUGGCGUAGGAUAUCCGAAGCCGAAGUAUAUGGUUGGGGAUUUGAUCCAAUCCUCUGGAAUAGAUCCCUUGGUUGGAUAAUCAUUUCGGAUUCUUUGAUUCUUAUCUAAGAUCAAUUGAAGAUCUGAUGGUCGACGAAACAUUCUUGGAAUGUUCUAUUCUUGGAAACCAAAAUCCUGAUUGUAUGGGCGAACAGGAUUGAUGGGCUAUCAUCAGAUUCCUUAAAUAGCUCGGAUGAUCUUCUUAAUUGAUUCCGUCCAACGGGUAGAUUGGAGGAAUUCCUUUGGUAAGUGCCAACGGCUAUGAUGGCAUAAAGGAGUAUAAAAGGAAGACGUUCUAGUUGUUUUAAGUGUGUGAUCGAUAGAUAAAUUCCAGAGUCUGAAGAACCUUGAUUGUUAGUCGAUACAGUUCGAGCGAAAUUGUAUACACAGAGAGUGUUUGUACUUGGUAAUACCUUGAGCGAGUGUAGUAGAUCAUCUACAUCGAGAAAUCAAGGAAGAUCAACACUGUAACAUCUCUUUGUUCAUAGUGGAAUCCAGCCAAUCGGCUGUCAGUGCAGAAGAGUGGACGUAGGCUUGAAUCAAGCCGAACCACUAUAAACCUCGUGUUUAAUUCUCUCUUUCCUUUACUCUGUCUUACGAUUGAUUUUUUUAAUCCUUCAUCUGUCUAAGUAUUGCGCAAACUGCAAGAAAAUUUUCAUAAACCUAUUCACCCCCCUGAGCAGCAGCGACGCUCGCUGCUCUGCUCGCUCGAGCCUGAGCAGCAGCGACGCUCGCUGCUCUGCUCGCUCGAGCCGAGCCUGAGCAACAGCAACGCUCGCUGCUCUGCUCGCUCGAGCCUGAGCAGCAGCGACGCUCGCUGCUCUGCUCGCUCGAGCCUGAGCAGCAGCGACGCUCGCUGCUCUGCUCGCUCGAGCCGAGCCUGAGCAGCAGCGACGCUCGCUGCUCUGCUCGCUCGCCCAGAUCUCGAGCGAGCAGACGAGCUGCUGUCGCAGAUCUGGGGGAGCAACGCUCGCCCAGAUCUGCGAGACUCGCUCGAGCAAGCGGCUCGCAGAUCUGGGCAAGCGCUGGCUCGAGCGAGCCCUAACACUCGAGCUCUCGCCGAAGUGAAGACAAUCAGUGAAGGAGGAGCAGUGACCACGUUUACCUGGUGAAGGAGCAGCGGCUGUCGAGACAGAGGUCGCUGUCGGCGUCGGAGAAGACGAUGGAAUUCUCUGCUCGCAGGAGGAGACGCUCGUCGCAGGAGGAGACGCUCGUCGCAGGAGACGCUCGUCGCAGGUCGCAGGUCGCAGGAGGAGAAGCUCGUCGCUCGUCGCAGGUCGCAAGAGGAGAAGCUCGUCGCAGGUCGCCGGAGGAGAAGCUCGUCGCUCGUCGCAGGUCGCAGGAGGAGAAGCUCGUCGCAGGGGGGAGAGAGGCGUUGUUCGAGCACUAUCCAAGAAAUAAAAAAGGAACACAAUUUUGUUCCUUUUUUGUUUCUGAUUUGUGUUUCUUGUUUCUGUUUCUUUUUUGUUCCUGGGAACAAAAGAACAAAAAAGGAAUAGAAAAACAGAAAAAGUGUUUAAAAACAAAAAAAAAGAAAUACAAACAAACGCAGCCAAAUUUACCAAACAUAUUUCUAUUCUUUUUUUAUUCCCGGAACAAGUUUACCAAACGCGUUUUUCUGGUCAAAAGUUAUUCCCCGGAACAAAAAUAGUUUUUUCUAUUUCUGUUCUCUGGAGCACUUUUUAAACAGAAACACAAAUAAACGCACCCUUAGCAAAUGAUUGUGGUGGCCCGUUUACGCACUCCAUGUCCCGACGUCCAAGCACUUAUUUUCAGACCGCAAAUCUCUUUUGCUAAAGAAGAUGUUUCAGGCAGAGUACGUGAUUCCGAUUUACAAAUGGAUGGUCCUAACCCGAACUUCAUUCAAUUUCGAAUUGCAAUGUUUGACCAGCGUUGACUGAUAGAUAACAUCAGGGUGGUGGUGUUCUGGAAAAGAUGUCCUCGUAAUGGAUUUGUGGCAAAGUGUGUUAAUUCAAUAAUCGAUGAACCUCACCCUCACUGUUGCUUCAAAAGUUAAAGCCUUUUUUCCGCAAUGGACGACGCCUCCAUUAAUUUGGACAAUGGUACUCCUCCCAAUCAGAACAUUCACACAGGCACGUCCAAAACCGUUAUAGUGGGGAAAUUUCUUUAAAAAAAUCUAAACCUAUUACACUUGAACUAAUUCAAUCUUAAACAUUUCAAUUUUACUAAUAUUAUUUGGGUCUAGACAACUUUGCAAAUUGAAUUAUAAACUUUUUAAUAAUUUGACACUUAAGUCCAUUCAGCCAACUAGGUUAUCGCUGACAUAGAUAACGAUCAUCCAACGAGAUGUCAACAUGAACAAUUUUUGUAAUUCUUAGAAAAAUAGUAAUUUUUUACUUUUAUUUUUCUUUGCUUUUUUUUUUAUGGGCUAGCGAGGGUCACCAAUAACCCUCGCUCACUAUGAAGGCUUCACUCAAGGCCAUCGCGUUGUCGAUUGUGGGUGAGGGUGCGAAGGCCCUCGCCGAAUCUAGGUGGGUGACCACACUGCCAAAAAUAGAGUCAACUAGCAAAUUGUCAAAAAAUUACAAAAGUUGUCUACUUAAAAAAAAAAGCAAAUGAAAAAAUAAAAUAAAAAAUACAAAAGUUGUCCACUUUCGUGCUAGCAAUGCCAUAUACGAAAAUUUGGCCAAAUAGACUCAACAAGCAAAUUGUUAAAAAAAUUAUACGACUUAAUUGGUAAAAUUAAAAAAUUUAGAAUUGAAUUAGUCAAAGUGUAAUAGAUUUAAGAUUUUAUGAACAAUUUUAUCCCACUAUAGAAAGAGAUCACAUAAAUAACUAAAACCAAAAGCGAAGCAUAUACCAAUUGCUAAUAAAAUAUACAACACCACCAAUGAUUCCACAAUUGCCGGGUAAUCGUUAGAGACUCUUAUCAGCUCUUAUCCCAUCAAGUGGCCAUCUCAUAUUAUAAUUCCACACUCAACCUCGAAACGAGCCUACCCACAUCGAGAGCUCUUCAGCAAUUUGGCGCACGAAAUUCAAUCGCAAAUACCAUCGAACGAAUCUGGGAGGAGAGUUUACAUGUCAAGGGUAUACUACUGCAUGUUCUCGUAUAAGACGCACGUUACGAACGCAUGCAAUCCGCGAUAAGGUUAAUGCCGAUAUCACCGUCAAAAAAGGGCUACUCGUUUUAGACAAAAAAUAAUUAAAUAGGUUUCACAAUUAAAGACUUAAAGAUAGGUGAGUGUUAAGUGAGUCUUGGGUUGGAUUAAGAACCCAUUUUCAACCAAAACCUUUAUAAUCUCUAUCUUCUUUCUUUAACUUUACAAAAAUAUUUUUUUAUAAAAAUCAAAAUUAUAAUUUUUUAUUUUAAAUUUUCUUUUCUUUUUUCUUUUUUCUUUUUUCUUUUUUCUUUUUUCUUUUUUCUUUUUCUUUCCUUUUUUUUUUCUUUCUUCUUUUUUUUUCUCUUUUUUUUUUUUCCUUCCUCCGAUGGCCGGUGACCGGCUAGGCGAGCCUCGAGCUUGCCGGUGUCAGGCGAGCUCAAGCUCGCUGGAUCUAGCAAGGCAGAGGGAUCUAGCAAGGCAGAGGCUUCGUCGACGCCCGACGAGGCUCGAGCCUCGCCAAAUCCGGCGAGAGGCAAGCUCAAGGCUCGCCUAUGGCCGAUCGCCGGCCGUCGUCGUGGCCGGUGGCCGGCCAAAGAAGAAGAAGAAAAAAUAAAAAAUAAAAAGAAAAUUGAAAAUUAUAUUUAAAAUAAUUUUAAAAAUUAUAUAAAUUGUCCAUUAAAUUUGUGUUGUAUAAAACUAUUUUAGUAAUACAUUUUUUUUAAAAUAAUAUAUAUGUGUGUGUGUAUAUAUAUAUAUAUAAUAUAUAUAAUAAACUUUCUUAAAUUUAGUUAAAUGAGUCGGGUUGGGUAUGAGUAAAAAAUUUUGCAAAAUAGGUCAUAAACGGGUUAAAUGGGUCAAUUUGGGUCGGAUCAUUUAUGACCCAACCCAAACCCGACCCAACCCACCCGUUUAACGGAUCUAGCCAUAGAAACGAUAUAAAGACCCGAAAUGAUUCGGCACUUAUAGCGAAAAAGUGAUACACGGAUCGAUCCGAAACCAUCUGUCUCCCAUUUUCGGCGGAGGGGUGUGUGAAAAAGAUGGGGUGGGGAUGGCAAGACGUCACUCCAUGCAUGGAUGGAUCGAUGGUUAUCCCCUUGACAUCUGUAGGAUUGCCCAAAUUGGCCAACUGGAGAUCUAGCUGUGAACCGACUCAUCCCAAUCCUUCGACAUUUAGUGUAUGCAUCGCUCCACCUGAGAUCUUCAUAGAAUGCACCAGGCUCUUUAACUUAACAUAAGCUAAUACAUUCGACAUAUCCUGAUGACCAACAGAGUCGUGUAAUUGCUCCUAGAACAUAGCUUCUUGGUAUAGGUAAGGGUCAGAAGAAAUUUUCUCUGUUAUAUGUCUUCGCUUUUUUCUAAUGUCUAGAGUCCAAUUUUCUUCGCAGCAAAUUUGCCUUUACUUACUUAAAAACUAAGUUCAAUAUGCUACCAUCGCAAAUUCUUUUUUUAUUCUCACUUCAUAUUGAUUAAUAAUCACGAUCAAUGCACGGAAAGUUCUAAAAUUUAUUAUAAAAGUAUAAUCAAGUUCUAAAAUUUUUAAAAAGUGCAAUUAGCGAAAUGAUUUAAUUAGAUCAAUUUGAUAAAUUUUAAGACUCAAUUGUAUUUUUUGAAAGUUUUAAAACUUCAUUACACUUUCAUGACAAGUUUUGGUGCUUUUAAUACACUUACCCAUCUAUUAUUUUGACUAAAUAAUUCUUUUCUAGAUGGCCAGAUGAUUGUAUAAAGUGUUGUAAAUUAAUUUUUUCCUUUUAACUUAUAACUCAAAUAGAAACGUAAGCUACACCCUGUUUAGUUUAGCUUUUUCUAAGUAUCUAAGAUUGCUAUGUCAAUGAAGACAUAUUAAUAUAUAAUAUCAAUAUAUAAUUAAUGUGGAUGAAGACAUGUCUAUAUAGAAAAUCAAUGUAUAAUCAAUCUCUUGCAAUAAAACAAUGAUAAUAGGAAGGAAAAUCAAUAUUAUGCCUAGGCAAGGGUCAACCUUCUUGACACGAGACCGGCCUCGCCAUGGCCAAGGCAAGGCUUGUCAAGGCUCAUCAAACCUCACCCUCACCUAGGCGAGGCCUGGCAAGGCACGACAAGGUAGCUCCGACUGGGCAAGGGUCGACCUUGCCAGAUCUAACAAGGGAGGCCUUGCCUAGCCAUGCCUAGACGGCCGAUGCUCAACCUCGACUUGGUGAGGCCAAUCCUUGCCUAUGAUUGGCGGCCAGUGAUGGCCACCAGAAAAAGAAAAGGAAGAAAAGGGGGAAGGGAAAAGAAAAAAAGAAACAAAAUUUCAAUAAAUGUGAAAAAAAAAUUAAAAUAUUAUUAAAAAUGUCCAUGUCAGCGUCAGUCAUACCAAGUCUGCCAGUUGGCAUCUACAUCAGUAAUUUUUGGCCUAAAUUGACCAAAUGGAUUGAAUUAGUACCACUGUGAAUAGAUUGAUGAUUAAAUUGAUCCAGUUAAAAGAUUUACAACUGAAUUGAUACUGGUACAACAGAUUUAGAACUUUUUUAGUACUUUUCCAUUAAAGACAUGGACAACAAGGUACGCUAUCAUACUCAAUAAUUGAAAAUACAAAAGCCACUUACUUUACAAUGAGGUUGUGUGUGAUUGAAUUACUCUUAGGAGUGUUUGACACGCACUUUGCCAACUUGUGGCCCUCAUAUACCGAAGCAUAUGUUGAUUAGUGACUUAUGUUGUCCCCUAAAUACUUCUUUUCACAUUGAUUAAAUAUAUCGUCGUAGGUGUAUCAAAUUGAUAUUUGUUCGACUAAGCUAUAUGAAAAUGUAAUAUGCAAAAUUGAUAUACCAAAUGACAUAGCAAAUUGUAAUUAUGCAUUUAAAUAAGUGGGACAUGGUGGAUAAAUAUAAUAUUACAUCACUUAAUAUAUCAAUUAUGUCAAUCAAUUUUAGUAUAAUUAGCACAUGAAAAUUCUUUUAUCCAAAUUCCAUAUAGGCGAUAUUAACUUUAGUUCAACGAAUGUGGUCACGUGAUCAAAAGUGACUUUCGGUCCUAGAAAGCGUUGAAUCUUCAUGGUAUGAUAAGGUGCUAUCGUCGCCUACAGAGAAAGAUUUCAUCAAUACCAAUCUAGAACAAUACCAUCCACAAUCCACAGAGCCAAAUUCAUAAAUCAUUUCAUAUAUCACCAAAAGAUUUUGCAACUCAACUUAUCCACCAAAAAUAUUUUUCAUAAAAUAUUCUCAAAUAACUUCUCAUAACCCGAUUUUAUAAACCAAAUCAAAUCAAAGGCAUGUCAUAAGACAUUUCAUAAAUCGAUAUACAAAAUAUUCCAUAAUCUAUGCUCAAAAAGAUAUUCAUAAAAAGGUUUUAAAAACCCAAAUUAUAUAUUUCUCAACUUUAUUCCUAAAAAAGAAUUUAUAUUUCCAUUAACCAUUUCUUACACCAUUCACAAAUACCAAAACGUAACAAAUGUCCGAUCCAAAUUUUAUGCCACAAAUAUGCUUAUUCAUAUCUCAUAAAAUAUCAAAUCUUUGUCAUUUUGAAGACAUGAAUUUAUAAAUUUUUAGAAAAGAUAACACCAGUCACCUAGAAAAGCCGAUAAAUAAAUUAUGUGGUUACUCAAGCCAACGCACUCGUAUUCCUAUUAAUUAAUUGAAAAAUGUAUCAAAACCAAGUAAUAUGUUAUUAUCCAACUAAUGACUCGAUUGAAUUUUGCUUUUCCAUCAAUAAAACGACACCUACGCACUAAUAAACCAUACAUCCAAGGCGAUUAUUUAAGCAGUCCGCAACGCAGAACAUGAGCGCAAAACUUGGUUACGCCAUAACUUUCUCCACCGAACCCGUUUCAAGCGUACUUAUAGUCAAUGGAAAGCCCUUCCAAUAUAUUACAAGAACCCCUACUUAGCCAACCCGAAAUCAAGCCAAAAACCAACAAAAUAUGACCCCGAAAUACUGGUCACGCACUAUUCAUCACGCACGAGAAACUUCAAAAUUUUGUUUUGGACAAAUUGUAAGCUCAAAUCAAGAUUCGUAAAAUCUUAUAACUCCACAAUACCUUAAACUAUCAUUCUAUAUAUGCAGCUCAAUGACUCAAAAAUCGAAUUUCGCCGCACGAAUUUCACAUAUUCCCAAAUUUAAACCCCAACUUUGAAAACCAAUCCGAUUACAAAAACAAAGGGCGUGAACGUCGUUGUAAAUCAGAAUUGAAUCGGCUUCGCGAGGCGUCCGCAGCAAGAGUCCCCUCUCUUUCCUCCUCCUCUUUCUUAUUCUUCUUUACGUUCCUUUCUCUCCUCUUUUUUCUUUUCCUUCUGCCCGAACGUGCCUCCUCCUUUUCCUUUUAACUCCUCUUCUUUAUCUUUUUUGUCCUUUCCUUUCCUCUCUUCUUUUUCUCCCUCUCUCCCGUAGACUCUCGGUCUCCCUCCUUCUUCUUUCUCUUUUUUAUUUUUUUGACUGGAUCAAAACCCAUAUUUUACAGUUAGAGACUCUUAUCAGCUCUUAUCCCAUCAAGUGGCCAUCUCAUAUUAUAAUUCCACACUCAACCUCGAACCGAGCCUACCCACAUCGAGACCUCUCCAGCAAUUUGGCCGCACGAAACUUCAAUCGCAAAUACCAUCGCACGAAUCUGGGAGGAGAGUUUAUAUGUCAAGGGUACCCUACUCCAUGUUCUCGCAUAAGACGCAUGUUACGAACGCAUGCAAUUCGCGAUAUGAUGGUUUUAUGUGAUGGGCCUAAGUUGGCCCGUCCGCCCAUGAUGGGCCUAAAAGCCCGGCCCACAAGAUUAGGGCCCAUAGAUGAAGGGGUACGUUCCUUUCUGUUGGAGGGACAUAUAAAAGGAGAAAGAGAGAGGGAGGAACACACCCGUUGGCAUAACGUACAUUCCUCUCCCUCUCUCCCUCCAAAAGAAAAAUAGUGCACAAGAGGCGACGCCGUCUUCCCUUCAAGGCCAAUUGACGUCAUCGGAUCGAAUGGGAUCGAUUUCUCUUCCUCUUAUCGGCGUCGGUGUUUAAUCUGUGGCUAACAAGGUACGCUCGAUUCCGUGGUGUGCUUUAGGAUCGGUGAUACAUGUGAAUUUCCCAGACUUGUCUUCCACAUUCGAUUUAGUGUCGAAUCCGGUUUUUGGGAAUCGGACAACCCCAACAUUGGUAUCAGAGCCCUAGUUCAUGUUUUCCCGACCCCUUUCAUGUUUAUGAAUGAUUUUUGAUUGAUUUUUCACGGAAUUAUUCGGCCGAAACAGAUCGGGGCGAAAAAUCCCGACACCCGAGCACUGUUCAUCCAUUUUUUCGAGUUUCCAUAAGUUGAAAUCAAUUUCUAAUGGCAUAAGGUGAAAGAGCUCGUCGAGACGAGUCCAUCGAUGGGUCGACCACCACCGGGAGACGCCGGAUGCGCCCACACGCGCAGCCAGAAACCGCUGCGCGUGGGCGCCACGCACCUAUAGCGCUGGCUUGGCCAGCGCGUGCUCCACACGCACCGAUCGGCGAACCAGCACGUGCGCAACACCACCGGCUGUCGAACCGGCACACGUCGGUCGGCGAACCGACGCGUGAUGACGUCACCCAACGGUCGGUAACCGCUGGGAUGACGUCAUCGCCGACAACCCGACCCGAUCGGCAAAUUGACCCAACCCGAGACGCGACUCGACCCGAGAUCCGACCGGUCGCUCGCACAUGCGAGGCACGUGGUGGGUCAGUUCGUCCAACGCGGUCCGACCCGCGCGACCGUUGACCCGUUGACCGUUGACCGACGACCGUUGACCAAAAAAAAAAGGAAUUUGUUUCUUUUUCAAUUAUGUCUGUGUGGGUUAUAGGUAAUCCAUUUUUUUAUUCUACAUUUGUUGCAUGAAUCAUGGAAAAUUAUGUAUUUUCCAUUAUGUUUAUUAUGGAUUAUAAGUGAUCCAUUUUUAGUUCUGCAUUUGUUGCAGAAACUAUGAUGCGUUAUGCACGGGUACCUGCAUUCCCGAGAACGGACGAAGGAAGAGCAAGACUUAAAAGGUUGAUGAUAGAGUUAGCUAAUUAUCGGUGGAAUGACGGUGAUUUAGUAUCACAUGUGGUCAGGGUCUAUCAGAUGAUACAGGAAAUCAUCUGGAAUAGUUAUCUUAUGCCGGAUUUUGAGAAUGUGCCAGCUUUGAUGAACACUCUUCCACCUAAAUGGCAAGCAGUGUUAGAUCAACUAUGGGAGGUCAACGUGGUCCCGGGUUAUAGGAGGCUAGUUGUAGCUUUUGUAAAAGAGUACUAUAGGAUUGAGUUAACCAAAACUUCAACCCUUAGAUUGAGUGCCACAUGGCGCAGAGUCAAUGCGCCUUGAAGGCGACAUGAAAGCUCUCCAAAAGUUUUUCCAUUGUUGGCAAAUGUGCCUUCAAAUUUCUCAGAUAUUUUGAUUGAUAGAUUAGAAGGGGCAUUCCCUAUUUAUUUCUUAGAUUAGUUUGAGAUGUUUUUUGUAUAAAUAUUUCUUUAUAUGUUGAUAUUUUUCUCUGUGAAUAUUGCUUAGUGUAAUUGAUAGUUGUAUUAUGUGAAAGCAUUAUUAUUCUAUUGGAUGUCAAAUAUUAUUUGAUUUCUGUUAUUGUUGACUGUUGUGGGUAGUUCAUAGAAGUUUUUGUAACUUCAUAGAAUUUAUUUUUGCAUAAGACAAUUAUAUUAAUAAUAGUUUUAAGUUAGGAUUUUUAUAGAAUGAUUGGAAACAUAGUGACAUUUUGAUUCUGAAACCUUACUUGAAAUUGUUCAUUGAUAUGAUGGGUCUGUGCAAACUGGAUGCAUAAAUGAUAGGCAUUAAUUAUUCGUGCAUAUAUGUAUGAUGUGUUCAAAUCGAUGGUUUCAGCAACUAAAAACGUAAUUGCUGAGAUGAAGGCAACAAUUGUGAAAUAUUGAAUAUGAAGAUUCAAUAUGUGCUGGAAAAGCAAGAAGCAUUAGAAGCUCUUAACCAUGUUAUGGAAGAUCUUGAGGAUGUCGUGCGCCACCUUGAGCUAGUAGAGGACCGCAUAACGGCAUUUGAGCCGAAAAUAGAUAUUUGCAAUGUUGGUUCUAGCUCAAAAAUGGCUUUGAGCUCUAAGCGCAAGCAUAUUGAUUCGUUCAAUAUGUGGGAAUGCAAAGGAUCAAGUCCUUAUUACAAGAAAUCAAGAGUUAACCAACACAAGAGAGGAAAACGUCCUCAAGUGAAGAAAAUGUCAAGGGUGAGGUGUUACAAUUGUGACAAGAAAGGUCAUUAUGCUCGCAACUGUUGUGAGCCGAAAAAUGUAAACACAUCUUGUACAUUUGAGAACUUUACUUAUGUGUCAAGUUCUGCAUUAUUGGCUGAAUCCAAUCCUUUAUGGACUGUAGAUUCAAGAGCGACAGACCAUGUAGCGAAGGAUAGAAAAUCCUUCGUGGAAUUCCGACGAGUACCAACUGGAACUAAGUGGAUCUAUGUAGGAAAUAACUCCAGAGCUGAAGUUAAAGGGAUUGGCACCUACCAAUUGAACAUGCGUGGUGGACGCACCUUACUCCUACAUGAUGUUCUAUAUGCUCCGGAGAUUCGUCGAAAUUAAGUGUCUAUUUUUUGUGUUGGUUAAGCUUAAUUUUAAAUAUGAACUUCCAUAAUAGAGCUGUAGAUUUGUAUUUGGAUACAAAUUACUAUGCUUGUGGUUAUUUUCUGGAUGGUUUCAUUGUAUUAGAUAUUGACUAUGUUAAUGCAAAUGUUUGUUAUUCCAUUCUCACAUCUCCUAAUUCAUUUGAUAAUGAUGUGAAUGUGUGGCAUGCUAAACUUGGUCAUAUUGGCCAACAGCAUAUGAAUAAACUGGCCAAAGAGAGCUUGUUGGGCAACAUUGAAAAAGGCGAUUUGCUAAUAUGUGAGCAUUGCCUAGUAGGGAAAACGACAAGGAAACCAUUUGGAAAAGGUAAAAGAGCUGAAUUUCCUCUGCAUUUAAUCCAUUCUGACGUUUGUGAUGCAAUGAAUGUGAGAGGAAGGCAUGGGGCUAUUUAUUUCAUCACUUUUAUAGAUGAUUAUACUCGUUACGGAUAUGUUUAUUUGAUUUCUCAUAAAUCUGAAGCAUUAAGUUGUUUCAAAAGGUUUAUGAACCUGGUAAAAAAUCAAUUAGACAAGAAAAUAAAAGUAUAAAGAUCCGAUCGAGGUCGAAAAUAUUUAUCUGAUGAGUUCAGAAAAUUAUGUGAUGAAAAAGGAAUAGAAAAAUAGUUGUCUAUUCCAUAUACUCCUCAACAAAAUGGUGUUACGGAAAAAAGAAAUAGAAUCCUACUGGAAAUGGUUAGGUCCAUGAUGGCGCAUGCUAACUUACCUAUCACUUUUUGGAGUGAUGCGUUGUUAACUGCUGCCUAUAUACUUAACCGAGUACCUUCCAAAUCAGUUAUUUUCACUCCAUAUGAGUUAUGGACAGAUAGAAAACCAGACUUAAAUUUUCUUAAGCCAUGAGAUUGUGCUGCAUAUACUCAUGAGUCCUCUCACAAAUUUGGGAAAUAUGGUCUCAGAGGAAAGAAGAGUAUUUUCUUAAGAUACUUCGAACACUUGAAAGGGCGAAAUAUGGGAAGAUUACUCCCUAUUUGAAACAUUGGAUCAAGAUAAUGAUAUUAGUGGAGUUCGUCCAAGUGGGAGUAAUAUGAGAAGUGAAGAAUUGAAUUCAACUCAUUCUCAAUUGCAACCACAUGAUGAGACGACGUUAUCAUUAUCCAAUCCUAGUGGGAGCAUAAUGGGGAAUGAUGUGCAAAGUGUACAAUCUCCCAUACAGCGAACAAGUCGCCAAAGUAUUCCCCGUCAACGUUAUGACAUUGAAAGGGAAAUUUUUAUGAUUGCUCCGAAAGAUGAGAAUGAGAGAAGAAAUAUUAAUGAGGCUCUGAAUUGCCCUAGUAAGGAGAAAUGGAUUCAUGCAAUGGAAGAGGAAAUUGAGUCAAUGAAAUCAAACCAAGUCUGGGAACUGGUUGAUCUUCUAAAAGGACGCAAAACUAUUGGGAACAAGUGGGUUCUCAAAAUAAAGCGAAAAUCUGAUGGCUCAAUAGAAAGGCAUAAGGCUCGCCUUGUGGCGAAGGGGUAUAAUCAACAGAAAUGAAUUGAUUAUGAAGAAACGUUUUCUCUUAUAGUGAGAUUUAUCUCAAUUCGCAUUAUUCUGGCAAUAGUGGCUAGUAUGGAUCUUGAGUUACAUCAAAUGGAUGUAAAGACUGCUUUCCUCAAUGGAGAAUUAGAGGAAGAAAUAUAUAUGGAACAACAUACUGGUUUCAUUAAUGAAUGCCAAGAAGAAAAGGUAUGUCGACUUUUGAGGUCGAUAUAUGGCCUUAAGCAGUCAUCAAGACAAUGGUAUAUAUGUUUUCAUAAUGUCAUAAUGGCAUAUGAUUUUACAAUGAUAAAUGAGGAUCAUUGUGUAUAUAUCAAAAGAUCCAAAGAUCAAUUUGUGAUCAUAUCAUUAUAUGUUGAUGAUAUACUAAUUGCCGGAAGCAAUAUGGAGCUUGUCGAUACUGUCAAAAGUUAGUUGUCUCCCAACUUUGAGAUGAAGGAUAUGGGUGAGGCUGCAUACAUUCUUGGAGUUAAGAUUUUAAGAGAUCGUUCGAAGAGAUCGUUAUUUCUUUCGCAAGAAACAUAUACAAUAAGGUUCUUGAACGAUUUCGUAUGCAAGAUUGUAAACCCAUAGACACUCAAAUUGCAAAAGGUGAAGGAUUGAGCCAUAGACUGUGUCCAAGGACUCCACAAGAGAAGGAACAAAUGAAACAUGUUCCUUAUGCUAGUGCUGUUGGGAGCUUGAUGUACGCUAUGAUAUGUACAAAACCUGACAUAUGUUUUGCAGUUGGAAUGGUGAGUAGAUACCAAUCCAACCCAGGUCCAGCACAUUGGAAGGCCGUUAAGAGAAUAAUGAGGUAUUUAAAGGGGACUGCUGAUUAUACGCCGAGUUAUUAAGGAAUGGAUCUGCGACUCUAAGGCUAUUCUGAUGAUGAUUGGGGAGAAGAUUUAGAUGAAAGAAAAUCUACCUCUGGGUUUUGUUUUCUUACCGAAUAAUGGCACCAUAUGUUGGAGCAGUAAGAAACAAAAGUGUAUAGCCUUGUCCACGAUGGAAACUGAGUUCGUAGCAUUAUCAACAGCAAUAUAAGAAGACGUUUGGCUUAAGAGAUUAUUGGAUCAUUUAGGUGUUAUUGGAAGUGUUGUAGAUUCAUUGUUGGUUAACUGUGAUAGCCAAGCAGCAAAAGCGUACACCAAAGAUCCAAAAUAUCAUGGCAAGACCAAACAUAUAGAUACCAAGUAUAAUUUUGUCAAAGAUAUGAUUGCACGAAAAGAUGUGAACUUACAAUACAUAUUAUGCAUAGAAUGGUAGCUGAUCCUAUGACAAAGCCAAUACCUAGAGAUGUGUUUUGUGGCCAUAUGAAAUCUCUAGGAUUGCGUAGAGUCUGAUGUACUGGAUUGUAAUUUCCCUGAAGUGUUCACAUUUGAUGAAUUUGUGUUUUUCAUCAUUAAUGCCUAUGAAUCUUUGUUUGAUCUUUAUGCAUCUUAAUGCUCAGUGCAUUACUUUAAUUUGAGAAAGUAUGUCGGACAGAUAUAAGAUUAGCCCACUCACACGGGUAAUCGCCUCUAUUUACUGUGUGAUAAAUAGAGAUGAUACUGUUUUUAAGCUUAUUAUCUAGGUGAUAAUCGAGAGCUCAAGCUUAAAAUACGUAUGUCGCCUUAACUGAGUGUUAAGAUGAUGACAUAAUACUUACUAUGUCCGAAAGUAAAAUAACCCACAUAUUUUACUUUAUCUGUCUAUGAUGUCAGAUGUGAGUUCUAAUGAAUUUUGUGAAUGAGUAGAUACGUGAACUCAAGUUAGACAUUGGGUAUGUCUGAACUAUCAUCUAUAUCGUAUUGAAGUUGUAGACAUACGCUCCAUGGGAAAUGAGUUAAUACCGUAAUACGUAUUUUAUACUACGUAGGCAUGAAACGACCAAUAAGAGUGGCAAAAGUUUGAUCUCAACUUUUAUGCCGUGUGAGAUUCUUGAGGAAAUGAGUUCCUCAAUUUUAGUGCCCUCAUGACUUUUACUUAUUCUCAAGAUUUCUAUUUAGUGCUUGCUAUCUUAGGAUAUUGCCAAUGGUCAUGAGUUGAUUCGAUCUAAUGGGACAUUUCUAGAAAAAGUAAGCUGAACUGAAAUUGAGAGUUUGAAUGAAAGAGGAAGAUCGAAUUUGGAGAAUCACAUUGUAGUUUUGUAUUCACUGGUUAACCAAUAAUGACUGUCUUUGGGAUAAUCAUAAUUGUGAAUACAAUAUAUAUAUAUAUAUAUAUAUAUAUAUAUAUAUAUAUAUAUAUAUAUAUCAUUGUUUAAAAUAGAUCAAGAGAGAUAUAAAUGUGAUCGAUCGAUCGAUCUAAAGUACUGCAUACUAAAUCUACUCGGAGUGUGAUGCCCAUUAUAAGCUGCUAUAUAUUCCUAACAGAUGUAUGGCAACGAGCUCUCAAAGUAUGUUGGUCGCACGUAUUAUUCACCGGUAUGAAUGUUGAAGAGAGGUAAAGAGAAUCAUGUCCGGCCCACCAUGUGCGAGUGGGAGAUGAUGGUUUUAUGUGAUGGGCCUAAGUUGGCCCGUCCGCCCAUGAUGGGCCUAAAAGCCUGGCCCACAAGAUUAUGGCCCAUGGAUGAAGGGGUACGUUCCUUUCUGUUGGAGGGACGUAUAAAAGAAGAAAGAGAGAGGGAGGAACACACCCGUUGGCAUAACGUACGUUCCUCUCCCUCUCUCCCUCCAAAAGAAAAAUAGUGCACAAGAGGCAACGCCGUCUUCCCUUCAAGGCCAAUUGACGUCAUCGGAUCGAACGGGAUCGGUUUCUCCUCCUCUUAUCGGCGUCGGUGUUUAAUCUGUGGCUAACAAGGUACGCUCGAUUCCAUGGUAUACUUUAGGAUCGGUGAUACAUGUGAAUUUCCCGGGCUUGUCUUCCGCAUUCAUUUUAAGGGUUCGAUUUAGUGUCGAAUCCGGUUUUUGGGAAUCCAACAACCCCAACACGAUAAAAUUAAUGCUGAUGUCGCGAUCAAAAAAGGGCUACUCGAUAAAGCGCAACGAUACCAUUGAAUCAAAGCCUUGAUUAGCCAAAAGAAACGAUAUAAAGACCCGAAAUAAUUCGACAUUCAUAGCGAAAAAGGGAGACGCGGAUCGAUCCGAAACGACCUGUCUCCCAUUUUUGGUGGAGGGUUGUGUGAAAAGUUGGGGUGGUGAUGGCAAGACGUCACUCCAUGAAUGGAUGGAUCGAAGGUUAUUCCCUUGACGUCCGCACGAUUGCCCAAAUUGGCCAAGUGGAGGCCUAGCUGGGAACCCUGACUCAUCCCAAUCCUUCGACAUUUAGAGUAUGCAUCGAUCCACGUGAGAUCUUCAUAGAAUGUACCAGGCUCUUUAAUUUAACACAAGCUAAUACAUUCGACAUAUCCUAAUGACCAACAUACAGUCACGUAUAAUUGCUCCUAGAACAAACAAGUUGAUUUGAUCGAGUAAAUAUAUCAUCGAACUAAGGCCCGAGCUACAUACUCACGGGUAACUUUGACUCGGUUUACAAUGAUGAACACAAGUGGCUUGGGAACGAUUACUAUCUUGCUUGGGCGAUGUUUUCUUCCACCCUCGGCGGAGAAAACUUUCUUCAAUCAAGUUUUGUAUUGGUGGUUUACAAAGAUGGACAUUUUGACGAAGUUCGUACAUAGGAAAGCCCAGUUUGUACUGAACUCUUUUCUCAUAGAACCAAUUCGGAGAGUUGCUUCGGAUAUGAUCCAAUGAGCGCGCAACCAGAAAGCAACGCAUUAUCGGCCACUAAAAGGAAAAGGAAAAGACCCAAACCUAAGCACAUUGGUGUGCUGCUCGUUGUCCUGCCGCAUAGAUCUUCGUAUACAACAAGGUUGGACACGAGAAUGCACGUAAGGAGACGGCCGUUCCGUACAAAGGUAGGCACGAAUCAUGAAGAUGUGGAGAGUCCCAGUCCGAUUGAGAUCCUGCCUAACUACAUCCCUCCUUUGGAGGUCUCUUUACUUGGUUAUUCUCGCGUGCCCUUGGGUCCUUCGUCGUGACUCAUUGAAUUGUAUCUUUACUUUUAAAACCCGCAUGAUUAGGACACUUUGGGAAAAACGUAUUUGUAAUGUCCCGUUAAAGUUUCACACAAGCCUUUAGCUUUUAUUUGAAUAUCCUAUUACCCCUCAUGUGUAGGGUGGAAAUAAGCAAUUGGGAAGACAAAUAGAGGUCUAGAAAAAUUUGAAAUCAAGACCUCAUAAUCCAAUACAAUAUAAAAUUUUAUGAGACUUUUGUCAACUAUUUUAAAAACUUGAACUGUUAUAUGAAAAUGUGGUUUAACAUCUAAAUCAAGGCGCAACGAUACCAUUGAAUCAAAGCCUUGAUUAGCCAAAAGAAACGAUAUAAAGACUCGAAAUAAUUCGACAUUCAUAGCGAAAAAGGGAGACGCGGAUCGAUCCGAAACGACCUGUCUCCCAUUUUUGGUGGAGGGUUGUGUGAAAAGUUGGGGUGGGGAUGGCAAGACGUCACUCCAUGAAUGGAUGGAUCGAAGGUUAUUCCCUUGACGUCCGCACGAUUGCCCAAAUUGGCCAAGUGGAGGCCUAGCUGGGAACCCUGACUCAUCCCAAUCCUUCGACAUUUAGAGUAUGCAUCGAUCCACGUGAGAUCUUCAUAGAAUGUACCAGGCUCUUUAAUUUAACACAAGCUAAUACAUUCGACAUAUCCUAAUGACCAACAUACAGUCAUGUAUAAUUGCUCCUAGAACAUAACUUCCUGGUAUAGGUAAGGGUCAGAAGAAAUUUUCUCUGCUAUAUGUCUAUGCUUUCAUCUAAUGUCUAGAGUCAAAUUUUCUUUGCAGCGAAUUUAGCGUUUCUUACUUCAAUACUAAGUUCAAUAUGCUAGUAUCGCAAAUUUUGUUUUUUUUUCUCACUUCAUUUUGAUUAAUAAUUGAGAUAAGUGUACCGGAAGUCCUAAAACUUAUUGCAAAAGUAUAAUCAAGUUCUACAAUUUUUAAAAAGUGUAGUUAAUGGAAGGAUUUAAUUAGACCAAUUUAACAAAUUUUAUAACUCAAAAUUGUACUUCUUGAAAGUUUUAGAACUCUGUUAUACUUUCGUGACAAGUUUUGGUGCUUUCAAUACACUUACCCCUCAAUUAUUUUGACUAAAUGAUUCUUUUCUAAACGGCCAAAUGAUUGUAUAAAGUGUUGUAAAUUAAUUAUUUUCUUUAACUUUUCACUCAAGUAGAAAUGUAGGCUACACCCUAUUUAGUUUAACCCUUUCUAAGUAUCUAAGAUUGCCAUGUCAAUGAAGACAUAUUUAUAUAUAACAUCAAUAUAUAAUUAAUGUGGAUUAAGACAUGUCUACAUAGAAAAUCAAUAUAAUCAAUCUCUUGCAACAAAACAACGAUAAUAAGAAGGAAAAUCAAUAUUAUGCCUAGGCGAGGGUCAACCGCCCCAACCAAGACCGACCUCACCAUGGCCAAGGCAAGGCUUGUCAGAGCUCACCGGACCUCGCCCUCGCCCUCGCCCUCGCCCUCGCCCAAGUGAGGCCUAGCGAGGCAUGGCAAGGCUACUCUCACCUGGGCAAGGGUCAACCUCGCCAAAUCUAGCAAGAGGGGCCUUGCCUGGCCAUGCAAAUGUGACCACAUUAGCCAUGGCUGUGGGUGGUGGCUAGUGAUGGCCACUAGAAAAAGAAAAGGAAGAGAAAAGGGAAGGGAAAAAAAUUAAAUAAACUAUUUUAAAAUUUCAAUAAAUUCAAAAAAUUAUUAAAAUAUUAUUUAAAAUAUCCAUGUCAAUGUUGAUUGCACCACAUCAACUGGCCGACAUGCACAUCAAUAAUUUUCAGCCUAAAUUGAUCAGAUGAACUAAAUUAAUAUCAAUGUGAAAAAUUUUAAAACUAAAUUAGUCUAAUUAAAAAGUUUAGAACUAAAUUGAUACCAAUGCAAUAGGUUUAAAGUUUUUUUAGUACUUUUCCAUUAAAGGCAUGGACAACAAGGUAUGUUAUCGUACUCAAUAAUUGAAAAUACAAACAUCACUUACUUUACGACAUGGUUGUGUGUGAUUAAAUUAUACCUUAGGACAGUGUUUGACAUGCACUUUGCCAAGUUGUGGCCCUCAUAUAACAAAACAUAUGUUGAUUAGUGACUUAUGUUGUCCCCUAAUUACUUCCUUUCACAUUGAUUAAAUAUAUCAUUAUAGGUGUAUCUAAUUGAUAUUUGUACAGCUAACCUACAUGUGAAUGUGAUUUGCGGAAUUGAUAUUCCAAAUGGCAUAGCAAAUUUAAGUAUGCAUCUAAAUAAGUGAAACACGGUGGAUAAAUAUAUUACAUCAUUUGAUAUAUUAAUUACGUUAAUCAAUUUUAGUAUAAUUAGCACAUAAAAAUCCUUUUAUCUAAAUUCCAUUUAGGCAAUGCUAACUUAAGUUCAACGGGAGUGGUUACAUGACCAAAAGUGACUUGUGAGUCCUAAAAAGUGCCGAAUCUUUAUACCAUGAUAAGGUGCUGGCGCAUGGGCCCAAAAAAAAAAAAGACAAGGCGCACAUUCACCUACUACAUCAAGUCACUGGCAAUUAUUAGGCGAGAUCAUCAUCUCUAUUUGCAAUAUUAAAAGAUAUUGUGGCCACAAUGUAAUCGAUACUUUAAAUGAUGUGAUAAGUUCAUAUCUAUUGCACCACAUAAUUAACAUGAACAUUAUCUAAAGAAUCAUAAAUUUAUCUUGUAGUAAUGAAUUUAUUCCUAAACUUACCAAUUUUAACUAAUGUAGUCCUAAACAUUUUGACCUUUAUAUCAGCUUAGGUUAAAAUUGCUGACAUGAUGGUUCUAUUAAUGCCUGGCCAAUUGUUGAGAUGGACAAUCUCAUAUGAAAUGACGUCAUUUUGCAUCGAACCAAGAAUAUUUGAAAAAAAUUCUUUCUUUUCUUUUCUUUACAAUAUUUUUUGCUUUUUAUUUUUCCCAUUAUAUUGUUCAUCUUUAUCCCCUACCAGUCACAAGUAAGGGUCAUAGCCCUUGCCAGAUCUAGGCAAAAGCCACCAACCACGAGCUAAGGUAAACCUUGCCAAAUCCAGCGAAGCCGUAAUGCCCUUACAAGGGGUGGCCAACGCCAAGGUUGCCCUUGCCUAUGGCCAAUGAUCUUCACAAACCAUUGCCUAAACUCUAAUGAUCGACGAACAAAAAAAAUCAAUAGUACAUUAAAAAAAAAGAAUCAAAGAAUUCAUAAAAAGAAAAAUUGUAAAAUGACAUCAUGUCAUUUAAGAUUGUCUACGUCAAUCGCCAGCUAUUCUACAUAGGACAUUUGGUGCUGACUAGACCGUCACAUCAAUAAUUUUUUCAAUUUAAAUUGACUUGAUAAAUUAUAUUUAAAAAUUACUAAAAGGUUUAGGAUUACAUUUGGUAAAUUGAAAAGUUUAGGACUUAAUUGGCCACCAUACAAUAGGUUUAUAACUUUUUGGACAACUCUCUCUUCAAUCGACCACCAUCAUAAAUCAUUAGGUAUUGUAGCAUAACUUUUGCCUCCCAUCUCCUCUAUAAAUUGCAAGGCCAACAUGAGCACGAUUUCCACAACAUAGCCUUAUUUGUUUUUAGCUUUGAAAUCUUCCAUUUGAAUAUCUUCAGUUUCUGAGAGGAAGAGAGUGGGAAAAUGGCCAUCUUCACGACUGAAAAUCCCUGGUGCUUAUUUUUGGAGUUCUAGGUACUUUACACACGGUAUCCAACUGUUUUAUAGUUACUAUCGAACAACAACCGAUGACUUUGUUUUGAUGCGUUUGUCAACCUUUGGAUGACUGUUGUCGCAGGUAAUAUCAUAUCCAUCGUGGUCUUUUUGGCCCCAGUGUAAGUUUCUAACUCUUUCUUACUCCGUGCACACUGACCAAAAUAAGGUUUAGGACUUAUUUAAUCUCCUUUGGCAGGCCAACGUUCUGUAGGAUAUGCAGGAUGAAGUCAACUGAAGGGUUUGAAUCAGUUCCGUACGCGGUUUCUCUGUUCAGCGCCAUGCUUUGGCUGUACUAUGCAUCCCUCAAGUCCGAGUCCAGCGCUUUCCUGCUCCUCACGGUCAACUCGGUCAGAUGCGCCAUGGAGACGAUCUACAUCGCUCUCUACCUUGCUUAUGCUUUUAAACAAGCCAGGGUACGUAGCUACAGCGUUGUUCGCAGAGAACACACCUAAUGUAUUCUAAUUGUUGGAGAGUGAAUGCGCAGAUGAUGACACUGAGGCUGCUGUUGCUGAAUUUCGGAGGGUAUUGUUCCAUUCUUCUUAUGUCCCACUUAUUGACGGAGGGAUCGGCGAGGGUCCAACUUGUUGGGUGGAUUUGCGUUGCGCUCUCCGUUGCAGUCUUUGCUGCUCCGCUAAGCAUCAUUGUAAUUUACUUCUAUGUGACUCCUUUCUUUUUUCUGCAUGAGAACGCAUGUCUUGCAUAUUAAUGUGGGACACAAAUUGUAAUUUACAUGUGUGUGUGCAGAGAAUGGUGAUAUGCACCAAGAGCGUGGAGUUCAUGCCCUUCUCUUUAUCGUUGUUCCUCAUGCUCAGUGCUGUGACAUGGCUCCUAUAUGGCCUAUUCCUCAAGGACUUGUAUGCCACGGUAUGCAUUGUUCAUUUUCUUGUUAAAAUCAAGAUGGCGAGCUGUGGCAAUAUUACCUUCGUUCCCCUGAAUGAACAAUAUUAACAUGUGUACACAAUAUUAACAUGUGUACGUGCAUACAUAGGGUCCAAACGUGCUAGGAGUCAUCUUUGGAGUGCUUCAGAUGGCGCGGCAUGCCAUAUACAGGAAGAGAAAUAAAGUUGUGACGGAGGAAGAGAAGAAUGAUAGCAGUGUUGGAAAGCUGAGCUCUGAUAUACAAAGUUGCAAAGGGCAUGACUUCAUCAUCUUUAUUGAAGAUUCUGAUAAAGGACCAGUGGCCACUCCAUCUGAAGUUUGACAGGCGUCUAAGUUACUCAUAUACCUGAUGAGACUUCUUUUGUCAGCACCCCCUAGCUAGCUUGCUCGUUGCUUCUGCUAUGUAAAUAAUAUGUAAAUGGAAGGGUCCGUGGGCGUGUGGGUGCUUGGCUAGGGGGCUGCUGACAAAAAAAGUCUGAUCAGGCAUAAGAGUAACUUAGACGCCUGUCAAACUUCAGAUGGAGUGGCCACCGGUAAUUAAUUUUCUCGUUCCUUCCGCGGUGUACUGUUGUUUGUGAAUGUUCAAUUUGUUUUUCCUCAUAGCACAGUUAUCAGACGCAUUACUCGUUGAGAAAGAGAUUCAGCUACUCUGCGUUCUUUGCUGAUUGAUUGAUAUCAUCUACUUACCAGGCCAUGUGGUCUGUCCGCUCAUGAAACAUUUUUUUCCUUAGAAAUCCAGCCAGUUAGGAUCAUGAGCUAAGAUCCCAGACACUCUGAGACACCCUUUUACAUUCAUUGAGUAAAUUUGCCUCUUCAUCGGAAUGUAACUGUGGUCACGUAAUGCGUGCCCUGAGAUGACAUCAUAAGUUCUUACUCUGAUUCCAAUUAGGGAGAAGUUUGCUCAGGUGGGUAAUAAACUCACCAAGGAUAGCACGUAACAUUAGGCCCAGACUCAACCGGACUGUCAACCCAGUUACUACACAAAAUCAUAGUUAAAAAGUACUCCCAACACACCAUAGAUAUCCCUGAUACAAAACUGAGAGAUCAGAGGAACUUCCCAUUGAAAAAAAAAAGCGAAAAGCAGUUCCUCAAUCAGGCUGACAAUAAAAGAAUUGAGUCACAGCAAAAUGUUUCUUCUGUCAAGCGGGAACAACAGUUAGUUCUCAUCCUACAAACAUGGACUUCAACGCUAGCAAUUUCACCGAUGAGGAAGCUCUCUUUUCUACAACCAAUGGGCAUGCACUUGGCAUUGGAAUACACACUAUUGCGGUAGUUGAAACAAUUUUCACAGGCUUGCAAUUGCCUCGCACUGUAUCAGAUUCUUUCAAGGCUCUUUGGAAAAGUAA
rnacentral:lncRNA from 1 species